rnacentral:lncRNA from 1 species
AACAGACACUUCAUCGAGCGUAAUCGAGUGGUCUCUGGCUGAGAUGUUGAAAAACCCGAGCAUCCUCAAGCGUGCUCACGAAGAAAUGGAUCAAGUGAUUGGAAGGAGCCGGCGGCUCGUGGAGUCUGACUUGCCAAAACUUCCAUACCUACAAGCCAUAUGCAAGGAAAGCUUCCGGAAGCACCCAUCCACCCCAUUGAACCUUCCUCGUGUCUCAACCCAAGCAUGUGAAGUGAACGGCUACUACAUCCCAGAGAACACUAGACUUAGCGUGAACAUAUGGUGAGAAAGAUUAGAUGGAUAAAAGACCUUGAUUUGCUUUUAGUGGAAUUUUCAAAAGGAAAUAUGAUUAGGGGAAUAGACUACUUUCAACUAAAAAGUUAUAACAAUGUGGAUGGUAGGAACUUAAAACAUCACCCAUAUAUCAAAGGAGUGUAGAAUAUCAAAGGAGUGUAGAAUGAGAGGUUUUUUUUUUUACUUAUACAAUAAUAAAUUUUUCUGCAAGAGUUUUUUUUAGGUACAAAAACUUAUGACUUAAAAACCAUUAUUACGAUGAGUUAAUUAAAAUAGAAUUAAUUUAGAAAAUAUAAAUAAAAUUGCAUGAAUUAUUAUCAUGAGUUAACUUAAUAAGAAUUAAUAGUAAUAAAGUUGAAUGAAGUUGUGGACCCUGCAUUUUGGUUCAUGUGUUUUUCAUUCGUUGGCGAGCUCGAUUUUUAUUUAAAAAAUGAUUUUUAUUCAUUAAAAAUCUAACUUAGAAUCGCCACUUAUUUUUGUUUUAUUUUUAAAGGGGUAAACAAAAUAAUAAAAAAAACCCUAAGUGUGACUUCUUAUUUUAGAAAAAUCGGUUUGUGAAAAAUCGGAUCGGGCUCAGGGAUCAGGUUACUUAUCGAUAAGAUACGGUACGAACUGUAGCACCUCUCUAAGUCCUUAAAGUCGGGUCUCUACUACCUGUAUCUGCUCCCCCAACGUGAUUGUUCUGUGCGUUAUCUCUCUCUCCCAUAUAACCAUUCGCUCCUGCUCACUCCUCCUUCGUGUAGCCUUCUUUUUCUUUUUCUUUUUUUUUUUUCUUCCUUCUUCACUCAACCUCCUCUGUUUUAGUCUCUCCCGCAAGCCACGGACCUGCUCCAGUGUCCUUGGAGCAUGUCAUCAGCAUCUACGCACGUUCAUGGCCUCGGUCAACCUUACAGCUACAUGUUCUAAGUUGCUUCCCCAGCAAACAGGGGUCCCCUCCUCGUUUAAAAAAAAAAUAUGACAGCUCACCUAAACCUUUCCCUUCAAGAAGCUGCCACCUAUCCAGGGGUCUACAGAAGUGAAUUUUGAAUGGUAGAUAUUAUUGAUGAUAAGAUUUUUUAAUAAUAAAAAUAUUAUUUGGGUAUGAAAAAUAGGACAAAAUUGACCUUUCUUUAUGUUACUGGUUAAAUGGAUAAUAGGGAUAAUCAAGUAAUUACAUGUGGUGAGGUUACCUAAGCUAAUUCUGUACUUACCAGCUAGCCCAAAAGCUAAGAAAAAUCUCCAUCCUCCAUUCAUGGCUCCCUUUUCUUUUCCCUAUUUUUAGAAAAUUCAACCAGUUUUGGUAAAUCAAUCUUACAACGUCCUUUCAGUCCACCAGAUGUCCCUUUGAUUUUCGUCUUAUUUUCUGAUUCCUCUUCUUUUUCUCUCGUUUCUUCCUUCAAAAUCCAUCCCUCAUCUCUCUCACAAUUUUCUCUUUACCUUCUUCUCUUCCUUCCAGUUUCCUUUUUAUUUUAUUUUUCAUGCAGACAGAAUCCCCUUACUUUCCUUUGUUUCUCUCUUUAAAAAAUUCUGAUUUUGCCCUAAAAAAAAUUGAUUUUUCUCUUUAAAUAUUUUAAUUUUCCUCCUCCAAAUUCUGAUUUGCCUUUCUAAAAUUUCAGAUCUUCCCAACCCAAAUUAAAUUCCGCUUUCCCCCGGUAAAAUUCUGGAUUUUCUCAUCCAAGAUAGUCAAUUUUUUAUUUUUUUUCAAAAGACAUUAUGGGUGUAUUUUGAAAAAUUGAAAAGGUAAUCAUGCAUGGCCAUGUGAGGAGAGAAGAAAAAGUAAAGUAGAUAAGUUGGAAGACAGCAUUGAUGGGAGAAUAAAAGUUCAAAAAUCAAUAAAAUAAUAUUAGAAUAAAAUAAAGAAAAGAAAUAGUGAGUAAAAAGAAUGUAACAUUCGUAAUCUAAGACAUAUAUAUAUAUAUAUAUAUAUAUAUAUAUAUAUAUAUAUAUGUGGGGAAAUUUAAUUUAUAAAGGAAAAUUGGGUUUUAAUUCACUAAUUUAAGAGAAUAAAAAAAAAGAACUCUAAAUUAUAAAUUAAUUUUAUUUUCAUCAAUUUAAAAAUAUUUUACAAUAUAUAUACUUUUUUAUAACUCAAAUAAUUAUUUCUUGAAAUAAUAUUUUUACUUGUUAUGUUAAUAACACCAAUUAAUAAAUAAAAACUAUAAAAUAUAAAAUAUAAAAAUAAAAUAUUAAUUUUCAUUAGUUAAACACAUGUUGGUAGAAAAUAUAGAUAUCCAAAAAGAGUUGGAAAUACAACAAGAAUUAAUAUUUAUUUUUAAAAUUUUAAGUUUUUUUAAUUGUAUUUACUUUUUAUAUAUUUUAGAUUUAAUUGUAUUUUUUAUUUGAUGGUUGAUUUUAACUAACAAAUUUUUUUAUUCAAUUUUAUUGAAAAAUAAGAAGAUGGGCUUUAUAUAAUAUAGAAUAUAAAAUCAUUAUUAUUUAAAGGAUAAAAAAAAAUUUUAUUUAUCACGAUUUGAAUAAUUUUUUCACAAUGAUUUGCAUCUUAUAAUAAAAAAUUUAUAAUAUAUUUAUUUGUACUAUACUUUUAUCAAAUUAAAUUGAUCAAUUAAUUUUGGAUUAUUUAUUUAAUAUUAUCAAGUAAAAUGGUAUUUAGAAAAUAAUUAUUUGAGUUAUAAAAAAGUAUAUGUAUUUUAAAAUAUUUUUUAAAUUGAUGAAGAUAAAAUUGAUUUAUAAAAAUUAAAGUUUUUUUUUUUUUAAAAUUAGUGAAUAAAACCCCCAUUUUUUUUUUUAACUUUAUAAUGUAGCCAUGGGAUUUUAUAACAUAAGCAAAUUUUACGUGAAAGAGGAAAAAAAUCAACUUUUCAAUUUCCAAUAAUUAUUAUUAUUAUUAGAAAUAUUUGAUUAAAAAAGAUGAAAUAAUCCCCAAAAUCGGAAAUCUAACCCUUCCUAUGCUUUUUCUAAAAAAGUAAUCCAUUUUUUUUUACAUAAAUACCAUUUUCUAUUUCAAGUAUCCAAUUUGGCUGAUUCUUAAUUAGUUGGCAUCAUUACUAUUCUGUAAUUAGUUAGAAUAGUAUUAGGAGUUGAAGGUCAGUUGGAAUACAGGCUUAUGGAAACAAAUCUAUCCCAUUAGUUGGUUCUUAUUAUUUUUAUUAUUUUCAAUAUAGGAGAUGGGCAGCCGCCGCCUUUUGUCUGGGGGCCAUCNNNNNNNNNNNNNNNNNNNNNNNNNNNNNNNNNNNNNNNNNNNNNNNNNNNNNNNNNNNNNNNNNNNNNNNNNNNNNNNNNNNNNNNNNNNNNNNNNNNNNNNNNNNNNNNNNNNNNNNNNNNNNNNNNNNNNNNNNNNNNNNNNNNNNNNNNNNNNNNNNNNNNNNNNNNNNNNNNNNNNNNNNNAGCAUGGUGGUGGCCUCAACUCCCGAGGCGGCUCGGGCUUUCCUUAAAACGCUAGACAUUAAUUUCUCUAACCGCCCGCCUAAUGCCGGUGCCACACUCUUGGCCUAUCAUGCCCAAGACAUGGUUUUUGCGGAUUAUGGGGCAAGGUGGAAGCUACUGAGAAAGCUAAGCAACUUACACAUGCUUGGUGGGAAGGCUCUUGAGGACUGGUCUCAGGUCCGAGCUGUUGAGCUAGGCCACAUGCUUCGAUCCAUGCUUGAGUUGUGCCAGCGAGCGGAGCCGGUGGUGGUGCCGGAGAUGUUAACUUUUUCCAUGGCCAACAUGAUAGGUCAAGUGAUUCUAAGCCGCCGGGUGUUUGAAACAAAAGGGUCGGAGUCAAAUGAGUUCAAGGACAUGGUGGUGGAGCUCAUGACCAGUGCUGGGUACUUCAAUAUUGGCGAUUUUAUUCCGUCCAUCGCAUGGCUGGACAUCCAAGGGAUCCAGCGCGGGAUGAAGCAUUUACAUAGGAAGUUCGACUGGUUAUUAACAAAGAUGAUGGAGGAGCACACGGCGUCAGCCCAUGAGCGGAAGGGAAACCCAGAUUUUCUGGACGUAAUCAUGGCAAACCAAGAAAAUUCUACAGGGGAGAAGCUCACUAUUACCAACAUUAAAGCACUCCUCCUGGUAUGCAUAGUUAAAGCUCGUCUUUAAUUUUGUUUUCCGAUAUUUUCUUUCCGGAAACAGCACUUUUAUUGCUUUUAGAUAUGUAUGUUUUUAUCAGGUAGCCAUUUUAGGGGCACAUCACUGUUCUUUAUUUGGAUUUUUUUUCUCUUUUUCCACUUGCAUGAUUGUUUUCAUAUGCUCAGCUGCAUGGUACAGGAAAAUUGUGAAAAAUGAUUGGUUCUCUGAUCAGACCUUCUGCACCAAGACACACUUCUCUCUAUUUUAUAAAAUCAAGAACAUUUAUGGUUUACAUGAUUUUUCGAACUUGAACUUUUGCUAGGGCUAAUGCAUGGAUCUCAAUUUUCAAUUGCUUUUGAUUACAUAAAUUUCAAGUAUGUCACCAUAUUUUUGUUUCCUUGGCUAGAAUUUAUUUACUGCAGGAACAGACACUUCAUCAAGCGUAAUCGAGUGGUCUCUGGCUGAGAUGUUGAAAAACCCGAGCAUCCUCAAGCGUGCUCACGAUGAAAUGGAUAAAGUGAUUGGAAGGAGCCGGCGGCUCGUGGAGUCUGACUUGCCAAAACUUCCAUACCUACAAGCCAUAUGCAAGGAAAGCUUCCGGAAGCACCCAUCCACACCACUGAACCUUCCUCGUGUCUCAACCCAGGCAUGUGAAGUGAACGGCUACUACAUCCCAAAGAACACUAGACUUAGUGUGAACAUAUGGGCAAUCGGGCGAGACCCUGAUGUCUGGGAAAGCCCGGAAGAAUUCAGGCCAGAAAGGUUUUUAAGUGGAAGAAAUGAAAAAAUUGAUCCUCGUGGAAAUGAUUUUGAGUUGAUCCCGUUUGGGGCUGGACGAAGGAUUUGCGCUGGCACUAGAAUGGGAAUAGUGCUGGUUGAGUACAUUUUAGGGACGUUGGUACAUUCAUUUGACUGGAAAAUGCCGGAUGGAGUUGAGAUCAACAUGGACGAAGCUUUCGGGCUUGCGCUGCAGAAGGCAGUUUCUCUUUCGGCCAUGGUGACACCAAGGCUUCACCAGAGUGCGUAUGCAGUCUGAGCUCAAACCGCUCAGACCAAAACCCAGGCCUCGCUGCUAUAUGGCAUGGANNNNNNNNNNNNNNNNNNNNNNNNNNNNNNNNNNNNNNNNNNNNNNNNNNNNNNNNNNNNNNNNNNNNNNNNNNNNNNNNNNNNNNNNNNNNNNNNNNNNNNNNNNNNNNNNNNNNNNNNNNNNNNNNNNNNNNNNNNNNNNNNNNNNNNNNNNNNNNNNNNNNNNNNNNNNNNNNNNNNNNNNNNNNNNNNNNNNNNNNNNNNNNNNNNNNNNNNNNNNNNNNNNNNNNNNNNNNNNNNNNNNNNNNNNNNNNNNNNNNNNNNNNNNNNNNNNNNNNNNNNAACCCCCUUCAAAUCUAAUUAUUCAUACCCAAUUUUGACACGAAAGAGCCAUUGUCAUGAAAGGGGGACCAGGGACCUCAGCACCCUUGGUCCAUCAUUUUGGUACGAUGCCAACUCUACCACAUAACCACCAUUUAGAUAUCUAUCCUUUUAUUUUUGGCAUGUGAACUUAUAGUGGGUGGCUGACCUUGAAUCCAAUAGUUAUCAUGAUAUAUAUGGCUGAAAUUAAAUCCAAUAGAAUCCAAUAUGUUUUCUUAUAUCUCAAGUUUCAAUCAAAAAAAUAUUUAUGAUUUGUUUUUAUUAAUUUGUGUCUUGUUUUCAAUUUAAUUAAUGAAAAUUUAUUUGAUCAAAAAGUUCAUUACAAACCAAUUUUAAAAAUCUAAUCCUUUAUUAUAUUUUGAUAUCGUUUUGAUAAAAAUGUCUUUAUUAUUAUUAUUAUUUUUUUUUUAUAAAAAUAAAUUUUUUUAUAAAUAUAUUGUAAAUAUUUAAAAUAAUUAAAAAUAUUUAGAUCAAAAAUCGAUUAUUUUUCAAACAAAAAUAUGAAAGUGAUAAAUUUGUAAAUAUGGGGAAUAUUUAAUCCUUUUAAUCGAUUAUUUCAUUAAUGAAGUGGGUAUAAUGAUGAACACAGACUUGGUUUUGCUAGGGCAUGCAGAGGUUUUGCAAGAGAGAGAGAUCAUUUCUCGACUCUGAGAAAUCAAUCUCCUUUUGGCCCGGUGGCGGACUCCAAGUAAAGCCUUGAAGGAGCCUUGCUAACAUCCCUGCACACCCACGCCUUCCAGUACUGAAGGAAAUGAAGCGAAGGUUUGGCUCGUUCAACUCCACUGCUUGAACUGUACUAGCAUUCAGAUGCCGCUCUGGAUUGAAAUUUAGCGGUUCUUCCCAGAUUCUAGGGUUCCGGCCCAGCCCCAGACGGCUCAGAAGGACAUGACUGCCUUUGGGGAUAGAGUACCCAGCAACACUAGUCGGAUUCCUGAACUCGUCUAUCCUUUCCAACCACUCCAUCAAUUUCUUCACUGCUUUGCUCAAAAUCCCUGGUUGCUUGAUCAUUGCCUACUCAGUUGCAUUUGAUGGACUAUCGACGCCUGCAAGCAUCAACUCCUGCAAAUUAUGGAAGGAUCAUAAUCUGAUGAUUGAUCAAGUUAUUUGCUGGCUAGGAAAUGAUCAUCAUGCAAUGUAGAUCAAAAGGUAAGCACAACACUACUACAAAAAUAAUUUAUGGUGUCAUUUUUAAAAUAAUGACACCAUAGGGUUUAUAAUUAAUAAAGGUGAUACAUCAUAUGAAAAUUCUUCAAUUAAGGUAGUUAGAUUAUGUUAGUUUUAUAUUUAUAGUGUCAUUUUUUGGGAAGUAACAUCAUAUAAAAUAAAUUUUUUUUUAAGUAUUAUAACUUAAUGAGCCCACUUUUAUAAUUAAUAAUGAGGGAUAAUGUAUAAAAAGCCCAUUGUUUCCACAUGCCACCCAUAAUCCAAAAAAUCUCAGUAUACAAAUCUUAUAUAUAAAACCAUAAUCUUCUUCUACCUUUUCUCUUACUUAUAGUCAACACACUUAUAACCGACAUUUUCCACUUUGUGGACUCCCAAGUUAUCCAAAUUCUCUUAGAUCUAUCAUAUUUUUUUCUUUUAUUAAUAUCAUUAUAUUGAUUGUUUCAGCAUCUUUGUAUUAUGGUUUUUGUGAACUGUGUUUUUUUGAGUUGUAGGGAAGAAAAACUUAGGUUUAAACUUCUAGCAUAGACGAAGAAACUUGUAGAUUAAUUGAUUUUUUAAUAUGAACCAAACACAUGACCGACUUUUGUUGUGUGUAUUUAUGUGAGAAUGAUAGGUACAAAAUUUUGUUGAGAUAUACUGUCCCAUAAUCUUCAUCCCUUCCCUAAAAUGAGAGGGGAAAAAAAAAGGGAUGAUUUUUUUUGUGUGUAUCUAAGUGGGAACGAGAGAUAUAGAAUUUCGUUGUGAUGUAGUGCUGCCACAUGAUCUUUAUCCACCAUUAAACCUAACAUAUUAAAUCCACUAACUCUCUCCCCAAAAACGAGUAAAAAAAAAAAAGGAAAAAAGUAUGAGUUAAAAAACAAAAACGGAAAAUAUGAUUUUUUUUUAAUGUGUUUCUAAGGAGAAUGAGAGAUACAUAUUUUUGUUAAGUGCAUUGCCACAUGUUCUUCAUCCUCUCCAUUAAGCCUAAUAUAUUAAACCUAAUAGCUCUCUCUUUUAAGCUUUCCAAUGAAGUGCCUACAGUAUCCAACUCAAAAUAAGACAACUUAUGCCCCAUUAGCCAACAACCCAUAUUUUGUGUACAUCUUGAUGAGAUUAUUUUGUGAGAAAAUGUCAUGAAACAAUCCCAAUUUGAUAAUCUAGGCAUGUAUUUGAGUUAAAAAUAAAUUUCUAUUCUAUAGAUCAAAGAAUAAAAUCAUGUUUGAAAAUUAUUUUUAAAAACUUAUUUAGAGCAAAAAUAGUUUUCUAACAUAAAAAUAAUUUUUUAACUGAGAAAAUAUAUUUGAAAUUAUUUGAUAGAAAAUUGGGCAUGUAUUUGACUUAAAAACAAAUUUCUAUUCUAUAGCUCAAAUAAUAAAAUCAUGUUUGAAAAUUAUUCUUAAAAACUUAUUUNNNNNNNNNNNNNNNNNNNNNNNNNNNNNNNNNNNNNNNNNNNNNNNNNNNNNNNNNNNNNNNNNNNNNNNNNNNNNNNNNNNNNNNNNNNNNNNNNNNNNNNNNNNNNNNNNNNNNNNNNNNNNNNNNNNNNNNNNNNNNNNNNNNNNNNNNNNNNNNNNNNNNNNNNNNNNNNNNNNNNNNNNNNNNNNNNNNNNNNNNNNNNNNNNNNNNNNNNNNNNNNNNNNNNNNNNNNNNNNNNNNNNNNNNNNNNNNNNNNNNNNNNNNNNNNNNNNNNNNNNNNNNNNNNNNNNNNNNNNNNNNNNNNNNNNNNNNNNNNNNNNNNNNNNNNNNNNNNNNNNNNNNNNNNNNNNNNNNNNNNNNNNNNNNNNNNNNNNNNNNNNNNNNNNNNNNNNNNNNNNNNNNNNNNNNNNNNNNNNNNNNNNNNNNNNNNNNNNNNNNNNNNNNNNNNNNNNNNNNNNNNNNNNNNNNNNNNNNNNNNNNNNNNNNNNNNNNNNNNNNNNNNNNNNNNNNNNNNNNNNNNNNNNNNNNNNNNNNNNNNNNNNNNNNNNNNNNNNNNNNNNNNNNNNNNNNNNNNNNNNNNNNNNNNNNNNNNNNNNNNNNNNNNNNNNNNNNNNNNNNNNNNNNNNNNNNNNNNNNNNNNNNNNNNNNNNNNNNNNNNNNNNNNNNNNNNNNNNNNNNNNNNNNNNNNNNNNNNNNNNNNNNNNNNNNNNNNNNNNNNNNNNNNNNNNNNNNNNNNNNNNNNNNNNNNNNNNNNNNNNNNNNNNNNNNNNNNNNNNNNNNNNNNNNNNNNNNNNNNNNNNNNNNNNNNNNNNNNNNNNNNNNNNNNNNNNNNNNNNNNNNNNNNNNNNNNNNNNNNNNNNNNNNNNNNNNNNNNNNNNNNNNNNNNNNNNNNNNNNNNNNNNNNNNNNNNNNNNNNNNNNNNNNNNNNNNNNNNNNNNNNNNNNNNNNNNNNNNNNNNNNNNNNNNNNNNNNNNNNNNNNNNNNNNNNNNNNNNNNNNNNNNNNNNNNNNNNNNNNNNNNNNNNNNNNNNNNNNNNNNNNNNNNNNNNNNNNNNNNNNNNNNNNNNNNNNNNNNNNNNNNNNNNNNNNNNNNNNNNNNNNNNNNNNNNNNNNNNNNNNNNNNNNNNNNNNNNNNNNNNNNNNNNNNNNNNNNNNNNNNNNNNNNNNNNNNNNNNNNNNNNNNNNNNNNNNNNNNNNNNNNNNNNNNNNNNNNNNNNNNNNNNNNNNNNNNNNNNNNNNNNNNNNNNNNNNNNNNNNNNNNNNNNNNNNNNNNNNNNNNNNNNNNNNNNNNNNNNNNNNNNNNNNNNNNNNNNNNNNNNNNNNNNNNNNNNNNNNNNNNNNNNNNNNNNNNNNNNNNNNNNNNNNNNNNNNNNNNNNNNNNNNNNNNNNNNNNNNNNNNNNNNNNNNNNNNNNNNNNNNNNNNNNNNNNNNNNNNNNNNNNNNNNNNNNNNNNNNNNNNNNNNNNNNNNNNNNNNNNNNNNNNNNNNNNNNNNNNNNNNNNNNNNNNNNNNNNNNNNNNNNNNNNNNNNNNNNNNNNNNNNNNNNNNNNNNNNNNNNNNNNNNNNNNNNNNNNNNNNNNNNNNNNNNNNNNNNNNNNNNNNNNNNNNNNNNNNNNNNNNNNNNNNNNNNNNNNNNNNNNNNNNNNNNNNNNNNNNNNNNNNNNNNNNNNNNNNNNNNNNNNNNNNNNNNNNNNNNNNNNNNNNNNNNNNNNNNNNNNNNNNNNNNNNNNNNNNNNNNNNNNNNNNNNNNNNNNNNNNNNNNNNNNNNNNNNNNNNNNNNNNNNNNNNNNNNNNNNNNNNNNNNNNNNNNNNNNNNNNNNNNNNNNNNNNNNNNNNNNNNNNNNNNNNNNNNNNNNNNNNNNNNNNNNNNNNNNNNNNNNNNNNNNNNNNNNNNNNNNNNNNNNNNNNNNNNNNNNNNNNNNNNNNNNNNNNNNNNNNNNNNNNNNNNNNNNNNNNNNNNNNNNNNNNNNNNNNNNNNNNNNNNNNNNNNNNNNNNNNNNNNNNNNNNNNNNNNNNNNNNNNNNNNNNNNNNNNNNNNNNNNNNNNNNNNNNNNNNNNNNNNNNNNNNNNNNNNNNNNNNNNNNNNNNNNNNNNNNNNNNNNNNNNNNNNNNNNNNNNNNNNNNNNNNNNNNNNNNNNNNNNNNNNNNNNNNNNNNNNNNNNNNNNNNNNNNNNNNNNNNNNNNNNNNNNNNNNNNNNNNNNNNNNNNNNNNNNNNNNNNNNNNNNNNNNNNNNNNNNNNNNNNNNNNNNNNNNNNNNNNNNNNNNNNNNNNNNNNNNNNNNNNNNNNNNNNNNNNNNNNNNNNNNNNNNNNNNNNNNNNNNNNNNNNNNNNNNNNNNNNNNNNNNNNNNNNNNNNNNNNNNNNNNNNNNNNNNNNNNNNNNNNNNNNNNNNNNNNNNNNNNNNNNNNNNNNNNNNNNNNNNNNNNNNNNNNNNNNNNNNNNNNNNNNNNNNNNNNNNNNNNNNNNNNNNNNNNNNNNNNNNNNNNNNNNNNNNNNNNNNNNNNNNNNNNNNNNNNNNNNNNNNNNNNNNNNNNNNNNNNNNNNNNNNNNNNNNNNNNNNNNNNNNNNNNNNNNNNNNNNNNNNNNNNNNNNNNNNNNNNNNNNNNNNNNNNNNNNNNNNNNNNNNNNNNNNNNNNNNNNNNNNNNNNNNNNNNNNNNNNNNNNNNNNNNNNNNNNNNNNNNNNNNNNNNNNNNNNNNNNNNNNNNNNNNNNNNNNNNNNNNNNNNNNNNNNNNNNNNNNNNNNNNNNNNNNNNNNNNNNNNNNNNNNNNNNNNNNNNNNNNNNNNNNNNNNNNNNNNNNNNNNNNNNNNNNNNNNNNNNNNNNNNNNNNNNNNNNNNNNNNNNNNNNNNNNNNNNNNNNNNNNNNNNNNNNNNNNNNNNNNNNNNNNNNNNNNNNNNNNNNNNNNNNNNNNNNNNNNNNNNNNNNNNNNNNNNNNNNNNNNNNNNNNNNNNNNNNNNNNNNNNNNNNNNNNNNNNNNNNNNNNNNNNNNNNNNNNNNNNNNNNNNNNNNNNNNNNNNNNNNNNNNNNNNNNNNNNNNNNNNNNNNNNNNNNNNNNNNNNNNNNNNNNNNNNNNNNNNNNNNNNNNNNNNNNNNNNNNNNNNNNNNNNNNNNNNNNNNNNNNNNNNNNNNNNNNNNNNNNNNNNNNNNNNNNNNNNNNNNNNNNNNNNNNNNNNNNNNNNNNNNNNNNNNNNNNNNNNNNNNNNNNNNNNNNNNNNNNNNNNNNNNNNNNNNNNNNNNNNNNNNNNNNNNNNNNNNNNNNNNNNNNNNNNNNNNNNNNNNNNNNNNNNNNNNNNNNNNNNNNNNNNNNNNNNNNNNNNNNNNNNNNNNNNNNNNNNNNNNNNNNNNNNNNNNNNNNNNNNNNNNNNNNNNNNNNNNNNNNNNNNNNNNNNNNNNNNNNNNNNNNNNNNNNNNNNNNNNNNNNNNNNNNNNNNNNNNNNNNNNNNNNNNNNNNNNNNNNNNNNNNNNNNNNNNNNNNNNNNNNNNNNNNNNNNNNNNNNNNNNNNNNNNNNNNNNNNNNNNNNNNNNNNNNNNNNNNNNNNNNNNNNNNNNNNNNNNNNNNNNNNNNNNNNNNNNNNNNNNNNNNNNNNNNNNNNNNNNNNNNNNNNNNNNNNNNNNNNNNNNNNNNNNNNNNNNNNNNNNNNNNNNNNNNNNNNNNNNNNNNNNNNNNNNNNNNNNNNNNNNNNNNNNNNNNNNNNNNNNNNNNNNNNNNNNNNNNNNNNNNNNNNNNNNNNNNNNNNNNNNNNNNNNNNNNNNNNNNNNNNNNNNNNNNNNNNNNNNNNNNNNNNNNNNNNNNNNNNNNNNNNNNNNNNNNNNNNNNNNNNNNNNNNNNNNNNNNNNNNNNNNNNNNNNNNNNNNNNNNNNNNNNNNNNNNNNNNNNNNNNNNNNNNNNNNNNNNNNNNNNNNNNNNNNNNNNNNNNNNNNNNNNNNNNNNNNNNNNNNNNNNNNNNNNNNNNNNNNNNNNNNNNNNNNNNNNNNNNNNNNNNNNNNNNNNNNNNNNNNNNNNNNNNNNNNNNNNNNNNNNNNNNNNNNNNNNNNNNNNNNNNNNNNNNNNNNNNNNNNNNNNNNNNNNNNNNNNNNNNNNNNNNNNNNNNNNNNNNNNNNNNNNNNNNNNNNNNNNNNNNNNNNNNNNNNNNNNNNNNNNNNNNNNNNNNNNNNNNNNNNNNNNNNNNNNNNNNNNNNNNNNNNNNNNNNNNNNNNNNNNNNNNNNNNNNNNNNNNNNNNNNNNNNNNNNNNNNNNNNNNNNNNNNNNNNNNNNNNNNNNNNNNNNNNNNNNNNNNNNNNNNNNNNNNNNNNNNNNNNNNNNNNNNNNNNNNNNNNNNNNNNNNNNNNNNNNNNNNNNNNNNNNNNNNNNNNNNNNNNNNNNNNNNNNNNNNNNNNNNNNNNNNNNNNNNNNNNNNNNNNNNNNNNNNNNNNNNNNNNNNNNNNNNNNNNNNNNNNNNNNNNNNNNNNNNNNNNNNNNNNNNNNNNNNNNNNNNNNNNNNNNNNNNNNNNNNNNNNNNNNNNNNNNNNNNNNNNNNNNNNNNNNNNNNNNNNNNNNNNNNNNNNNNNNNNNNNNNNNNNNNNNNNNNNNNNNNNNNNNNNNNNNNNNNNNNNNNNNNNNNNNNNNNNNNNNNNNNNNNNNNNNNNNNNNNNNNNNNNNNNNNNNNNNNNNNNNNNNNNNNNNNNNNNNNNNNNNNNNNNNNNNNNNNNNNNNNNNNNNNNNNNNNNNNNNNNNNNNNNNNNNNNNNNNNNNNNNNNNNNNNNNNNNNNNNNNNNNNNNNNNNNNNNNNNNNNNNNNNNNNNNNNNNNNNNNNNNNNNNNNNNNNNNNNNNNNNNNNNNNNNNNNNNNNNNNNNNNNNNNNNNNNNNNNNNNNNNNNNNNNNNNNNNNNNNNNNNNNNNNNNNNNNNNNNNNNNNNNNNNNNNNNNNNNNNNNNNNNNNNNNNNNNNNNNNNNNNNNNNNNNNNNNNNNNNNNNNAUAUCUUCCGCACCAAUAUGGAUCUAGAAGAAGGGGAAAUGCUAAAAAUAAAGCAUAAAGGUAGUGCAUUGAAACCAAAGAUUGCAAAAAAUCGAAGUAAAGGGAUAAAGCUCAAGAUUGAAUACAAUAGCCUUAGUAGUCACAUUGAGGAAAAUUCAGUUGAACUAAGUAGUUAUCUUAGUACAAUAACUAGAACCCAUGUGCCAAUAAUUAUUGAGAGUUGGGGGAAAGUGCCUAAAGAGACUAAGGAGAAGUUGUGGGAUUUGAUCACGGUAAGCCUCUCUAUAACUUUAAUAUAUAAUUAUUGUAUACAUUCAUUAACAUGAGCUAACAUGGGUUGCUAUUUUGUAGACAAGCUUUAAUGUGAAUAAAAAAUCCAAGAGGAAUUGUUUCAUACUAAUGGGCAUCAGGUUUCGAACCUUUAAGUACAAGUUGACAAAGAAAUAUAUAUUGUCUUUCAAGAAUGACUAAAAAAGCUGAAAAAGUCACCUCCUAUUUACCCAUUCAUACAAGAGGAUCAUUGGAGACAGUUUGUUAAAGAUAGACUUUUAGAACAUUUUAAUGUUAAGCAUUAUUUUUAUUACAUCUUCAAUUUUCACAUUUACGUAGUUUCAUUAUGUACUAAUUUUGUGUCUAUAUUUUGUAGGAAUAUCGCAAAGUUCAGAAAUCAAGAAGAGAUAAACACAUUUACAAUCAUUAUCUUGGAAGAAAAUGAUAUGCACGUUUUGAGCAUGAUAUAGUAAGUUAUCAAUAUCCAUAAAAAAAAAAUGGAGUAUAUAUUUUGUUUAUAGGAAAAUGAUUCUAGUUUUUAAAUAUCAUUUAUUAACUUGAUCAUAUUGAACUAAUGAGUUUUAUUGUUAAAAAUUUUAUAGCUACAAGCAGAAGGGGCUAUUGGUAGGGUUGAUAGAAGUGUUUAUGAAAGAAAACACGUGAGAAGAAAGGAAAGUUUAAUAAGAUUACAAAGCCAAUGAUUAACUAAGUUAGCAUAUUUAUGCCUUUUAGAGCCUAUAGUGUUAGUAUGUCUAUGUGAUUAGGGUUUGUGAUGAUAUCGUUAGGUGUUAAUAGGGAAGAGGCUUAAUGCUAUCAUUUUUAUGAGUAGUCAUGUUAUAUUAGUGCAAAUAUAGUAGCCUAAUUUGAAAAUUAAUUUUGAAACAAUAUACAUUAAUUUAUCUAUUAUCAUUUUUAUUAAAACAAUUCAUUUUAUAGCUACCUUGAAUUGGUCCUCUUGAAUUGGUUGUCUUUGAUUGAUAUGUUAAUCAUCUUCAUCAAAUUAUUACUAAUAUAUGUUUUGUUAUAGGAUGAAUUACUAGAAAAGGCAAGGAGACUGGACUACCUCCACCUGGUCCAAACGACAUAUUAUGUCAGGCAUUGGGUAAGCUUGAUCAUCUAGGACGUGUGGUAGGUCAAGACCGCUUGGUUAGGCCGAACUCAUACUUUCGUCAACCAUUUGAUGACAUGAAAAAAAAAAUCAAAGAAGAAAUAUGGGAAGUGGUGUGAAAGGGGAUGCAAGAUGCUGUAACAAGAUAAACUAUGUCUCCUUCCACACCCCAUUCUGAUAUAGGUAGUAAUAACAUGAGACAACAACUUGUUUUACAACUAGUUGUAGCAAAAAAAACCAAUGUUUAAAAUGAUGGAAGAGCCCCAACCACCAGAACCACCACUGAAACGUAAGGUAUACAUUUAUUUACUAAUAAUACAAGAUUAAUAUAAGUGAUAUAUAGCCUAUGUAAAUGAUAUUAUUUGUUGUAUUAAAGGUGAUUAAAUAUAAAUUAGCAGUGGAAUGAAAAUGAAAUGUUGUUGCAACCGGUACAUUAAUAGAAGAAAAUUGAUCAAAUGGGUUGGUCAUAAUAAAUGUUGCACACAAGCUAGAUGCUAGACUCCCAUUUCCAAAUCCAUAUGAGAUUAUCAAUGUUGGGGAUGCUAUUGACUUUAAGCUUGACUGGCCAACAAACCUUGUCAUACUUGAAACUAAACAUCCUCGGGUAUGUCAUUUUAUACUUGUAGUAAAUUAUGAUUGUAACUUGGUAUUUUAUUGUUUGGGAGUAUANNNNNNNNNNNNNNNNNNNNNNNNNNNNNNNNNNNNNNNNNNNNNNNNNNNNNNNNNNNNNNNNNNNNNNNNNNNNNNNNNNNNNNNNNNNNNNNNNNNNNNNNNNNNNNNNNNNNNNNNNNNNNNNNNNNNNNNNNNNNNNNNNNNNNNNNNNNNNNNNNNNNNNNNNNNNNNNNNNNNNNNNNNNNNNNNNNNNNNNNNNNNNNNNNNNNNNNNNNNNNNNNNNNNNNNNNNNNNNNNNNNNNNNNNNNNNNNNNNNNNNNNNNNNNNNNNNNNNNNNNNNNNNNNNNNNNNNNNNNNNNNNNNNNNNNNNNNNNNNNNNNNNNNNNNNNNNNNNNNNNNNNNNNNNNNNNNNNNNNNNNNNNNNNNNNNNNNNNNNNNNNNNNNNNNNNNNNNNNNNNNNNNNNNNNNNNNNNNNNNNNNNNNNNNNNNNNNNNNNNNNNNNNNNNNNNNNNNNNNNNNNNNNNNNNNNNNNNNNNNNNNNNNNNNNNNNNNNNNNNNNNNNNNNNNNNNNNNNNNNNNNNNNNNNNNNNNNNNNNNNNNNNNNNNNNNNNNNNNNNNNNNNNNNNNNNNNNNNNNNNNNNNNNNNNNNNNNNNNNNNNNNNNNNNNNNNNNNNNNNNNNNNNNNNNNNNNNNNNNNNNNNNNNNNNNNNNNNNNNNNNNNNNNNNNNNNNNNNNNNNNNNNNNNNNNNNNNNNNNNNNNNNNNNNNNNNNNNNNNNNNNNNNNNNNNNNNNNNNNNNNNNNNNNNNNNNNNNNNNNNNNNNNNNNNNNNNNNNNNNNNNNNNNNNNNNNNNNNNNNNNNNNNNNNNNNNNNNNNNNNNNNNNNNNNNNNNNNNNNNNNNNNNNNNNNNNNNNNNNNNNNNNNNNNNNNNNNNNNNNNNNNNNNNNNNNNNNNNNNNNNNNNNNNNNNNNNNNNNNNNNNNNNNNNNNNNNNNNNNNNNNNNNNNNNNNNNNNNNNNNNNNNNNNNNNNNNNNNNNNNNNNNNNNNNNNNNNNNNNNNNNNNNNNNNNNNNNNNNNNNNNNNNNNNNNNNNNNNNNNNNNNNNNNNNNNNNNNNNNNNNNNNNNNNNNNNNNNNNNNNNNNNNNNNNNNNNNNNNNNNNNNNNNNNNNNNNNNNNNNNNNNNNNNNNNNNNNNNNNNNNNNNNNNNNNNNNNNNNNNNNNNNNNNNNNNNNNNNNNNNNNNNNNNNNNNNNNNNNNNNNNNNNNNNNNNNNNNNNNNNNNNNNNNNNNNAAAUGCAGGUAUACACUCUAGGAGGGUGGAUAGAGAUAAAAGAACAAAGAAGGGCAACCAGAUUUGGGUUUUAAAUGCAGCUCGUAUGUCAUACGUCGUAGGACAUAAACGUUACUUUAAUUGGUAGUGAGAAUUUUAGAUUUUUAGAUGCUACUUUUAUGUCAUUUUAUAGUUAGUCGGUUUUAUGCUUAUGAAAUGAAGGUAUACAUGAAUCUUGGGAUGCUUAACAUUUCUAAAUCAUGUUUUGGUAUGUAUUCACUUUUCUUUUUCAGUUUUGGUGGGUUUGAUAUGUUUGAUGUACUAUCUUUUUGUGAACAUUUGAUAUACAAAUAUUAUUAGAUGAUCAAUGUAUUACGAGUUAUUCCAUAAACAUUACCGAAAAAUGAGUUAAAUGUAAUAUGAUUGUUAUAUUUAUGGACAAAAUAUACACAAGUUAAUCCUAUUUGUUAAUUCAUAAGCAUUACAAAAAUCUACAACUAAAAGCAAUCAUAUCUUCCAUGAUAAUUUACAAUGAUGUGACACCAUAACUCAAAGGUGAUGCAUUUAAUGUGACAUCAUAACUCAAAGAUCACGCAUAUAAUGCGACAUCCUAUCAUCACUAGAAAUAUAUGAUGUCGCUUCCGAAUGCGUCACCAUUUAUCUACUUUGGUGUCACUUACAAAUACGUCACCAAUUGGUACCCUCUAUGGUGUCAGUGGAGAAGGUGACACUAUGUUGUAGUGACACCCUAUGUUUAUGGUGACUCGCUAUAAAUGUCACCAUAUAUCUUUUUUCUUGUAGUGCAAAUUACUUAUCUUACUAUGCAUUGGGCUUUGAUAUUAGCCAGAGAUAGUAGUGGCUCCUAAUUUUUAUCCUUAACUGAAAUGAAAACGUCAAGCAGGUCCCCACCCUCUUUUUCACCAUUCUUCCACUAUUCUACUAUUUGGUCCAUGAUUGGAUCAUGGUACUUGUUAAUGGUGUUCAUAGCCUCCCUUAUAGUCUUUUCAUGGCCAUCUAAAUUCAGCACUCUCUGCCAUGGGAAGUAAUCAGAUAAAGAGAAUACAUAUAGAUGAGCAAGUAUAGUAAAGAAGGAUUCAACAUGUUGCUCCACUUCAACUCCAAGGCCUCCAUCUUUCUUUCGUUGGCCAAAGUAUCUUGUGUUGAGGAUCAUCUUUCGGAUGACAUUCCCGUUGUAUUGACGGACUUUAUUUCUGUCACACCCCAAAUACUAGGCAACCCAGAACUUGACUCGUGGCCCCAGGUCAAAGGUUUGACCCUAAGAGUUACUCUUAUCCAUGUUGGCAAUCAAUCAAAACACCCUGGAUUUUUUUUCUUUUCAAUAAAGAGUUUAAUCCUAAAUAAAUUUAUUAAGCUAAGAUUUACUAUAACAUAUCAUUUUAUUUUUCCAAAACUAACCAUCACAUUAUCUCCUGUUCACAAGUAUUAAAAAAAAUAAAAUUCCACCAAUCGUCUUCCUACCCAAAAGCUAAAAUAUUUACAAUAAUCUCUAAGUCAAAANNNNNNNNNNNNNNNNNNNNNNNNNNNNNNNNNNNNNNNNNNNNNNNNNNNNNNNNNNNNNNNNNNNNNNNNNNNNNNNNNNNNNNNNNNNNNNNNNNNNNNNNNNNNNNNNNNNNNNNNNNNNNNNNNNNNNNNNNNNNNNNNNNNNNNNNNNNNNNNNNNNNNNNNNNNNNNNNNNNNNNNNNNNNNNNNNNNNNNNNNNNNNNNNNNNNNNNNNNNNNNNNNNNNNNNNNNNNNNNNNNNNNNNNNNNNNNNNNNNNNNNNNNNNNNNNNNNNNNNNNNNNNNNNNNNNNNNNNNNNNNNNNNNNNNNNNNNNNNNNNNNNNNNNNNNNNNNNNNNNNNNNNNNNNNNNNNNNNNNNNNNNNNNNNNNNNNNNNNNNNNNNNNNNNNNNNNNNNNNNNNNNNNNNNNNNNNNNNNNNNNNNNNNNNNNNNNNNNNNNNNNNNNNNNNNNNNNNNNNNNNNNNNNNNNNNNNNNNNNNNNNNNNNNNNNNNNNNNNNNNNNNNNNNNNNNNNNNNNNNNNNNNNNNNNNNNNNNNNNNNNNNNNNNNNNNNNNNNNNNNNNNNNNNNNNNNNNNNNNNNNNNNNNNNNNNNNNNNNNNNNNNNNNNNNNNNNNNNNNNNNNNNNNNNNNNNNNNNNNNNNNNNNNNNNNNNNNNNNNNNNNNNNNNNNNNNNNNNNNNNNNNNNNNNNNNNNNNNNNNNNNNNNNNNNNNNNNNNNNNNNNNNNNNNNNNNNNNNNNNNNNNNNNNNNNNNNNNNNNNNNNNNNNNNNNNNNNNNNNNNNNNNNNNNNNNNNNNNNNNNNNNNNNNNNNNNNNNNNNNNNNNNNNNNNNNNNNNNNNNNNNNNNNNNNNNNNNNNNNNNNNNNNNNNNNNNNNNNNNNNNNNNNNNNNNNNNNNNNNNNNNNNNNNNNNNNNNNNNNNNNNNNNNNNNNNNNNNNNNNNNNNNNNNNNNNNNNNNNNNNNNNNNNNNNNNNNNNNNNNNNNNNNNNNNNNNNNNNNNNNNNNNNNNNNNNNNNNNNNNNNNNNNNNNNNNNNNNNNNNNNNNNNNNNNNNNNNNNNNNNNNNNNNNNNNNNNNNNNNNNNNNNNNNNNNNNNNNNNNNNNNNNNNNNNNNNNNNNNNNNNNNNNNNNNNNNNNNNNNNNNNNNNNNNNNNNNNNNNNNNNNNNNNNNNNNNNNNNNNNNNNNNNNNNNNNNNNNNNNNNNNNNNNNNNNNNNNNNNNNNNNNNNNNNNNNNNNACAAUAUAUAAAUUUUUUUCAAAGAAAAUAUUAAAUCAAAGUUUUAGGGUUAAAUCACCCUACCUUAAAUUUGAAAAAUUUAACCAUUAAAACUAAAACAGGACACCGUAGGAGUGUUCCUCACAUUGAAUAGAAUAUCUGUAGACCCUCAAUUUUGUCCCUUUAGCACAUGUCUUUAAGUUCGUUUUCAGUGUUCCACAGUAGUUCCUUGGUGGCCCAUUGCUACUCAUACUACUUACCCUUUUUUGAGUCACCUCGGAGACUUUGGUUGAGGGAUUAUCUUACCCCUUAUUGUGACCCUUGGCAGCCCUAACUUAGACUUAGGCUUUUCUUGCUUUUUUUUUUUUCGGGAUAGCUUUUAGAUACACUUGACCCAUUAGGCACCACCCUAGGCCCACUUAGAUUCACCUAGGCUCAUUCAGGCACAUCUAGGCCCAUUUAGGUUCACUAGAUCCACUUAGGUAUCUUAGCCCUCCCAUGUCACCGUUGCGGUAAUUCCUACAUGACUUACAUAAUUUGCAUUUUUUUAACACUUGUAUGUACUUGAUUUCCUAUUCAUUUAUUUAUCUACUUAUUUUAUUAACAUUUAGUUAGUUAUUUGUUUUAUUUAUUUAUUUUAUAGAAUAUUGCAUGAGAUUGAUGUCAUUAAUUGCGUAAACUGAUGUAUUAAUUUGUCUGUGUGUAGCUAUGAUAGAUAUAUUGUUUUUGAUUGCAUAUAUUUUUUUUAUUAGUUUUAAUUCUCAAUUUCAUGACCUCUACUGCUUUUAAUUCUUAUUUUAUUUUGGCAUGAGAUUUGAAUGCACACAUUGGAGAAGAUCUUUGACGUACACGGCUGCGUAUAGAAAGUGGGCACAUCACGGCUGAGGCACAUCCAGGAGUAUAUGGAAAGAAGAUUAAAGAGAAUCUAAUUACUUACCAAAUGAGAGAGGGGCUGCAUCCUUGGAAAAUCUCCAAGUAAGCUGCACAUAUGUAGACUUCCCAUAUCCACGCGUAUAACAAAAAAAGGAAGUAAAAUAUUCUACAAGAGUGGGCUGCCAUAUAAAAAAAAGUGGGGAGAAAAAAAGGAUAUGAGGAUUUCGGAAGGAAGGAGGAUUUCGGAAGGAAGGAGGAAGAAGGAGUGACCGGGCAAAAGAGGAUUUUUAUCUGGGGAGUUGUCUUUAGAGGUGAGAGGAAAGCCGGAAGCCCAGCGAUUGCAGGCAAGACUGCCCAAAAUUUAAAAUCCAUUGGGUUUGGAGGAGAGGCACAGAGGAGAGGGGACUUUCAGCACGCAUUGAGAACGGAGUGGAAUCAGAAAAGAGAAGCAAUCUUUGCUUCUUCAGAAAAGUUCUAAGGUAAGUCUACUGAUAUUUUGUUUUGGUUCGUACUCCCAAUUUAUGUUCCUCAUUCUUUUUUUGUGACCUGAGAUGCUAUUUGCUGGUUGGGUUGGAGAUGACAUAAAUUCCAUGUGAAUCUUGCUGAUUUCUCAUAUAUUGUUACAGAUAUUGUUUCAUUCUUUACUAUUUAUUUAUUUAUUUAUUUUUAUCAUUUGAACUCAAUGAGACUCUGUUUUAUGGUGUACUAUUUCAAGAUUUUGGUUGCCCAGAUUCUCUUUACUCCUCCCACCAACCUAAUCUCGUGGAUCGAAAUAUGAAACACGACUUUCUCUAGAUCAUUCUGUUUUCAUCCUUUAUGCUCUCUUUUCUUGGUUGCCUUCUUUUGUUCUUGUGUGUAUUUUCAAGGGAGACGUGCAUCACCAAUUAAUUACGUUAGAGAGGAGCUUUCGAAUACUGCUGAAAUUUGAGACUUAGAACCCAAAUUCGGAAGCAACAAGUUGGAUUGAUGACUCUAAUGAGAAUUUUGUUUCAUGGGAAAAAUGACUUGAUAGUGAUUGAAUAUGGAUUGAUAGGGAAUGGAUACUUCAACACGUUNNNNNNNNNNNNNNNNNNNNNNNNNNNNNNNNNNNNNNNNNNNNNNNNNNNNNNNNNNNNNNNNNNNNNNNNNNNNNNNNNNNNNNNNNNNNNNNNNNNNNNNNNNNNNNNNNNNNNNNNNNNNNNNNNNNNNNNNNNNNNNNNNNNNNNNNNNNNNNNNNNNNNNNNNNNNNNNNNNNNNNNNNNNNNNNNNNNNNNNNNNNNNNNNNNNNNNNNNNNNNNNNNNNNNNNNNNNNNNNNNNNNNNNNNNNNNNNNNNNNNNNNNNNNNNNNNNNNNNNNNNNNNNNNNNNNNNNNNNNNNNNNNNNNNNNNNNNNNNNNNNNNNNNNNNNNNNNNNNNNNNNNNNNNNNNNNNNNNNNNNNNNNNNNNNNNNNNNNNNNNNNNNNNNNNNNNNNNNNNNNNNNNNNNNNNNNNNNNNNNNNNNNNNNNNNNNNNNNNNNNNNNNNNNNNNNNNNNNNNNNNNNNNNNNNNNNNNNNNNNNNNNNNNNNNNNNNNNNNNNNNNNNNNNNNNNNNNNNNNNNNNNNNNNNNNNNNNNNNNNNNNNNNNNNNNNNNNNNNNNNNNNNNNNNNNNNNNNNNNNNNNNNNNNNNNNNNNNNNNNNNNNNNNNNNNNNNNNNNNNNNNNNNNNNNNNNNNNNNNNNNNNNNNNNNNNNNNNNNNNNNNNNNNNNNNNNNNNNNNNNNNNNNNNNNNNNNNNNNNNNNNNNNNNNNNNNNNNNNNNNNNNNNNNNNNNNNNNNNNNNNNNNNNNNNNNNNNNNNNNNNNNNNNNNNNNNNNNNNNNNNNNNNNNNNNNNNNNNNNNNNNNNNNNNNNNNNNNNNNNNNNNNAUCAGAUGAAGGUUCCUAAUCUGAUUUUAAUUGUUCAAGGUGUCUUAAUUGAGGUUUGUUGGAUUCAGUUCGUGGUUAGUUUUCAUGGCUGAUUCCCUACUGAUUCAUGGUUCAGGUUCGAAACCUGGUUUUGAUUUUAGUUGAUUGAAGCUAUUUGACAAUAACCACUGCAAACGACCUGUGGCCGUAAAGUUUGAGAUAUUUCGAUGUCUGUGUGAUGAUGUGAUUGCAGUGGAAGCGCUAAGAUCAGAGCUCAAUAGAAGAUCAUUGGCAGCUGAGCCUGAUAAGGAAUUCAAUCAGAAUGUUUACAUUGAGAUUUGCAAGAAAAGGAAGGCCUGAUGUUAAAACGGAAUGGAUAUCGGAAGACCUGUCACUAAGACAUUUGGCUUUAUCAUUUGUUGGUGAAUCUAUCAUAUAUCCAGAAAUAAACUUACUCAUAGAUGAACUAUGUUAUAAGGCAGACUCGUACCCUUUCUAUGACAAGUGCACAGUUUCCUAAGAAGAUUAGAGAACUACAAUCUGUUACUCAGUCUUACGUCAGUAUAGAUGCUACAACAAAGGACAAAGCUGCCGCCUUGGCUGCUGCUCGCGGUCUUGGACGCAAUGCAAAGAUUGAGUCUGUAAGGCUGCCAAUGUUGACAGUUCUUAAGCUUCAUAGUUGUGAGGGCAUAACUUCAGCUUCCAUGGCUGCAAUAUCGCAUGGUUAUAUGUUGAAGGUAACAACAAGUAGCGUUGAGAUUGGAUCAAGGGAAACUGCAUGGGAGGCGGAUGUUUCUGUCAGCUGUUGCACAGAAAUUGAUAAGACAACUGAAAAUUCAGUGGCGCCUACUCCCACAACUUUGGGAUCCAUAAAUGUCGAAACUAUCCUAUCCAACCAAACCAAGUAUUCUGAUCUUCUAGCACGCUCCUGCCAUGAAGCUCACUGUCAAGACCUUGAAGGGAAGCACAGCAACAGCGAAAGCAACAUCUUCUACAACCGAGAAUACACAUGGUUUCAUGGCUCCUCCCAAGCCUCACAAAAUUCUAAUGGUGGCUGAGAAGCCCAACAGUGCUCUUUCUAUUGCCUCGGCUCUCUCUAGUGGUCAUAUGUCUACUAGGUGUAGUAGUACAGAAGUCCAUGAAUUUAAUGGAACCUUUCGUGGAUCUAAUGCACAAUAUAAGGUAACAACAGACAAGAAAGCUCCAAAGUUGUUGAAUUAAACAAAGAGCAGUCCAUGUUUAUCAGACUUUGAUGGUCAGAAUUGCUCCUCUGCUUCAAACUGCAUAAUCAUAGAAAACUCAGAUAUAGGCUCGGGGAGUUGUGGACCUGCAAUUGAAAAGAGUACAGGGGACCUAGUUAUGGGAAGAAAAUAUUCAUGUACAUCUAUGACAAUGUCUCUCAGAGAUACAGAUAUGUCUUCACACAAUGUCAAUCGUAUAGAGUCCAGCAUUUAUCUAAAUCCUGAUGUUGUAUAUGAAACUAGUGAGGAUUAUGCAGCUAUGUAGCCCAAUAUCAGUGUAGAUGGCUCCCUUAUUUUCGAUUUUUCAAGUCAAUAUGUGCCUGACUGUUUUGAUCUUCAAUUUAUGCCGAGCAGUGAAGAAAUACUGACCAACAUGAAGGAUGAAAAUGAGAAGCUUUCGAACAGAGAAUACAUGCUUAAGCAGUAAGAUGAAUUUAUCUCAAGAUGCAAUAACAAUGAUGUUGUCAAGGCAAUGGAAAUUCAUCGGAAAAUAGAGAAUGCCUCAGUUUUCGAGUCUGAGAAGCUUGGUGUUGCUAUUUCUUAGGAGACAUUUCAGUGAUAAAGUAGAGCAUGCACCGAUUAAGAAAAGGAGCUUUAUAUUUCAGUCUUCAUUACCACCCCCAUGAACUCCUUCUCCUCCCUAUGAGGAUUCAGAACAACUUGUAGAUAGUCAACAUUCUUCCGAGACGACAAAUGAAGAGAUUGGCGAUGGUAAAGACUUCUCUGGUAUUGAGAUGUUCGCAGCAGCUGCUUGCAAUAACAACAUAGGUGAUGAUGUGACGGAAUCAACUACAGAGGAUGGUCCAGUUAUGACAUAUAAAGGAAACAACUCAUCUAUUUCUGCAAUGCCUAUAAAAGAAACUAUGCUGUUGUCUGUGUUGCUAUUACGGUUGAUAACCAGGAUGGUACUAAAGGGGAUAUUUGUAUUGAUAAAAGCAAAACUGCUGGUCUGAUUAAUAAUGAGGAGAAACAAGAAACAGAAACCAAACCAGAAGUUGAUCCUAAAACCACGAGGAAUGAGCCUAUUACAAAGAUAGUUGCUGAUGGAGUACAAUCUGUGUAUAAUGGGAAAGAAGCUAUUGGCAAUGAAGAUCAGGUAGUGGAAAAUGGUGUUGAAUCUACCAUAAGGAAUCCAACACUUGAGUCAGAAUAGUCAGAAAACAAUCUUACACAUGUUAAUGCGCAGGGCGCUGAAUCGGGAAAUGUGGUCUCCUUUAUCAGUUCCUCUGCUUCCAUAAUAAGGAAAAAUAGUACUAAAAAUUCAGAAAAGAACCCUCCAUUUGAAGGACAUGCAAGGCUGAAGUGUUGAAUUAAUUCUAUGGAGAAAUUUCUAUAAUGCGGAAGGACAAAGGCUGCAAAAUAUGUGGGUAUUUCCUGUUCUGGUUGUGAAAUCUGCUAGAAUCAAUGCUUUCAAUGGGAAAGCAAUGGGGACUAUUUCUACCAGCUAGCUAUUCGAAGAUCCAAAAUAUGUUAGGCUUCUUGCAGCUCUCACUCUUGGUCACCUCCCUCAAUAUGAAGGAUUCGCUAGAGCUAGUGGUUUUGUAUCAGCAUGUCGUGCACUGAUAAGCCUGCUUGAAGACCAACCAACAAAAGAAACGAAAUCCAUUACCUAUCAGAAAGACCUGUCUCAAAUCCGUCCAACAGAAGCUGAAUCGGUUGAAACUCGAAUCAUCAUACUUUUCUCCUCUGUUGUGGCUCUCAAGAGGUCUUUAUUUGACACUGGAAGCAAUCCCACUUCUGAAUUUGUAGUUAAGCCCUUUGCUGAGAGAGAAGUGAUUUCUUUUGGUUUGAUUGCACACCUUGAAAGUCAGUGUUUCAGCUGGAGUUAUUAACUCCUGAGCUGCCGAGUGUGAAGGAUGAAACCCACAGAUUUACAAAAAAACUGGGGGCACUUAUUUAACAGCUUGUGAGAGGAGUAAGCGAUCAUAAGAAUCUGAACUCCUCUUGGAGAUGUUUCUCAGGACCAGAAGCUACCCCACUUCCAGCUAUAUUUAUUGGUGAAAAUCUUGAGUCACCCAAUUGCCUACGGAUAGGCAUCCUUGCUUACAGGUAAUCCUGAACAUGGUGUGCAGCUGAAUUAAUAAUCCGUCAUCUGACAAGUCUUGGAGAUGUUCCCUGCUGCUGUUGUGUUCAGAAAGGUCAGAGUGCACAAAGAAGCUUGCUGAAAGUAUCUCAAACAUGCUACAACAAAACAAUCUGUAUACGAAUUUUGAUCAACCUCGGAAAAUGCCAGAAGAGGGCAGAAUGCGUUUUUGGGAUUCAAUGUCAGUGUCACAGCCUCAAUCACACCUCCAGACUCCACCCACAUAAUUGCCACCUUGCCACAUAUCAUACUCCUAAUGUUUUUUUUCCUUUAUUUUGUGAUUAUAUACAUCUUAAAUAUGAAUUUCAAAAUAUUUUUCCAUCAAAAUAACUUUGGUUUUCUUCAAAAUUCCUUAGGAGCUUCUAGAUAUAAAAUCCAAAUUUUAACAUGCUAUUUGUUGCCACUUUCCUUCGGGCAUGCACUAUCUUCUUUGAUUUUUAACUAUUUUCGUGAUUUCCUUGAUUUUCAACAAAGCAUGAAUAAACUUCAUGAUUCCAAAUAAUGGAAUUCGUAGAAUCAAUUCAUGCAAAAUUAAUUAGGGCUUUGGUGGGGGCCCGACAUUCAUGAUAUUCACUUCAAUAUUGUUUGCUUGAUAUCUGAUUGAUUUUUUUUUAUUCUUCUCGAUGAAAUACUUGAAUUCGCUUUAUAUUUAUUGUUGAGAUAUCCUUGUUUCCCAUAGACGUGUGGAUGCUCGCUAAUCAGGUACGCUCUUACCACCCUACAACUCUAAAAUUCUAUGAAUGUGUACGUUAUCAUGAGCCAUAACUAUGUUUGACGCCAUAAUUGAUUGCCUUGAUGCUUGUUUGAUCAUCUUUGAUAAAAUACAUAUUAUGUGUCAUAUUUUCAAGCUAACCUCUCAUGUUUUAUGAUAGCGCUUGAGAAGCCGUUCAGGUACGCACUUCGACUCUCUCUUAUGGUUGGUUUUCCUGUUAGGCAUGCAAUAUUCAAAAUCACCUAGCCUAUUUAGAUACCUAUAACGUACCGAUUAAUUGCCACACUUCCCUUAACUUAGUCAGUAGAGACCUUUAUAGGGCUUAGAGGGGUGCUACCUUUUAAAGGUACCUUCCCAAUAGGUAACCUGAUCCCCGGACCUAGACUCGGGUUUCUCAAAGACAUGCUUUUUCCAAAACUAUGGAGUCACUUUUUAGGGUUUUUCUUUCUUGUUUUAUUUUCCCUUUAAAAUAAAAAUAAAAUAGGUGGCGACUCCAACUUUUUUAAAAUUAAUUUUUCACAAAUAAAAAAGCGAGUCUCGUCGAUUGAGUGGGGACGCACGUGAAAAAUGCGGGUCCACAAUAUCCUUCCAAAAUUUCAUGCGAAAUGGACUUCAUUUGGUAGGUCCACCAGCAUCCUAAAGCUGGCGACCCAUUUUUCCCACUCUUUGCCGACGACUCCCCUACAUCUCUCACUCGAUUUCCUUUCUUCAUUUUCUUUUCUUCUUCUUCUUUUAAACUCUCACGCCAAUUUCACUAUAUAUAUAUAUAUAUAUAUAUAUAUAUAUAUAUGUAUAUGUAUUAUUAAAACAAAUCCUAAAAUACCACGCACAUCCAUUUCUCAAUAAAUUAAAACCAUUAUUCUUAAAUUCACCUUCCGUAAUUAUGAAUUAUACCAAACUUAUGAUUUUCCAUUUCACGAAAAAUACCACCGUAUUCGUAAUUUAAUUUACUACAAGUCUACUCUUCAAAAAGUAUAAUUUGAUUAUAAUUACAUGAAACAUUGUUUUUUUUACUUUAAAAUUCAUUUAAAACAUGAUAUAAUUAACUAUUAACAAAAUUCAAUUCCAUAAAAUAUUAAAAACAUAAAAUAAUUUUUUGGCAAUCAAGAAGUUGAAAUUUGUAAUAAUAACCCUUAACCCGUUAAUUUUACCUAUAUUUAUUUACCAAAAAAAUUUAAAUAAUAUUCUAAAAUUUAAUUCCAUAAAUUAAUUAGUCAUUCAAUUAAUAAAAAUCAAAUUCUCUACCCUUUGGUAUAACUUUUAUUUAAUUUACUUCAUUUUUCAAAUUAUUCAAUCGCAUCAAAAUUUCAAAAGUUAAAUUCACUAAAUUCACAUUUAAUUAAUUUAUCCUUUUGUAUUUUUUUUUUCUAAAUUCGCAUAUCAUAAUUUAAUCUUAAUUUAAUUUUGAUUCAAUUUUGUUUGAUGUUUUCUAAUUUUAUGAGGUUUAAUUUCAAUNNNNNNNNNNNNNNNNNNNNNNNNNNNNNNNNNNNNNNNNNNNNNNNNNNNNNNNNNNNNNNNNNNNNNNNNNNNNNNNNNNNNNNNNNNNNNNNNNNNNNNNNNNNNNNNNNNNNNNNNNNNNNNNNNNNNNNNNNNNNNNNNNNNNNNNNNNNNNNNNNNNNNNNNNNNNNNNNNNNNNNNNNNNNNNNNNNNNNNNNNNNNNNNNNNNNNNNNNNNNNNNNNNNNNNNNNNNNNNNNNNNNNNNNNNNNNNNNNNNNNNNNNNNNNNNNNNNNNNNNNNNNNNNNNNNNNNNNNNNNNNNNNNNNNNNNNNNNNNNNNNNNNNNNNNNNNNNNNNNNNNNNNNNNNNNNNNNNNNNNNNNNNNNNNNNNNNNNNNNNNNNNNNNNNNNNNNNNNNNNNNNNNNNNNNNNNNNNNNNNNNNNNNNNNNNNNNNNNNNNNNNNNNNNNNNNNNNNNNNNNNNNNNNNNNNNNNNNNNNNNNNNNNNNNNNNNNNNNNNNNNNNNNNNNNNNNNNNNNNNNNNNNNNNNNNNNNNNNNNNNNNNNNNNNNNNNNNNNNNNNNNNNNNNNNNNNNNNNNNNNNNNNNNNNNNNNNNNNNNNNNNNNNNNNNNNNNNNNNNNNNNNNNNNNNNNNNNNNNNNNNNNNNNNNNNNNNNNNNNNNNNNNNNNNNNNNNNNNNNNNNNNNNNNNNNNNNNNNNNNNNNNNNNNNNNNNNNNNNNNNNNNNNNNNNNNNNNNNNNNNNNNNNNNNNNNNNNNNNNNNNNNNNNNNNNNNNNNNNNNNNNNNNNNNNNNNNNNNNNNNNNNNNNNNNNNNNNNNNNNNNNNNNNNNNNNNNNNNNNNNNNNNNNNNNNNNNNNNNNNNNNNNNNNNNNNNNNNNNNNNNNNNNNNNNNNNNNNNNNNNNNNNNNNNNNNNNNNNNNNNNNNNNNNNNNNNNNNNNNNNNNNNNNNNNNNNNNNNNNNNNNNNNNNNNNNNNNNNNNNNNNNNNNNNNNNNNNNNNNNNNNNNNNAGGAAGUUGAGAUGAGACAACACAUCAUCUGUGGUAGUAGAAGAAAACAAGGUUGAGUUACUACUACUACUCUCUGCAACAAAACCAUUUACACGUCUUUCAUAGCAAAACCAUGUUUGUCCUAUCUUGGGUCUGGAUGCACAUUUUUAAUAUUGGGGAAAUCAUGCAACCAAAUGUCACACACAAAGAGAGAGAAAAAAAUACGUUUUUUAGAACUUGAAAAGGUAAAGUGGGACAAAAAAUAUUAUCCAUUCUUGAACUCUAAAAGUAAAGUUAUAAAAAGCUUAUUUUUUUUUUUUUUUUUGUUAUGUAUGAUUGCAUGAUUUCCCCCUUUUAAGAUUUUAUCUCAUAAAAUUUUUUUCUAGAAGGUUCAAAUAAGUUUGAUGAAUAUUGUUUAUUUUAGUAAUUUUAAUUUUAUGGGGUACUUAAAACAUUAGAAGUUCACAAAAAGCAACAUUUAUAAGCUACCUAUCUAAAAAGCUUGCCCUAAUCAUUGAAAUCCAAAAUAUAAAGUGACAACACACUUUUUAAAGAAAUUUUCAAAAUAGUUUUUAAAAACACAUUUAUUUAUGAUAUUUUUAAAAUAAAAAUCUCAAAAAUAACUUGUUUAUAUAGCGUUUUAUUAGACAAAUACUUGAUCUUUAUAAGAUCACCCUAAUUAUAGAUUUAUGAACAUGUAACACAACAAUUAUCUAUAUGUAUACUUAGAAUUAUUAUAUUUUAAGUUUUUAACUACAUAGGACAUCAUGAGUUUUUCCACCAUUUAUCUUAUAAUAAGUUUAUUUAAAUAUGAUAAAGGAUAUAUUAUCUCAUUUCUUAUUAUAUCUGAUGCUAUAUAUAUAUAUAUAUAUGUAACAAAUCAAAUACAAUUUAAAGAUUUUAAUUAACCAUCUAUUAGCAACAAAGCAAUCUCUUAAUCUCAUUCAUAAUAUUAGGAUAAUUUAGUAUUUCCUUUUAUAAAACACUAGCAUAUAAAUCAACACAAAUCAUAUUAAGGGUGUAUUUGGUGUUGAUUUUAGGAAGCGUUUUUAGUAUUUCUAAUACUUGAAAGAUAAAAAUUAUCAAGUUUUAGAAAGAUCAAAAGCGCUUUUUAGAGUGACUAUCAAAUACAUGCUAAAUAUUACUUUUGGAUACUUAUAUUUUUAAAUAACUCUUAAAACUUUUAAGGCAAGUCUCUACUAUUUAUAUAAAUCCCCUAUUAUUUUUAAUUUUUAGAAACAAAAAAUAAAGAAUAGAAACUCCAUUUAAACAUCGCCUUAUUAUUUCCUAUUAUAAAAUAACACAAAUCAAUGAAUUAUUUAAAAAUAAAUAAAUAUAAAAUCAAAGUUGAAAGAGAAAAAANNNNNNNNNNNNNNNNNNNNNNNNNNNNNNNNNNNNNNNNNNNNNNNNNNNNNNNNNNNNNNNNNNNNNNNNNNNNNNNNNNNNNNNNNNNNNNNNNNNNNNNNNNNNNNNNNNNNNNNNNNNNNNNNNNNNNNNNNNNNNNNNNNNNNNNNNNNNNNNNNNNNNNNNNNNNNNNNNNNNNNNNNNNNNNNNNNNNNNNNNNNNNNNNNNNNNNNNNNNNNNNNNNNNNNNNNNNNNNNNNNNNNNNNNNNNNNNNNNNNNNNNNNNNNNNNNNNNNNNNNNNNNNNNNNNNNNNNNNNNNNNNNNNNNNNNNNNNNNNNNNNNNNNNNNNNNNNNNNNNNNNNNNNNNNNNNNNNNNNNNNNNNNNNNNNNNNNNNNNNNNNNNNNNNNNNNNNNNNNNNNNNNNNNNNNNNNNNNNNNNNNNNNNNNNNNNNNNNNNNNNNNNNNNNNNNNNNNNNNNNNNNNNNNNNNNNNNNNNNNNNNNNNNNNNNNNNNNNNNNNNNNNNNNNNNNNNNNNNNNNNNNNNNNNNNNNNNNNNNNNNNNNNNNNNNNNNNNNNNNNNNNNNNNNNNNNNNNNNNNNNNNNNNNNNNNNNNNNNNNNNNNNNNNNNNNNNNNNNNNNNNNNNNNNNNNNNNNNNNNNNNNNNNNNNNNNNNNNNNNNNNNNNNNNNNNNNNNNNNNNNNNNNNNNNNNNNNNNNNNNNNNNNNNNNNNNNNNNNNNNNNNNNNNNNNNNNNNNNNNNNNNNNNNNNNNNNNNNNNNNNNNNNNNNNNNNNNNNNNNNNNNNNNNNNNNNNNNNNNNNNNNNNNNNNNNNNNNNNNNNNNNNNNNNNNNNNNNNNNNNNNNNNNNNNNNNNNNNNNNNNNNNNNNNNNNNNNNNNNNNNNNNNNNNNNNNNNNNNNNNNNNNNNNNNNNNNNNNNNNNNNNNNNNNNNNNNNNNNNNNNNNNNNNNNNNNNNNNNNNNNNNNNNNNNNNNNNNNNNNNNNNNNNNNNNNNNNNNNNNNNNNNNNNNNNNNNNNNNNNNNNNNNNNNNNNNNNNNNNNNNNNNNNNNNNNNNNNNNNNNNNNNNNNNNNNNCACAAACAAAAAUAACCUAAAUGUAAAUAUCUAAAAAUGUAUAAAGUUCACAAUAGAUAUUCAAGCCCAAAUUUAAAUUUCAAAUUAGUCCAACAGAUUUCAUCAAUCAAAAUGGGUCCAAAUUAGCAAAUAUAACCCAACAAAAAUAUCUCAUAUGUCAUAGGCCCUAAUUUAAAAUUUUCAAAUUAAUAGCCAAACUAUAAGUUCAAUUAAUCAAACCCAAAACAUGAUAAAUUAAAAUAAAUCUCAUUAGGUCUAAACUUAAUAUCCCAUAAUUCAAUAUAUAAACCUAAAUCCACAAUCAAAAUCAACCCAAUUUAUGCUAAUCCCGAUUUACAAUCAAAAUCAAACAUAAUUUAAUAAGUAAAUAACUAAAUAAAUUAAGCAAACUCAAAACACCCAAACCACUACAACAUAAAUCAAACAAUAAUAAAUAUAAUGACAAUAAUAAUAAUAAUAAUAAUAAUAAUAAUAAUAAUAAUAAUAAUAAUAAUAAUAACAAAAUAAAAUAAAAUAAAAAUAAAAAAUUUAACUCACAUCGGAGCCAGUUUGAAUGUCUUGGGAAAGAAAGAAAAUGAGAGAAAAGUGAGAGAUGAUUGACAACUGACAGUGGCUCACUGGCGGCAACUGGCUAGUGGUCCUACCGAUGGUAGUGAGGAUUGAUUGGUUUUUGGGAAAAAAAAAUAAAAUGAAGAAAAGAAAAUGAGGAGUAAUAAAAAAAAUGGAGAAAUUAGAGGAAUGUGGGAGAAGAAUGGAGAGAGAGAACGUAGAAAAUGAGUGAAAAGAAAUGAGGCUAGUUGGAGGAGAAAGUGGUAGUGUGUGAGCUAAAGUGAAGAAGAAUAGAAGAAGAAAAUGGAGAAGAAUGGGGAAAAAAAAUCCGCCUCCCUAAAUGAAGAGAGGUGGGUAGCCUAAAGAAGAAGAAAAAAAAAUAAAAUAAAAUAAAAUGGGGAGAAAAUGAGAGGGGGUUGGUGGUCUUGUGAAUGAGGUGGUAUGCGUUAGAGAGAGAGAGUGGGUGGGGUUGUUGGGGAAGGUAUGAGAGAGAGAGGAGAGAGAAAAGAAAAAAAAGAAAGAAAAGAAAAAAGAUAAUAUAAAAUAAUAAUAAUAAUAAUAAUAAAAUAAAAUAAUAUACAAAAUAAUAAAAACUAAUAAUUAAAUAGUGAGUGAGCAAAAAAUAUCAUAUGUAAUCGGGAUUUAAUUUUAAGAGUAAAGUUGGGUUAAAAAUUAAUGUAAAAUAAAAUUGAGACAAAUUUUGGGGUAUACAAAUAUGCUGAUUCGACUCAUGGUAGCUCAGCUUUAAAGGCGUAUCAACAAAAUUUAUACCUUGAAUACUAUUACUAAAGUAGCCAAGCUACUAUAGCAUAGUGGCUCUAGGAUCGUUCACUGGGAAGGGUUUUCGCAAACACUAGUGAUAUUCAAAUUAGGAAAAUAGGUGAUUUUUUUUAUGGAUGUUAGCUUUAAAAGAAGAUGUAAAUGUUUUAGAAAGAUUUAAACUAAUCUAAGCUAACAUUAAAGACUAAAAUGAAAGGGUGUAAAAACAAGUUUCUCAAAGAUAGGAUAGCUAUGCUCUGGCUCUUAUGCAAAUUGGAAAUCUCAGGAUAGGCUCCUCGCGUUGGGGUUGCAACUAUGGUGAUGCUUGCUUCCCGAACCGGUAUGGAUUUAGCAAAUCAAGUUUUAAUCCUUUAAAAUGACAAAACAGAUGGUAGUGAAUUUCAUCAAUGGUUAUUCACCUUAGACUUCCUUUGAAUGGCUCGUAAGAGAUAACUAAUGGUCUAAAGCCAAAAGCUUACCAAAUAUUGGCAACUCAAAGUCAUUCCAAGUGAUAAACUCACCUUUCAAUGGCCAUUGAAAUUGGUUCUAACGGAUUAAUGAAAAACUUGGAAUUGAAAACCUUACCUUCCAAUAGCUCGUAGGAGAUAACUAAUGGAUAGAAAUCUAAAAGCUUAUCAAGUAUUGGCCGUUGGAAGUUGUUCAAAGGAAAUAAAAACCAAACUUUGCAUUAAUGAACCUUUAAUGAAAAACGUCUACCUUACCUUCCAGGUGCGAGAAAUUUCCAUGGGAUUGCAUCCAAGCCAUCACAUAACAUCCAUACUUUGAGAAACUAAAAGUUUUAGCCAAUCAUCCUCUAAGGAAAAGCCCUCAGAGGCUAUUUGGCUACUAAGAAAAUAGAAAUGGGAAAGAACAGGAGAAAUGAGAGAGCUCUGUAUCUAUUCUAAGUGUAAAACGUAAUAUAUCUUCUAUAUGAUCCAAGAGGUGAUUUCCACCCCUUAUAUAGUCUUUACAAAAGCAAAAGCUUGUGAUUGGUUAGUUACAAGGAUAAGAAAGGAAAUUACAUCACAAAAUACAAAGGAAAAUAUCUAAAGUGGAGUCGGCAAAAGCAGAGGAAAAUUCGCAACACGCAUGGGUUAUGCGAAUUUUGAAGGUGUUAUGCGAAUUUCGCAUAACACCUUAUGUUAUGCGAAAUUUUCGCAUAACCUGGAGCAGUUGGCUUCCGAAGGCCAUAUCUUCCUCAUUUAAACUCCAAAUCGUGCACGGUUUGAAGCGUUGGAUGAGCUUUGAAAUGGUAUAUAGUAUGUAAAAAAUGGACUUCGGAAAGUGCUCCAAAAGUGCGAAAGAAGACUGCAGCUGCUGUCCUCUGUUUUCCUCUUCUCCAUUGUUCUUUCCUUGCAUACUUUGAACGACUUUGGCAAAGGGCUAUGAAGCUCCAAAGCUUGGUUCUUCAUGAAUUUGAGCUUCCAAAAGCUUUGCCAUAACUUGUCCAAGUAGCUCCUCCAUCAUUUGGCAUGCUUGAAUUGAUUCAUAAGCUGAUAAAAACAUGUAAACUUGCCACAAAAUGGUUAAAACCAAUUACUAAGGACCUUAAUGAAUUAAUUGGGUUAAAUGAAUAUGAUUACUACUCAAAGGUGCUUAAAACCAUUAUAAUUAGGUCUACAAAAUAGCACUUUUUGGUAGUAAUCAUAUGCGCCUCUUCGGUAGAGUCCACGAGUAAAGCAAGUGUAUAUGUGAGCGAAACAAAGUGGGCUCUACUGAAAAACAAGAAAGACCACCAAAUUUGUCUUAAUAUGACAUGAACUCUCCCAAAUAAAAAAUAAAAAUAAAAAUCUAAAACCCUACAAAAAUGGCCAAAACGAAAACUCCUAAGGUGCCUCUAAAGUUAUACUAUGGAUCUAAACUCCCUUAGAAAAGCCUCCAAAAAUGGCCCAAAAAUCGGUGUCAAAAUCGAGUAGCAAUCAGACCACUAAGGAGCACAUCAACAAAUGCAUACAAAGGGAAAAAAACCAUACGUGUACCAUACGAUGACAAAAGGCAUAAGGUAUCCAACAAUAUGACUGAUUCACGUGUUACGAGCUCAAAGAACUUUGUCAUGCACCAUGGAGGAAGGGAAACUCUAGAAUAAUGUGAUGAGGAAGUUAUUAGCACAAUGUAACAAAGUGAGGAAAAAAGUGAUGACUGCAAAGCUGUGAUGACUGCAAAGCUGUGAGGACAAGGUGCACAAUGCUAAUGAAUAUGAAAUGAAUAGCACUAGGCUAUAAUGCAAUGAAUAGCUCAGGGUUGUACCAUAAUGAACAAGUCAAGGAUGUGUAAAGAUGAGGAAUAACUCGAGGUUGUAAUGCAAUGAACAACUUAGGGUUGUGAAUGCAAUGAACAACUCGAGGUUGUGGAUGUAAUGAACAACUCAUGGUCAUGGAUGCAAUGAACAGCUCAGGGCUGUAGAUGAACAACUCAGGGUUGUGGAUGUCAUGAACAACUCAAGAAUAGGGGCACUGUACACCCAAAAUGGGAGAUCACGAUCUACGAUUCCAAGUCAAACCACUAAAGGGUGACCAAAAUGAGGGUGAUCAACUCACUAAAAAAGAUGAUCAAAAUGUCUUAAGGGAGAGGAGAUGCCCCAGAUGAAACUUAAAGGAAAUGAGUAGUGCUAAUGAAACUAAAAAAAGAAAAAAUGUCACAACUGAAAUUGAAAAAAUAGCAAACUUAGAUUAAAGUGCAAUGAACAACUUUGGGAUGUGGAUGUGAUGAAUAGUACCGUGUUGUAAUGAAAUGAAUAACUCUAAGAUAUGGGCAUUGUACGCCUAAAGAGGGAGAUCGUGGUUUACGACUCCAAGUCAAACCACUAAAGGACGACUAAAAUAAGAUGAUCAACUUACUAUAAAUGAGAAUGCAACUAUCUUGAGAAAAAGGGUAUGCCCCAAAUGACACUCAACAGUAAAAGAAUGACACAAAAGAAACUAAUACAAGAGGAUGCCACAAAUGAAACUGAAAUGAUAACAGACUCAGUACUAAUGUGUAAUGAACAACUUUGGACUAUGGAUGCAAUGAAUAGCACUGGGUUGUAAUGAAAUGAACAACUCUAAGAUGUGGGCACUAUACGCCUAAGAAAUGAGAUCAUAGUUUACGACUCUAAGUCAAACCGCUAAAGGGCGACUAGAAUAAGAUAAUCAACUCACUAAAAAUGAGGAUGCAACUAUUUCGAGAAAGGGGGUAUGCCCUAAAUGACACUCAACAGUAUAAGAAUGACAUAAAUGAAACUAAAAUAAGAGGAUGCCACAAAUAAAACUAAAAUGAUAACAAACUCAAAACUAAUGUGCAAUGAAUAACUCUAGGUUGUGGAUGCAAUGAACAACACUGGGCUGUAAUGAAAUGAACAACUCUAAGAUGUGGGCACUAUACGCCUAAAGAGGGAAAUCACGGUCUACGACUCCAAGUCAAACCACUAAAGGGCGACUAGAAUAGGAUGAUCAACUCACUAAAAAUGAGAAUGCAACUAUCUCGAGAAAAGCGGGAUGCCCUAAAUGACACUCAAUAGUUAAAGGAUGACACAAAUGAAACUAAAACGAAAUGAUACUACAAAUGAAAUUGAAAUGAUAACAAACUGAUAACUAAAGUGCAAUGAACAACUCUAGGCCGUGGAUGCAAUGGACAGCUCAAGAAUAGGGGAAUUGUUCGCCCAAAAUGGGAGAUCGUGGUCUGCGACUCUGAGUCAAACCACUAAAGGGUGGCUAAAAUCAAAAUGAUCAACUCACUAAAAAUGAGGAUCUGAACAUCUCAAGAAAGGGGUUAUGCCCCAAAUGAAACUGACAAUAGAGGGAUGCCCUAAAUAGACUGAAGAAAGGAGGAUGCCCUAAACAAACUAACAAAAAAUGGAUGCCCUAAACAAACUGACGGAAGUGAAAUGCCCUAAAUAAACUGACCAAAGAAGAAUGCACUAAACAAACUCCGAGAAAAAAAAAAAGAAGUAUGCGAUAUAGAAUCAAAGACACCUAAAGCAAAAACAAGAAACAAAGAAUGUGGUUUACAACUAGAAACACCCAAAAGAACCUUAAAGAAGUGACUGGGAUAAUGAACUUAAUGAAAAUGGGGUAUGCCACAGUAAAAGACUCGGAAGUAUCAGCAAAUGGGUCAAACGACCAUGAAAUCAAUAGGAGAUAUGAUGAACCCAAAAAGGGCAUAUGCCCUAACAAAAGAACACUAAAAGGGGGUAUGCCUCGAUAUGACGACUCACAAUAAUUAAGAAAUGGAUCGAGCAAUGAGAAAAUCUGCAAAAUAUCUUAUGAACUCAAAGAUGGGGGUAUGCCCCAGUGUAAAAUAGUGACCAACAUAAGACACAGAAUGUCACCAUACAAUACACUCUAGGAUAUGCUCAAUGACAAUGUAAUGAAAACAAUAGCCUCAAUCAACAAAUGUUCAAGCAAGACCAUGCAUCACAUAAACUAAAAUAAUAGGCUAAACAAAUGCUAACCAAGUCUCUCAAUCUAAAAUGUAAGCAAGUCAAGACAUGACAUGUCAACCAUCGACAUGAAAACAUCAUCACAAAUACAUCAACAAACUAAUAGUCCCUACUAUCAUGGAAGAUGUAGAACCUAACGUCCAAAGGCAUGUGAAAACUCAACCGGAAAGCUCAAGACUAGUUUGCAUCCUCCUCUAAUAAAAAGAAUGAGAUAAAGUCAUGUAGGAUGAUGAAAUAGGCAAACUCAAUAUUCGUUAGGCUCUGCCAAGAUGGAUGUAGGUAUAAUAGUGUCAAAGGUAGGAUGUCUAGAUGUCCAACGAAGGAAACUGGGUAUCCAAGUCAAACCAAGUAUGUUGAGGAAACUGAACCCAUAGGACAAUAACUUUAUGAUCCAUUGAAAAUAGCAAUCAUGAAUAGAAGGUCGAGUCUCGAUGUCAAAAUCAACAAGGUGGCAUUGCCCCAGUAUGAAUACAUCUUCUCAAAAUGGGUAAACCCUCAGUGCAAGAUAAUCUCUAGAAAGUAUGUGUCUAGUAUAAACUAUCAUCUCACAAAAUCUAUCACUGAUGAGUGGGCUAUACCCCAGUGUAAGCAUUUCCAAAUCAAACAUCGAUGAGAGGAGUACAACCAAUGAUAAAUAAUAUGAUCAAAACAAAUCUCCACUCCUCAAAGUCAUCAUGGUAACGUGAAGAGAGUAUCUAACCUCAUUUAAAGAAAGAUCAUGUCCCAAUGUGAAAAAUAUCAAGCAAAGUGGUAUGUCUCAACAAAAAUGCACUCUAACAUGAUCAUGCUUAGAUGUAAGCUGGUAUCUUUAAGAUCAAUCACCAAUGAAAGGGUUAUGCCCCAGUAUAGGGCAAUCUCUGAAAUGACUAAAAUCCGCUACAAGCUCUCACAAGUGUCUAUGUCAUGAACUAAUCAUCUCAAAAAAUAAAAUAAAUAAAUAAAUAAAUCUAUCAAUAAUGAUGAGAAGGUUAUGCUCCUAUAAUCACAUCAAGAAAAUCACCUGGUCAUAUCUUGUACUCCAAUGUGAAAGGAAAAUAUGAUCACCUCCAAAGAAUGGCUAUGCCCCAAAAUACAUCAUCGAUUGAGAAAUAUGUCCCUACGUAAAGUACAUCAACUGAAAUAUGUCAAUCAUGCCUCAUGCUCCAAUGUGAAAAAUGACGUAUAAUAUUCUUUGAGGGAUGGUCAUGACUCAAAAUCCAUCAUCAGUUGAGAGAAGUAUGCCCUGACAUAAUGGUCAUCUAAAAAAUCAAUCCUCGACUAAGAAAUGUGUGCCUUGAUGUGAUGUAUCAAGCAAAAUGGCUGCAUACCCCAUAAAAACUCUCUAAGGUGGCUAUGCCCCAAUGUUGGAUCAUACCACAACUCUUGGUCUAUCACAAUCAAAAUGCUCUCCAACCAAUCCCAAGUAUCGCCCACAUGAGAGCUAUCAAACACAAUGUGUGAUGUCAUGGCCUCAAGGUGGUCUUAAGAUUCGGGACGUAACAUAGGCUAGGGUAAUAAGGUGAAGAAAUGAAGGAAAACUAGGCUUAAUAAUCCUAAUGAUAAAACCCCAUACCCUUAUGUAUAAAAUGCAAUAUGUGCAAAGAGUCUCAUAAACCAUGGAUCUAAGGACACCCAAUAUGAAUAUAUCAGUGAGGAAGAAAGAAUCUAAGAUGAAUAUAUCAAUGAUAAAAGAGAAGAAAUGAAGAAUAUCAAACUGUUGAUGGGAUGUAUAAGAAUGAUGUGUGGAAAAUAUUGAACAUGGAAUGUAAAUUGAUAUGAACAAAGAACAAUGUAGGCAAGGCAAAUGCGAUAUCAUGAUAAGAACAAAUAAAUCGAAGAAAAAUGAAUGAACACUAAUCCACUCAAAUCAAGUCAUGGAGAAUAGUCAAAUCACCAACGUAUGUAAUGAUGGAGAAGACAAUGAUUCGAAGUCCCUAGGAAAAUGUCACUUGUUUGUCACACAUAAAAUACAUAACGAGAUAGACACAAAAAUAUGAGAGUCUUUUGAAAGUUCACAUACGAACUUUCAUAAGCAACUAACUCAAUAAAGCAACCUCAAUGACCAAUAUAUACACUCAAUAAAGGAUGACACUGUAUACAUGUGUUUAUUACUUUUUCUUUUUCAUUUUUUUUUUCAUUUUUUUCAUUUUUUUUCUUUUACUCGCACAUACUCUGAAUAUCAAUAAAUGAACUUCUCUGAGAAUACAUAAUGAAAUGGAUAUACUCUCAAACAAUGAUGUAAGCGAACUCUCUCUGACAAGAUGACCCUCUAAAUUAAGGAUUUCCAAACUAACGUCCAUGAGAUACAAGUUGAGGGGGAUAUGACUAUCUUCCCUGCACCAAAAUGUGAAAGAUCAUCACUCAAGGCAUAAAAAAAUGUGAUGAAAAAAAUAAAGAUGAAACAAAAGAUAUAAACAAUGAAGUAUGAUGAAGAAUGAUGUUGGGACAACAAAAAAAUAGUGAAGAAGGUGAGCCAAUAAGUCCACAACUCAUGAAACUCUCGAAUAAAAUAUAUAUACACCAAAAGACCCUUAUCCCGGUGUAAAAUGUGAGCAAGGAUAUAAGAAAGAAAAGACUAUGAUGCUCAUGUGAGGUUCAAAGGGCUAGCAAUGGUCCAAAUAUCAAUAAAGGUAAUAGGGUGUGAGCUAACCAAAAUGAAGGUCACAUAUCCUACGACCAUGGUCUCAAACAUCGUGCUCUUAAGCUUUCAAAUGAUCGAUACUGAAAAUCGAUGUCCAUUUGAUAUAAACACGUCAACUCUUUGGAAUUGUGCGCCAAACCAUACUCCAAAUGCUCCAUAAUAAUCUCAAAGAUAAUCAUCUCAAAGCAAAGUAAAUGGCGAUCUCAUAAGGCACAACUACUCAUCACAAGCCAACUCUCAUCAUGCAAGAUCAAUCUCUAUUUUCAUGGAAAAAUAAGUGACAAUCUCAUCAGGCAAUCGACCAAUCCUCACAUCGUAAACCAACCAAAGAUCAUAAGUCAUUCAUUGCCAUGCAAGAUCAAUCCCAGGCUCAAACUCCUCAUACUCUACCUGGUUGGAUUAGAGAAGAAAUGGGCAAAGCUAGAAAAACUGAAGAUGGAAAGGUCAUAUAAUGGUGUCAAGGGUGAUAUUGUGCAAAACUCACAAUGGAUGGAUGUAGGUCAAAACAAAGUCAAUGUGUGAGAGUGAGUAAGACACUACUCUGAUCAUAAGAAAAUGGGUCACAAUCUCAAACUCCCAAGAUCAACUCUCCGAUCUUAGGCUAAUAAGCUCAACAUCCUCCAUGAUAGGUCAACCCCCAAGAAUGUGCAAAUGAAUAGAUGCCUCAAGUCAAAAGUACAACACAUCAUAUGAUAUAUGGUUCUAUGAUGACAAUCUAAAACUUAAAAUAUGUUAGAAACUCUAAGGUCAUAAAGGUGUCCACUGUGAGAUGACUACAAAUGUGACUAAGGAAUCUUUAUCAAUAAUCCAAAAAAUGAAUGAGGUGUGAAAAACAACACUAUCAUGAGAUCGUUACCCCAUCAAUAACAAAAUAUCUCUAAUUCACUUUCAAUCUAAGCUCUAUAAAGAAAAACAAUAAGGUUAUAAAGGCAAACCUCUCAAAAAUGGUGUGAAUGUGAAAACAUGCCUUCACCUUUCUAUAAUGAAAAUAUCAGGUUGAAAAUAGAAAUAGGCAAAUCGACCAAAGAAUGAAGUACAAAGUCCAUGAUAGGUGAAGAAUGUAAAAAGGUGAACAUGAUCAAUGAACAUAUCCCAAAACAUCAAGCAUAAAGUGACAACAAACAGAAAGAAUGUGUCGACUUAAGGAAAUAAGACUAUCUGAAGCCCCAGGGAGAAAGUGUGCUAGACUUAACGAGCGAUAAGAAGAAACUAAAACUAUAUAGCAAGGGGUGGUCCAACUAAUACUCAAACUUGCAGCAAUAUCUAAGCACUCUCGAUUGGAGACCAAAAGAUGGAGUAUUGGAUCCAUACUGUGACUAAAGCGGCCUCGAAGGCUCUCAGAUGCAGCCACGUGAGGAAAGGAAAUCCUAAUUAAAAAUAUCUAAAGGUUAACCUACAAGGUCAAGGCGGCUCUAAAAAGAAAAAUUGAGUGGACUUUAAAGGAUCCUUAGCAAAAGUGAUCAUACCCUCCGAUGGUAUGCAACCUCCUACACGUCUUGAAAGAUACGGGAUUGAUUCCAUGCAAGGUGGUCAUCACCUCCACACAUGCACUAUCUCAUAUCUUAGAGGGUUUCCUAAUGAUGAAGACUCUUACAUCUCUCAACACUUAGUGUUAAUCUAAGGUGCACAGUGAACGGUGUGGGUUCAUCCGAAAAUCCUAUCAAACUAAGCAAAGAGAAAACACACUGGUCACACAAAUAUCCUGAAAUCUAGCUCUAACCUAUACAAGUCUUCAAAGAUUGGACUCCAAUUAGCAUUAAUGUUUCGACCUUCUCCAGAAUGCUCCCAAACAUAGAUAUAGUCCACCACUAAACCCUACUCCGAAUCACUAGCUCGGUCGAAGAGCAAACAAAGUAACAAGUCUCAUAUCAAAUACGAGAUCAAGGGGAACACGGUCACCCGAGACUAGGGAAUUGGAGAUAAGGGGAUAGAUGUGUGUCCCACAUAGACAAGAAGCAUGCAUCACACAGAAGAAGAAUAGUUAUGCAAUAGACAACCAAGCAAAUAAUAGGUAUAUCAUUCAUAUAUACACACAAGCUAAACAAGAAAUAGGUAUAUAACAAGAAUAAACAAUAUGUUCAGAUAAACAAGAUAAUAUACAAUAAAGAGAAUCAAUCAUGCCAAUAUGAAUGAGAUAUAUAAAAAUGAGAAUAUACAUGUCAAGGAGAGCAAGAUAAUCAUACAACAAGAAGAGUCUUAUGUUAAAGCAAGCAAGAGAAUCAAUUGAUGUAGUCAACAUGUCAAUAUCGCAAAUGAACAUAAUAGCCAAAUAUGCAUCAUAAAGAAAAAAAGGUAAUCAUGCAGCACACAGUCAUACAAAAAAAAUACAGACAAACAUAAGCAAAUAAAUGUAAACACACAUGAUAACAAAAAUCAAUGUAUAGUAAGGCACAUGUAAUAUAUACGUAAAAUAAUCAUCAAGUCAACACUCAUAUACCUUAAAACAUGAAAAUAUACAAUAAAGACACAACGAGAGGGUGUUCACUGAUCGAUUAAUCAAACACUACAUUUCCCUUAACUCGAGUUCAAGUUUGAUCCUUUAAAUAUACUAAGUUUGUGGACCCACAUUUUUCACAUGCGUCCUUACACAACAACGAGACUAAUUUUUUUUAUUUGGUGAAAAUUUGAUUUUUAGAAAAAAGACUUUGAGUCGUCACUUAUUUUUAUUUUUUUUAAGGGAAAACAAAAUAAGAAAGAAAACCUUGUGUGACUCCUUAUUUGAGAAAUACAUGUAUGCAAAAACCAAAUCUGGAUUCGAGGGUCAAGUUACCUAUUGGGAAUGUACGAUGGUGAGCUGUAGCACCUCUCUAAGCUCAUAUACGUACGGUCUCUACUAAACCAAUUAAGAGAAUUGUGGUAAUUAAUUAAUUAGUCAUGGAUAUCAAGAAAAAGAAUUUCACAAAUGAGUACGUACAAAUCAUAAUAAAAAAAAAAAAUCAAAUUAUGAGAAUAGACAAAAUAAAUAACAAGAGAAUUGUGCAAAGUGAUUUAUUAAACUAAAUAAAAAAGAAGAUAUUAAAAAAAUUAAUUUUCAAGAAAUUUCAAAGGAUUUUAUUAAAAUGAUUUUGAAUUCAUGAUUUUAAUUUAUUUAUUUACAAAAAAAAAUGUCAAUUUAUUUUCUUCAAGUAAUUUGAUUCAAUUUCAUUUGUAUUCAAUUUUUUUUUUUUAAAAAAAAAGUUAUUUACACUCAUGGUUGUUAAAAGAAUUAUUAACAAAAUUUCAAGUUGACAAUAAAAAUGAUUUUUACUUGCUUUUACUUGAAAACAAUGAAUUUUUACAAUUUUAUUAACAAAAGCAUUUCAAUUUAAGAAAAGUGACUUAUACAAAUUAUUAAAAAAAUAUAACUUUAUCUGCAAAAGAAUUUUUAAUUAAAAAGAAAAAAUUUAAAUCAUCUAUUUCUAAAAAUGACUUUUAAUCCCAUAUUAAUUAAGGAAAAAAUGAGUUAUUUAAAAAAACAUUUUUUGGACAAUUUGAAUAAAAAUUAAUUUUUGGGACAACUUUGUUUACAAAACAAUUUUUAGACAAUUAUUAUUAAAAACAAAUUUUCAAAUUCUAUUAACAAUAAUUUUUUGGAUUUUUCCAAACACAUUUUUAUGAAUUUUUAUUAAUAAAUUUUUUUUUUAUUAAGAAGAAUAUUGUUUGAGCUAUUAUUUUAUUAAAACAUGUUUAUUGAAUUAUUCUUCUUAUUGAAACAAAAUUUUUAAUUUGUUCGAUAUCCAAUUCUGUACACAACAAGUAAAUAUAUGCAAACAAAUAUUUAUAGAAACUAAUAAAAAUAACUGUACACAACAAGUAAAUAUAUACAAACAAAUAUUUAUAGAAACCAAUAAAAAUAAAACCAAAUAGAAGUGAGAAAUAAAACAUGUACUUAAACAAGCUUACAACAAGCUCAAUGUCUUCCUAUGACUUUCCGAGUCUCACUUUCUUUCAUUAAAUUUUAUGCUCCACGUACCAUAAAUCCGUACUCAACAAAAAAAAUUGUAGAAUUGGCCCAUGCAAAAACAAAAAUAACACAAAUGUAAAUAUCUAAAAAUGUAUAAAGUUCACAAUAGAUAUUCAAGGCCAAAUUCAAAUUUCAAAUUAGUCCAAUAAAUUUCGUCAAUCAAAAUGGGUCCAAAUUAGCAAAUAUAACCCAACAAAAAUAUCUCACAUAUCAUAGGCUUUAAUAUAAAAUUUUCAAAUUAAUAACCAAAAUAUAAGUUCAAUUAAUCAAACCCAAAACAUGAUACAUUAAAGUAAAUCUCAUUAGGCCUAAACUUAAUAUCUCAUAAUUCAAGCCUAAUUUAAUAUAUAAACCUAAAUCCACAAUCAAAAUCAACUCACUUUAUGCUAAUCCCAAUUUACAAUCAAAAUCAAACAUAAUUUAAUAAGUAAAUAACUAAAUAAAUUAAGCAAACUCAAAACUCUCAAACCACUAUUGCAUAAAUCAAACAAUAAUAAAUAUAAUAAAAAUAAAAUAAAAUAAAAUAAAAAUAAAAAAUUUAACUCACGUUGGAGCCAAUUUGAGUGUCGUGGGAAAGAAAGAAAAUGAGAGAAAAGUGGGAGAUGAUUGUUAGCUGGUAGUGGUUCGCCCGCUGCGACUGGUCGAUAGUCCUACCAGCGGUAGUGAGGAUUGAUGAGUUUUGGGGAAAGGAAAAAAAAGAGGAGUAGUAAAAAAAAAAUGAAGAAAUGAGAGGAAGGUGGGAUAAGAGGGGAGAAAGAGAAUUGAGAAAAUAGGGGAAAAGAAAUGAGGCUGGCUGGAGGAGAAAAUGGCAGUGUGUGUGAGCUAAAGUGAAGAAGAAUGAAAGAAGAAGAAAGAGAAAAAUGGGGAAGAAGGAGAAAAAAAUUCGAGCCCCCUAAAUGAAGAAAGGUGAGUAGCCUAAAGAAGAAGAAAAAAUAAAAUAAAAUAAGAAAAAAUGAGGAGAAAAUGAGAGGGCCAAUAGUCUUGGGAAUGGGGUGGUAUGGGUGAGAGAGAGUGGACGGGGUUGUUGGGGAAGGUAUGGGAGAGAGAGGAGAGAUAAAAGAAAGAGAAAAAAAAACAUAAUAAUAAUAAUAAUAAUCAUAAAUAAUAUAUAAAAUAAUAAAAAUUAAUAUUUAAAUGAUGAGUGGGUCCAAAAUGUUAUAUGUAAUUGGGAUUCAAUUUUAAGAGUAAAAUUGGACUAAAAAUUAAUGUAAAAAUAAAAUUGGAACAAAUUUUAGAAUCUACAAAUACAUUCUUUAAUCUUUCCACAACAUCAAUCUGAUCUAAAUGAAAUGCAAUAAAUUCUAAAAAUGAUACAAUCUUUAAUCAAUCCACAACAUCAACCCGAUCAAAACUCAAUGCAAUAUUGCUUAAUGGAGAGAAUCGUAAACUCCUUUUAUGAGAGGAAAACAAAACCCUUAACAGACCUUUAUGAGAGGAAAAUAGGAAAACAUAGAACUAAAAACCCUUAACGUAUUCACGAGAAUAAAAAAUUCUUAACACCUUAAUAAGAGGAAAACAAAGAAUUUGAACAAUCCUUAAUCCAUCAAAAGCUCUUAAUAUGAACGAGGGGAAAACAUAACCUUUAUUUUUCAGAUAGUUGAAUAAAGAAUCUAAAGAGAUAGAAUUUUUAGUUAUUAAGGAUUUUUUUAUAGAUGUCUAUUGAAAGUUUAAGAACUUUUAUGGAUAAGUGUUAAUUAAGAGACUGAAAGGGUACUUAGGAUUUUCAACUAAAAAAGUUAUAACAAUAUGAAUCGUAAGAACUUAAAAACAUCACCCAUCCAUAAGAGGAAUAUGGAAUGAGAGGUUAUUUUUUUACUUAUACAACAAUAAACUUUUUUGGAAGAGGUUUUUCUAAGUACAAAAAGUUGUGAAUAAAAAACCAUUGUUACGAUGAGUUAACUAAAAUAGAAUUAAUUUAGAAAAUAUCAAUAAAGUUGCAUGAAUUAUUAUCAUGAGUUAACUUAAUAAGAAUAAAUAGUAAUGAAGUUAAUGAAGUGAAUUUGGAUUGGCAGAUAUAUUUGAUGAUAAGAUUUUUAUAAUAAUAAUAAAUUAUUAUGGCAGGAAAAAUAGGACAAAAUUGACCUUAUGAUAAGAUUUUUUUUAAUAAUAAAAACAUUAUUAUGGUAUGAAAAAAAGGGACAAAAUUGGCCUUUCCUUAAUUGUAACGAUUAAAUGGAAAUAAUGGGACAUGCGGUGGUUACAAGCCACCCCAAAAGGUAGGAAGAAUCUCCAACCCCCAUUCUCGGCUCCCUUAUCUUUUCCCUUACAACCAAAAAUCAACAACUAUCUUAGAAUGUCCUUCAGUCCACCAAAAUUCAACAACAACAAUUAUACAUUACAAUAAUGAAAACAAAAUUGAUUGAUCACCAGCUAACAUUAGGAGAUUAUAAGAUAAGGAUGUAAUUGCAAUUAUUGAAAUCACUUAAAGAGUAAAAAUUAGGAACAUGCUCACAAUAAAUAAAAUCACCUUAGAAUUAAAAAUUAGGGACAUGAUUAUGAUGACUAAAAUCACUCGAGAACUAAAAUGUUUUAGAGAUACAAUAAUUGAAAUCAACUGAAAAAUAAAUUCGGGAUGUGGUCGCAAUUAAUGUAUAUAUAAACAACCAAAUGUUGAAAGGAAAAACUAAUGAAAUUAAUAUGAUUUUCUUUCUAUGGUUAGAUUUCUCUUGACACCAAACAAAUGUAAGGAAGUUUAUAAAGGAAAAUUAGGUUUUGAUUCACUAAAUUAAAAUAAUAUAGAAAAAAGAUCUUCAAAUUUUAUAUAUCAGUUUUAUUUUUAUUUAUUUAAAAAAAAUUUAAAAUACAUAUAUUUUUUCAUAACUCAAAUAGUCAUUCCUCAAAUGCUAGUUUUACUUGUUAUGUUAAUAACACUAGUUAAUAAUUUUUUAUUGUGAGAAUGAUUUAAGAUUAAUAAAAUAAGAAAUUUUUAAAACUAAAAAAGCAUUUAAAACUUUAAAAUUAAAAAUAUAAAAAUAAAACAAUAAUUUUUCAUUUAGUAAAACACGCUAGUAGAAAAUAUAGAUAUAGAGAAAGAGUUGGAAAUAAAAUAAGAGUUAAUAUUUUAUUUUUAAAAUUUUAUGUUUUUUAUUUUAAUUGUAUUUAAUUUUUAUGUAUUUUAGUUGUAAUUAUAUUUUUAAAUUUUAAAUUUUUAUUUUAUUUUAUUGUUGAUGUAAACUAAUAAAUUUUUUGUUUAAUUAUAUAUAUAUAUUUUUAAAUUAGUGAGUAAAAACUCACUUUUUCUAAUUUAUAAUGUAUUUAUGGGAUUUAAUAAUAUAAGCAAUUUUUUUUUUUUGAGAAAGAGGAAAAAUCAACUUUUCAAUUUCCCUUAAUAAUUAUUAUUAUUAUCCAAUUUGGCUGAUUAUGAGAUUAGUUGGUAUCAUUACUAUAUCCAUUUGUUCUUAACCCUUCAUUAGAAUAGUAUUAGGAGUUGAACGUCAAUUGGAAUAUAGGCUUAUGGAAACAAAUCUAUCCAAGGAGGAAAAUGUCACGAUAUUUCGGCGAUAUAUCGCCGAAAUAUCGUGUAUCGAAGGGUUUAUAUUUUUUCGGUCCGGCGAUAUUUCGGUAUUUAUUGCGAGAAAUCGCCGAUUUCUCGCGAUAUAUCGGUGAUUUUUCAUCACCGAUAUAUCGCGUGGUCAACGCGGGUCAACGAAAGUCAAACCCGCUACAGUGCCCGUCAACGGGUACACCCGCUUACCAUCUGGGCUAAAUUGCCCUUUGAUAUAUAAUAUGCAACAACUAUAUAUAUACUUAAAUUCAUUAUAUAAAGAAAAUAUAAGAAUAUUUUAAAGAGCAAAUUAAUUAUAAUUAUUUUAUAAUUAAAUGCAAUGGUGGUGUUUGUUUUUUUACUUAAUUCUAAAUAGAACCUUAAUACUUAAUAGUAUUAAAUAUUAGGUUGUUUGUUUUUGUAAUAUUUUAUUUCUAUUAAGUAUUAAAAAGUAAAAAAAACCAUUGUGUUAUUUUUUCUAUUUCGAAAAAGCUAUAUAUUUUGGCUUUUUCUAUUUAGUAAAAAGUUUAUAAUAAGUCAUGAAAAAGUAAAAAAACAAACAACCUAAAUUCUAAAACUAAAUGGUUUUCAGCAAAAAGCCAAAAAAACGAACACCACUAAAGUCUUUUAAUUAAUUACCAAAAAUAUAAAAAUUAUAUAAUUUUCUUCAUAAUGUUUUUAAUAUCAUUAAUAAUUAAUUAAAUAUUAAAAAAUUAUAUAUAUAUAUAUAUAUAUAUAUAUCAUUAUUUAUUUUAUAUUGUUUAAUACAAUUGAAUUAAAUGGAUCAUAUUUUAAUACUAAUAUAUAUUUUAAAAUUAGACAUAUUAUAAUCAAAUAUCAUAAUAUUAUGUGUAAUUUAAUAAUAAAUGUACACUUAUAAAAUUCAUAUUUUUAUCGAUGCAUACGAUAUUAUUAUCAAAUAUGAUAAAUCAUGUUAUACAUAUAUCAAAAUUUUUAAUAAAAUAACUUUAAAAUGUCUAUUAUACUUUUAAUUAUAUUAUUAUGAGGUUUUCCUUACAUUUUCAUAAGUUUUUAACAAUUUCAUAAGUUUUCCGAUAUAUUCGAUAUAUCCGUAAAAUCAAAAUACCGAUAUAUCCGUGAUUACCGAUAUUUUCAUCCUUGAAUCUAUCCGAUUAGUAGGUUCUUAUUAUUUUCAAUAUAGACCCCGUAAAAUAAAUAGGGCAGCCCGUCCCUUUUGUCUGGAGGCCAUCCUCCCAACUUAUUAAAGGUGAUAUGAGAUAAGACAGUGACAAAAUUGUCAGUUACUUCCCGACACCUGGCUCUCCACAAGCAAACCCAGUGAUCCAGAAAUUAAUUGGUACCUGGACACGUGACUACCAAACGAUUCGCUCACCCACCAUACCCAUGGCCUCAUGCCCCAUAUAUUUCCACAAACCUAGCUCAAUUUUCAUAGCCACCUUCACUGUCCUACACUCACUAAGCCAUGGCCAUAGAUACAAGCCUCUUGCUUGAGCUUGCUGCAGCAACUCUACUCUUCUUCAUCACCCGCUUCUUCAUUCGUUCUCUCCUUCUCAAAUCUUCCCGGAAGCUCCCUCCUGGCCCCAAAGGGUGGCCGCUCGUCGGCGCUCUUCCUCUUCUAGGUAACAUGCCUCAUGUUGCAUUAGCAAAGAUGGCCAAAAGAUACGGGCCUGUCAUGUUCUUGAAAAUGGGCACUAACAGCAUGGUGGUGGCCUCAACUCCCGGGGCGGCUCGGGCUUUCCUUAAAACGCUAGACAUUAAUUUCUCUAACCGCCCGCCUAAUGCCGGUGCGACACUCUUGGCCUAUCAUGCCCAAGACAUGGUUUUUGCGGAUUAUGGGGCAAGGUGGAAGCUACUGAGAAAGCUAAGCAACUUACACAUGCUUGGUGGGAAGGCUCUUGAGGACUGGUCUCAGGUCCGAGCUGUUGAGCUAGGCCACAUGCUUCGAGCCAUGCUUGAGUUGAGCCAGCGAGCGGAGCCGGUGGUGGUGCCGGAGAUGUUAACUUUUUCCAUGGCCAACAUGAUAGGGCAAGUGAUACUAAGCCGCCGGGUGUUUGAAACAAAAGGGUCGGAGUCAAAUGAGUUCAAGGACAUGGUGGUGGAGCUCAUGACCACUGCUGGGUACUUCAAUAUUGGCGAUUUUAUUCCGUCCAUCGCAUGGCUGGACAUCCAAGGGAUCCAGCGCGGGAUGAAGCAUUUACAUAGGAAGUUCGACCGGUUAUUAACAAAGAUGAUGGAGGAGCACACGGCGUCAGCCCAUGAGCGGAAGGGAAACCCAGAUUUUCUGGACGUAAUCAUGGCAAACCAAGAAAAUUCUACAGGGGAGAAGCUCACUAUUACCAACAUUAAAGCACUCCUCCUGGUAUGCAUAGUUAAAGCUCGUCUUUAAUUUUGUUUUCCGAUAUUUUCUUUCCGGAAACAGCACUUUUAUUGGUUUUAGAUAUGUACGUUUUUAUCAGGUAGCCAUUUUAGGGGCACAUAACUGUUCUUUAUUUUUGGACUUUUUUUUUUCUUUUUCCACUUGCAUGGUUGUUUUCAUAUGCUCAGCUGCAUGGCACAAGAAAAUUGUGAAAAAUGAUUGGUUCUCUGAUCAGACCUUCUGCACCAAAACACACUUCUCUCUAUUUUAUAAAAUCGGUUUACAUGAUUUUUCAACCAGCUUCCUUGAACUUGAACUUUUGCUAGGGCUAAUGCAAAAAAUGAUGGAUCUCAAUUUUCAAUAGCGUUUGAUUACAUAAAUUUCAAGUAUGUGAACAUAUUUUUGUUUCCUUGGCUAGAAUUUAUUUACUGCAGGAACAGACACUUCAUCGAGCGUAAUCGAGUGGUCUCUGGCUGAGAUGUUGAAAAACCCGAGCAUCCUCAAGCGUGCUCACGAAGAAAUGGAUAAAGUGAUUGGAAGGAGCCGGCGGCUCGUGGAGUCUGACUUGCCAAAACUUCCAUACCUACAAGCCAUAUGCAAGGAAAGCUUCCGGAAGCACCCAUCCACCCCAUUGAACCUUCCUCGUGUCUCAACCCAAGCAUGUGAAGUGAACGGCUACUACAUCCCAGAGAACACUAGACUUAGCGUNNNNNNNNNNNNNNNNNNNNNNNNNNNNNNNNNNNNNNNNNNNNNNNNNNNNNNNNNNNNNNNNNNNNNNNNNNNNNNNNNNNNNNNNNNNNNNNNNNNNCAAAAUCCAUCCCUCAUCUCUCUCACAAUUUUCUCUUUACCUCUUCUCUUCUUUCCAGUUUCUUUUUAUUUUAUUUUUCAUGCAGACAGAAUCCCCUUACUUUCCUUUGUUUCUCUCUUUAAAAAUUCUGAUUUUGCCCUAAAAAAAAUUGAUUUUUCUCUUUAAAUAUUUUAAUUUUCCUCCUCCAAAUUCUGAUUUGCCUUUCUAAAAUUUCAGAUCUUCCCAACCCAAAUUAAAUUCCGAUUUCCCCCGGUAAAAUUCUGGAUUUUCUCAUCCAAGAUAGUCAAUUUUUUAUUUUUUUUCAAAAGACAUUAUGGGUGUAUUUUGAAAAAUUGAAAAGGUAAUCAUGCAUGGCCAUGUGAGGAGAGAAGAAAAAGUAAAGUAGAUAAGUUGGCAGACAGCAUUGAUGGGAGAAUAAAAGUUCAAAAAUCAAUAAAAUAAUAUUAGAAUAAAAUAAAGAAAAGAAAUAGUGAGUAAAAAGAAUGUAACAUUCGUAAUCUAAGACAUAUAUAUAUAUAUAUAUAUAUAUGUGGGGAAAUUUAAUUUAUAAAGGAAAAUUGGGUUUUAAUUCACUAAUUUAAGUGAAUAAAAAAAAAGAACUCUAAAUUAUAAAUUAAUUUUAUUUUCAUCAAUUUAAAAAUAUUUUACAAUAUAUAUACUUUUUUAUAACUCAAAUAAUUAUUUCUUGAAAUAAUAUUUUUACUUGUUAUGUUAAUAACACCAAUUAAUAAAUAAAAACUAUAAAAUAUAAAAUAUAAAAAUAAAAUAUUAAUUUUCAUUAGUUAAACACAUGUUGGUAGAAAAUAUAGAUAUCCAAAAAGAGUUGGAAAUACAACAAGAAUCAAUAUUUAUUUUUAAAAUUUUAAGUUUUUUUUAAUUGUAUUUACUUUUUAUAUAUUUUAGCUUUAAUUGUAUUUUUUAUUUGAUGGUUGAUUUUAACUAACAAAUUUUUUUAUUCAAUUUUAUUGAAAAAUAAGAAGAUGGGCUUUAUAUAAUAUAGAAUAUAAAAUCAUUAUUAUUUAAAGGAUAAAAAAAAAUUUUAUUUAUCACGAUUUGAAUAAUUUUUUCACAAUGAUUUGCAUCUUAUAAUAAAAAAUUUAUAAUAUAUUUAUUUGUACUAUACUUUUAUCAAAUUAAAUUGAUCAAUUAAUUUUGGAUUAUUUAUUUAAUAUUAUCAAGUAAAAUGGUAUUUAGAAAAUAAUUAUUUGAGUUAUAAAAAAGUAUAUGUAUUUUAAAAUAUUUUUUAAAUUGAUGAAGAUAAAAUUGAUUUAUAAAAAUUAAAGUUUUUUUUUUUUAAAUUAGUGAAUAAAACCCCCAUUUUUUUUUUAACUUUAUAAUGUAGCCAUGGGAUUUUAUAACAUAAGCAAAUUUUACGUGAAAGAGGAAAAAAAUCAACUUUUCAAUUUCCAAUAAUUAUUAUUAUUAUUAGAAAUAUUUGAUUAAAAAAGAUGAAAUAAUCCCCAAAAUCGGAAAUCUAACCCUUCCUAUGCUUUUUCUAAAAAAGUAAUCCAUUUUUUUUUACAUAAAUACCAUUUUCUAUUUCAAGUAUCCAAUUUGGCUGAUUCUUAAUUAGUUGGCAUCAUUACUAUUCUGUAAUUAGUUAGAAUAGUAUUAGGAGUUGAAGGUCAGUUGGAAUACAGGCUUAUGGAAACAAAUCUAUCCCAUUAGUUGGUUCUUAUUAUUUUUAUUAUUUUCAAUAUAGGAGAUGGGCAGCCGCGCCCUUUUGUCUGGGGGCCAUCCUCCCAACUUAUUAAAGGUGAUAUGAGAUUAAGAUUUUAACACUUCUCCUACCAUCGUCAUGACCUGGCUCUCCACAAGCACACCCAGUGCUGACACGUGACUAACAAACCUUCGCUCAUCUACCAAACCCAUGGCCUCAUGCCUUAUAUAUUUCCACAAACCUAGCUCAAUUUUCAUAGCCACCUUCACUAUCCUAUACUCACUAAGCCAUGGCCAUAGAUACAAGCCUCUUGCUUGAGUUUGCUGCAGCAACUCUACUCUUCUUCAUCACCCGCUUCUUCAUUCGUUCUCUCCUUCCCAAACCUUCCCGGAAGCUCCCCCCUGGCCCCAGAGGGUGGCCGCUCCUCGGCGCUCUUCCUCUUCUAGGUAACAUGCCUCAUGUUGCAUUAGCAAAGAUGGCCAAAAGAUACGGGCCUGUCAUGUUCUUGAAAAUGGGCACUAACAGCAUGGUGGUGGCCUCAACUCCCGAGGCGGCUCGGGCUUUCCUUAAAACGCUAGACAUUAAUUUCUCUAACCGCCCGCCUAAUGCCGGUGCCACACUCUUGGCCUAUCAUGCCCAAGACAUGGUUUUUGCGGAUUAUGGGGCAAGGUGGAAGCUACUGAGAAAGCUAAGCAACUUACACAUGCUUGGUGGGAAGGCUCUUGAGGACUGGUCUCAGGUCCGAGCUGUUGAGCUAGGCCACAUGCUUCGAGCCAUGCUUGAGUUGUGCCAGCGAGCGGAGCCGGUGGUGGUGCCGGAGAUGUUAACUUUUUCCAUGGCCAACAUGAUAGGUCAAGUGAUUCUAAGCCGCCGGGUGUUUGAAACAAAAGGGUCGGAGUCAAAUGAGUUCAAGGACAUGGUGGUGGAGCUCAUGACCAGUGCUGGGUACUUCAAUAUUGGCGAUUUUAUUCCGUCCAUCGCAUGGCUGGACAUCCAAGGGAUCCAGCGCGGGAUGGAGCAUUUACAUAGGAAGUUCGACUGGUUAUUAACAAAGAUGAUGGAGGAGCACACGGCGUCAGCCCAUGAGCGGAAGGGAAACCCAGAUUUUCUGGACGUAAUCAUGGCAAACCAGGAAAAUUCUACAGGGGAGAAGCUCACUAUUACCAACAUUAAAGCACUCCUCCUGGUAUGCAUAGUUAAAGCUCGUCUUUAAUUUUGUUUUCCGAUAUUUUCUUUCCGGAAACAGCACUUUUAUUGCUUUUAGAUAUGUAUGUUUUUAUCAGGUAGCCAUUUUAGGGGCACAUCACUGUUCUUUAUUUGGAUUUUUUUUCUCUUUUUCCACUUGCAUGAUUGUUUUCAUAUGCUCAGCUGCAUGGUACAGGAAAAUUGUGAAAAAUGAUUGGUUCUCUGAUCAGACCUUCUGCACCAAGACACACUUCUCUCUAUUUUAUAAAAUCAAGAACAUUUAUGGUUUACAUGAUUUUUCGAACUUGAACUUUUGCUAGGGCUAAUGCAUGGAUCUCAAUUUUCAAUUGCUUUUGAUUACAUAAAUUUCAAGUAUGUCACCAUAUUUUUGUUUCCUUGGCUAGAAUUUAUUUACUGCAGGAACAGACACUUCAUCAAGCGUAAUCGAGUGGUCUCUGGCUGAGAUGUUGAAAAACCCGAGCAUCCUCAAGCGUGCUCACGAAGAAAUGGAUAAAGUGAUUGGAAGGAGCCGGCGGCUCGUGGAGUCUGACUUGCCAAAACUUCCAUACCUACAAGCCAUAUGCAAGGAAAGCUUCCGGAAGCACCCAUCCACCCCAUUGAACCUUCCUCGUGUCUCAACCCAAGCAUGUGAAGUGAACGGCUACUACAUCCCAGAGAACACUAGACUUAGCGUGAACAUAUGGGCAAUUGGGCGAGACCCUGAUGUCUGGGAAAGCCCGGAAGAAUUCAGGCCAGAAAGGUUUUUAAGUGGAAGAAAUGAAAAAAUUGAUCCUCGUGGAAAUGAUUUUGAGUUGAUCCCGUUUGGGGCUGGACGAAGGAUUUGCGCUGGCACUAGAAUGGGAAUAGUGCUGGUUGAGUACAUUUUAGGGACGUUGGUACAUUCAUUUGACUGGAAAAUGCCGGAUGGAGUUGAGAUCAACAUGGACGAAGCUUUCGGGCUUGCGCUGCAGAAGGCAGUUUCUCUUUCGGCCAUGGUGACACCAAGGCUUCACCAGAGUGCGUAUGCAGUCUGAGCUCAAACCGCUCAGACCAAAACCCAGGCCUCGCUGCUAUAUGGCAUGGAUGCAGUUAAGUAGAAGAUAUUUUGGGAUGUUGUUUUAGUUUCCUGUGGCUUAGUAUAAGAUGUAUUAGCUCAAAGAUGGUCGUUUCAUUCUACCACCAAGCCAUAUGCAUCUAUGCAUAAUCUAUUGAUUUAGGCUCGAUUUGGUUAUAGUUUUUGUUUUUUUGUCUUCCAAAUCAGUAAAUAGUAGGGGUAUUUUUGUCCUAUGUAGUGAUUCUUUUUGUUUGAUUGAUUAUAUUUGGAUCCUUCAAAAAUAUAUGGUCAGAGCCAUCUCCAUCUUUUCACUUCUUGUGCUGCAGAAUGGGAUUGGCUUAGAUCGUUAGUCUAAUGUUAACCCCCUUCAAAUCUAAUUAUUCAUACCCAAUUUUGACACGAAAGAGCCAUUGUCAUGAAAGGGGGACCAGGGACCUCAGCACCCUUGGUCCAUCAUUUUGGUACGAUGCCAACUCUACCACAUAACCACCAUUUAGAUAUCUAUCCUUUUAUUUUUGGCAUGUGAACUUAUAGUGGGUGGCUGACCUUGAAUCCAAUAGUUAUCAUGAUAUAUAUGGCUGAAAUUAAAUCCAAUAGAAUCCAAUAUGUUUUCUUAUAUCUCAAGUUUCAAUCAAAAAAAUAUUUAUGAUUUGUUUUUAUUAAUUUGUGUCUUGUUUUCAAUUUAAUUAAUGAAAAUUUAUUUGAUCAAAAAGUUCAUUACAAACCAAUUUUAAAAAUCUAAUCCUUUAUUAUAUUUUGAUAUCGUUUUGAUAAAAAUGUCUUUAUUAUUAUUAUUAUUAUUAUUUUUUUAUAAAAAUAAAUUUUUUUAUAAAUAUAUUGUAAAUAUUUAAAAUAAUUAAAAAUAUUUAGAUCAAAAAUCGAUUAUUUUUCAAACAAAAAUAUGAAAGUUAUAAAUUUUGUAAAUAUGGGGAAUAUUUAAUCCUUUUAAUCGAUUAUUUCAUUAAUGAAGUGGGUAUAAUGGUGAACGCAGACUUGGUUUUGCUAGGGCAUGCAGAGGUUUUGCAAGAGAGAGAGAUCAUUUCUCGACUCUGAGAAAUCAAUCUCCUUUUGGCCCGGUGGCGGACUCCAAGUAAAGCCUUGAAGGAGCCUUGCUAACAUCCCUGCACACCCACGCCUUCCAGUACUGAAGGAAAUGAAGCGAAGGUUUGGCUCGUUCAACUCUACUGCUUGAACUGUACUAGCAUUCAGAUGCCGCUCUGGAUUGAAAUUUAGCGGUUCUUCCCAGAUUCUAGGGUUCCGGCCCAGCCCCAGACGGCUCAGAAGGACAUGACUGCCUUUGGGGAUAGAGUACCCAGCAACACUAGUCGGAUUCCUGAACUCGUCUAUCCUUUCCAACCACUCCAUCAAUUUCUUCACUGCUUUGCUCAAAAUCCCUGGUUGCUUGAUCAUUGCCUACUCAAUUGCAUUUGAUGGACUAUCGACGCCUGCAAGCAUCAACUCCUGCAAAUUAUGGAAGGAUCAUAAUCUGAUGAUUGAUCAAGUUAUUUGCUGGCUAGGAAAUCAUCAUCAUGCAAUGUAGAUCAAAAGGUAAGCACAACACUACUACAAAAAUAAUUUAUGGUGUCAUUUUUUAAAUAAUGACACCAUAGGGUUUAUAAUUAAUAAAGGUGAUACAUCAUAUGAAAAUUCUUCAAUUAAGGUAGUUAGAUUAUGUUAGUUUUAUAUUUAUAGUGUCAUUUUUUGGGAAGUAACAUCAUAUAAAAUAAAUUUUUUUUUAAGUAUUAUAACUUAAUGAGCCCACUUUUAUAAUUAAUAAUGAGGGAUAAUGUAUAAAAAGCCCAUUGUUUCCACAUGCCACCCAUAAUCCAAAAAAUCUCAGUAUACAAAUCUUAUAUAUAAAACCAUAAUCUUCUUCUACCUUUUCUUUUACUUAUAGUCAACACACUUAUAACCGACAUUUUCCACUUUGUGGACUCCCAAGUUAUCCAAAUUCUCUUAGAUCUAUCAUAUUUUUUUCUUUUAUUAAUAUCAUUAUAUUGAUUGUUUCAGCAUCUUUGUAUUAUGGUUUUUGUGAACUGUGUUUUUUUGAGUUGUAGGGAAGAAAAACUUAGGUUUAAACUUCUAGCAUAGACGAAGAAACUUGUAGAUUAAUUGAUUUUUUAAUAUGAACCAAACACAUGACCAACUUUUGUUGUGUGUAUUUAUGUGAGAAUGAUAGGUACAAAAUUUUGUUGAGAUAUACUGUCCCAUAAUCUUCAUCCCUUCCCUAAAAUGAGAGAGGGGAAAAAAAAAGGGAUGAUUUUUUUUGUGUAUCUAAGUGGGAACGAGAGAUAUAGAAUUUCGUUGUGAUGUAGUGCUGCCACAUGAUCUUUAUCCUCCAUUAAACCUAACAUAUUAAAUCCACUAACUCUCUCCCCAAAAACGAGUAAAAAAAAAAAAGGAAAAAAGUAUGAGUUAAAAAACAAAAACGGAAAAUAUGAUUUUUUUUUAAUGUGUUUCUAAGGAGAAUGAGAGAUACAUAUUUUUGUUAAGUGCAUUGCCACGUGUUCUUCAUCCUCUCCAUUAAGCCUAAUAUAUUAAACCUAAUAGCUCUCUCUUUUAAGCUUUCCAAUGAAGUGCCUACAGUAUCCAACUCAAAAUAAGACAACUUAUGCCCCAUUAGCCAACAACCCAUAUUUUGUGUACAUCUUGAUGAGAUUAUUUUGUGAGAAAAUGUCAUGAAACAAUCCCAAUUUGAUAAUCUAGGCAUGUAUUUGAGUUAAAAAUAAAUUUCUAUUCUAUAGAUCAAAGAAUAAAAUCAUGUUUGAAAAUUAUUUUUAAAAACUUAUUUAGAGCAAAAAUAGUUUUCUAACAUAAAAAUAAUUUUUUAACUGAGAAAAUAUAUUUGAAAUUAUUUGAUAGAAAAUUGGGCAUGUAUUUGACUUAAAAACAAAUUUCUAUUCUAUAGCUCAAAUAAUAAAAUCAUGUUUGAAAAUUAUUCUUAAAAACUUAUUUAGAGCAAAAAUGGUUUUCUAACAUUAAAAUAAUUUUUUAAUUUAGAAAAUAUAUUUGGAAACAUUUGAUAGAAAACUGGGCAUGUACUUGACUUAAAAAUAAAUUAUUAUUCUAUAGAUCAAAGGAUAAAAUCAUGUUUGAAAAAUAUUCUUAAAAACUUAUUUAGAGUAAAAACAGUUUUCUAACAUAAAAAUAAAUUUUUAACUUAGAAAAUAUAUUUGAAAACAUUUGAUAGAAAACUUUUUUUUUUUUAAUGUCAAUAAGUUGUCUUUUUCUUAAUUUAAUUGUAAUCAAUUUGCUUAUACGCAUUUAAAAGUAUAUAUUAUCAUAUUUAGUAAUAUUUUGAUUGUUAGGCAAAUUAUCAUUUUUGAGAGGAAUUUUUGUAGCUCUCAUAAUUAUAAUUGUAUUUUAAUAACCAUUUCCAAUAAAAAAAAAAGAAAAAAAAAGUUAGACAAUUAUCAAAAUCUGAUUUUUAGGAUUUUAAAAAAAUCUACAAGCCAAAACUAUCUAUAAUUUUGAUCAUGUGAGAACACUUCUUUUUUAAUACUUUGAGUUAUUUUGUUUUUUUUCUUAGUAUCUGAAAGUAUAAAAGAAUUUCUCUCAUUAUAUUAUAUAUAUGUGCAUGUGUGUUCUCAUGGUUGUUUAUGUCAUGUCUUAUUAAAGAAUAAAGUGAAAUUUCCUUUGAGUGGAAGGUUUUAGUCCACGCUAGUACACGGUAUGAAUAGUUUGGGUGGGUUGUAUCUAUGGUAAAAAAUAAUAAAAGACACCUUUUGCAAGUCUCCAAGUUGGUUGAGAUACAUGGCAUCAUGUUGACUAAACCUUGACUUUUGCAAGUCUCCUAGUUUCCAACUUUUUUUUCUUCUUUUUUUUAAUAUUAAGGUGUGGGGCCAUGAACUCCUUUCUUUCCUUUUUAAAUAACAAAAAGGAAGAUAAUUUUAUUGUGAGAAGGCUAUUGCUAUCAAUUGUGUUCACGUCGAGAAUUUUUUAAUUUAUGGAGGCCAUAUAUAUAUAUUUAUGUCUAAUUUAGGAGGGUAAUUUGGGUUUGUUUAAUCUAUUCCAUUUAAUCAUACUAUACAAUCAUUUUUUUAUUUGGAUUAUUUUUGUAUUAAAUUUCUUCAACCCAAAUUUUGUUGAAAAGUUACAAUGUAUUAUUAAAAAUAUAACUUGAUAGUUGAUUAUGGAUAUGUGUCAUUUUUAGUAAAAAAAAAAAAUCUAUAACAUUUUAUAUUGAUAAUAUAUUAUUCUUGUAACAGGUUCGAAUAGUAAGCAAGUCAUUAUCAAAGAAGUUAUUGAAAGUGUAAGUGUACGUUUAUUUAUUGCAUGCUCUUAUAUUGUAUCAAUUGUAAGGAAGAUAAAAUUACCUUGUAAAGGUAAUUAAAUCUUUCUAUAUUUUAAAAACUUUUUUCCUAUAUACUAUGCUUUUGAAGCUUGUUUAAUUAAACAUAUUAGUUAUUUGACAAACUUUUCACAAAUGUUUUGUAUACUUAUGUGUUCUAUUUUGUUCCAUAGUUUUAUUGCAUAAUACUAAUGUAUAUUUUUUCACAAACUUUUUACAACUAUUUUGUGUACUAAUGCAUAUUAAGUUUUGUUCUUGCCUAUAUAAGCUACAUUUAGUUAUUUAAAUAUAUCCAAUAUUAUGUUGAAGAAAGAUGUACUUACUUAACUUUUUUUAUUCUUAAUAUUAGCAAGUUUUUCAGUUCUCUUGUCUCGAGAUUGGAUGUCAAAAGAUAGAAGGUCAGUUGAGUAUGAUGAAAGAGUUGAAAACUUUAUCAAUUUUGCAUUAGCACAUUCAAUCAACCAUUCCCCUAUAAAAUGCCCAUGCUUACGUUGUGCAAAUCUUUUAUGUCAAACUCUUCAAGUCAUUAGAGAGCAUUUGUUCUUUAAUGGAAUAGAUUUCAGUUAUCGAGUAUGGUAUAGGCAUGGAGAAAAUGGACCCAGUGGAGGAUUUUCAAAUGUCUCACAACAACAUUAUGACAAAUGCAAGUAUAAUGAUGUUGUUGACACAAUAAUGCUGCACUAGUUAAUUGUAUGAAUGAUCCCUAAGUGUUUGGAAGGUUACUUGAAGACGCAGAAAAACCUUUAUAUCUUGGAUGCAUGAAAUACACAAAAUUGUCAGCAUUGGUAAAACUUUACGACUUAAAAGCACGUUAUGGUUGGUCUGACAAAGGAUUCUCAAAAUUGCUUCAGUUGCUUGAAGAUAUGUUGCCAUUGAAUAAUGAGAUGUCAUUGCCCAUGUAUGAAGCUAAAAAGACUUUCAGUGCACUUGGUAUGGAAUAUCAAAAAAUUCAUGCAUGUUUUAAUGACUGUAUUUGGUAUAGAAACCAGUAUAAGGAUGCUAUUGCAUGCCUAACUUGUGGAAAGUCAAAGUGGAAGAUAAACAAUGAGGGGAAAAAGAUUAAGAAGGGGCUUCCUUCAAAGGUUUGGUGGUAUUUCCCACCAAUCCCUAGAUUCAAAAGGACGUUCCAAUCCUCAAAAACCGCUAAACAUCUUAUGUGGCAUGCCAAGGAUAAAGAAUAUGACGAUAAACUAUGCCACCCAUCAGACUCCUCAGCGUGGAAACUAGUUGACCAUAUGUGGCUUGAUUUUGCUUCUGAACCGAGAACCUUAGACUAGCACUCUCAAAAGAUGGUACAAAUCUUCAUAAGUCUAUAAGCAAUAGACAUAGUUGUUGGCCUGUUAUACUGAUCAUAUACAACCUUCCUCCUUGGUUGUGCAUGAAAAAGAAGUUUAUGAUGCUAUCAUUAUUGAUCUUAGGACCACGACAACCUGGUGAAAAUAUAGAUGUUUUCUUGAGUCCAUUGGUAGAUGACCUUAAAACUUUGUGGGAAAAAAAAGUUGAGACUUAUGAUGCACACUUACUUGAGGUUUUUACUGUAAAGGUCAUCAUUUUAUGGACAAUCAAUUAUUUCCCUACAUAUGGAAACUUGGCCAAUUGCACCGUGAAAGGAUAUUAUGCAUGUCCAAUAUGUGGAGAAGGAAUAUAUUCCCAAAGAUUAAAGUAUGGUAGGAAGAACUUGUAUAUGGGUCAUCGACGAUUUCUUCCACGUAACCAUCCCUAUUGGAGACAAAAGAAGGCAUUCAAUGGUGAACAAGAUUUUAGAAUUCCUCCUAAAAUUUUGAGUGGAGAAGAAAUACUUGAAAAAGUUGAUAUCAUUCCUAUUUCUUGGGGAAAAAGGAAGAUAAAAUCUCUUGAACUGAUGUGAACACAAAUUGUUGGAAAAAAAAGUCCAUAUUUUUUGAGUUAGAAUAUUGGAAAUAUCUUCAUAUCCUUCACAACUUGGAUGUUAUGCACAUCGAAAAGAAUGUAUGUGAGAGUAUUAUUGGUACUUUGUUUAACAUCCUAGGAAAAAAAAAGAUGGACUUAAUGCUCAACUUGACCUAGUUGAAAUGGGUUUAAGGUCUGAACUUUUCCCAAGAGUUGACUUGAAGCGGACCUAUCUCCCCCCUGCAUGUUAUUCACUAUCCAAACAUAUAUGACAAAAAAUUAGUUUGUCAAACAUUGUCUAAUUUGAAGGUCCUUGAGGGGUAUUGCUCAAAUUUUAGAAAUCUUGUUUCCUUAGAGGAAUUGAAGUUAUUUGGUUUAAGAUCCCAUGACUACCAUGCACUUAUGCAACAACUAUUGCUAGUGGCAUUACGUUUUGUUUUGCUAAAGCAUGUGAGAUAUACUAUAUCAAGAUUGUGUAUCUUCUUCAAUCAAUUAUGCACAAAAAUGGUUGAUGUGCCAAAAUUGGAUGAAGUACACAAUGAGUUAGUGGUCACGCUGUGCUUACUUGAAAAGUAUUUUUCACCUUCAUUUUUUGAUAUUAUGCUUCAUCUAGCAGUGCAUUUGAUAAGGGAGGUGUGACUAUGUGGUUCAGUUUACUUUAUGUGGAUCUACCCAUUUGGGAUAUGAAAGUUCUUAAAGAAUUGUUCGCAAUCAUAAUUGGCCUGAAGGAUGCAUUACUAAGUGCUAUUUAGCAGAAAAAGCUAUCGAAUUUUGUAUUGAAUAUUUAUUAAGGACUCAUGCAAUUGGAAUUCCAAAAGUAACAAUUAUGACAACAAAUUUGGUAGACCUAUAAUUGGUGGUCGUUCUACCAUCAUUGAUCAUAAAUCAUGGUUACAAGCAUAUCAUUAUCUAUUAGAGAAUACAACUAUCGUCCAACCAUACACUGAGUAAGAAAAACAUACCUUUAUCUUUUUAUAAUUUCAUAACAUAAUGAUGAAAUCCUAAGUUUGCAUUCCUUGUCUUUAACGUCAUAGGGAACACAUGAAUUAGUUGAGGUCUCAAUACCCUCGACAAUCUAAUAGACAAAUUUGGUUGCAAGAAGAACAUAUGAGUUGUUUUACAUAUUGGCUUAAAGAAAAGGUAAUCUCUUAGUUUUUAGAAAAUUUUUCAAUAUGUUGAAAACAUCACAAGUUUCCAAUAUGUUUUGAUUAUACAUAGGUUGAAGAGGCUAUCCAUAAUGGGCAAGAUAUUCCCGACACACUUAGGUGGUUAGCACAUGGCCCUACUCUCCAGGUAGUCAAAUAUCCUGGAUAUAUCGUUAAUGAGUGUCAUUACCAUAUUAAGAAACGCGAUAUGACAUGCAUAACCCAAAAUAGUGGUGUUAGCAUUUUAGCAAGGACUAUGCAAAUUGCCAGUUCUAAGGAUAAGAACCUAGUUUGUGGUGAACUUUGCUUUUAUGGGGUCAUUAAUGAGAUAUGGAAUCUUGAUUACAACAUGUUCACAAUUCUAAUUUUCAAGUGUGAUUAGGUUGACAACAAGAAUGGUAUAAAAGUUGAUAAACUCAGGUUCACAUUAGUUGACUUCUCCAAAAUAGGUCACAAAUUGGAUCCAUUUAUUUUAGCAUCACAAGCCAAGCAAAUCUUCUAUGUUGAAGAUCAACUUGAUCCUAAAUGGUCAAUAGUUCUCUCAAUUCCUCUAAAAGAUUUCAAGAACAUAGAAGGACUAGAUGACUUCACCGAUAAUUGCAUGGAACAUCACCCCUUUAUAAGUUCAAUGCCAGAAUUUGAAUCAUUUGAUGCUAUGGAUGAAUCAUAGGCAAUACACAUGAGAGAAAACUGUGAGGGCAUAUGGAUUGAAAAUAAUUAGAUAACAUAUUGUACCCUUGAAUGAGAUAUAAUAAGGCAUUUCACUUAUUAGUUUUCAUGAGUUGCACAUUAACUUAGCUUCUAUAUAUUGCUCAUGAUAUAUCUAUAUAUUUUAAUCAUCCUAAAUUUCUUUCAUGCAUCAUAAACAUAUGUUAUUCAAAGGUACCACUUCAAUCUUCAUUCAACUAUCGUUUUGUUGUCCAUAGAACUAGAUUUAUAUUAUUUUUUAUUAUCAUGUUUUGAUUUUAUGCUCACAUAACUUGAAAUUCUCAUUCCUAAAUUUCUUUUUCAUUAAAACUAUAAAUCAUAAUUGAAACUAUGCACUAAUUUAUUUUAUUAUUAUCCUCACAAAUAAAUUCUUCAUUAUUGAUAAGAAAUCAAAAAACAAGACAAAUUUUGAAAGAAAAUUUCAAAAAAUAUAUUUGUGAAUGACCAAUUUAAUUAUAGAAAAUAUAUGCAAGGCUAUACUAAUCUUGCUUUUGAGUCAUUUUAUAGGUUUGUUGGUGAAGUACUAGUUUGCACAUUUACUUGAUAUCUUCCGCACAAAUAUGGAUCUAGAAGAAGGGGAAAUGCUAAAAAUAAAGCAUAAAGGUAGUGCAUUGAAACCAAAGAUUGCAAAAAAUCGAAGUAAAGGGAUAAAGCUCAAGAUUGAAUACAAUAGCCUUAGUAGUCACAUUGAGGAAAAUUCAGUUGAACUAAGUAGUUAUCUUAGUACAAUAACUAGAACCCAUGUGCCAAUAAUUAUUGAGAGUUGGGGGAAAGUGCCUAAAGAGACUAAGGAGAAGUUGUGGGAUUUGAUCACGGUAAGCCUAUCUAUAACUUUAAUAUAUAAUUAUUGUAUACAUUCAUUAACAUGAGCUAACAUGGGUUGCUAUUUUGUAGACAAGCUUUAAUGUGAAUAAAAAAUCCAAGAGGAAUUGUUUCAUACUAAUGGGCAUCAGGUUUCGAACCUUUAAGUACAAGUUGACAAAGAAAUAUAUAUUGUCUUUCAAGAAUGACUAAAAAAGCUGAAAAAGUCACCUCCUAUUUACCCAUUCAUACAAGAGGAUCAUUGAAGACAGUUUGUUAAAGAUAGACUUUUAGAACAUUUUAAUGUUAAGCAUUAUUUUUAUUACAUCUUCAAUUUUCACAUUUACGUAGUUUCAUUAUGUACUAAUUUUGUGUCUAUAUUUUGUAGGAAUAUCGCAAAGUUCAGAAAUCAAGAAGAGAUAAACACAUUUACAAUCAUUAUCUUGGAAGAAAAUGAUAUGCACGUUUUGAGCAUGAUAUAGUAAGUUAUCAAUAUCCAUAAAAAAAAAAAUGGAGUAUAUAUUUUGUUUAUAGGAAAAUGAUUCUAGUUUUUAAAUAUCAUUUAUUAACUUGAUCAUAUUGAACUAAUGAGUUUUAUUGUUAAAAAUUUUAUAGCUACAAGCAGAAGGGGCUAUUGGUAGGGUUGAUAGAAGUGUUUAUGAAAGAAAACACGUGAGAAGAAAGGAAAGUUUAAUAAGAUUACAAAGCCAAUGAUUAACUAAGUUAGCAUAUUUAUGCCUUUUAGAGCCUAUAGUGUUAGUAUGUCUAUGUGAUUAGGGUUUGUGAUGAUAUCGUUAGGUGUUAAUAGGGAAGAGGCUUAAUGCUAUCAUUUUUAUGAGUAGUCAUGUUAUAUUAGUGCAAAUAUAGUAGCCUAAUUUGAAAAUUAAUUUUGAAACAAUAUACAUUAAUUUAUCUAUUAUCAUUUUUAUUAAAACAAUUCAUUUUAUAGCUACCUUGAAUUGGUUGUCUUUGAUUGAUAUGUUAAUCAUCUUCAUCAAAUUAUUACUAAUAUAUGUUUUGUUAUAGGAUGAAUUACUAGAAAAGGCAAGGAGACUGGACUACCUCCACCUGGUCCAAACGACAUAUUAUGUCAGGCAUUGGGUAAGCUUGAUCAUCUAGGACGUGUGGUAGGUCAAGACCGCUUGGUUAGGCCGAACUCAUACUUUCGUCAACCAUUUGAUGACAUGAAAAAAAAAAUCAAAGAAGAAAUAUGGGAAGUGGUGUGAAAGGGGAUGCAAGAUGCUGUAACAAGACAAACUAUGUCUCCUCCCACACCCCAUUCUGAUAUAGGUAGUAAUAACAUGAGACAACAACUUGUUUUACAACUAGUUGUAGCAAAAAAAACCAAUGUUUAAAAUGAUGGAAGAGCCCCAACCACCAGAACCACCACUGAAACGUAAGGUAUACAUUUAUUUACUAAUAAUACAAGAUUAAUAUAAGUGAUAUAUAGCCUAUGUAAAUGAUAUUAUUUGUUGUAUUAAAGGUGAUUAAAUAUAAAUUAGCAGUGGAAUGAAAAUGAAAUGUUGUUGCAACCGGUACAUUAAUAGAAGAAAAUUGAUCAAAUGGGUUGGUCAUAAUAAAUGUUGCACACAAGCUAGAUGCUAGACUCCCAUUUCCAAAUCCAUAUGAGAUUAUCAAUGUUGGGGAUGCUAUUGACUUUAAGCUUGACUGGCCAACAAACCUUGUCAUACUUGAAACUAAACAUCCUCGGGUAUGUCAUUUUAUACUUGUAGUAAAUUUGAUUGUAACUUGGUAUUUUAUUGUUUGGGAGUAUAUAUUACUAACAUUCCUUCAUUUUUCAUAGGUGUUGGAUAAAGGAAAGAAGUAGAUAGUGAAUGCACCAAUUAUUCGAAAAUCUAAGCCUCAAAAUUAUUCGGUCAUUAAAAAUUUUUAGAAAUUUAUGGGUGGUUGUCUUAGUAAUGAGAAGACAUACCCAAUACAGCUCCCCAUUUCACUAUUUGGUGUCGAAUUCCAAACAUAUAUAUCUAGAGAGGAUUGUGAAUACAUUAUUUCAUCUUUAGAGGUGUCAUCAAAAUGCAUCUCCUUCCAUUUAUGGUGUGCACCUUUUAUUUUCAUUUGUUUUUAUUUUUUUAAUAUGAGUUGCCCAUGUUGAACAAGAUUGGAUAGGACUAAUGAUAAUUUUCUUUUGGUGUUUUGAUAAUAUAAUAGGUACAUGCAUGAUCAACUACAUAUUGCCAAAAAGGAAUCACAAUUUAUAUUUGUUAAUCCUUUUACAAUAUCAUGAGCACGCUUUAGUAAUCCUCAAACAGAGAAAAGAACACAAUUGUUGUCAAAACACUUAAUAGAGUGCCAAGAUGUCGGAUAUGUUUUCAUGCCCUACAACCCCGAGUAACUGACGAAUAUUAUGCUUUAAUUUGAGGUUUUAUGAUUGAUUUAUAUUUCUAAUUAGAUGCUACUUUUGUUUUUAAUGUUUUAGCUUUCAUUGGGUCUUGGUAGUGAUUGAGCCAAGGAAAACGAUAGUCCACUAUCUUGACCCUGUGCAUCACAAACCAUUUGAGGACUUAAAGGAUAUCGUAAACAUGUAAGUUCUUCCUAUUAUUUUUCAUAGUAUUAUUUAAAAAAAAAAUUACAUUCACCUCAAACACAUUUUUUAUUGUUAUUUCUAUAUAUUAAAACAUAUAACAUUUACCUAUUUUAAAAUUGUACCCAUUGAACUUAUUUACAUAGGGCUCUUUAAAUAUUUGCAAAGAAAACAUCUAAAAGAGAGCCAUCUUGGAAACUAGUGCAAGUGACAUCCAAAAUUUUUCUUUACACAUUUAGCUUAUGCAUUUGCACCAUUUAUAUGUAUGAGUACUAAUGUUAUUUAUAACUGAUCACUUAGUGUCCAAGACAAGAAGGAGGGUUCGAAUGUGGCUACUUUGUUAUGAAAUUCAUUAAAGAGAUAAUUUUUUAUCCUACAAUGAUUGCUUCAAAGGUAUUACUUAUUUAAUGAAUUGUACAUAUUUUUAGGCUUCCAAAUGUUAUGCAUUUUAAUGUUAUUUUGUUAUUUGAUUUCAGUUUGGUGAUAAAAAAAACAUAUUCUCAAGUAGAAUUCAAUGAAAUUAGAGGGGAAUUGACUACUUUUGUGCUACAACUAAUCAUGAAUCAUGUUGAUGCAUCAUGAUCACCAUGCAUGGUGAGUCCCUUAGCUACUACAUGAAUUUUUCCAUAGAUAUUGUAUAGUAUUGCUUUUCUUUGAACAAUGUUUUUAUUUGAAAAAAGAAAAAAAAAGUUCUUAGAUUUGUUCAUUUAUGAUAACAUCGAUCCAUAUUUAUUUUCUUCAAUGAAAUCUAUAAAACUCAUUAAACUAUGAAAUGCAGGUAUACACUCUUAGGAGGGUGGAAUAGAGAAUAAAAAGAACAAAGAAGGCAACCAGAUUUUGGGUUUUUAAAUGCAGCUCGUAUGUCAUACGUCGUAGGACAUAAACGUUACUUUAAUUGGUAGUGAGAAUUUUAGAUUUUUAGAUGCUACUUUUAUGUCAUUUUAUAGUUAGUCGGUUUUAUGCUUAUGAAAUGAAGGUAUACAUGAAUCUUGGGAUGCUUAACAUUUCUAAAUCAUGUUUUGGUAUGUAUUCACUUUUCUUUUUCAGUUUUGGUGGGUUUGAUAUGUUUGAUGUACUAUCUUUUUGUGAACAUUUGAUAUACAAAUAUUAUUAGAUGAUCAAUGUAUUACGAGUUAUUCCAUAAACAUUACCGAAAAAUGAGUUAAAUGUAAUAUGAUUGUUAUAUUUAUGGACAAAAUAUACACAAGUUAAUCCUAUUUGUUAAUUCAUAAGCAUUACAAAAAUCUACAACUAAAAGAAAUCAUAUCUUCCAUGAUAAUUUACAAUGAUGUGACACCAUAACUCAAAGGUGAUGCAUUUAAUGUGACAUCAUAACUCAAAGAUCACGCAUAUAAUGCGACAUCCUAUCAUCACUAGAAAUAUAUGAUGUCACUUCCGAAUGCGUCACCAUUUAUCUACUUUGGUGUCACUUACAAAUACGUCACCAAUUGGUACCCUCUAUGGUGUCAGUAGAGAAGGUGACACUAUGUUGUAGUGACACCCUAUGUUUAUGGUGACUCGCUAUAAAUGUCACCAUAUAUCUUUUUUCUUGUAGUGCAAAUUACUUAUCUUACUAUGCAUUGGGCUUUGAUAUUAGCCAGAGAUAGUAGUGGCUCCUAAUUUUUAUCCUUAACUGAAAUGAAAACGCCAAGCAGGUCCCCACCCUCUUUUUCACCAUUCUUCCACUAUUCUACUAUUUGGUCCAUGAUUGGAUCAUGGUACUUGUUAAUGGUGUUCAUAGCCUCCCUUAUAGUCUUUUCAUGGCCAUCUAAAUUCAGCACUCUCUGCCAUGGGAAGUAAUCAGAUAAAGAGAAUACAUAUAGAUGAGCAAGUAUAGUAAAGAAGGAUUCAACAUGUUGCUCCACUUCAACUCCAAGGCCUCCAUCUUUCUUUCGUUGGCCAAAGUAUCUUGUGUUGAGGAUCAUCUUUCGGAUGACAUUCCCGUUGUAUUGACGGACUUUAUUUCUGUCACACCCCAAAUACUAGGCAACCCAGAACUUGACUCGUGGCCCCAGGUCAAAGGUUUGACCCUAAGAGUUACUCUUAUCCAUGUUGGCAAUCAAUCAAAACACCCUGGAUUUUUUUUCUUUUCAAUAAAGAGUUUAAUCCUAAAUAAAUUUAUUAAGCUAAGAUUUACUAUAACAUAUCAUUUUAUUUUUCCAAAACUAACCAUCACAUUAUCUCCUGUUCACAAGUAUUAAAAAAAAUAAAAUUCCACCAAUCGUCUUCCUACCCAAAAGCUAAAAUAUUUACAAUAAUCUCUAAGUCAAAAAGAAUAUUUCCAAAAAUGUUUUCCAAACUAAUAAAAUAUAAUUUAACUUAAAAAAUUCCAUAUAACUCAAAUUAGUAGAUGUCAAAAAGGUAAUUAAAAAAAAAACAACAACCAUUAUUAUGGUUUUUUUGCUUUUUAGAACACUUCAUGAUCUUCUUAUGGUCCCUUAGAAACUAUAUCUGCAUCUAAAAAUUUUAGAAAAUAAAGGGAUGCACAUUUCCACGUUACUCUUUAGACCUAAAUAGGUUAGAAAUUCUAGGUCAAUAAAACACAACCAUAUGCCAAAAUAUAAUAUUACAUUUACAUUAUACACACUAAAAGAAACUUCAACCAUACAAAUUUAAAUCAAUCAAAAUUAUCAUUUUCCUUAUUUAAUCAUAUGUUUAGCAUAUCAAUAAUUUUAAAUUACAAAAUAAAUAAGUCACUUUAGUCUUGAAUAAUAUAUUCAAACAUACACUUGAUAAAUAAUACAAAUCAUUUUUCCAAAUGCAACCAUGAUACAAAUGCUUACACACAAUCACGCAAUGCAAUAUCGUUCUCGGGCUUUCACCGAAGGAUAUGCAUUUAUACCCAAAUACACUCCCCAUUCGGAGUCUUCCUGGGGUAAAAUUUUGAGUCUUUCACCUUAAGGAUCUCACUCCCUUCUUAACUCACCAUCUCUAGGGUCAUUCAAUUUCUUAUUUUUCUUUUCUUUUCAUUUUUGGUGUCUUUUCAUUCUCAUUUCCGUUUCACACAACCAUUUCUUUAAUUUUUCUUUUUCUUCACACAAUCAGGAUGCAUAUGAAAUGCAACUGAAUCAUAUUUUAACAUCCAUAAUUUUCCAAGACAUAAUUUUAUUUACUCCCAUUAUGUUUCAUAAUUUCCAAUAAUCCACACAACGAUUUUUCUUCACUUUAAUCGUCACAAACAUAAAAGAAAAUUCACAAUUAAUUUGUAUAGCAUCAAAACAUAGUUUUAAACAUUGACCACAUAAAUUCUAUUUAUUCCUGACAUGCUUAAUAAUUUCCAAAUCCAAUAUAACCAUUUUUUUUUCAAUUAAAUAAUCACACAUAUCCAAGAAAAUUCUCGCUAAUACAAAUAUCAAUGAAAAUGUAAUUUAUGUCAUAAUUUAUUUGUCUCCAAUAAUUUCAAAAAUUUUGACACCCAUAUGACAAAUUUCUACAAUUAAGCCACCCCAACAUUUGGGAAAAAUUUUCCAAUAAUUCAAAUAUCAACAAAAACCCAAUUUAUAUCAUCAUUUUAUUUAUUUUUAAAAGCAUUAAUAAUUUUAAUAAUCAAUACAACACUUUUCCACAAUUAAGCCACCACAACAUUCUAGGAAAAUUUUCCAAUAAUUCAAAUAUUAACAAAACAUAAUUAUACCUUAAAUUUUCUUAUCUCCAACAACAUCAAUAAUUCUUAGUACUCAAUACAACUAUUUUUAUUUUUUCAUAUUUAAUCUUCUCAAACAUUACCAAAAUUCCAAGAAAAAUCUAUAAAUCACGAAAUAAAAUUAUUCACAAUAAUAAUCACACUUCAAAUACUAAAAAUAACAUCUAUUAUAUUUCAACAACACAAUAUAUAAAUUUUUUUCAAAGAAAAUAUUAAAUCAAAGUUUUAGGGUUAAAUCACCCUACCUUAAAUUUGAAAAAUUUAACCAUUAAAACUAAAACAGGACACCGUAGGAGUGUUCCUCACAUUGAAUAGAAUAUCUGUAGACCCUCAAUUUUGUCCCUUUAGCACAUGUCUUUAAGUUCGUUUUCAGUGUUCCACAGUAGUUCCUUGGUGGCCCAUUGCUACUCAUACUACUUACCCUUUUUUGAGUCACCUCGGAGACUUUGGUUGAGGGAUUAUCUUACCCCUUAUUGUGACCCUUGGCAGCCCUAACUUAGACUUAGGCUUUUCUUGCUUUUUUUUUUUCGGGAUAGCUUUUAGAUACACUUGACCCAUUAGGCACCACCCUAGGCCCACUUAGAUUCACCUAGGCUCAUUCAGGCACAUCUAGGCCCAUUUAGGUUCACUAGAUCCACUUAGGUAUCUUAGCCCUCCCAUGUCAUCGUUGCGGUAAUUCCUACAUGACUUACAUAAUUUGCAUUUUUUUAACACUUGUAUGUACUUGAUUUCCUAUUCAUUUAUUUAUCUACUUAUUUUAUUAACAUUUAGUUAGUUAUUUGUUUUAUUUAUUUAUUUUAUAGAAUAUUGCAUGAGAUUGAUGUCAUUAAUUGCGUAAACUGAUGUAUUAAUUUGUCUGUGUGUAGCUAUGAUAGAUAUAUUGUUUUUGAUUGCAUAUAUUUUUUUAUUAGUUUUAAUUCUCAAUUUCAUGACCUCUACUGCUUUUAAUUCUUAUUUUAUUUUGGCAUGAGAUUUGAAUGCACACAUUGGAGAAGAUCUUUGACGUACACGGCUGCGUAUAGAAAGUGGGCACAUCACGGCUGAGGCACAUCCAGGAGUAUAUGGAAAGAAGAUUAAAGAGAAUCUAAUUACUUACCAAAUGAGAGAGGGGCUGCAUCCUUGGAAAAUCUCCAAGUAAGCUGCACAUAUGUAGACUUCCCAUAUCCACGCGUAUAACAAAAAAAGGAAGUAAAAUAUUCUACAAGAGUGGGCUGCCAUAUAAAAAAAAGUGGGGAGAAAAAAAGGAUAGGAGGAUUUCGGAAGGAAGGAGGAAGAAGGAGUGACCGGGCAAAAGAGGAUUUUUAUCUGGGGAAUUGUCUUUAGAGGUGAGAGGAAAGCCGGAAGCCCAGCGAUUGCAGGCAAGGCUGCCCAAAAUUUAAAAUCCAUUGGGUUUGGAGGAGAGGCACAGAGGAGAGGGGACUUUCAGCACGCAUUGAGAACGGAGUGGAAUCAGAAAAGAGAAGCAAUCUUUGCUUCUUCAGAAAAGUUCUAAGGUAAGUCUACUGAUAUUUUGUUUUGGUUCGUACUCCCAAUUUAUGUUCCUCAUUCUUUUUUUGUGACCUGAGACGCUAUUUGCUGGUUGGGUUGGAGAUGACAUAAAUUCCAUGUGAAUCUUGCUGAUUUCUCAUAUAUUGUUACAGAUAUUGUUUCAUUCUUUACUAUUUAUUUAUUUAUUUAUUUUUAUCAUUUGAACUCAAUGAGACUCUGUUUUAUGGUGUACUAUUUCAAGAUUUUGGUUGCCCAGAUUCUCUUUACUCCUCCCACCAACCUAAUCUCGUGGAUCGAAAUAUGAAACACGACUUUCUCUAGAUCAUUCUGUUUUCAUCCUUUAUGCUCUCUUUUCUUGGUUGCCUUCUUUUGUUCUUGUGUGUAUUUUCAAGGGAGACGUGCAUCACCAAUUAAUUACGUUAGAGAGGAGCUUUCGAAUACUGCUGAAAUUUGAGACUUAGAACCCAAAUUCGGAAGCAACAAGUUGGAUUGAUGACUCUAAUGAGAAUUUUGUUUCAUGGGAAAAAUGACUUGAUAGUGAUUGAAUAUGGAUUGAUAGGGAAUGGAUACUUCAACACGUUCUACGGUGGAUUACAAGUUUGGUUCCCCUUUAGGGAAUGCAUGUCCAAGACAGGGGAGAGCAAAAUUUUGUGUUUAUGACAUCCCAGGAGCAGUCGGGAUGGCUAAGACCUUGUUGAUGGAUCUCAGUUGCUGUUCUAAAUAAUCCGAAUUCAAGCCUGUGGAAUUUAAGCAGUGUUAUUGAGAGUUUGAGACUAUGGAACAACUACAGCUGAUCCAGCUUAUUUUGCAUCAUUUUGCUCUAACGUCAACUUGAAUCCAAGGCUUCCUCCACCUCUUAUUUAACGGGAGAAUCAAUGCCUGUUCCCUAUCCACUGACAAAGAGGAGUCUGACGACGAUAGGCCAUCCCGAAAAAUCUCAGAUGAUUGACCAGAAAGCAGCAGUGCAGUUAUGCCCAGACAGAGGACAGUUUCUUCAGCAGAUCGUCAUAAAAGUUUAGUUGAUCUGAUACAAAAGGACUUCCCCCGCACCUCAUCACUUGCAUAUAAUCAGUUUCCUUCCUCAAGCUAUGCAGCAAUGGAGGAACUAUUUAAUCGCAUUACCUCUACCUAAAGAUCCCUCAAGGAAUGAGCCAUCCUUAUAAUGACAUGGAAAAGCUUCCCCAUGCACUCCCCAAGUUCUCUUCAGUUAAGGUACAAUCUAUGAUGCAGUCUCCUAGGUUCACCCCUCCUUUGUAUGCAACAGCAGCAACGUAUAUUGCUUCAAGAAGUCCAUUUUAUCCUAAUUUGCAGUCAGUGAUGGAUCCUCAUUCGCAACUGUUAAUCUAAUAUCAGAGGGGAAGCCUAUUAUCCUUAGUCAUGCAGGAAUUGAAGAUUGCAUUGGCCUUCCCCCAAAGCUGCAAUUCCCCCUUUUAUCACAGAACUUGAAUUUGGAUGGAAUUCCAAAAUUUGACUUUUUCUCUGUUUAUGCCUUUUAAAGGUCAUUCAGCACAUUGUUAUAUUUAAGCCCCUUUGAGUUGGAAGAUUUUGUGGAAGCAUUAAGAUGCAAUUUUUUUCUAACCCUUUGUUUGAUUAUGUCCAUAUUUCUUUAUUACAAACUUUGAGAAAGCAUUUGGAAUUUCUAUCAGAUGAAGGUUCCUAAUCUGAUUUUAAUUGUUCAAGGUGUCUUAAUUGAGGUUUGUUGGAUUCAGUUCGUGGUUAGUUUUCAUGGCUGAUUCCCUACUGAUUCAUGGUUCAGGUUCGAAACCUGGUUUUGAUUUUAGUUGAUUGAAGCUAUUUGACAAUAACCACUGCAAACGACCUGUGGCCGUAAAGUUUGAGAUAUUUCGAUGUCUGUGUGAUGAUGUGAUUGCAGUGGAAGCGCUAAGAUCAGAGCUCAAUAGAAGAUCAUUGGCAGCUGAGCCUGAUAAGGAAUUCAAUCAGAAUGUUUACAUUGAGAUUUGCAAGAAAAGGAAGGCCUGAUGUUAAAACGGAAUGGAUAUCGGAAGACCUGUCACUAAGACAUUUGGCUUUAUCAUUUGUUGGUGAAUCUAUCAUAUAUCCAGAAAUAAACUUACUCAUAGAUGAACUAUGUUAUAAGGCAGACUCGUACCCUUUCUAUGACAAGUGCACAAUUUCCUAAGAAGAUUAGAGAACUACAAUCUGUUACUCAGUCUUACGUCAGUAUAGAUGCUACAACAAAGGACAAAGCUGCCGCCUUGGCUGCUGCUCGCGGUCUUGGACGCAAUGCAAAGAUUGAGUCUGUAAGGCUGCCAAUGUUGACAGUUCUUAAGCUUCAUAGUUGUGAGGGCAUAACUUCAGCUUCCAUGGCUGCAAUAUCGCAUGGUUAUAUGUUGAAGGUAACAACAAGUAGCGUUGAGAUUGGAUCAGGGGAAACUGCAUGGGAGGCGGAUGUUUCUGUCAGCUGUUGCACAGAAAUUGAUAAGACAACUGAAAAUUCAGUGGCGCCUGGGAUCCAUAAAUGUCGAAACUAUCCUAUCCAACCAAACCAAGUAUUCUGAUCUUCUAGCACGCUCCUGCCAUGAAGCUCACUGUCAAGACCUUGAAGGGAAGCACAGCAACAGCGAAAGCAACAUCUUCUACAACCGAGAAUACACAUGGUUUCAUGGCUCCUCCCAAGCCUCACAAAAUUCUAAUGGUGGCUAAGAAGCCCAACAGUGCUCUUUCUAUUGCCUCGGCUCUCUCUAGUGGUCAUAUGUCUACUAGGUGUAGUAGUACAGAAGUCCAUGAAUUUAAUGGAACCUUUCGUGGAUCUAAUGCACAAUAUAAGGUAACAACAGACAAGAAAGCUCCAAAGUUGUUGAAUUAAACAAAGAGCAGUCCAUGUUUAUCAGACUUUGAUGGUCAGAAUUGCUCCUCUGCUUCAAACUGCAUAAUCAUAGAAAACUCAGAUAUAGGCUCGGGGAGUUGUGGACCUGCAAUUGAAAAGAGUACAGGGGACCUAGUUAUGGGAAGAAAAUAUUCAUGUACAUCUAUGACAAUGUCUCUCAGAGAUACAGAUAUGUCUUCACACAAUGUCAAUCGUAUAGAGUCCAGCAUUUAUCUAAAUCCUGAUGUUGUAUAUGAAACUAGUGAGGAUUAUGCAGCUAUGCAGCCCAAUAUCAGUGUAGAUGGCUCCCUUCUUUUCGAUUUUUCAAGUCAAUAUGUGCCUGACUGUUUUGAUCUUCAAUUUAUGCCGAGCAGUGAAGAAAUACUGACCAACAUGAAGGAUGAAAAUGAGAAGCUUUCGAACAGAGAAUACAUGCUUAAGCAGUAAGAUGAAUUUAUCUCAAGAUGCAAUAACAAUGAUGCUGUCAAGGCAAUGGAAAUUCAUCGAAAAACAGAGAAUGCCUCAGUUUUCGAGUCUGAGAAGCUUGGUGUUGCUAUUUCUUGGGAGACAUUUCAGUGAUAAAGUAGAGCAUGCACCGAUUAAGAAAAGGAGCUUUAUAUUUCAGUCUUCAUUACCACCCCCAUGAACUCCUUCUCCUCCCUAUGAGGAUUCAGAACAGCUUGUAGAUAGUCAACAUUCUUCCGAGACGACAAAUGAAGAGAUUGGCGAUGGUAAAGACUUCUCUGGUAUUGAGAUGUUCGCAGCAGCUGCUUGCAAUAACAGCAUAGGUGAUGAUGUGACGGAAUCAACUACAGAGGAUGGUCCAGUUAUGACAUAUAAAGGAAACAACUCAUCUAUUUCUGCAAUGCCUAUAAAAGAAACUAUGCUGUUGUCUGUGUUGCUAUUACGGUUGAUAACCAGGAUGGUACUAAAGGGGAUAUUUGUAUUGAUAAAAGCAAAACUGCUGGUCUGAUUAAUAAUGAGGAGAAACAAGAAACAGAAACCAAACCAGAAGUUGAUCCUAAAGCCACGAGGAAUGAGCCUAUUACAAAGAUAGUUGCUGAUGGAGUACAAUCUGUGUAUAAUGGGAAAGAAGCUAUUGGCAAUGAAGAUCAGGUAGUGGAAAAUGGUGUUGAAUCUACCAUAAGGAAUCCAACACUUGAGUCGGAAUAGUCAGAAAACAAUCUUACACAUGUUAAUGCGCAGGGCGCUGAAUCGGGAAAUGUGGUCUCCUUUAUCAGUUCCUCUGCUUCCAUAAUCAGGAAAAAUAGUACUAAAAAUUCAGAAAAGAACCCUCCAUUUGAAGGACAUGCAAGGCCGAAGUGUUGAAUUAAUUCUAUGGAGAAAUUUCUAUAAUGCGGAAGGACAAAGGCUGCAAAAUAUGUGGGUAUUUCCUGUUCUGGUUGUGAAAUCUGCUAGAAUCAAUGCUUUCAAUGGGAAAGCAGUGGGGACUAUUUCUACCAGCUAGCUAUUCGAAGAUCCAAAAUAUGUUAGGCUUCUUGCAGCUCUCACUCUUGGUCACCUCCCUCAAUAUGAAGGAUUCGCUAGAGCUAGUGGUUUUGUAUCAGCAUGUCGUGCACUGAUAAGCCUGCUUGAAGACCAACCAACAAAAGAAACGAAAUCCAUUACCUAUCAGAAAGACCUGUCUCAAAUCCGUCCAACAGAAGCUGAAUCGGUUGAAACUCGAAUCAUCAUACUUUUCUCCUCUGUUGUGGCUCUCAAGAGGUCUUUAUUUGACACUGGAAGCAAUCCCACUUCUGAAUUUGUAGUUAAGCCCUUUGCUGAGAGAGAAGUGAUUUCUUUUUGUUUGAUUGCACACCUUGAAAGUCAGUGUUUCAGCUGGAGCUAUUAACUCCUGAGCUGCCGAGUGUGAAGGAUGAAACCCACAGAUUUACAAAAAAACUGGGGGCACUUAUUUAACAGCUUGUGAGAGGAGUAAGCGAUCAUAAGAAUCUGAACUCCUCUUGGAGAUGUUUCUCAGGACCAGAAGCUACCCCACUUCCAGCUAUAUUUAUUGGUGAAAAUCUUGAGUCACCCAAUUGCCUACGGAUAGGCAUCCUUGCUUACAGGUAAUCCUGAACAUGGUGUGCAGCUGAAUUAAUAAUCCGUCAUCUGACAAGUCUUGGAGAUGUUCCCUGCUGCUGUUGUGUUCAGAAAGGUCAGAGUGCACAAAGAAGCUUGCUGAAAGUAUCUCAAACAUGCUACAACAAAACAAUCUGUAUACGAAUUUUGAUCAGCCUCGAAAAAUGCCAGAAGAGGGCAGAAUGCGUUUUUGGGAUUCAAUGCCAGUGUCACAGCCUCAAUCACACCUCCAGACUCCACCCACAUAAUUGCCACCUUGCCACAUAUCAUACUCCUAAUGUUUUUUUUCCUUUAUUUUGUGAUUAUAUACAUCUUAAAUAUGAAUUUCAAAAUAUUUUUCCAUCAAAAUAACUUUGGUUUUCUUCAAAAUUCCUUAGGAGCUUCUAGAUAUAAAAUCCAAAUUUUAACAUGCUAUUUGUUGCCACUUUCCUUCGGGCAUGCACUAUCUUCUUUGAUUUUUAACUAUUUUCGUGAUUUCCUUGAUUUUCAACAAAGCAUGAAUAAACUUCAUGAUUCCAAAUAAUGGAAUUCGUAGAAUCAAUUCAUGCAAAAUUAAUUAGGGCUUUGGUGGGGGCCCGACAUUCAUGAUAUUCACUUCAAUAUUGUUUGCUUGAUAUCUGAUUGAUUUUUUUUUAUUCUUCUCGAUGAAAUACUUGAAUUCGCUUUAUAUUUAUUGUUGAGAUAUCCUUGUUUCCCAUAGACGUGUGGAUGCUCGCUAAUCAGGUACGCUCUUACCACCCUACAACUCUAAAAUUCUAUGAAUGUGUACGUUAUCAUGAGCCAUGACUAUGUUUGACGCCAUAAUUGAUUGCCUUGAUGCUUGUUUGAUCAUCUUUGAUAAAAUACAUAUUAUGUGUCAUAUUUUCAAGCUAACCUCUCAUGUUUUAUGAUAGCGCUUGAGAAGCCGUUCAGGUACGCACUUCGACUCUCUCUUAUGGUUGGUUUUCCUGUUAGGCAUGCAAUAUUCAAAAUCACCUAGCCUAUUUAGAUACCUAUAACGUACCGAUUAAUUGCCACACUUCCCUUAACUUAGUCAGUAGAGACCUUUAUAGGGCUUAGAGGGGUGCUACCUUUUAAAGGUACCUUCCCAAUAGGUAACCUGAUCCCCGGACCUAGACUCGGGUUUCUCAAAGACAUGCUUUUUCCAAAACUAUGGAGUCACUUUUUAGGGUUUUUCUUUCUUGUUUUAUUUUCCCUUUAAAAUAAAAAUAAAAUAGGUGGCGACUCCAACUUUUUUAAAAUUAAUUUUUCACAAAUAAAAAAGCGAGUCUCGUCGAUUGAGUGGGGACGCACGUGAAAAAUGCGGGUCCACAAUAUCCUUCCAAAAUUUCAUGCGAAAUGGACUUCAUUUGGUAGGUCCACCAGCAUCCUAAAGCUGGCGACCCAUUUUUCCCACUCUUUGCCGACGACUCCCCUACAUCUCUCACUCGAUUUCCUUUCUUCAUUUUCUUUUCUUCUUCUUCUUUUAAACUCUCACGCCAAUUUCACUAUAUAUAUAUAUAUAUAUAUAUAUAUAUAUAUAUAUAUAUAUAUAUAUAUAUAUAUAUAUAUAUAUGUAUAUGUAUUAUUAAAACAAAUCCUAAAAUACCACGCACAUCCAUUUCUUAAUAAAUUAAAACCAUUAUUCUUAAAUUCACCUUCCGUAAUUAUGAAUUAUACCAAACUUAUGAUUUUCCAUUUCACGAAAAAUACCACCGUAUUCGUAAUUUAAUUUACUACAAGUCUACUCUUCAAAAAGUAUAAUUUGAUUAUAAUUACAUGAAACAUUGUUUUUUUUUACUUUAAAAUUCAUUUAAAACAUGAUAUAAUUAACUAUUAACAAAAUUCAAUUCCAUAAAAUAUUAAAAACAUAAAAUAAUUUUUUGGCAAUCAAGAAGUUGAAAUUUGUAAUAAUAACCCUUAACCCGUUAAUUUUACCUAUAUUUAUUUACCAAAAAAAUUUAAAUAAUAUUCUAAAAUUUAAUUCCAUAAAUUAAUUAGUCAUUCAAUUAAUAAAAAUCAAAUUCUCUACCCUUUGGUAUAACUUUUAUUUAAUUUACUUCAUUUUUCAAAUUAUUCAAUCGCAUCAAAAUUUCAAAAGUUAAAUUCACUAAAUUCACAUUUAAUUAAUUUAUCCUUUUGUAUUUUUUUUUUCUAAAUUCGCAUAUCAUAAUUUAAUCUUAAUUUAAUUUUGAUUCAAUUUUGUUUGAUGUUUUCUAAUUUUAUGAGGUUUAAUUUCAAUUAUAAAAAUUAAAUUCAAUUUCUUUUUAAUUAUCCAUUAUCACAAUUUGAUAUAAUAUAAUUUUUUAUCAAGUUUUUCUUACUAUGAUUUUUCUUAUAAUUAUCCAAUAAUAAUUAAAUUAAUUCUCGUAACAUAUUUAAUAUUCAAAUUUUAAAAACUUAAUCUCAAUUAUUUGAUGGUUAAUUUUUUUCUCAAAAUCUAAAUUUAAUUUAUGAAAUUCUCACUCCUUACAUCUGACGUGGCAAAAUUUUCAAACUAUUGACUUUUGACCAACUUUUCCUAAAUUUAUCCUAAUUAAAUACUAACACAUGGAUUUUCACCACUCUUUUUGACCUUUUGACCCACAAAUUUAUGAAAGACUUUAUGCUUGGAGAAUCUACAAAAACCUGGGUAUUACAAUUUCUCAAGUUGAUAAGUGUCGUGGUUAUGAAGCCACCACUUGAAUACUCAGUCGCCAUUGUAAUGGGCCUGGAUGCAAAUAGUACAUCAUGUUUCUUCAAAAGUUCUCUGCUAAUCUCUGGGAAAGUUGCAGGGACGAGAUGAAAUAUUUCCCAAUUGAAUACAUGCAAUUUCAGUGUUCAUUUCUUUCAUAAAGCCAAUGUAUCCACCAGAAAGUUGUCUUGUUGUUGAGUAAAUGAGGUAGAUAUUGCACUAGUGGCCAUGGAGCUAAUCCUGGAGGAAGUUGUAUCGGCUUGCAUUUGGUACUUGUUUUGGAUUUUAAUUUAGUGAAGAUAGGAAAGAUUGAUGUGAUGAAAAGCAGCAAGAGGAAGUUGAGAUGAGACAACACAUCAUCUGUGGUAGUAGAAGAAAACAAGGUUGAGUUACUACUACUACUCUCUGCAACAAAACCAUUUACACGUCUUUCAUAGCAAAACCAUGUUUGUCCUAUCUUGGGUCUGGAUGCACAUUUUUAAUAUUGGGGAAAUCAUGCAACCAAAUGUCACACACAAAGAGAGAGAAAAAAAUACGUUUUUUAGAACUUGAAAAGGUAAAGUGGGACAAAAAAUAUUAUCCAUUCUUGAACUCUAAAAGUAAAGUUAUAAAAAGCUUAGUUUUUUUUUUUUUUUUUGUUAUGUAUGAUUGCAUGAUUUCCCCCUUUUAAGAUUUUAUCUCAUAAAAUUUUUUUCUAGAAGGUUCAAAUAAGUUUGAUGAAUAUUGUUUAUUUUAGUAAUUUUAAUUUUAUGGGGUACUUAAAACAUUAGAAGUUCACAAAAAGCAACAUUUAUAAGCUACCUAUCUAAAAAGCUUGCCCUAAUCAUUGAAAUCCAAAAUAUAAAGUGACAACACACUUUUUAAAGAAAUUUUCAAAAUAGUUUUUAAAAAUACAUUUAUUUAUGAUAUUUUUAAAAUAAAAAUCUCAAAAAUAACUUGUUUAUAUAGUGUUUUAUUAGACAAAUACUUGAUCUUUAUAAGAUCACCCUAAUUAUAGAUUUAUGAACAUGUAACACAACAAUUAUCUAUAUGUAUACUUAGAAUUAUUAUAUUUUAAGUUUUUAACUACAUAGGACAUCAUGAGUUUUUCCACCAUUUAUCUUAUAAUAAGUUUAUUUAAAUAUGAUAAAGGAUAUAUUAUCUCAUUUCUUAUUAUAUCUGAUGCUAUAUAUAUAUAUAUAUAUAUAUAUAUAUAUAUGUAACAAAUCAAAUACAAUUUAAAGAUUUUAAUUAACCAUCUAUUAGCAACAAAGCAAUCUCUUAAUCUCAUUCAUAAUAUUAGGAUAAUUUAGUAUUUCCUUUUAUAAAACACUAGCAUAUAAAUCAACACAAAUCAUAUUAAGGGUGUAUUUGGUGUUGAUUUUAGGAAGCGUUUUUAGUAUUUCUAAUACUUGAAAGAUAAAAAUUAUCAAGUUUUAGAAAGAUCAAAAGCGCUUUUUAGAAUGACUAUCAAAUACAUGCUAAAUAUUACUUUUGGAUACUUAUAUUUUUAAAUAACUCUUAAAACUUUUAAGGCAAGUCUCUACUAUUUAUAUAAAUCCCCUAUUAUUUUUAAUUUUUAGAAACAAAAAAUAAAGAAUAGAAACUCCAUUUAAACAUCGCCUUAUUAUUUCCUAUUAUAAAAUAACACAAAUCAAAUGAAUUAUUUAAAAAUAAAUAAAUAUAAAAUCAAAGUUGAAGAGAAAAAACUCUUGUGCAUUAAAAAAACAUCAAAAUAAAUAAAUAAAUAAAACAUCAUCAAAUAAAUAUAAAAAUAAAUUAAUGUUAUGGAAAAAUGAGAAUAGGCAACAAGAAAAUAAGAACACAGAUUUACAUGAAAAAUGCUAGAUGGGAAAAACCAUGGAUAGAGGAGAAGAAAAUCCACUAUAUUAAAAAUUUGGUAUAAAAUGUGAGAGAAUCAAGCGAGUAUUGUAUAGGCAUAAUCACUAUGACCCUAAAUCCUAUACAUCAUCGCAUAUGUAUGGUGUAUGCGAUAAUAUUUGUGAUAAUAAAAAUAUUGUCGCAUAAAAUAACUAUGGGAUGUAAUAUUUGUAAUAAUAUUCUUUACAAAAAAAUAUUUUUUCUUUGCUUUAUUCACUUUGAUCACAAGUUGAAAUAAGACAAUAAAAAUAUUUUCUUAAUUUUUGAAAAUUAAUUGAGGACUUAGAGCUACUUGUUACUGAGUGAAUUUGCUGAAUGGUGAAGAAUGCGUGUAUAGUAGUUUUGCAAAUUUUCAAACUUGUAGACAUAUUUUGUGAAGUCUUUUUCUCUUUGUAAAGCCCCAUUUUCUAUGUGAAGUUAUUUUUUCAAUAUUCUCUUUGGAAGGAAUUUACCAUUAGUUAUAUAGGUAAGAUUAAGGAAUUAAAUUUGGAAUUCUUAAGAUUUGAUUGCUUAAUUCAAAGAAUUUGGUUCAAGGGAAAUUUGCCAACAAAAUAAUAUUUAUUUUUAAUUCUAUGAUGACUUUAAUUAUUUGAUAUAAUUUUAUUUUGAAAGACUUGAUGUGGGGGACUCAUCACUUAUUGAGUCCAAAUUUUGUUGCACCCAAAUUUUUAUGAGCUAAGAAACCAUAAUUUUAAAGACCAAUUCAGUGGUAAGUGAAUAUGCUAAAAUCUUCUAUGUACAAAUGACCUCACUUCAAGGUGCAACACAUACAUGUAUUAUUAUGUGUAUGGGAUGAGUCUUGAAGUUAGUCUUCAUUCUUCUUUGAUUUUUUUUUUCUUCAAAUAAAUAAAUAAAACAUCAUCAAAUAAAUGUAAAAAUAAAAUAUGUAUCGGUUAAUUGGAGAGGAGAGCUUUAAGGGCAUUUCUUCUAUGAAAUUCUAUGCUCCACGUACCAUAAAUUUGUACUCAACCAACAAAAUUACAGAAUGGGUCCAUGCACAAACAAAAAUAACCUAAAUGUAAAUAUCUAAAAAUGUAUAAAGUUCACAAUAGAUAUUCAAGCCCAAAUUUAAAUUUCAAAUUAGUCCAACAGAUUUCAUCAAUCAAAAUGGGUCCAAAUUAGCAAAUAUAACCCAACAAAAAUAUCUCAUAUGUCAUAGGCCCUAAUUUAAAAUUUUCAAAUUAAUAGCCAAACUAUAAGUUCAAUUAAUCAAACCCAAAACAUGAUAAAUUAAAAUAAAUCUCAUUAGGCCUAAACUUAAUAUCCCAUAAUUCAAUAUAUAAACCUAAAUCCACAAUCAAAAUCAACCCAAUUUAUGCUAAUCCUGAUUUACAAUCAAAAUCAAACAUAAUUUAAUAAGUAAAUAACUAAAUAAAUUAAGCAAACUCAAAACACCCAAACCACUACAACAUAAAUCAAACAAUAAUAAAUAUAAUGACAAUAAUAAUAAUAAUAAUAAUAAUAAUAAUAAUAAUAAUAAUAAUAACAAAAUAAAAUAAAAUAAAAAUAAAAAAUUUAACUCACAUCGGAGCCAGUUUGAAUGUCUUGGGAAAGAAAGAAAAUGAGAGAAAAGUGAGAGAUGAUUGACAACUGACAGUGGCUCACUGGCGGCGACUGGCUAGUGGUCCUACCGAUGGUAGUGAGGAUUGAUUGGUUUUUGGGAAAAAAAAAUAAAAUGAAGAAAAGAAAAUGAGGAGUAAUAAAAAAAAUGGAGAAAUUAGAGGAAUGUGGGAGAAGAAUGGAGAGAGAGAACGUAGAAAAUGAGUGAAAAGAAAUGAGGCUAGUUGGAGGAGAAAGUGGUAGUGUGUGAGCUAAAGUGAAGAAGAAUAGAAGAAGAAAAUGGAGAAGAAUGGGGAAAAAAAAUCCGCCUCCCUAAAUGAAGAGAGGUGGGUAGCCUAAAGAAGAAGAAAAAAAAUAAAAUAAAAUAAAAUGGGUAGAAAAUGAGAGGGGGUUGGUGGUCUUGUGAAUGAGGUGGUAUGCGUUAGAGAGAGAGAGUGGGUGGGGUUGUUGGGGAAGGUAUGAGAGAGAGAGGAGAGAGAAAAGAAAAAAAAGAAAGAAAAGAAAAAAGAUAAUAUAAAAUAAUAAUAAUAAUAAUAAUAAUAAAAUAAAAUAAUAUACAAAAUAAUAAAAACUAAUAAUUAAAUAGUGAGUGAGCAAAAAAUAUCAUAUGUAAUCGGGAUUUAAUUUUAAGAGUAAAGUUGGGUUAAAAAUUAAUGUAAAAUAAAAUUGAGACAAAUUUUGGGGUAUACAAAUAUGCUGAUUCGACUCAUGGUAGCUCAGCUUUAAAGGCGUAUCAACAAAAUUUAUACCUUGAAUACUAUUACUAAAGUAGCCAAGCUACUAUAGCAUAGUGGUUCUAGGAUCGUUCACUGGGAAGGGUUUUCGCAAACACUAGUGAUAUUCAAAUUAGGAAAAUUGGUGAUUUUUUUUAUGGAUGUUAGCUUUAAAAGAAGAUGUAAAUGUUUUAGAAAGAUUUAAACUAAUCUAAGCUAACAUUAAAGACUAAAAUGAAAGGGUGUAAAAACAAGUUUCUCAAAGAUAGGAUAGCUAUGCUCUGGCUCUUAUGCAAAUUGGAAAUCUCAGGAUAGGCUCCUCGCGUUGGGGUUGCAACUAUGGUGAUGCUUGCUUCCCGAACCGGUAUGGAUUUAGCAAAUCAAGUUUUAAUCCUUUAAAAUGACAAAACAGAUGGUAGUGAAUUUCAUCAAUGGUUAUUCACCUUAGACUUCCUUUGAAUGGCUCGUAAGAGAUAACUAAUGGUCUAAAGCCAAAAGCUUACCAAAUAUUGGCAACUCAAAGUCAUUCCAAGUGAUAAACUCACCUUUCAAUGGCCAUUGAAAUUGGUUCUAACGGAUUAAUGAAAAACUUGGAAUUGAAAACCUCACCUUCCAAUAGCUCGUAGGAGAUAACUAAUGGAUAGAAAUCUAAAAGCUUAUCAAGUAUUGGCCGUUGGAAGUUGUUCAAAGGAAAUAAAAACCAAACUUUGCAUUAAUGAACCUUUAAUGAAAAACGUCUACCUUACCUUCCAGGUGCGAGAAAUUUCCAUGGGAUUGCAUCCAAGCCAUCACAUAACAUCCAUACUUUGAGAAACUAAAAGUUUUAGUCAAUCAUCCUCUAAGGAAAAGCCCUCAGAGGCUAUUUGGCUACUAAGAAAAUAGAAAUGGGAAAGAACAGGAGAAACGAGAGAGCUCUGUAUCUAUUCUAAGUGUAAAACGUAAUAUAUCUUCUAUAUGAUCCAAGAGGUGAUUUCCACCCCUUAUAUAGUCUUUACAAAAGCAAAAGCUUGUGAUUGGUUAGUUACAAGGAUAAGAAAGGAAAUUACAUCACAAAAUACAAAGGAAAAUAUCUAAAGUGGAGUCGGCAAAAGCAGAGGAAAAUUCGCAACACGCAUGGGUUAUGCGAAUUUUGAAGGUGUUAUGCGAAUUUCGCAUAACACCUUAUGUUAUGCGAAAUUUUCGCAUAACCUGGAGCAGUUGGCUUCCGAAGGCCAUAUCUUCCUCAUUUAAACUCCAAAUCAUGCACGGUUUGAAGCGUUGGAUGAGCUUUGAAAUGGUAUAUAGUAUGUAAAAAAUGGACUUCGGAAAGUGCUCCAAAAGUGCGAAAGAAGACUGCAGCUGCUGUCCUCUGUUUUCCUCUUCUCCAUUGUNNNNNNNNNNNNNNNNNNNNNNNNNNNNNNNNNNNNNNNNNNNNNNNNNNNNNNNNNNNNNNNNNNNNNNNNNNNNNNNNNNNNNNNNNNNNNNNNNNNNUUGUCUUAAUAUGACAUGAACUCUCCCAAAUAAAAAAUAAAAAUAAAAAUCUAAAACCCUACAAAAAUGGCCAAAACGAAAACUCCUAAGGUGCCUCUAAAGUUAUACUAUGGAUCUAAACUCCCUUAGAAAAGCCUCCAAAAAUGGCCCAAAAAUCGGUGUCAAAAUCGAGUAGCAAUCAGACCACUAAGGAGCACAUCAACAAAUGCAUACAAAGGGAAAAAAACCAUACGUGUACCAUACGAUGACAAAAGGCAUAAGGUAUCCAACAAUAUGACUGAUUCACGUGUUACGAGCUCAAAGAACUUUGUCAUGCACCAUGGAGGAAGGGAAACUCUAGAAUAAUGUGAUGAGGAAGUUAUUAGCACAAUGUAACAAAGUGAGGAAAAAAGUGAUGACUGCAAAGCUGUGAUGACUGCAAAGCUGUGAGGACAAGGUGCACAAUGCUAAUGAAUAUGAAAUGAAUAGCACUAGGCUAUAAUGCAAUGAAUAGCUCAAGGUUGUACCAUAAUGAACAAGUCAAGGAUGUGUAAAGAUGAGGAAUAACUCGAGGUUGUAAUGCAAUGAACAACUUAGGGUUGUGAAUGCAAUGAACAACUCAGCGCAAUGAAUGAAAUGAAUAGCUAAGGGCUGUGAAUGCAAUGAACAACUCGAGGUUGUGGAUGUAAUGAACAACUCAUGGUCAUGGAUGCAAUGAACAGCUCAGGGCUGUAGAUGAACAACUCAGGGUUGUGGAUGUCAUGAACAACUCAAGAAUAGGGGCACUGUACACCCAAAAUGGGAGAUCACGAUCUACGAUUCCAAGUCAAACCACUAAAGGGUGACCAAAAUGAGGGUGAUCAACUCACUAAAAAAGAUGAUCAAAAUGUCUUAAGGGAGAGGAGAUGCCCCAGAUGAAACUUAAAGGAAAUGAGUAGUGCUAAUGAAACUAAAAAAAGAAAAAAAUGUCACAACUGAAAUUGAAAAAAUAGCAAACUUAGAUUAAAGUGCAAUGAACAACUUUGGGAUGUGGAUGUGAUGAAUAGUACCGUGUUGUAAUGAAAUGAAUAACUCUAAGAUAUGGGCAUUGUACGCCUAAAGAGGGAGAUCGUGGUUUACGACUCCAAGUCAAACCACUAAAGGACGACUAAAAUAAGAUGAUCAACUUACUAUAAAUGAGAAUGCAACUAUCUCGAGAAAAAGGGUAUGCCCCAAAUGACACUCAACAGUAAAAGAAUGACACAAAAGAAACUAAUACAAGAGGAUGCCACAAAUGAAACUGAAAUGAUAACAGACUCAGUACUAAUGUGUAAUGAACAACUUUGGACUAUGGAUGCAAUGAAUAGCACUGGGUUGUAAUGAAAUGAACAACUCUAAGAUGUGGGCACUAUACGCCUAAGAAAUGAGAUCAUAGUUUACGACUCUAAGUCAAACCGCUAAAGGGCGACUAGAAUAGGAUAAUCAACUCACUAAAAAUGAGGAUGCAACUAUUUCGAGAAAGGGGGUAUGCCCUAAAUGACACUCAACAGUAUAAGAAUGACAUAAAUGAAACUAAAAUAAGAGGAUGCCACAAAUAAAACUAAAAUGAUAACAAACUCAAAACUAAUGUGCAAUGAAUAACUCUAGGUUGUGGAUGCAAUGAACAACACUGGGCUGUAAUGAAAUGAACAACUCUAAGAUGUGGGCACUAUACGCCUAAAGAGGGAAAUCACGGUCUACGACUCCAAGUCAAACCACUAAAGGGUGACUAGAAUAGGAUGAUCAACUCACUAAAAAUGAGAAUGCAACUAUCUCGAGAAAAGCGGGAUGCCCUAAAUGACACUCAAUAGUUAAAGGAUGACACAAAUGAAACUAAAACGAAAUGAUACUACAAAUGAAAUUGAAAUGAUAACAAACUGAUAACUAAAGUGCAAUGAACAACUCUAGGCCGUGGAUGCAAUGGACAGCUCAAGAAUAGGGGAACUGUUCGCCCAAAAUGGGAGAUCGUGGUCUGCGACUCUGAGUCAAACCACUAAAGGGUGGCUAAAAUCAAAAUGAUCAACUCACUAAAAAUGAGGAUCUGAACAUCUCAAGAAAGGGGUUAUGCCCCAAAUGAAACUGACAAUAGAGGGAUGCCCUAAAUAGACUGAAGAAAGGAGGAUGCCCUAAACAAACUAACAAAAAAUGGAUGCCUUAAACAAACUGACGGAAGUGAAAUGCCCUAAAUAAACUGACCAAAGAAGAAUGCACUAAACAAACUCCGAGAAAAAAAAAAAGAAGUAUGCGAUAUAGAAUCAAAGACACCUAAAGCAAAAACAAGAAACAAAGAAUGUGGUUUACAACUAGAAACACCCAAAAGAACCUUAAAGAAGUGACUGGGAUAAUGAACUUAAUGAAAAUGGGGUAUGCCACAGUAAAAGACUCGGAAGUAUCAGCAAAUGGGUCAAACGACCAUGAAAUCAAUAGGAGAUAUGAUGAACCCAAAAAGGGCAUAUGCCCUAACAAAAGAACACUAAAAGGGGGUAUGCCUCGAUAUGACGACUCACAAUAAUUAAGAAAUGGAUCGAGCAAUGAGAAAAUCUGCAAAAUAUCUUAUGAACUCAAAGAUGGGGGUAUGCCCCAGUGUAAAAUAGUGACCAACAUAAGACACAGAAUGUCACCAUACAAUACACUCUAGGAUAUGCUCAAUGACAAUGUAAUGAAAACAAUAGCCUCAAUCAACAAAUGUUCAAGCAAGACCAUGCAUCACAUAAACUAAAAUAAUAAGCUAAACAAAUGCUANNNNNNNNNNNNNNNNNNNNNNNNNNNNNNNNNNNNNNNNNNNNNNNNNNNNNNNNNNNNNNNNNNNNNNNNNNNNNNNNNNNNNNNNNNNNNNNNNNNNAUGUCCAACGAAGGAAACUGGGUAUCCAAGUCAAACCAAGUAUGUUGAGGAAACUGAACCCAUAGGACAAUAACUUUAUGAUCCAUUGAAAAUAGCAAUCAUGAAUAGAAGGUCGAGUCUCGAUGUCAAAAUCAACAAGGUGGCAUUGCCCCAGUAUGAAUACAUCUUCUCAAAAUGGGUAAACCCUCAGUGCAAGAUAAUCUCUAGAAAGUAUGUGUCUAGUAUAAACUAUCAUCUCACAAAAUCUAUCACUGAUGAGUGGGCUAUACCCCAGUGUAAGCAUUUCCAAAUCAAACAUCGAUGAGAGGAGUACAACCAAUGAUAAAUAAUAUGAUCAAAACAAAUCUCCACUCCUCAAAGUCAUCAUGGUAACGUGAAGAGAGUAUCUAACCUCAUUUAAAGAAAGAUCAUGUCCCAAUGUGAAAAAUAUCAAGCAAAGUGGUAUGUCUCAACAAAAAUGCACUCUAACAUGAUCAUGCUUAGAUGUAAGCUGGUAUCUUUAAGAUCAAUCACCAAUGAAAGGGUUAUGCCCCAGUAUAGGGCAAUCUCUGAAAUGACUAAAAUCCGCUACAAGCUCUCACAAGUGUCUAUGUCAUGAACUAAUCAUCUCAAAAAAUAAAAUAAAUAAAUAAAUAAAUAAAUCUAUCAAUAAUGAUGAGAAGGUUAUGCUCCUAUAAUCACAUCAAGAAAAUCACCCGGUCAUAUCUUGUACUCCAAUGUGAAAGGAAAAUAUGAUCACCUCCAAAGAAUGGCUAUGCCCCAAAAUACAUCAUUGAUUGAGAAAUAUGCCCCUCCGUAAAGUACAUCAACUGAAAUAUGCCAAUCAUGCCUCAUGCUCCAAUGUGAAAAAUGACGUAUAAUAUUCUUUGAGGGAUGGUCAUGACUCAAAAUCCAUCAUCAGUUGAGAGAAGUAUGCCCUGACAUAAUGGUCAUCUAAAAAAUCAAUCCUCGACUAAGAAAUGUGUGCCUUGAUGUGAUGUAUCAAGCAAAAUGGCUGCAUACCCCAUAAAAACUCUCUAAGGUGGCUAUGCCCCAAUGUUGGAUCAUACCACAACUCCUGGUCUAUCACAAUCAAAAUGCUCUCCAACCAAUCCCAAGUAUCGCCCACAUGAGAGCUAUCAAACACAAUGUGUGAUGUCAUGGCCUCAAGGUGGUCUUAAGAUUCGGGACGUAACAUAGGCUAGGGUAAUAAGGUGAAGAAAUGAAGGAAAACUAGGCUUAAUAAUCCUAAUGAUAAAACCCCAUACCCUUAUGUAUAAAAUGCAAUAUGUGCAAAGAGUCUCAUAAACCAUGGAUCUAAGGACACCCAAUAUGAAUAUAUCAGUGAGGAAGAAAGAAUCUAAGAUGAAUAUAUCAAUGAUAAAAGAGAAGAAAUGAAGAAUAUCAAACUGUUGAUGGGAUGUAUAAGAAUGAUGUGUGGAAAAUAUUGAACAUGGAAUGUAAAUUGAUAUGAACAAAGAACAAUGUAGGCAAGGCAAAUGCGAUAUCAUGAUAAGAACAAAUAAAUCGAAGAAAAAUGAAUGACACUAAUCCACUCAAAUCAAGUCAUGAGAAUAGUCAAAUCACCCACGUAUGUAUGAUGGANNNNNNNNNNNNNNUGAAAGUUCACAUACGAACUUUCAUAAGCAACUAACUCAAUAAAGCAACCUCAAUGACCAAUAUAUACACUCAAUAAAGGAUGACACUGUAUACAUGUGUUUAUUACUUUUUCUUUUUCAUUUUUUUUUCAUUUUUUUCAUUUUUUUUUCUUUUACUCGCACAUACUCUGAAUAUCAAUAAAUGAACUUCUCUGAGAAUACAUAAUGAAAUGGAUAUACUCUCAAACAAUGAUGUAAGCGAACUCUCUCUGACAAGAUGACCCUCUAAAUUAAGGAUUUCCAAACUAACGUCCAUGAGAUACGAGUUGAGGGGGAUAUGACUAUCUUCCCUGCACCAAAAUGUGAAAGAUCAUCACUCAAGGCAUAAAAAAAUGUGAUGAAAAAAAUAAAGAUGAAACAAAAGAUAUAAACAAUGAAGUAUGAUGAAGAAUGAUGUUGGGACAACAAAAAAAUAGUGAAGAAGGUGAGCCAAUAAGUCCACAACUCAUGAAACUCUCGAAUAAAAUAUAUAUACACCAAAAGACCCUUAUCCCGGUGUAAAAUGUGAGCAAGGAUAUAAGAAAGAAAAGACUAUGAUGCUCAUGUGAGGUUCAAAGGGCUAGCAAUGGUCCAAAUAUCAAUAAAGGUAAUAGGGUGUGAGCUAACCAAAAUGAAGGUCACAUAUCCUACGACCAUGGUCUCAAACAUCAUGCUCUUAAGCUUUCAAAUGAUCGAUACUGAAAAUCGAUGUCCAUUUGAUAUAAACACGUCAACUCUUUGGAAUUGUGCGCCAAACCAUACUCCAAAUGCUCCAUAAUAAUCUCAAAGAUAAUCAUCUCAAAGCAAAGUAAAUGGCGAUCUCAUAAGGCACAACUACUCAUCACAAGCCAACUCUCAUCAUGCAAGAUCAAUCUCUAUUUUCAUGGAAAAAUAAGUGACAAUCUCAUCAGGAAAUCGACCAAUCCUCACAUCGUAAACCAACCAAAGAUCAUAAGUCAUUCAUUGCCAUGCAAGAUCAAUCCCAGGCUCAAACUCCUCAUACUCUACCUGGUUGGAUUAGAGAAGAAAUGGGCAAAGCUAGAAAAACUGAAGAUGGAAAGGUCAUAUAAUGGUGUCAAGGGUGAUAUUGUGCAAAACUCACAAUGGAUGGAUGUAGGUCAAAGCAAAGUCAAUGUGUGAGAGUGAGUAAGACACUACUCUGAUCAUAAGAAAAUGGGUCACAAUCUCAAACUCCCAAGGUCAACUCUCCGAUCUUAGGCUAAUAAGCUCAACAUCCUCCAUGAUAGGUCAACCCCCAAGAAUGUGCAAAUGAAUAGAUGCCUCAAGUCAAAAGUACAACACAUCAUAUGAUAUAUGGUUCUACGAUGACAAUCUAAAACUUAAAAUAUGUUAGAAACUCUAAGGUCAUAAAGGUGUCCACUAUGAGAUGACUACAAAUGUGACUAAGGAAUCUUUAUCAAUAAUCCAAAAAAUGAAUGAGGUGUGAAAAACAACACUAUCAUGAGAUCGUUACCCCAUCAAUAACAAAAUAUCUCUAAUUCACUUUCAAUCUAAGCUCUAUAAAGAAAAACAAUAAGGUUAUAAAGGCAAACCUCUCAAAAAUGGUGUGAAUGUGAAAACAUGCCUUCACCUUUCUAUAAUGAAAAUAUCAGGUUGAAAAUAGAAAUAGGCAAAUCGACCAAAGAAUGAAGUACAAAGUCCAUGAUAGGUGAAGAAUGUAAAAAGGUGAACAUGAUCAAUGAACAUAUCCCAAAACAUCAAGCAUAAAGUGACAACAAACCGAAAGAAUGUGUCGACUUAAGGAAAUAAGACUAUCUGAAGCCCCAGGGAGAAAAUGUGCUAGACUUAACGAGCGAUAAGAAGAAACUAAAACUAUAUAGCAAGGGGUGGUCCAACUGAUACUCAAACUUGCAGCAAUAUCUAAGCACUCUCGAUUGGAGACCAAAAGAUGGAGUAUUGGAUCCAUACUGUGACUAAAGCGGCCUCGAAGGCUCUCAGAUGCAGCCACGUGAGGAAAGGAAAUCCUAAUUAAAAAUAUCUAAAGGUUAACCUACAAGGUCAAGGCGGCUCUAAAAAGAAAAAUUGAGUGGACUUUAAAGGAUCCUUAGCAAAAGCGAUCAUACCCUCCGAUGGUAUGCAACCUCCUACACGUCUUGAAAGAUACGGGAUUGAUUCCAUGCAAGGUGGUCAUCACCUCCACACAUGCACUAUCUCAUAUCUUAGAGGGUUUCCUAAUGAUGAAGACUCUUACAUCUCUCAACACUUAGUGGUAAUCUAAGGUGCACAGUGAACGGUGUGGGUUCAUCCGAAAAUCCUAUCAAACUAAGCAAAGAGAAAACACACUGGUCACACAAAUAUCCUGAAAUCUAGCUCUAACCUAUACAAGUCUUCAAAGAUUGGACUCCAAUUAGCAUUAAUGUUUCGACCUUCUCCAGAAUGCUCCCAAACAUAGAUAUAGUCCACCAUUAAACCCUACUCCGAAUCACUAGCUCGGUCGAAGAGCAAACAAAGUAACAAGUCUCAUAUCAAAUACGAGAUCAAGGGGAACACGGUCACCCGAGACUAGGGAAUUGGAGAUAAGGGGAUAGAUGUGUGUCCCACAUAGACAAGCAGCAUGCAUCACACAGAAGAAGAAUAGUUAUGCAAUAGACAACCAAGCAAAUAAUAGGUAUAUCAUUCAUAUAUACACACAAGCUAAACAAGAAAUAGGUAUAUAACAAGAAUAAACAAUAUGUUCAGAUAAACAAGAUAAUAUACAAUAAAGAGAAUCAAUCAUGCCAAUAUGAAUGAGAUAUAUAAAAAUGAGAAUAUACAUGUCAAGGAGAGCAAGAUAAUCAUACAACAAGAAGAGUCUUAUGUUAAAGCAAGCAAGAGAAUCAAUUGAUGUAGUCAACAUGUCAAUAUCGCAAAUGAACAUAAUAGCCAAAUAUGCAUCAUAAAGAAAAAAGGGUAAUCAUGCAGCACACAGUCAUACAAAAAAAAUACAGACAAACAUAAGCAAAUAAAUGUAAACACACAUGAUAACAAAAAUCAAUGUAUAGUAAGGCACAUGUAAUAUAUACAUAAAAUAAUCAUCAAGUCAACACUCAUAUACCUUAAAACAUGAAAAUAUACAAUAAAGACACAACGAGAGGGUGUUCACUGAUCGAUUAAUCAAACGCUACAUUUCCCUUAACUCGAGUUCAAGUUUGAUCCUUUAAAUAUACCUAGUGGAGUCGCUAUUUUGUGGACCCACAUUUUUCACAUGCGUCCUUACACAACAACGAGACUAAUUUUUUUUAUUUGGUGAAAAUUUGAUUUUUAGAAAAAAGACUUUGAGUCGUCACUUAUUUUUAUUUUUUUUAAGGGAAAACAAAAUAAGAAAGAAAACCUUGUGUGACUCCUUAUUUGAGAAAUACAUGUAUGCAAAAACCAAAUCUGGAUUCGAGGGUCAAGUUACCUAUUGGGAAUGUACGAUGGUGAGCUGUAGCACCUCUCUAAGCUCAUAUACGUACGGUCUCUACUAAACGAAUUAAGAGAAUUGUGGUAAUUAAUUAAUUAGUCAUGGAUAUCAAGAAAAAGAAUUUCACAAAUGAGUACGUACAAAUCAUAAUAAAAAAAAAUCAAAUUAUGAGAAUAGACAAAAUAAAUAACAAAAGAAUUGUGCAAAGUGAUUUAUUAAACUAAAUAAAAAAGAAGAUAUUAAAAAAAUUAAUUUUCAAGAAAUUUCAAAGGAUUUUAUUAAAAUGAUUUUGAAUUCAUGAUUUUAAUUUAUUUAUUUACAAAAAAAAAUGUCAAUUUAUUUUCUUCAAGUAAUUUGAUUCAAUUUCAUUUGUAUUCAAUUUUUUUUUAAAAAAAAAAAGUUAUUUACACUCAUGGUUGUUAAAAGAAUUAUUAACAAAAUUUCAAGUUGACAAUAAAAAUGAUUUUUACUUGCUUUUACUUGAAAACAAUGAAUUUUUACAAUUUUAUUAACAAAAGCAUUUCAAUUUAAGAAAAGUGACUUAUACAAAUUAUUAAAAAAAUAUAACUUUAUUUGCAAAAGGAUUUUUAAUUAAAAAGAAAAAAUUUAAAUCAUCUAUUUCUAAAAAUGACUUUUAAUCCCAUAUUAAUUAAGGAAAAAAUGAGUUAUUUAAAAAAACAUUUUUUGGACAAUUUGAAUAAAAAUUAAUUUUUGGGACAACUUUAUUUACAAAACAAUUUUUAGACAAUUAUUAUUAAAAACAAAUUUUCAAAUUCUAUUAACAAUAAUUUUUUGGAUUUUUCCAAACACAUUUUUAUGAAUUUUUAUUAAUAAAAUUUUUUUUUAUUAAGAAGAAUAUUGUUUGAGCUAUUAUUUUAUUAAAACAUGUUUAUUGAAUUAUUCUUCUUAUUCAAACAAAAUUUUUAAUUUGUUCGAUAUCCAAUUCUGUACACAACAAGUAAAUAUAUGCAAACAAAUAUUUAUAGAAACUAAUAAAAAUAACUGUACACAACAAGUAAAUAUAUACAAACAAAUAUUUAUAGAAACCAAUAAAAAUAAAACCAAAUAGAAGUGAGAAAUAAAACAUGUACUUAAACAAGCUUACAACAAGCUCAAUGUCUUCCUAUGACUUUCCGAGUCUCACUUUCUUUCAUUAAAUUUUAUGCUCCACGUACCAUAAAUCCGUACUCAACAAAAAAAAUUGUAGAAUUGGCCCAUGCAAAAACAAAAAUAACACAAAUGUAAAUAUCUAAAAAUGUAUAAAGUUCACAAUAGAUAUUCAAGGCCAAAUUCAAAUUUCAAAUUAGUCCAACAAAUUUCGUCAAUCAAAAUGGGUCCAAAUUAGCAAAUAUAACCCAACAAAAAUAUCUCACAUGUCAUAGGCUUUAAUAUAAAAUUUUCAAAUUAAUAACCAAAAUAUAAGUUCAAUUAAUCAAACCCAAAACAUGAUACAUUAAAGUAAAUCUCAUUAGGCCUAAACUUAAUAUCUCAUAAUUCAAGCCUAAUUUAAUAUAUAAACCUAAAUCCACAAUCAAAAUCAACUCACUUUAUGCUAAUCCCAAUUUACAAUCAAAAUCAAACAUAAUUUAAUAAGUAAAUAACUAAAUAAAUUAAGCAAACUCAAAACUCUCAAACCACUAUUGCAUAAAUCAAACAAUAAUAAAUAUAAUAAAAAUAAAAUAAAAUAAAAUAAAAAUAAAAAAUUUAACUCACGUUGGAGCCAGUUUGAGUGUCGUGGGAAAGAAAGACAAUGAGAGAAAAGUGGGAGAUGAUUGUUAGCUGGUAGUGGUUCGCCCGCGGCGACUGGUCGAUAGUCCUACCAACGGUAGUGAGGAUUGAUGAGUUUUGGGGAAAGGAAAAAAAAGAGGAGUAGUAAAAAAAAAAUGAAGAAAUGAGAGGAAGGUGGGAUAAGAGGGGAGAAAGAGAAUUAAGAAAAUAGGGGAAAAGAAAUGAGGCUGGCUGGAGGAGAAAAUGGCAGUGUGUGUGAGCUAAAGUGAAGAAGAAUGAAAGAAGAAGAAAGAGAAAAAUGGGGAAGAAGGAGAAAAAAAUUCGAGCCCCCUAAAUGAAGAAAGGUGAGUAGCCUAAAGAAGAAGAAAAAAUAAAAUAAAAUAAGAAAAAAUGAGGAGAAAAUGAGAGGGCCAAUAGUCUUGGGAAUGGGGUGGUAUGGGUGAGAGAGAGUGGACGGGGUUGUUGGGGAAGGUAUGGGAGAGAGAGGAGUGAUAAAAGAAAGAGAAAAAAAACAUAAUAAUAAUAAUAAUAAUCAUAAAUAAUAUAUAAAAUAAUAAAAAUUAAUAUUUAAAUGAUGAGUGGGUCCAAAAUGUUAUAUGUAAUUGGGAUUUAAUUUUAAGAGUAAAAUUGGACUAAAAAUUAAUGUAAAAAUAAAAUUGGAACAAAUUUUAGAAUCUACAAAUACAUUCUUUAAUCUUUCCACAACAUCAAUCUGAUCUAAAUGAAAUGCAAUAAAUUCUAAAAAUGAUACAAUCUUUAAUCAAUCCACAACAUCAACCCGAUCAAAACUCAAUGCAAUAUUGCUUAAUGGAGAGAAUCGUAAACUCCUUUUAUGAGAGGAAAACAAAACCCUUAACAGACCUUUAUGAGAGGAAAAUAGGAAAACAUAGAACUAAAAACCCUUAACGUAUUCACGAGAAUAAAAAAUUCUUAACACCUUAAUAAGAGGAAAACAAAGAAUUUGAACAAUCCUUAAUCCAUCAAAAGCUCUUAAUAUGAACGAGGGGAAAACAUAACCUUUAUUUUUCAGAUAGUUGAAUAAAGAAUCUAAAGAGAUAGAAUUUUUAGUUAUUAAGGAUUUUUUUAUAGAUGUCUAUUGAAAGUUUAAGAACUUUUAUGGAUAAGUGUUAAUUAAGAGACUGAAAGGGUACUUAGGAUUUUCAACUAAAAAAGUUAUAACAAUAUGAAUCGUAAGAACUUAAAAACAUCACCCAUCCAUAAGAGGAAUAUGGAAUGAGAGGUUAUUUUUUUACUUAUACAACAAUAAACUUUUUUGGAAGAGGUUUUUCUAAGUACAAAAAGUUAUGAAUAAAAAACCAUUGUUACGAUGAGUUAACUAAAAUAGAAUUAAUUUAGAAAAUAUCAAUAAAGUUGCAUGAAUUAUUAUCAUGAGUUAACUUAAUAAGAAUAAAUAGUAAUGAAGUUAAUGAAGUGAAUUUGGAUUGGCAGAUAUAUUUGAUGAUAAGAUUUUAUAAUAAUAAUAAAUUAUUAUGGCAGGAAAAAUAGGACAAAAUUGACCUUAUGAUAAGAUUUUUUUUAAUAAUAAAAACAUUAUUAUGGUAUGAAAAAAAGGGACAAAAUUGGCCUUUCCUUAAUUGUAACGGUUAAAUGGAAAUAAUGGGACAUGCGGUGGUUACAAGCCACCCCAAAAGGUAGGAAGAAUCUCCAACCCCCAUUCUCGGCUCCCUUAUCUUUUCCCUUACAACCAAAAAUCAACAACUAUCUUAGAAUGUCCUUCAGUCCACCAAAAUUCAACAACAACAAUUAUACAUUACAAUAAUGAAAACAAAAUUGAUUGAUCACCAGCUAACAUUAGGAGAUUAUAAGAUAAGGAUGUAAUUGCAAUUAUUGAAAUCACUUAAAGAGUAAAAAUUAGGAACAUGCUCACAAUAAAUAAAAUCACCUUAGAAUUAAAAAUUAGGGACAUGAUUAUGAUGACUAAAAUCACUCGAGAACUAAAAUGUUUUAGAGAUACAAUAAUUGAAAUCAACUGAAAAAUAAAUUCGGGAUGUGGUCGCAAUUAAUGUAUAUAUAAACAACCAAAUGUUGAAAGGAAAAACUAAUGAAAUUAAUAUGAUUUUCUUUCUAUGGUUAGAUUUCUCUUGACACCAAACAAAUGUAAGGAAGUUUAUAAAGGAAAAUUAGGUUUUGAUUCACUAAAUUAAAAUAAUAUAGAAAAAAGAUCUUCAAAUUUUAUAUAUCAGUUUUAUUUUUAUUUAUCUAAAAAAAAUUUAAAAUACAUAUAUUUUUUCAUAACUCAAAUAGUCAUUCCUCAAAUGCUAGUUUUACUUGUUAUGUUAAUAACACUAGUUAAUAAUUUUUUUAUUGUGAGAAUGAUUUAAGAUUAAUAAAAUAAGAAAUUUUUAAAACUAAAAAAGCAUUUAAAACUUUAAAAUUAAAAAUAUAAAAAUAAAACAAUAAUUUUUCAUUUAGUAAAACACGCCAGUAGAAAAUAUAGAUAUAGAGAAAGAGUUGGAAAUAAAAUAAGAGUUAAUAUUUUAUUUUUAAAAUUUUAUGUUUUUUAUUUUAAUUGUAUUUAAUUUUUAUGUAUUUUAGUUGUAAUUAUAUUUUUAAUUUUUAAAUUUUUUUUUAUUUUAUUGUUGAUGUAAACUAAUAAAUUUUUUGUUUAAUUAUAUAUAUAUAUAUUUUUAAAUUAGUGAGUAAAAACUCACUUUUUCUAAUUUAUAAUGUAUUUAUGGGAUUUUAUAAUAUAAGCAAUUUUUUUUUUUUGAGAAAGAGGAAAAAUCAACUUUUCAAUUUCCCUUAAUAAUUAUUAUUAUUAUCCAAUUUGGCUGAUUAUGAGAUUAGUUGGUAUCAUUACUAUAUCCAUUUGUUCUUAACCCUUCAUUAGAAUAGUAUUAGGAGUUGAACGUCAAUUGGAAUAUAGGCUUAUGGAAACAAAUCUAUCCAAGGAGGAAAAUGUCACGAUAUUUCGGCGAUAUAUCGCCGAAAUAUCGUGUAUCGAAGGGUUUAUAUUUUUUCGGUCCGGCGAUAUUUCGGUAUUUAUUGCGAGAAAUCGCCGAUUUCUCGCGAUAUAUCGGUGAUUUUUCAUCAUUGAUAUAUCGCGUGGUCAACGCGGGUCAACGAAAGUCAAACCCGCUACAGUGCCCGUCAACGGGUACACCCGCUUACCAUCUGGGCUAAAUUGCCCUUUGAUAUAUAAUAUGCAACAACUAUAUAUAUACUUAAAUUCAUUAUAUAAAGAAAAUAUAAGAAUAUUUUAAAGAGCAAAUUAAUUAUAAUUAUUUUAUAAUUAAAUGCAAUGGUGGUGUUUGUUUUUUUACUUAAUUCUAAAUAGAACCUUAAUACUUAAUAGUAUUAAAUAUUAGGUUGUUUGUUUUUGUAAUAUUUUAUUUCUAUUAAGUAUUAAAAAGUAAAAAAAACCAUUGUGUUAUUUUUUCUAUUUCGAAAAAGCUAUAUAUUUUGGCUUUUUCUAUUUAGUAAAAAGUUUAUAAUAAGUCAUGAAAAAGUAAAAAAACAAACAACCUAAAUUCUAAAACUAAAUGGUUUUCAGCAAAAAGCUAAAAAAACGAACACCACUAAAGUCUUUUAAUUAAUUACCAAAAAUAUAAAAAUUAUAUAAUUUUCUUCAUAAUGUUUUUAAUAUCAUUAAUAAUUAAUUAACUAUUAAAAAAUUAUAUAUAUAUAUAUAUCAUUAUUUAUUUUAUAUUGUUUAAUACAAUUGAAUUAAAUGGAUCAUAUUUUAAUACUAAUAUAUAUUUUAAAAUUAGACAUAUUAUAAUCAAAUAUCAUAAUAUUAUGUGUAAUUUAAUAAUAAAUGUACACUUAUAAAAUUCAUAUUUUUAUCGAUGCAUACGAUAUUAUUAUCAAAUAUGAUAAAUCAUGUUAUACAUAUAUCAAAAUUUUCAAUAAAAUAACUUUAAAAUGUCUAUUAUACUUUUAAUUAUAUUAUUAUGAGGUUUUCCUUACAUUUUCAUAAGUUUUUAACAAUUUCAUAAGUUUUCCGAUAUAUUCGAUAUAUCCGUAAAAUCAAAAUACCGAUAUAUCCGUGAUUACCGAUAUUUUUAUCCUUGAAUCUAUCCGAUUAGUAGGUUCUUAUUAUUUUCAAUAUAGACCCCGUAAAAUAAAUAGGGCAGCCCGUCCCUUUUGUCUGGAGGCAUCCUCCCAACUUAUUAAAGGUGAUAUGAGAUAAGACAGUGACAAAAUUGUCAGUUACUUCCCGACACCUGGCUCUCCACAAGCAAACCCAGUGAUCCAGAAAUUAAUUGGUACCUGGACACGUGACUACCAAACGAUUCGCUCACCCACCAUACCCAUGGCCUCAUGCCCCAUAUAUUUCCACAAACCUAGCUCAAUUUUCAUAGCCACCUUCACUGUCCUACACUCACUAAGCCAUGGCCAUAGAUACAAGCCUCUUGCUUGAGCUUGCUGCAGCAACUCUACUCUUCUUCAUCACCCGCUUCUUCAUUCGUUCUCUCCUUCUCAAAUCUUCCCGGAAGCUCCCUCCUGGCCCCAAAGGGUGGCCGCUCGUCGGCGCUCUUCCUCUUCUAGGUAACAUGCCUCAUGUUGCAUUAGCAAAGAUGGCCAAAAGAUACGGGCCUGUCAUGUUCUUGAAAAUGGGCACUAACAGCAUGGUGGUGGCCUCAACUCCCGGGGCGGCUCGGGCUUUCCUUAAAACGCUAGACAUUAAUUUCUCUAACCGCCCGCCUAAUGCCGGUGCGACACUCUUGGCCUAUCAUGCCCAAGACAUGGUUUUUGCGGAUUAUNNNNNNNNNNNNNNNNNNNNNNNNNNNNNNNNNNNNNNNNNNNNNNNNNNNNNNNNNNNNNNNNNNNNNNNNNNNNNNNNNNNNNNNNNNNNNNNNNNNNACCACAUAACCACCAUUUAGAUAUCUAUCCUUUUAUUUUUGGCAUGUGAACUUAUAGUGGGUGGCUGACCUUGAAUCCAAUAGUUAUCAUGAUAUAUAUGGCUGAAAUUAAAUCCAAUAGAAUCCAAUAUGUUUUCUUAUAUCUCAAGUUUCAAUCAAAAAAAUAUUUAUGAUUUGUUUUUAUUAAUUUGUGUCUUGUUUUCAAUUUAAUUAAUGAAAAUUUAUUUGAUCAAAAAGUUCAUUACAAACCAAUUUUAAAAAUCUAAUCCUUUAUUAUAUUUUGAUAUCGUUUUGAUAAAAAUGUCUUUAUUAUUAUUAUUAUUAUUUUUUUAUAAAAAUAAAUUUUUUUAUAAAUAUAUUGUAAAUAUUUAAAAUAAUUAAAAAUAUUUAGAUCAAAAAUCGAUUAUUUUUCAAACAAAAAUAUGAAAGUGAUAAAUUUGUAAAUAUGGGGAAUAUUUAAUCCUUUUAAUCGAUUAUUUCAUUAAUGAAGUGGGUAUAAUGAUGAACGCAGACUUGGUUUUGCUAGGGCAUGCAGAGGUUUUGCAAGAGAGAGAGAUCAUUUCUCGACUCUGAGAAAUCAAUCUCCUUUUGGCCCGGUGGCGGACUCCAAGUAAAGCCUUGAAGGAGCCUUGCUAACAUCCCUGCACACCCACGCCUUCCAGUACUGAAGGAAAUGAAGCGAAGGUUUGGCUCGUUCAACUCCACUGCUUGAACUGUACUAGCAUUCAGAUGCCGCUCUGGAUUGAAAUUUAGCGGUUCUUCCCAGAUUCUAGGGUUCCGGCCCAGCCCCAGACGACUCAGAAGGACAUGACUGACUUUGGGGAUAAAGCACCCAGCAACACUAGUCGGAUUCCUGAACUCGUCUAUCCUUUCCAACCACUCCAUCAAUUUCUUCACUGCUUUGCUCAAAAUCCCUGGUUGCUUGAUCAUUGCCUACUCAAUUGCAUUUGAUGGACUAUCGACGCCUGCAAGCAUCAACUCCUGCAAAUUAUGGAAGGAUCAUAAUCUGAUGAUUGAUCAAGUUAUUUGCUGGCUAGGAAAUGAUCAUCAUGCAAUGUAGAUCAAAAGGUAAGCACAACACUACUACAAAAAUAAUUUAUGGUGUCACUUUUAAAAUAAUGACACCAUAGGGUUUAUAAUUAAUAAAUGUGAUACAUCAUAUAAAAAUUCUUCAAUUGUGAUAGUUAGAUUAUGUUAGUUUUAUAUUUAUAGUGUCAUUUUUUGGGAAGUAACAUCAUAUAAAAUAAAAAUUUUUAAGUAUUAUAACUUAAUGAGCCCACUUGAGCCCACUUUUAUAAUUAAUAAUCAGGGAUAAUGUAUAAAAAGCCCAUUGUUUCCACAUGUCACCCAGAAUAAAAAAAAUCUUAGUAUACAAACCUUAUAUAUCUUCUUCUACCUUUUCUCUUACCCAUAAUCAACACACUCACAACCGACAUUUUCCACUUUGUGGACUCCCAGGUAAUCUAAAUUCUCUUAGAUCUAUCAUCUUUUUUCUUUUAUUAAUAUCAUUAUAUUGAUUGUUUCUGCAUCUUUGUAUUAUGGUUUUUGUGAACUGCGUUUUCUUGAGUUGUAGAGAAGAAAAACUUAGGUUUAAACUUCUAGUAUAGACGAAGAAACCUAUAGAUUAAUUGAUUUUUUAAUAUGAACCAAACACAUGACCGACUUCUUAAAAACAAGUGAAAAACAACAAAAAAUGAAUGAUUUUUAAUAUAUAUUUAUGUGAGAAUGACAGGUACAAAAUUUUAUUGAGAUAUUCUGCCACAUAAUCUUCAUCCCUUCCCUAAAAUGAGAGAGAGAGAAAAAAAAAAUAAUAAUUUUUUUUGUGUGUAUCUAAGUGGGAAUGAGAGAUAUAGAAUUUCGUUGAGAUGCAGUGCUGCCACAUGAUCUUUAUCCUCCAUUAAACCCAACAUAUUAAAUCCACUAACUCUCUCCCCAAAAACGAGUAAAAAAAAAAGGAAAAAAGUAUGAGUUAAAAAACAAAAACGGAAAAUAUGAUUUUUUUUUAAUGUGUUUCUAAGGAGAAUGAGAGACACAAAUUUUUGUUAAGAUGCAUUGCCACGUGUUCUUCAUCCUCUCCAUUAAGCCUAGUAUAUUAAACCUAAUAGCUCUCUCUUUUAAGCUUUCUAGUGAAGUGCCUACAGUAUCCAACUCAAAAUAAGACAACUUAAGCCCCAUUAGCCAACAAACAUGAGAAAAAAAUUAGUUUGUCAAACAUUGUCUAUUUGAAGGUCCUUGAUGGGUAUUGCUCAAAUUUUAGAAAUCUUGUCUCCUUAGAGGAAUUGAAGUUAUUUGGUUUAAGAUCCCAUGACUACCAUGCACUUAUGCAACAAUUGUUGCUAGUGGCAUUACAUUUUGUUUUGCCAAAGCAUGUGAGAUAUACUAUAUCAAGAUUGUGUAUCUUCUUCAAUCAAUUAUGUACAAAAGUGGCUGAUGUGCCAAAAUUGGAUGAGGUACACAAUGAGUUAGUGGUCACGCUGUGCUUACUUGAAAAGUAUUUUUCACCUUCAUUUUUUGAUAUUAUGCUUCAUCUAGCAGUGCAUUUGACAAGGGAGGUGUGACUAUGUGGUCCAGUUUACUUUAGGUGGAUCUACCCAUUUGAGAGGUAUAUGAAAGUUCUUAAAGAAUAUGUUCGCAAUCAUAAUCGGCCUGAAGAAUGCAUUACUAAGUGCUAUUUAGAAGAAAAAGCUAUCGAAUUUUGUACUGAAUAUUUAUUAGGGACUCAUGCAAUUGGAAUUCCAAAAGUAACAAUUAUGACAACAAAUUUGGUAGACCUAUAAUUGGUGGUCAUUCUACCAACAUUGAUCAUAAAUCGUGGUUACAAGCACAUCAUUAUCUGUUAGAGAAUACAACUAUUGUCCAACCAUACACUGAGUAAGAAAAACAUACCUUUAUCUUUUUAUAAUUUCAUAACAUAAUGAUGAAAUCCUAAGUUUGCAUUCCUUGUCUUUAACGUCAUAGGGAACACAUGAAUUGGUUGAGGUCUCAAUACCCUCGACAAUCUAAUAGACAAAUUUGAUUGCAAGAAGAACAUAUGAGUUGUUUUACAUAUUGGCUUAAAGAAAAGGUAAUCUCUUAGUUUUUAGAAAAUUUUUCAAUAUGUUGAAAACAUCACAAGUUUCCAAUAUGUUUUGAUUAUACACGGGUUGAAGAGGCUAUCCAUAAUGGGCAAGAUAUUCUCGACACGCUUAGGUGGUUAGCACAUGGCCCUACUCUCCAGGUAGUCAAAUAUCUUGGAUAUAUCGUUAAUGAGUGUCGUUACCAUACUAAGGAAUGCGAUAUGACAUGCAUCACCCAAAAUAGUGGUGUUAGCAUUUUAGCAAGGACUAUGCAAAUUACCAGUUCUAAGGAUAAGAACCCAGUUUGUGGUAAACUUUGCUUUUAUGAGGUCAUUAAUGAGAUAUGAGAUCUUGAUUACAACAUGUUCACAAUUCUAAUUUUCAAGUGUGAUUGGAUUGACAACAAGAAUGGUAUAAAAGUUGAUGAACUCGGGUUCACAUUAGUUGACUUCUCCAAAAUAGGUCACAAAUUGGAUCCAUUUAUUUUAGCAUCACAAGCCAAGCAAAUCUUCUAUGUUGAAGAUCAACUUGAUCCUAAAUGGUCAAUAGUUCUCUCAAUUCCUCCAAAAGAUUUCAAGAACAUAGAAGGACUAGAUGACUUCACCGAUAAUUGCAUGGUUCAUCACCCCUUUAUAAGUUCAAUGCCAGAAUUUGAAUCAUUUGAUGCUAUGGAUGAAUCAUAGGCAAUAUACAUGAGAGAAGAUUGUGAGGGCAUAUGGAUUGAAAAUAAUUAAAUAAUAUAUUGUACCCUUGAAUGAGAUAUAAUAAGGCAUUUCACUUAUUAGUUUUCAUGAGUUGCACAUUAGCUUAGCUUCUAUAUAUUGCUCAUGAUAUAUCUAUAUAUAUUAAUCAUCCUAAAUUUCUUUCAUGCAUCAUAAACAUAUGUUAUUCAAAGGUACCACUUCAAUCUUCAUUCAACUAUCUUUUUGUUGUCCAUGGAACUAGAUUUAUAUUAUUUUUUAUUAUCAUGUUUUGAUUUUAUGCUCACAUAACUUGAAACUCUCAUUCCUAAAUUUCUUUUUCAUUAAAACUAUAAAUUAGAAUUGAAACUAUGCAUAAUUUAUUUUAUUAUUAUCCUCACAAAUAAAUUCUUCAUUAUUGAUAAGAAAUCAAAAAACAAGACAAACUUUGAAAGAAAAUUUCAAAAUAUAUAUUUGUGAAUGACCAAUUUAAUUAUAGAAAAUAUAUGCAAGGCUAUACUAAUCUUGCUUUUGAGUCAUUUUACAGGUUUGUUGGUGAAGUACUAGUUUGCACAUUUACUUGAUAUCUUCCACACAAAUAUGGAUCUAGAAGAAGAGGAAAUGCAAAAAAUAAAGCAUAGAGGUAGUACAUUGAAACCAAAUAUUGCAAAAAAUCGAAGUAAAAGGAUAAAACUCAAGAUUGAAUACAAUAGCCUUGGUAGUCACAUUGAGGAAAAUUCAAUUGAACUAAGUAGUUAUCUUAGUACAAUAACUAGAACCCAUGUGCCAAUAAUUAUUGAGAGUUGGAGGAAAGUCCCUAAAGAGACUAAGGAGAAGUUAUGGGAUUUGAUCACAAUAAGUGUAUCUAUAGAUUUAAUAUAUAAUUAUUGUAUACAUUCAUUAACAUGAGCUAACAUGGGUUGCUAUUUUGUAGACAAGCUUUAAUGUGAAUAAAAAAUCCAAGAGGAAUUGUUUCAUACUAAUGGGCAUCAGGUUUCGAACCUUUAAGUACAAGUUGACAAAGAAAUAUAUAUUGUCUUUCAAGAAUGACCAGAAAAGCUGAAAAAGUCACCUCCUAUUUACCCAUUCAUACAAGAGGAUCAUUGGAGAUAGUUUGUUAAAGAUAGACUUUUUGAACAUUUUAAUGUUAAGCAUUAUUUUUAUUACAUCUUCAAUUUUCACAUUUACGUAGUUUUAUCAUGUACUAAUUUUGUGUCUAUAUUUUGUAGGAAUAUCACAAAGUUCAGAAAUCAAGAAGAGAUAAACACAUUUACAAUCAUUAUCUUCGAAGAAAAUGAUAUGCACGUUUUGAGCAGGAUAUAGUAAGUUAUCAAUAUCCAUAAAAAAAAAUGGAGUAUAUAUUUUGUUUAUAGGAAAAUGAUUUCAGUUUUUAAAUAUCAUUUAUUAACUUGAUCAUAUUGAACUAAUGAGUUUUAUUGUUAAAAAUUAUAUAGCUACAAGCAGAAGGGGCUAUUGGUAGGGUUGAUAGAAGUGUUUAUGAAAGAAAACAUGUGAGAAGAAAGGAAAGUUUAAUAAGAUUACAAAGCCAAUGAUUAACAUGAUAGUAAGUUAGCAUAUUUAUGCCUUUUAGAGCUUAUAGUGUUAGUAUGUUUGCCUAUAGUGUUAGUAUGUCUAUGUGAUUAUGGUUUGUGAUGAUAUCGUUAGGUGUUAAUAGGUAAGAGGCUUAAUGCUAUCAUUUUUAUGAGUAGUCAUGUUAUACUAGUGCAAAUAUAGUAGCCUAAUUUGAAAAUUAAUUUUGAAACAAUAUACAUUAAUUUAUCUAUUAUCAUUUUUAUUAAAACAAUUCAUUUUCUAGCUACCUUGAAUUGGUCCUCUUGAGUUGGUUGUCUUUGAUUGAUAUGUUAAUCAUCUUCAUCAAAUUAUUACUAAUAUAUGUUUUGUUGUAGGAUGAAUUACUAGAAAAGGCAAGGAGACUGGACUACCUCCACCUGGUCCAAAUGACAUAUUAUGUCAGGCAUUGGGUAAGCUUGAUCAUCUAGGACGUGUGGUAGGUCAAGACCGUUUGGUUAAGCCGAACUCAUACUUUCAUCAACCAUCUAAUGACAUGAAAAAAAAAAAUCAAAGAAGAAAUAUGGGAAAUGGUGUGAAAGGAGAUGCAAGAUGCUGGAACAAGACAAACUAUGUCUCCCCCCACACCCCAUUCUAAUAUGGGUAGUAAUAACAUGAGACAACAACUUGUUUUACAACUAGUUGUAGCAAAAAAACCAAUGUUUAAAAUGAUGGAAGAGCCCCAACCACCAAAACCACCAUUGAAAUGUAAGGUAUACAUUUACUUACUAAUAAUACAAGAUUAAUAUAAGUGAUAUAUAGCCUAUGUAAAUGAUAUUAUUUGUUGUAUUGAAGGUAAUUAAAUAUAAAUUAGCAGUGGAAUGAAAAUGAAAUGUUGUUGCAACCGGUACACUAAUAGAAGAAAAUUGAUCAAAUGGGUUGGUCGUAAUAAAUGUUGCACACAAGCUAGUUGCUAGACUCCCAUUUCCAAAUCCAUAUGAGAUUAUCAAUGUUGGGGAUGCUAUUGGCUUUAAGCUUGACUGGCCAACAAGCCUUGUCAUACUUGAAACUGAACAUCCUCAGGUAUGUCAUUUUAUACUUGUAGUAAAUUUGAUUGUAACUUGGUAUUUUAUUGUUUAGGAGUAUAUAUUACUAACAUUCCUUCCCUUUUCAUAGGUGUUGGAUAAAGGAAAGAAGUAGAUAGUGAAUGCACCAAGUAUUCGAAAAUCUAAGCCUCAAAAUCAUUCGGUCAUUAAAAAUUUUCAAAAAUUUAUGGAUGGUUGUCUUAGUAAUGAGAAGACAUACCUAAUACAGCUCCCCAUUUCACUAUUUGGUGUCGAAUUCCGAACAUAUAUAUCUAGAGAGGAUUGUGAAUACAUUAUUCCAUCUUUAGAGGUGUCAUCAAAAUGCAUCUCCUUCCAUUUAUGGUGUGCACCUUUUAUUUUCAUUUGUUUUUAUUUUUUUAAUAUGAGUUGCCCAUGUUGAACGAGAUUGGAUAUGACUAAUGAUAAUUUUCUUUUGGUGUUUUGAUAAUAUAAUAGGUACAUGCAUGAUCAACUACAUAUUGCCAAAAAGGAAUCACAAUUUAUAUUUGUUAAUCCUUUUACAAUAUCAUGAGCAGGCUUUAGUAAUCCUCAAACAGAGAAAAGAACACAAUUGUUGUCAAAACACUUAAUAGAGUGCCAAGAUGCCGGAUAUGUUUUCAUGUCCUACAACCUCAAGUAAGUGACGAAUAUUAUACUUUAAUUUGAGGUUUUAUGAUUGAUUUAUAUUUCUAAUUAGAUGCUACUUUUGUUUUUAAACGUUUUAGCUUUCAUUGGGGUUUUGGUAGUGAUUGAGCCAAGGAAAAUGAUAGUCCACUAUCUUAACCCUGUGCAUCACAAACCAUGUGAGGACUUAAAGGAUAUCGUAAACAUGUAAGUUCUUCCUAUUAUUUUUCAUAGUAUUAUUUAAAAAAAAAUUACAUUCACCUCAAACACAUUUUUUAUUAUUAUUUCUAUAUAUUAAAACAUAUAAAAUUUACCUAUCUUAAAAAUGUACCCAUUGAACUUAUUUACAUAGGGCUCUUCAAAUAUUUGCAAAGAAAAAAAAUUUUCUUUACACAUUUAGCUUAUGCAUUUGCACCAUUUAUAUAUAUGAGUACUAAUGUUAUUUUAUAACUGAUCGAUUAGUGUCCAAGACAAGAAAGAGGGUUCGAAUGUGGCUACUUUGUUAUGAGAUUCAUUAAAGAGACAAUUUUUUAUCCUACAAUUAUUGCUUCAAAGGUAUUACUUAUUUAAUGAAUUGUACAUAGUUUUAAGCUUCCAAAUGUUAUGCAUUUUAAUGUUAUUUUCUUAUUUGAUUUUAGUUUGGUGAUAAAAAAACAUAUUCUCAAGUAGAAUUCAAUGAAAUUAGAGGAGAAUGGACUACUUUUGUGCUACAACUAAUCAUGAAUCAUGUUGAUGCAUCAUGAUCACCAUGCAUGGUGAGUCCCUUAACUACUACAUGAAUUUUUCCAUAGAUAUUGUAUAGUAUUGCUUUUCUUUGAACAAUGUUUUUAUUUGAAAAAAAGAAAAAAAAAAAAAGUUCUUAGAUUUGUUCAUUUAUGAUAACAUCGAUCCAUAUUUAUUUUCUUCAAUGAAAUCUAUAAAACUCAUUAAACUAUGAAAUGCAGGUAUACACUCUUAGGAGGGUGGAAUAGAGAAUAAAAAGAACGAAGAAGGCAACAAGAUUUUGGGUUUUUAAAUGCAACUCGUAUGUCAUAUGUUGUAGGACAUAAACGUUACUUUAAUUGGUAGUGAGAAUUUUAGAUUUUUAGAUGCUACUUUUAUGUCAUUUUAUAGUUAGUCGGUUUUAUGCUUAUGAAAUGAAGGUAUACAUGAAUCUUGGGAUGCUUAACAUUUCUAAAUCAUGUUUUGGUAUUUAUUCACUCUUCUUUUUUAGUUUUGGUGGGUUUGAUAUGUUGGAUGUACUAUCUUUUUGUGAACAUUUGAUAGACAAAUAUUAUUAGAUGAUCAAUGUAUUACGAGUUAUUCCAUAAACAUUACCGAAAAAUGAGUUAAAUGUAAUAUGAUUGUUAUAUUUAUGGACAAAAUAUACACAGGUUAAUCCUAUUUGUUAAUUCAUAAGUAUUACAAAAAUCUACAACUAAAAGCAAUCAUAUCUUCCACGAUAAUUUACAAUGAUGUGACACCAUAACUCAAAGGUGAUGCAUUUAAUGUGACAUCAUAACUCAAAGAUCAUGCAUUUAAUGCGACAUCCUAUCAUCACUAGAAAUAUAUGAUGUCACUUCCGAAUGUGUCACCAUUUAUCUACUUUGGUGUCACUUACAAAUACGUCACCAAUUGGUACCCUCUAUGGUGUCAGUAGAGAAGGUGACACUAUGUUGUAGUGACACCCUAUGUUUAUGGUGACUCGUUAUAAAUGUCACCAUAUAUCUUUUUCCUUAUAGUGAAAAUUACUUAUCUUACUAUGCAUUGGGCUUUGAUAUUAGCCAGAGACAGUAGUGGCUCCUAAUUUUUAUCCUUAUUAAUUUUUAUCCUUAAUUGAAAUGAAAACGUCAAGCAGGUCCUCAACCUCUUUUUCGCCAUUCUUCCAUUGUUCUACUAUUUGGUCCACGAUUGGAUCAUGGUACUUGUUAAUGGUGUUCAUAGCCUCCCUUAUAGUCUUUUCAUGGCCAUCUAAAUUCAGUACUCUCAGCCAUGGGAAGUAAUCAGAUAAAGAGAAUACAUAUAGAUGAGCAAGUACAGUAAAGAAGGAUUCAACAUGUUGCUCCUCUUCAACUCCAGGGCCUCCAUCUUUCUUUCGUUGGCUAAAGUAUCUUGUGUUGAGGAUCAUCUUCCGGAUGAAAUUCCUGCUGUAUUGACGGAUUGUAUUUCUGUCACACCCCAAAUACUAGGCAACCCAGAACUUGACUCGUGACCCCAGGUCAAAGGUUUGACCUUAAGAGUUACUCUUAUCCAUGUUGGCAAUCAAUUAAAACACCUUAAAUUUUUUUCUUCAAUAAAGCGUUUAAUCCUAAAUAAAUUUAUUAAGCUAAGAUUUACUAUAACAUAUUAUUUUAUUUUUCCAAAACCAACCAUCACAUUAUCUUCUGUUCACAAGUAUUAAAAAAAAAAAAAAUUCCACCAAUCAUCUUCCUACCCAAAAACUCAAAUAUUUACAAUAAUUUCUAAGUCAAAAAGAAUAUUUCCAAAAAUGUUUUACAAACUAAUAAAAUAUAAUUUAACUUAAAAAAGUCCAUAUAACUCAAAUUAGUAGAUGUCAAAAGGUAAUUAAAAAACAACAACAACCAUUAUUAUGGUUUUUUUGCUUUUUAGAACACUUCAUGAUCUUCUUAUAGUCCCUCAGAAACUAUAUCUGCAUCUAAAAAUUUUAGAAAAUAAAGGGAUGCACAUUUCCACGUUACUAUUUAGACCUAAAUGGGUUAGAAAUUCUAGGUCAAUAAAACACAACCAUAUGCCAAAAUAUAAUAUUACAUUUACAUUAUACACACUAAAAGAAACCUCAACCAUACAAAUUUAAAUCAAUCAAAAUUAUCAUUUUCCUUAUUUAAUCAUAUGUUUAGCAUAUCAAUAAUUUUAAAUUUACAAAAUAAAUAAGUCACUUUAGUCUUGAAUAAUAUAUUCAAACAUACACUUGAUAAAUAAUACAAAUCAUUCUUCCAAAUGCAACCAUAAUACAAAUGCUUACACACAAUCAAGCAAUGCAAUAUCGUUCUCGGGCUUUCACCGAAGGAUACGCGUUUAUACCCAAAUACACUCCCCAUUCGGAGUCUUCCUAGGGUAAACUUUUGAGUCUUUCACCCUAAGGAACUCACUCACUUCUUAAUUCACUAUCUCUAGGGUCAUUCAAUUUCUUAUUUUUCUUUUCUUUUCAUUUUUGCCAUUUUUGGGGUCUUUUCAUUCUCAUUUUCAUUUCACACAACCAUUUCUUUAAUUUUUAUUUUUCUUCACACAAUCAUGAUGCAUAUGAAAUGCAAAUGAAUCAUAUUUUAAUAUCCAUAAUUUUCCAAGACAUAAUUUUAUUUACUCCCAUUAUGUUUCAUAAUUUCCAAUAAUCCACACAACGAUUUUUCUUCACUUUAAUCAUUACAAACAUAAAAGAAAAUUCACAAUUAAUUUGUAUAGCAUCAAAACAUAGUUUUAAACAUUAACUACAUAAAUUCUAUUUAUUCCCGACAUGCUUAAUAAUUUCCAAAUCCAAUAUAACCAUUUUUUUCAAUUAAAUAACCACACAUAUCCAAGAAAAUUCUCACUAAUACAAAUAUCAACGAAAAUGUAAUUUAUGUCAUAAUUUAUUUGUCUCCAAUAAUUUCAAAAAUUUUGACACCCAUAUGAUAAUUUUCCACAAUUAAGCCACCCUAACAUUUGGGAAAAAUUUUCCAAUAAUUCAAAUAUCAACAAAAACCCAAUUUAUAUCAUCAUUUUAUUUAUUUUUAAAAGCAUUAAUAAUUUUAAUAAUCAAUACAACACUUUUUCACAAUCAAGCCACCACAACAUUCUGGGAAAUUUUUCCAAUAAUUCAAAUGUUAACAAAACACAAUUAUACCUUAAUUUUCUUAUCUCCAACAACAUCAAUAAUUCUUAGUACUCAAUACAACUAUUUUUAUUUUUUCAUAUUUAAUCUUCUCAAACAUUACCAAAAUUCCAAGAAAAAUCCAUAAAAUCACGAAAUAAAAUUAUUCACAAUAAUAAUCACACUUCAAAUACUACAAAUAACAUCUAUUAUCUUUCAACAACACAAUAUAUAAAUUUUUUUCAAAGAAAAUAUUAAAUCAAAGUUUUAGGGUUAAAUCACCUUACCUUAAAUUUGAAAAAUUUAACCGUUAAAACUAAAAUAGGACACCGUAGGAGUGUUCCUCGCAUUGAAUAGAAUGUCCUUCCAAAAUUUCACGCGAAAUGGACGUCAUUUGGUAGGUCCACCAGCAUCCUAAAGCUGGCGACCCAUUUUUCCCACUCUUUGUCGACGACUCCCUUACAUCUCUCACUCGAUUUCCUUUCUUCAUUUUCUUUUCUUCUUCUUCUUUUAAACUCCCAUGACAAUUUCACUUUAUAUAUAUAUAUAUAUAUUAUUAAAACAAAUCCUAAAAUACCACGCACAUCCAUUUCUUAAUAAAUUAAAACCAUUAUUCUUAAAUUCACCUUCUGUAAUUAUGAAUUAUACCAAACUUAUGAUUUUCCAUCUCAUGAAAAAUACCACCGUAUUCGUAAUUUAAUUUACUACAAGCCUAUUCUUCAAAAAGUAUAAUUUGAUUAUAAUUACAUGAAACAUUGAUUUUUUACUCUAAAAUUAAUUUAAAACAUGAUAUAAUUAACUAUUAACAAAAUUCAAUUCCAUAAAAAUAUUAAAAACAUAAAAUAAUUUUUUGGCAAUCAAGAAGUUGAAAUUUGUAAUAACCCUUAACCCGUUAAUUUUACCUAUAUUUAUUUACCAACAAAAAUUUAAAUAAUAUUCUAAAAUUUAAUUCCAUAAAUUAAUUAGUCAUUCAAUUUAUAAAAAUCAAAUUCUCUACCCUUUGGUAUAACUUUUAUUUAAUUUACUUCAUUUUUCAAAUUAUUCAAUCGCAUCAAAAUUUCAAAAGUUAAAUUCACUAAAUUCACAUUUAAUUAAUUUAUCCUUUUGUAUUUUUUUUUCUAAAUUCGCAUAUCAUAAUUUAAUCUUAAUUUAAUUUUGAUUCAAUUUUGUUUGAUGUUUUCUAAUUUUAUGAGGUUUAAUUCCAAUUAUAAAAAUUAAAUUCAAUUUCUUUUUAAUUAUCCAUUAUCACAAUUUGAUAUAAUAUAAAUUUUUAUCAAGUUUUUCUUACUAUGAUUUUUCUUAUAAUUAUCCAAUAAUAAUUAAAUUAAUUCUCGUAACAUAUUUAAUAUUCAAAUUUUAAAAACUUAAUCUCAAUUAUUUGAUGGUUAAUUUUUUUCUCAAAAUCUAAAUUUAAUUUAUGAAAUUCUCACUCCUUACAUCUGACGUGGCAAAAUUUUCAAACUAUUGACUUUUGACCAACUUUUCCUAAAUUUAUCCUAAUUAAAUACUAACACAUGGAUUUUCACCACUCUUUUUGACCUUUUGACCCACAAAUUUAUGAAAGACUUUAUGCUUGGAGAAUCUACAAAAACCUGGGUAUUACAAUUUCUCAAGUUGAUAACUGUCGUGGUUAUGAAGCCACCACUUGAAUACUCAGUCGCCAUUGUAAUGGGCCUGGAUGCAAAUAGUACAUCAUGUUUCUUCAAAAGUUCUCUGCUAAUCUCUGGGAAAGUCGCAGGGACGAGAUGAAAUAUUUCCCAAUUGAAUACAUGCAAUUUCAGUGUUCAUUUCUUUCAUAAAGCCAAUGUAUCCACCAGAAAGUUGUCUUGUUGUUGAGUAAAUGAGGUAGAUAUUGCACUAGUGGCCAUGGAGCUAAUGCUAGAGGAAAUUGUAUUGGCUUGCUUUUGGUACUUGUUUUGGAUUUUAAUUUAGUGAAGAUGAGAAAGAUUGAUGUGAUGAAAAGCAGCAAGAGGAAGUUGAGAUGAGACAACACAUCGUCUGUGGUAGUAGAAGAAAACAAGGUUGAGUUACUGCUACUACUCUCUACAACAAAACCAUUUACACGUCUUUUAUAGAAAAACCAUGUUUGUCUUGUCUUGGGUCUGGAUGCACAUUUUUAAUAUUGGGGAAAUCAUGCAACCAAAUGUCACACACAAAGAGAGAGAGAGAAAAAAUACGUUUUUUAGAACUUGAAAAGGUAAAGUGGGAAAAAAAUAUUACCCAUUCUUGAACUCUAAAAGUAAAGUUAUAAAAAGCUUAGUUUUUUUUUUUUUUUUUGAUUAUGUAUGAUUGCAUGAUUUCCCUCUUUUAAGAUUUUAUCUCAUAAAUUUUUUUUUCUAGAAGGUUCAAAUAAGUUUGAUGAAUAUUGUUUAUUUUUGUAAUUUGAUGAAGAUUUUUUAUUUUAGUAAUUUUAAUUUUAUGGGGUACUUAAAACAUUAGAAGUUCACAAAAAACAACAUUUAUAAGCUACCUAUCUAAAAAGUUUGGCCUAAUCAUUGAAAUCCAAAAUAUAAAGUGACAACACACUUUUUAAAGCAAUUUUCAAAAUAGUUUUUAAAAACACAUUUAUGAUAUUUUUAAAAUAAAAAUCACAAAAAUAACUUGUUUAUAUAGCAUUUUAUUAGACAAAUACUUGAUCUUUAUAAGAUCACCCUAAUUAUAGAUUUAUGAACAUGUAACACAACAAUUAUCUAUAUAUAUAUACUUAGAAUUAUUAUAUUUUAAGUUUUUAACUACAUAGGACAUCAUGAGUUUUUCCACCAUUUAUCUUAUAAUAAGUUUAUUUAAAUAUGAUAAAGGAUAUAUUAUCUCAUUUCUUAUUAUAUCUUAUGCUAUAUAUAUAUAUAUAUAUAUGUAACAAAUCAAAUACAAUUUAAAGAUUUUAAUUAACCAUCUAUUAGCAACAAAGCAAUCUCUUAAUCUCAUUCAUAAUAUUAGGAUAAUUUAGUAUUUCCUUUUAUAAAACCCUAGCAUAUAAAUCAACACAAAUCAUAUUAAGGGUGUAUUUGGUGUUGAUUUUAGGAAGCGUUUUUAGUAUUUCUAAUACUUGAAAGAUAAAAAUUUUCAAGUUUUAGAAAGAUCAAAAGUGCUUUUUAGAAUGACUAUCAAAUACACGCUAAAUAUUACUUUGAAUACUUAUAUUUUUAAAUAACUUUUAAAACUUUUAAGGCAAGUCUCUACUAUUUAUAUAAAUCCCCUAUUAUUUUUAAUUUUUAGAAACAAAAAAUAAAGAAUAGAAACUCCAUUUAAACAUCACCUUAUUAUUUCCUAUUAUAAAAUAACACAAAUCAAAUGAAUUAUUUAAAAAUAAAUAAAUAUAAAAUCAAAGUUGAAGAGAAAAACUCUUGUGCAUUAAAAAAACAUCAAAAUAAAUAAAUAAAUAAAACAUCAUCAAAUAAAUGUAAAAAUAAAAUAAUGUUAUGGAAAAAUGAGAAUAGGCAACUAGAAAAUAGAAACACAAAUUUACAUGAAAAAUCCUAGAUGAGAAAAACCAUGGAUAGAGGAGAAGAAAAUCCACUAUAUUAAAAUUUUGGUAUAAAAUGUGAGAGAAUCAAGCGAGUAUUGUAUAGGCAUAAUCACUAUGACCCUAAAUCCUAUACAUCAUCGUAUAUGUAUGGUGUAUGCGAUAAUAUUUGUGAUAAUAAAAUUAUUGUCGCAUAAAAUAACUAUGGGAUGUAAUAUUUGUAAUAAUAUUCUUUACAAAAAAAUAUUUUUUUCUUUGCUUUAUUCACUUUGAUCACAACUUGAAAUAAGACAAUAAAAAUAUUUUCUUAAUUUUUGAAAAUUAAUUGAGGACUUAGAGCUGCUUGUUACCGAGUGAAUUUGAUGAAUGGUGAAGAAUGCAUGUAUAGUAGUUUUGCAAUUUUUCAGACUUGUAGACAUAUUUUGUGAAGUCUUUUUAUCUUUGUAAAGCCCCAUUUUCUAUGUGAAGUUAUUUUUUCAAUAUUCUCUUUGGAAGGAAUUUACCAUUAGUUAUAUAGGUAAGAUUAAGGAAUUAAAUUUGGAAUUCUUAAGAUUUGAUUGCUUAAUUCAAAGAAUUUGGUUCAAGGGAAAUUUGCCAACAAAAUAAUAUUUAUUUUUAAUUCUAUGAUGACUUUAAUUAUUUGAUAUAAUUUUAUUUUGAAAGGCUUGAUGUGGGGGACUCAUCACUUAUUGAGUCCAAAUUUUGUUGCACCCAAAUUUUUAUGAGCUAAGAAACCAUAAUUUUAAAGACCAAUUCAGUGGUAAGUGAAUCUGCUAAAAUCUUCUGUGUACAAAUGACCUCACUUCAAGGUGCAACACGUACAUGUAUUAUUAUGUGUAUGGGAUGAGUCUUGAAGUUAGUCUUCAUUCUUCUUUGAUUUUUUUUCUUCAAAUAAAUAAAUAAAACAUCAUCAAAUAAAUGUAAAAAUAAAAUAUGUAUUGGUUAAUUGGAGAUGAGAGCUUUAAGGGCAUUUCUUCUAUAAAAUUCUAUGCUCCACGUACCAUAAAUUCGUAUUCAACCAAAAAAAUUGUAAAAUGGGUCCAUGUACAAACAAAAAUAGCCCAAAUGUAAAUAUCUAAAAAUGUAUAAAGUUCACAAUAGAUAUUCAAGCCCAAAUUUAAAUUUCAAAUUAGUCCAACAGAUUUCAUCAAUCAAAAUGAGUCCAAAUUAGCAAAUAUAACCCAACAAAAAUAUCUCAUAUAUCAUAGGCCCUAAUCUAAAAUUUUCAUAUUAAUAGCCAAAAUAUAAGUUCAAUUAAUCAAACCCAAAACAUGAUAAAUUAAAAUAAAUCUCAUUAGGCCUAAACUUAAUAUCCCAUAAUUCAAGCUUAAUUUAAUAUAUAAACCUAAAUCCACAAUCAAAAUCAACCCAAUUUAUGCUAAUCUCGAUUUACAAUCAAAAUCAAACAUAAUUUAAUAAGUAAAUAACUAAAUAAAUUAAGCAAACUCAAAACACCCAAACCACUACGACAUAAAUCAAACAAUAAUAAUAAUAAUAAUAAUAAUAAAAACAAAACAAAUAAAAUAAAAAUAAAAAUUUUAACUCACAUCGGAGCCAGUUUGAAUGUCUUGGGAAAGAAAGAAAAUGAGAGAAAAGUGAAAGAUGAUUGACAACUGAUAGUAGCUCACUGGCGGCGACUGGCGAGUGGUCCUGCCGAUGGUAGUGAAGAUUGAUUGGUUUUUGGGAAAAAAAAUAAAAUGAAGAAAAGAAAAUGAGGAGUAAUAAAAAAAAUGGAGAAAUGAGAGGAAGGUGGGAGAAGAAGGGAGAGAGAGAAUGUAGAAAAUGGGCGAAAAGAAAUGAGGCUAGCUGGAGGAGAAGUGGUAGUGUGUGUGAGCUAAAGUGAAGAAGAAUAGAAGAAGAAAAUGGAGAAAAAAUGGAGAAGAAUGGGAAAAAAAAUCUGGCCCCCUAAAUGAAGAGAGGUGGGUAGCCUAAAGAAGAAGAAAAAAUAAAAUAAAAUAAAAUAAAAUGAGAAAAAAAUGAGAGGGGGUCGGUGGUCUUGCGAAUGAGGUGGUAUGCGUUAGAGAGAGAGAGUGGGUGGGGUUGUUGGGGAAGGUAUGAGAGAGAGAGGAGAGAGAAAAGAAAAAAAAAAGAAAAAAAAAAGAUAAUACAAAAUAAUAAUAAUAAUAAUAAAAUAAAAUAAUAUACAAAAUAAUAAAAACUAAUAAUUAAAUAGUGAGUAGGCAAAAAAUAUCAUAUAUAAUCGGGAUUUAAUUUAAAGAGUAAAAUUGGGACAAAUUUUGGGGUAUACAAAUAUGCGCCUCUUCGGUAGAGUUCACGAGUAAAGCAAGUGUAUAUGUGGGCGAAACAAAGUGGGCUCUACUGAAACACAAGAAAGAGCACCAAAUUUGUCUUAGUAUGACAUGAACUCUCCCAAAUCAAAACAAAAAAUAAAUAAAUAAAUAAAAUUAAAAAAAAAAUCUAAAGCCCUAUAAAAAUGGCGAAAACGGAAACUCCUAAGGUGUCUCUAAAGUUAUACUAUGGAUCUAGACUCCCUUAGAAAAGCCUUCAAAAAUCGGUGUCAAAAUUAAGUAGCAAUCAGACCACUAAGGAGCACAUGAACAAAUGCAUACAAAGGGAAAAAAAACCAUACGUGUACCAUACGAGGACAAAAGGCAUAAGGUAUCCAACAAUAUGACUGAUUCACGUGUUACGAGCUCAAAGGACUUUGUCAUGCACCAUGGAGGAGGGGAAACUCUAGAAUAAUGUGAUGAGGAAGUUAUUAGCACAAUGUAACAGAGUAAGGAAAAGAGUGACGAGUGCAAAGCUGUGAGGAUAAGGUGCACAAUGCUAAUGAAUAUGAAAUGAAUAGUAUUAGGCUAUGAUGCAAUGAAUAGCUUAGGGUUGUACCAUAAUGAACAGGUCAAGGAUGUGUAAAGAUGAGGAACAACUUAAGGUUGUAAUGCAAUGAACAACUUAGGACUGUGAAUGCAAUGAACAGCUCAAUGCAAUGAAUGCAAUGAAUAGCUCAGGGCUGUUAAUGCAAUGAACAACUCGAGGUUGUGGAUGCAAUGAACAACUCAUGGUCAUGGAUGCAAUGAACAGCUCAGGGCUAUGGAUGAACAGCUCAGGGCUGUGGAUGAACAACUCAGGGUUGUAGAUGUCAUGAACAACUCAAGAAUAGGGGCACUAUACACCCAAAAGGGGCGAUCAUGGUCUACGAUUCCAAGUCAAACCACUAAAAGGUGACCAAAAUGAGGGUGAUCAACUCACUAAAAAAGAUAAUCAAAAUGUCUUAAGGGAUGGGAGAUGCCCUAGAUGAAACUUAAAGGAAAUGAGUAGCACUAAUGAAACUAAAAAAAAAAAAAUGUCACAACUGAAAUUGAAAAAAUAACAAACUUAGAUUAAAGUACAAUGAACAACUUUGGGCUAUGGAUGUGAUGACUAGUACCGUGUUGUAAUGAAAUGAAUAACUCUAAGAUAUGGGCAUUAUACGCCUAAAGAGGGAGAUCGUGGUUUACAACUCUAAGUCAAACCACUAAAAGACUACUAAAAUAAGAUGAUCAACUUACUAUAAAUGAGAAUGCAACUAUCUUGAGAAAAAGGGUAUGCCCCAAAUGACACUCAACAGUAAAAGAAUGACACAAAUGAAACUAAAAUAAGAGAAUGCCACAAAUGAAACUGAAAUGAUAACAGACUCAGAACUAAUAUGCAAUGAACAACUUUGGACUGUGGAUGCAAUGAAUAGCACUGGGUUGUAAUGAAAUGAACAACUCUAAGAUGUGGGCAUUGUACGCCUAAAGAGGGAGAUCAUGGUUUACAACUCCAAGUCAAACCGCUAAAGGGCAACUAGAAUAGGAUAAUCAACUCACUAAAAAUGAGGAUGCAACUAUCUCGAGAAAAGGGGUAUGCCCUAAAUGACACUCAACAGUAUAAGAAUGACAUAAAUGAAACUAAAAUAAGAGGAUGCCACAAAUGAAACUAAAAUGAUAACAAACUCAAAACUAAUGUGCAAUGAAUAACUCUAGGUUGUGGAUGCAAUGAACAACACUGGGCUGUAAUUGAUUCGUCCCUAGCAGCGGCAGUGGCAACGGCACCAUUUGAUUCGAGGUUCGAUCCCCGGCAACGGCGCCAUUUGAUUCGUGCCCAAUUGGUGUCUCAGCUGAUUCGUGUCCAGCUGGUGCUCCUUGAUUGAGGGAUUAAUCAACAAAAUUUAUAACCUAUAACACCAUAUACUAGGGUAGCAAAGACAAAGCUACUAUAGUAUAGUGGCUCUAGGAUCGUUCACUGGGAUGGGUUUUCACUUCACAAAUGAUAUCAAUUCAAAGCUGAAUUGGUGCCUUUUCAUUUCAAGGUUAGCUUUAAAAGAAAACAUAAAGAUGUUUGAAAGAAAAGAAUUUGGUUUUAAACUAACCAAAAGUAGUAACUGAUUUUACUUAUAAAGAAAAGUGUUUCUUGGAGUUCAGAUCACUAGGCUCAGAUUCCUCAUACAAAAAAGGAAUUCCGGUCACUUGUUUCUUUUCCUCGCAUUAGAGAUUCAACUUAAAGUUAAUUCUCUAACCGGUGUUGUACAGAAGCUUCCCAUUAAUGGGUUNNNNNNNNNNNNNNNNNNNNNNNNNNNNNNNNNNNNNNNNNNNNNNNNNNNNNNNNNNNNNNNNNNNNNNNNNNNNNNNNNNNNNNNNNNNNNNNNNNNNUUUUUCUUUUUUUCUUUUUUUCAAUUUUUCAAAAGACUCAUUGGUCUUUAUGAGGGGUCCCAACACUAUUAAUGAGAGGUUAAAGGUGUCAAAUUAUGAUUUCUCAAGCUUAGAGGGUGAGAUAGUUUCACAUCUUAUAACCGGAAUCUAAUGUAUGUGUGUGCGAAUAGCUUAAGGUGGAAGAGAUAAGUUUGCAUGCAAUGGGAGUUUCAACAAUUCAUCAACUUUUAAAAGAGCAUAAUACAAACUCUAAGACUCCUGUAAUCAAGUUGAAACUCGACUUCUCUCAUUUAAUUUUGAGAGUUAAUCCUUAAUAUCCAUGGAGUUUAAAGCAAAAAUUUUAAAAUUUAAGCAAAAAGCAACUAAAUUACCAAAAUAACUUAGCAUUAUUAACAAUACUUACUUCCUCAACUCUCCCCCCAACCAAGCUGAACAUUGUCCUCAAUGUGACAAAAGCGAUUAAAAAAUAGGGAGGAAGUGGUACCUCCUUAGUGACAUGGAGUCUGAGUCGUAUAGGAGAAACCACAUGUUUCAAAGAAAACAUAAGAGUUAGUGAGUAGAGGAAAUAGGAAUAUGCCAAGUUUAAACAAAAAUGAUGUCUAUGUAUGAUGUAUCAUCAGUAAUACAUCCAAUCCCAAAAUAUAAGACAUCAAAAUAUGGAAUUAUCUAUACUAAUAUGUAAAUACAAAAAGUAAAGAGAUGAUCAAGUAGUGGUAAGGUCCUGUGGAGCUGAUGCGUCUGUGAUGGCCUCUUGAGUGGGUUGGAUCAGGACUUUGGCCUCUGUUCAGGUAGUCUCCUUAGAUGGCAUAGUCUCCUCAACUGGAGCUCUCAGCUGGUAGCUAUGGGAUUUGAUGGUUUAAGGAGGUCAGAAAUGGAGUGAGAGGUUUGGUGUGUGUGAUCCCAGGGUGUGCAGGGCUCUCCUCUUCAGAUGCAUGAUCGUAGGGCUCUGUUGGCAUUUUAGCAACUUCCCUUGGCUUUGCAAGGUGUUUUUGCAAACCUUCCUUCCAUUUUGCAAGUCAAUUUUGCAAUUUGCAGGCCAUUUCUAAGCUUGGAGGUGAUUUCGCAACCAUUUCAAAGCUCAAAAGUGAUUUUGCAGGCAAUGGGCAAUUUCGCAGCCCAUUUUUGAAGCUUGGAGCAUUUUCGCAGCCAUUCUGAAGCUUGGAGAUCAUUUCGCAUCCAUUUCAAAGCUCAAAAGUGAUUUCUCAACCCAAAAUUGAUUUCGCAGCUCAUUUCAUAGCCAUUUCGUUGCUCAAAAGUGAUUUCGCAGCCGUAUCGCAGCUUCAAAAUGAUUUCGCAGCCGCGAAAUUCUCGCUCAACUUUGCGCGCUUGUUUUCAAACGACCAUAACUUCUUCAUUUCACCUCCAAAUCGCAUACCGUUUGAAGUUCUGGACUCCUGACUUCCCAAGCUUUGAAACAAGAUAUGGUAUGCAUAAUUUGAGCUCCAGAAAGUGCUUCAAAAACGUGUCCAACAGUAGCGAAAUUGAGGUGCGACAUUUCCGCUCAUGGUUUGUACAGUCUUCUUCAAACAGCCAUAACUUUUCCGUUUCAAAUCCAAAUCGAGCACCGUUUGAAGCUAUGGACUCGUGACUUCCCAAGCUUUCCAACGAGAUAUUGCAUGCAUAAUUUGAACUUCGGGAAGUGGUCGAAUCAUGUCCAACAGUUUCCGAAAUGGGGUGCGGCUGUGAAAUUGGGAUUUUUCAUGUUUUGGGACUUCGCAGCCGUUUCGCAGCUGCGAAAUGGGAGUCACUGUGCUGCGGAAUGGCACUCGUGUGCCAAAACCGCCUUCGCAAUUGCGAAAUACCCUGCGGAAUGGGACUUUUGGUGCGAAAUCAGGCUUUACCACUUCGCAAUGCGUUUCGCAGCUGCGAAAUGGAUGCUCCUGUGCUGCGAAGUGGCACUCGUGUGCCAAAAUUGGUUUCGCAGCUGCCAAAUACCCUGCGGAAUGGAGCUUUCUCUGCGAAAUGGAGGAUUUCAUGCUUUGGUGGUUCGCAGCCGCUUUCGCAGCUGCGAAAUGGGGGCCACUGUGCUGCGAAGUGGCACUCGUGUGCCAAAUUUGGUUUCGCAGCUGCGAAAACUUUCGCAGAGAGGGCAAUUGGGUUGCGAACUGGUUUCGCAACAAAAUUUCGAUUUCGCAGAGGCUGCGAAAUCUCGCAGACCCCUGUUUUUCCCCUGUUUCUCCCCUGUUUUCGGUCCGUUUGACUCUGAUUUUGCUCCGAUUUUGCUCCGAUUUUUUUCCUUCAAUUUCUUUGCAAUUCCUCUUGAUUUUGAUCAUCCAAAAACCUAUAUUACAUCAAAACAAACUAGAAUUAAAGCAUUGAAAUCAAAAUUAAAGCAUUGAAAUCAAAAUUAAAACAAGUAAAAAAACAAAACAAAAAGAUAUGGACUAACUAGUCUUUAAAAAGACUAAGUCCAUCAAAAAAUUUGAUCCUGAUUUAGCUUGCCCGGAUCCCAUAUGAAGCUUGCAUCUCUCACUUGGGACGUGAUUUGUAUGAUUUUCCCAUACAAAGCUUGGAGAAAAGUUAGAGGCAUGUGUUUCAUCAUCAAUUCUUCCUUGAUGACUAUCCUCUGUGGUUCUUCAUGUACAUUAACAGUAUAGCCAUCUUUUCUCUAUGCUUUUCCCCUUUUUCUUUCCUUUGAUUUCCUCCCUCUUUUCUUUCUCUGUUUCACUUUCACCUUAUACUCUAGCUUGCAUGUGGGCAGAUCAACCUCUUACACUCCUCAAAGUGAUCACUUCUUNNNNNNNNNNNNNNNNNNNNNNNNNNNNNNNNNNNNNNNNNNNNNNNNNNNNNNNNNNNNNNNNNNNNNNNNNNNNNNNNNNNNNNNNNNNNNNNNNNNNNNNNNNNNNNNNNNNNNNNNNNNNNNNNNNNNNNNNNNNNNNNNNNNNNNNNNNNNNNNNNNNNNNNNNNNNNNNNNNNNNNNNNNNNNNNNNNNNNNNNNNNNNNNNNNNNNNNNNNNNNNNNNNNNNNNNNNNNNNNNNNNNNNNNNNNNNNNNNNNNNNNNNNNNNNNNNNNNNNNNNNNNNNNNNNNNNNNNNNNNNNNNNNNNNNNNNNNNNNNNNNNNNNNNNNNNNNNNNNNNNNNNNNNNNNNNNNNNNNNNNNNNNNNNNNNNNNNNNNNNNNNNNNNNNNNNNNNNNNNNNNNNNNNNNNNNNNNNNNNNNNNNNNNNNNNNNNNNNNNNNNNNNNNNNNNNNNNNNNNNNNNNNNNNNNNNNNNNNNNNNNNNNNNNNNNNNNNNNNNNNNNNNNNNNNNNNNNNNNNNNNNNNNNGAAGAUCACAAGUACUCUAGAAAGGUGAUAUCACUGUAAAGUGGCACCAUCCCCGGCAACGGCGCCAUUUGAUUCGUCCCUAGCAGCGGCAGUGGCAACGGCACCAUUUGAUUCGAGGUUCGAUCCCCGGCAACGGCGCCAUUUGAUUCGUGCCCAAUUGGUGUCUCAGCUGAUUCGUGUCCAGCUGGUGCUCCUUGAUUGAGGGAUUAAUCAACAAAAUUUAUAACCUAUAACACCAUAUACUAGGGUAGCAAAGACAAAGCUACUAUAGUAUAGUGGCUCUAGGAUCGUUCACUGGGAUGGGUUUUCACUUCACAAAUGAUAUCAAUUCAAAGCUGAAUUGGUGCCUUUUCAUUUCAAGGUUAGCUUUAAAAGAAAACAUAAAGAUGUUUGAAAGAAAAGAAUUUGGUUUUAAACUAACCAAAAGUAGUAACUGAUUUUACUUAUAAAGAAAAGUGUUUCUUGGAGUUCAGAUCACUAGGCUCAGAUUCCUCAUACAAAAAAGGAAUUCCGGUCACUUGUUUCUUUUCCUCGCAUUAGAGAUUCAACUUAUAGUUAAUUCUCUAACCGGUGUUGUACAGAUGCUUCCCAUUAAUGGGUUCAAACACUAAAUCCCUCUCACUGAUGCAACUUGCAAUGGUUCAUGCCUCUCACGAGCACUUACCAUUCAAGGAGAUCUUUAACCUUGGACUUCCCUUCACAAACUCGCAAGAGAUAACUAAUGGAUGUCUCCUAGGAGUCCAAAAGCUUACCAAGUGUUGGUAAUUCUAGAAAAUCCUACCUUCAAGUCACCUCCCAAAGGCUCGCAAGGGGUAAACUAGUGCAUUUCCAUGGUUGGAAAUCACUUGCCUUACCAAGUGUUGGCCCAGGUGACUCUAAGGUGUUUUAAGUUAACUAAAAAGAUAAAAACCAUUAACGGGUCACACUUUCUCUUCAUUAAAAACUAAAACAACAAAACUUCCAAAUUAUGCAUGUGGAAACUUACCCGGCUUUCCUCACUCCAAGAGACAAAAGGCUUAGCCUCUCAUCCUCUGAGGAAAAAUCCUCAGAGUUUGGUUGGCUAGAAAAUGAAAAUGAAAUGAAAAAUGAAAGAGAAGGAAAAACAGAGCAAGGCUCUGUAUAUUCUAUAUAUGAUCAAUAUUACGGAUUACAUAUAUGGUCCUCCUUUUUUACAGUGGAUGCAAGGGAAUAUAUAUAGAGGAGUUUUUCCAACCUUCCUAGCUAAGAAAUCUUAUGGUUGGUGGAUCACAAGGAGAAGAAUGGAAAUUCAUACAAAAAUAUCUGAAGAAAAAUAUCCAAAAGAGUCGGUGCAAAAAUAUCGGGAAGCACUAAGGACCAUUUCGCAGGAGAAAAUGGUGUCUGCGAGAUUUCGCAGACACUCAAGAGGGCUGCGAAAUAUUUUCGCAACAACAAGUUAAACUCGCAGUGCUGCGAAAUUGGCUUCCACCUUGAGGUUCUCAGCGUUCCAACUUGCGGAAUGUAUCGGGUAGCUUCAGGAGGAAUUCCAUAGGACUGUACAAAAAGGCUGCGAAAUUCUCGCAACAAAAGGCUGAUUUCGCAACACUUUGGAGUGAUCUUCUUGCAAUGGCUGUAACUCCUUCGUUUCAACUCCGAAUCGUGCACCGUUUGAAGCAUUGGAUUCUUGACUUCCUAAGCUUUGAAAUGAUAUAUAGAAUGUAGAAAAUGGACUUCGGGAAGUUCUCCAAAAGUGCGAAAGAAGACUGCAGCUAGCUUUCCUCUGUUUUCUUCACUCUGUUUUUCCUCUCUCCUUGCUUCUCUCCUUGCAUACUUUGAACGACUAUGGCAAAGGGAUAUGGAGCUCCAAAGCUUGGUUCUUCUUGAAUUUGAGCUCUUCAUUGCUUUGCCAUGGAUUCCAAAUAACUCUCCUCAAUCUUGGAUUGUUUUGGUGAUCAAAUUACUAACAAAAACACCAAAAACUUACACAAUUUGAUUAGAAAUGAUUGCAAGGGUCCUUAACAUGUUAAUUGAGUUAAAAGGCAAUAACUACUACUCAAAAGUGUUUAAAAGAGUUAAUUACAAGCUAUCAAAUAGCACUUUUUGAGUAGUAAUCAGUAAUGAAAUGAACAACUUUAAGAUGUGGACACUAUACGCCUAAAGAGGGAAAUCACAAUCUAUGACUCCAAGUCAAACCACUAAAGGGCGACUAGAAUAGGAUGAUCAACUCACUAAAAAUGAGAAUGCAACUAUCUCGAGAAAAGCGGUAUGCCCCAAAUGACACUCAACAGUUAAAGGAUGACACAAAUGAAACUAAAAUGAAAGGAUGUUACAAAUGAAACUGAAAUGAUAACAAACUGAUAACUAAAAUGCAAUGAACAACUCUGGGCCGUUGAUGCAAUGGAUAGCUCAAGAAUAGGGGAACUGUUUGCCCAAAAUGGGAGAUUGUGGUCUGCGACUCUGAGUCAAACCACUAAAGGGUGACUAAAAUCAAAAUGAUCAACUCACUAAAAAUGAGGAUCUGGACAUCUCAAGAAAGGGGUUAUGCCCCAAAUGAAACUCAAAGGAAAAAGACGCCACAAAUGAAACUGACAAUAGAGGGAUGCCCUAAACAAACUAACGAAAAAUGGAUGCCCUAAACAAACUGACGGAAGUGAAAUGCCCUAAAUAAAUUGACCAAAGAAGAAUGCACUAAACAAACUUCGAGAAAAAAAAAUAUGCGAUAUACAAUCGAAAACACCUAAAGCAAAAACAAGAAACAAAGAAUGUGGUUUACAACUAGAAACACCCAAAAGAACCCUAAAGAAGUGACUGGGAUAAUGAACUCAAUGAAAAUGGUGUAUGCCACAGUAAAAGACUCGGAAGUAUCAGCAAAUGGGUCAAACGAUCAUGAAAUUAAUAGGAGAUAUGAUGAACCCAAAAAGGGCAUAUGCCCCAACAAAAGAACACUAAAAGGGGGGUAUGCCCCAAUAUGAAAUAGUGACCAACAUAAGACACAGAAUGUCACCAUACAAGACACUAUAGGAUAUGUUCAAUGACAAUGUAAUGAAAACAUAUAGCCCCAAUCAACAAAUGUUCAAGCAAGACUAUGCAUCACAUAAACUAAAAUAAUAGGCUAAACAAAUGCUAACCAAGUCUCUCACUUUAAAAUGUAAGCAAGUCAAGACAUGACAUGUCAACCAUCGACAUGAAAACAUCAUCACAAAUACAUUAACAAACUAAUAGUCCCUACUAUCAUGGAAGAUGUAGAACCUAACGUCCAAAGGCAUGUGAAAACUCAACCAGAAAACUCAAGACUAGUUUGUAUCCUCCUCUAAUCAAGAGAGCUGUUAGGCUCUGCCAAGAUGGAUGUAGGUAUAAUAGUGUCAAAAGUAGGAUGUCUGGAUGUCCAACGAAGGAAACUGGGUAUCCAAGUCAAACCAAGUAUGUUGAGGAAACUGAACCCAUGGGACAAUAACUGGGUAUCGAUUGAGAAAUAUGCCCCUCCGUAAAGUACAUCAAUUGAAAUAUGCCAAUCAUGCCUCAUGCUCCAAUGUGAAAAAGGACGUAUAAUCUUCUUUGAGGGAUGGUCAUGACUCAAAAUCCAUCAUCAGUUGAGAGAAGUAUACCCCAGCAUAAUGGUCAUCUAAAAAAUCAAUCCCCAACUAAGAAAUGUGUGCCUUGAUGUGAUGUAUCAAGCAAAAUGGCUGCAUACCCCAUAAAAAACUCUCUGAGGUGGCUAUGCCCCAAUGUUGGAUCAUACCACAACUCCUAGUCUAUCACAAUCAAAAUGCUCUCCAACCAAUCCCAAGUAUCGCCCACAUGAGAGCUAUCAAACACAAUGUGUGAUGUCAUGGCCUCAAGGUGGUCUUAAGAUUCGGGACAUAACGUAGGCUAGGGUAAUAAGGUGAAGAAAUGAAGGAAAACUAGGCUUAAUAAUCCCAAUGAUAAAACCUCAUACCCUUAUGUAUAAAAUGCAAUAUGUGUAAAGAGUCUCAUAAACCAUGGAUCUAAGGACGCCCAAUAUGAAUAUAUUAGUGAGGAAGAAAAAAAUCUAAGAUGAAUAUAUCAAUGAUAAAAGAGAAGAAAUGAAGAAUAUCAAACUGCUGAUGGGAUGUAUAAGAAUGAUGUGUGGAAAAUAUUGAACAUGGAAUGUAAAUUGAUAUGAACAAAGAACAAUGUAGGCAAGGCGAAUGCGAUAUCAUGAGAAGAACAAAUAAAUCAAAGAAAAAUGAAUGAGCACUAAUCCACUCAAAUCAAGUCAUGGAGAAUAGUCAAAUCACCAACGUAUGUAAUGAUGGAGAAGACAAUGAUUCGAAGUCCCUAGGAAAAUGUCACUUGUUUCUCACACAUAAAAUACAUAACGAGAUAGACACAAAAAGAUGAGAGUUUUUUUAAAGUUCACGUAAGAACUUUCAUAAGCAACUAAUUCAAUAAAGCAACCUCAAUGACCAAUAUAUACACUCAAUAAAGGAUGACACUGUAUACAUGUGUUUAUUACUUUUUCUUUUUCAUUUUUUUUUCAUUUUUUUUCAUUUUUUUUCUUUUACUCGUGCAUACUUUGAAUAUCAAUAAAUGAACUUCUCUGAGAAUACAUAAUGAAAUGGAUAUACUCUCAAACAAUGAUGUAGGCGAACUCUCUCUGACAAGAUGACCCUCUAAAUUAAGGAUUUCCGAACUAACAUCCAUGAGAUAGGAGUGGAGGAGGAUAUGAUCAUUCUCCAUGCACCGAAAUGUGAAAGAUCAUCACUCAAGGCAUAAAAAAAUGUGAUGAAAAAAAUAAAAGAUGAAACAAAAGAUAUAAACAAUCAAGUAUGAUGAAGAAUGAUGUUGGGAUGACAAAAAAAUAGUGAAGAAUGUGAGCCAAUAAGUCCACAACUCAUGAAACUCUCGAAUAAAAUAUAUAUACACCAAAAGACCCUUAUCCCGGUGUAAAAUGUGAGCAAGGAUAUAAGAAAGAAAAGACUAUGAUGCUCAUGUGAGGUUCAAAGGGCUAGCAACGGUCCAAAUGUCAAUAAAGGUAAUAGGGUGUGAGCUAACCAAAAUGAAGGUCACCCAUCCUACGACCAUGGUCUCAAACAUCGUGCUCUUAAGCUUUCAAAUGAUCAAUACUGAAAAUCGAUGUCCAUUUGAUAUAAACACGUCAACCCUUUCGACUUGGGCGUCAAACCAUACUCCAAAUGCUCAAUAAUAAUCUCAAAGAUAAUAUUCUCAAAGAAAAGUAAAUGGCGAUCUCAUAAGGCACAACUACUCAUCACAAGCCAACUCUCAUCAUGCAAGAUCAAUCUCUAUUUUCAUGGAAAAAUAAGUGACAAUCUCAUAAGGCAAUCGACCAAUCCUCACAUCGUAAACCAACCAAAGAUCAUAAAUCAUUCAUUGCCAUGCAAGAUCAAUCCCAAGCUCAAACUCCUCAUACUCUACCUGGUUGGAUUAGAGAAGAAAUGGGCAAAGCUAGAAAAACUGAAGAUGGAAAGGUCAUAUAAUGGUGUCAAGGGUGAUGUUGUGCAAAACUCACAAUGGAUGGAUGUAGGUCAAAGCAAAGUCAAUGUGUGAGAGUGAGUAAGGCACUACUCUGAUCAUAAGAAGAUGGGUCACAAUCUCAAACUCCCAAGGUCAAAUCUCCGAUCCUAGGCUAAUAAGCUCAACAUCCUCCAUGAUAGGUCAACCCCCAAUAUCACAAUGUGCAAAUGAAUAGAAGCCUCAAGUCAAAAGUACAACACAUCAUAUGAUAUAUGGCCCUAUGAUGACAAUCUAAAACUGGAAAUAUGUUAGAAACUCUAAGGUCAUAAAGGUGUCCACUGUGAGAUGACUACAAAUGUGACUAAGGAAUCUUUAUCAAUAAUUCAAAAAAUGAAUGAGGUGUGAAAAACCACACUAUCAUGAGAUUGAUACCCCAUUAAUAACAAAAUAUCCCUAAUUCACUUUCAAUCUAAGCUCUAUAAAGAAAAACAAUAAGGUUAUAAAGGCAAACCUCUAAAAAAUGGAGUGAAUGUGAAAACAUGUCUUCACCUUUCUAUAAUGAAAAUAUCAGGUUGAAAAUAGAAAUAGGCAAAUCAACCAAAGAAUGAAGUACAAAGCCCAUGACAGGUGAAGAAUGUAAAAAGGUGAACAUGAUCAAUGAACAUAUCCCAAAACAUCAAGCAUAAAGUGACAACAAAUCGAAAGAAUGUGUCGACUUAAGAAAAGAAGACUACCUGAAGCCCUAGAAAGAAAGUGUGCUAGACUCAACGAGUGACAAGAAGAAACUAAAACCAUAUAGCAAGGGGGUGGUCCAACUGAUACUCAAACUUGCACCAAUAUCUAAGCACUCUCAAUUGGAGACCAAAAAAUGGAGUAUUGGAUCCAUACUGUGACUAAAGCGGCCUCGAAGGCUCUUAGAUGCAUCCACGUGUAGGAAAAGAAAUCCUAAUAAAAAUAUCUAAGGCUUAACCUACAAGGUCAAGGCGUCUCUAAAAAGAAAAAUUAAGUGGACUUUAAAGGAUCCCUAGCAAAAACGAUCAUACCUUCCGAUGGUACGCAACCUCCUACACGUCUUGAAAGAUACGGGAGUGAUUCCAUGCAAGGUGGUCAUCACCUCCACACAUGCACUAUCUCAUAUCCUAGAGGGUUUCCUAAUGAUGAAGACUCUUACAUCUCUCAACACUUAGUGGUAAUCUAAGGUGCACAGUGAACGGUGUGGGUUCAUCCGAAAAUCCUAUCAAACUAAGCAAAGAGAAAACACACUAGUCACACAAAUAUCCUGAAAUCUAGCUCUAACCUAUACAAGUCUUCAAAGAUUGAACUCCAAUUAGCAUUAAUGUUUUGACCUUCUCUAGAAUGCUCCCAAACAUAGAUAUAGUCCAUUACUAAACCCUACUCUGAAUACUAGCUCGGUCGAAGAGCAAACAAAGUAACAAGUCUCAUAUCAAAUACGAGAUCAAGGGGAACACAGUCACCUGAGACUAGGGAAUUGGAGGUAAUGGGAUAGAUGUGUGUCCCACAUAGACAAGCAACAUUCAUCACACAGAAGAAGAAUAGUCAUGCAAUAGACAACCAAGCAAAGAACAGGUAUAUCAUUCAUAUCUACACACAAGCUAAACAAGAAAUAGGUAUAUAACAAGAAUAAACAAUAUGUUGAGAUAAACAAGAUAAUAUACAAUAAAGAGAAUCAAUCAUGCCAAUAUGAAUGAGAUAUACAAAAAUGAGAAUAUACAUGUUAAGGAGAGCAAGAUAAUCAUACAACAAGAAGAGUCUUAUGUUAAAGCAAACAAGAGAAUCAAUCGAUGUAGUCAACAUGUCAAUAUCGCAAAUGAACAUAAUAGCCAAAUAUGCAUCAUAAAGAAAAAAGGGUAAUCAUGCAGCACACAGUCAUACAAAACAAAUACAGACAAACAUAAGCAAAUAAAUGUAAACACACAUGAUAACAAAAAUAAAUGUAUAGUAAGGCACAUGCAAUAUAUACAUAAAAUAAUCAUCAAGUCAACACUCAUAUACCUUGAAACAUGAAAAUAUACAAUAAAGACACAACGAGAGGGUAUUCACUAAUCAAUUAAUCAAACGCUACAUUUCCCUUAACUUGAGUUCAAGUUUGAUCCUUUAAAUAUCCCUAGUGGAGCUGCUAAUUUGUGAACCCAUAUUUUUCACAUGCGUCCUUACACAACAGCGAGACUCAUUUUUUUUAUUUGGUGAAAUUUUGAUUUUUAGAAAAAAGACUUUGAGUCGUCACUUAUUUUUGUUUUUUUUAAGGGAAAAUAAAAUAAGAAAGAAAAACUUGUGUGACUCCAUAUUUGGGAAAGACAUGUAUGCAAAAACCAAAUCUAGAUUCAGGGGUCAAGUUACCUAUUGGGAAUGUACGAUGGUGAGCUGUAGCAUCUCUCUAAGCUCAUAUACGUACGGUCUCUACUAAACAAAUUAAGAGAAUUGUGGUAAUUAAUUAAUUAGUCAUGGAUACCAAGAAAAAGAAUUGCACAAAUGAGUACGUACAAAUCAUGAUAAAAAAAAAUCAAAUUAUAAGAAUAGACAAAAUAAAUAACAAGAGAAUUGUGCAAAGUGAUUUAUUAAACUAAAUAAAAAAGAAGAUAUUAAAAAAAAAAUUAGUUUUCAAGAAAUUUCAAAGGAUUUUGUUAAAAUGAUUUUGAAUUAAUGAUUUUAAUUUAUUUAUUUACAAAAAAAAUGUCAAUUUAUUUUCUUCAAGUGAUUUGAUUCAAUUUCAUUUGUAUUCAAUUUUUUUUUAAAGUUAUUUACACUCAUGGUUGUUAAAAGAAUUAUUAACAAAAUUUCAAGUUGACAAUAAAAAUGAUUUUUACUUGCUUUUACUCGAAAACAAUGAAUUUUUACAAUUUUAUUAACAAAAGCAUUUCAAUUUAAGAAAGUGACUUAUACAAAUUAUUAAAAAAAAUAUAACUUUAUCUACAAAAGAAUUUUUAAUUAAAAAGAAAAAAUUUAAAUCCUCUAUUUUAAAAAAUGACUUUUAAUCCCAUUUUAAUUAAGGAAAAAUGAGUUAUUUAAAAAAACAUUUUUUGGACAAUUUGAAUAAAAAUUAAUUUUUGGGACAACUUUAUUUACAAAACAAUUUUUGAACAAUUGUUAUUAAAAACAAAAUUUCAAAUUCUAUGAAAAACAAUUUUUUGGAUUUUUCCAAACACAUUUUUAUGAAUUUUUGUUAAUAAAAAACUUUUUUUUAUUAAGAAGAAUAUUUUUUGAGAUAUUGUUUUAUUAAAACAUGUUUAUUGAAUUAUUCUUCUUAUUCAAACAAAAAUUAUAAUUUGUUCGAUAUCCAAUUCUGUACAUAACAAGUAAAUAUAUACAAACAAAUAUUUAUAAAAACUAAUAAAAAUAAAACCAAAUAGAAGUGAGAAAUAAAACAUGUGCUUAAACAAUCUUACAACAAGCUCAAUGUAUUUCUACGACUUUUCGAGUCUCACUUUCUUACAUUAAAUUUUAUGCUCUACGUACCAUAAAUUCGUACUCAACCAACAAAAUUGCAGAAUUGGCCUAUGCAAAAACAAAAAUAACACAAAUGUAAAUAUCUAAAAAUGUAUAAAGUUCAUAAUAGAUAUUCAAGCCCAAAUUCAAAUUUCAAAUUAGUCCAACAAAUUUCGUCAAUCAAAAUGGGUUCAAAUUAGCAAAUAUAACCCAAUAAAAAUAUCUCACAUGUCAUAGGCCCUAAUAUAAAAUUUCCAAAUUAAUAACCAAAAUAUAAGUUCAAUUAAUCAAACCCAAAACAUGAUACAUUAAAACAAAUCUCAUUAGGCUUAAACUUAAUAUCUCAUAAUUCAAUAUAUAAACCUAAAUCCGCAGUCAAAAUCAACUCACUUUAUGCUAAUCCCAAUUUAUAAUCAAAAUCAAACAUAAUUUAAUAAGUAAAUAACUAAAUAAAUUAAGCAAACUCAAAAAUCGAACCACUAUUGCAUAAUCAAACAAUAAUAAAUAUAAUGACAAUAAUAAUAAUAAUAAUAAUAAUAAAAAUAAUAAUAAAAAUAAAAAAUUUAACUCACGUUGGAACCAGUUUGAGUGUCGUGGGAAAGAAAGAAAAUGAGUGAAAAGUGGGAGAUGAUCGUUAGCUGGUAGUGGCUCGUCGGUGGCGACUGGUCGAUAGUCCUAUCGGCGGUAGAGAGGAUUGAUGAGUUUUUAGGAAAGGAAAAAAAAAAGAGUAAUAAAAAAAAAAUGGAGAAAUGAGAGGAAGGUGGGAUAAGAGAGGAGAGAGAGAAUGAAGAAAAUAGGGAAAAAGAAAUGAGGUCGGCUAGAGGAGGAAGUGGUAGUGUGUGUGAGCUAAAGUGAAGAAGAAUGAAAGAAGAAGAAGGAGAAAAAUGGGGAAGAAGGGGAAAAAAAUUCGAGCCCCCUAAAUGAAGAAAGGUGAGUAGCCUAAAGAAGAAGAAAAAAUAAAAUAAAAUAAGAAAAAAUGAGGAGAAAAUGAGAGGGCCAGUAGUCUUGGGAAUGGGGUGGUAUGGGUGAGAGAGAGUGGGUGGGGGGGUUGUUGGGGAAGGUAUGGGAGAGAGAGGUAAGAUAAAAGAAAGAAAAAAAAAACAUAAUAAUAAUAAUAAUAAUCAUAAAUAAUAUAUAAAAUAAUAAAAAUUAAUAUUUAAAUGAUGAGUGGGUCAAAAAUAUUAUAUGUAAUUGGGAUUUAAUUUUAAGAGUAAAAUUGGAUUAAAAAUUAAUGUAAAAAUAAAAUUAGAACAAAAUUUGGAAUCUACAAAUACAUUCUUUAAUCUUUCCACAACAUCAAUCUGAUAUAAAUCAAAUGCAAUAAAUUCUAAAAAUGAUACAAUCUUUAAUCAAUCCACAACAUCAACCCGAUCAAAACUUAAUGCAAUAUUGCUUAAUGGAGAGAAUCGUAAAAUCCUUUUAUGAGAGGAAAACAAAACCCUUAACAGACCUUUAUGAGAGGAAAAUAGGAAAACAUAGAACUAAAAACCCUUAACGCAUUCACGAGAAUAAAAAAUCUUUAACACCUUAAUAAGAGGAAAACAAAGAAUUUGAACAAUCCUUAAUCCAUCAAAAGCUCUUAAUAUGAACGAGGGGAAAACAUAACCUUUAUUUUUCAGAUCGUUGAAUAAAGAAUCUAAAGAGAUAGAAUUUUUAGUUAUUAAGGAUUUUUUAUAGAUGUCUAUUGAAUGUUUAAGAACUUUUAUGGAUAAGUGUUAAUUAAGAGACUGAAAGGGUACUUAGGAUUUUCAACUAAAAAAGUUAUAACAAUAUGAAUCGUAAGAACUUAAAAACAUCACCCAUCCAAUAGAGGAAUAUGGAAUGAGAGGUUAUUUUUUUACUUAUACAACAAUAAACUUUUUUGGAAGAGGUUUUUCUAAGUACAAAAAGUUAUGAAUAAAAAACUAUUAUUAUGAUGAGUUAACUAAAAUAGAAUUAAUUUAGAAAAUAUCAAUAAAGUUGCAUGAAUUAUUAUCAUGAGUUAACUUAAUAAUAAUUAAUAGUAAUAAAGUUAAUGAAGUGAAUUUGGAUUGGCAGAUAUAUUUGAUGAUAAGAUUUUUUUAAUAAUAAAAAAUUAUUAUGGCAUGAAAAAUAGGACAAAAUUAACCUUAUGAUAAGAUUUUUUUAAUAAUAAAAACAUUAUUAUGGUAUGAAAAAAGGGACAAAAUUGGCCUUUCCUUAAUUGUAACCACCCCAAAAGGUAGGAAGAAUCUCCAACCCCCAUUCUCGGCUCCCUUAUCUUUUCCCCUACAACCAAAAUUCAACAACUAUCUUAGAAUGUCCUUCAGUCCACCAGAUCUGGAUCCCUUUGAUUUUCGUCUUCUUUUUUCUUUCCUCCUUUCCCUUUUUCUAGUUUCUUCCUUCAAAAUCCAUCCCUCAUAUCUCUCACAAAUUUUCUGUCCCACCUUCUUCUCUUCCUCCCAAUUUCCUUUCUAUAUAUAUAGUUUCUGUCUUUCCUUUGUUUCUCUCUUCAAAAUAUUCUGAUUUUCCCCUUAGAAAUUUGAUUUUUCUCUUCAAAUAUUUUGAUUUUCCCACUCAAAAUUCCGACUUCCCCCCAUAAAAAUUCUGGAUUUUCUUUCCCAAUUUGGCUUAAAGAUAGUCAUAUUUUUUUGUUCCCGAAAGACAUUAUGUGUCUUUUGAAACAUUCGAAGGGUGAUCAUGUAUGGACAGAAUUAAAAAGUAUGGUUGGUAAGUUGGGAGACAGGAUGGGAUGGGAGAUUUAAAAUUAAAAAUCAAUAAAAUAAUAUUAGAAUAAAAUAAAGAAAAGAAAUAGUGAGUAAAAACAACACCUAUACAUCACAAUAAUGAAAACAAAAUUGAUUGAUCACCAGCUAACAUUAGGAGAUUAUAAGAUAAAGAUGUAAUUGCAAUUAUUGAAAUCACUUAAAGAGAAAAAAUUAGGAACAUGCUCACUAUAAAUAAAAUCACCUUAGAAUUAAAAAUUAGGGACAUGAUUAUGAUGAUUAAAAUCACUUGAGAACUAAAAUGUUUUAGAGAUACAAUAAUUGAAAUCAACUGAAAAAUAAAUUCGGUAUGUGGUCGCAAUUAAUGUAUAUAUAAACAACCAAAUGUUGAAAGGAAAAACUAAUGGAAUUAAUGCGAUUUUCUUUUUAUGGUUAGAUUUCUCUUGACACCAAACAAAUGUAAGGAAGUUUAUAAAGGAAAAUUAGGUUUUGAUUCACUAAAUUAAAAUAAUAUAGAAAAAGAUCUUCAAAUUUUAUAUAUAUAUUUUUUCAUAACUCAGAUUUUCAUUAGAAUAGUGUCAGGAGUUGAACGCCAGUGGGAAUACAGGCUUAUGGAAACAAAUCUAUCCGACUAGUAGGUUCUUAUUAUUUUCAAUAUAGACCCCAUAAAAUAAAUAGGAGAUGGGCAGCCCGUCCCUUUUGUGAGGCCAUCCUCCCAACUUAUUAAAGGUGAUGUGAGUUUAAGACAGUGACAAAAUUGUCGGUUACUUCCCAAACCUGCUCUCCACAGGCAAACCCAGUGAUCCAGAAAUUAAUUGGUACCUGACACGUGACUACCAAACGUUCGCUCACCCACCAUACCCAUGGCCUCAUGCCCCAUAUAUUUCCACAAACCUAGCUCAAUUUUCAUAGCCACCUUCACUGUCCUACACUCACUAAGCCAUGGCCAUAGAUACAAGCCUCUUGCUUAAGCUUGCUGCAGCAAUUCUACUCUUCUUUAUCACCCGCUUCUUCAUUCGUUCUCUCCUUCCCAAACCUUCCCGGAAGCUCCCUCCUGGCCCCAGAGGGUGGCCGCUCCUCGGCGCUCUUCCUCUUCUAGGUAACAUGCCUCAUGUUGCACUAGCAAAGAUGGCCAAAAGAUACGGACCUGUCAUGUUCUUGAAAAUGGGCACUAACUGCAUGGUGGUGGCCUCAACUCCGGAGGCAGCUCAGGCUUUCCUUAAAACCCUAGACAUUAAUGUCUCGAACCGCCCGCCUAAUGCCGGUGCAACACACUUGGCCUAUGAUGCCCAAGACAUGGUUUUUGCGGAUUAUGGGCCAAGGUGGAAGCUCCUGAGAAAGCUAAGCAACUUACACAUGCUUGGUGGGAAGGCUCUUGAGGACUGGUCUCAGGUUCGAACUGUUGAGCUAGGUCACAUGCUUCGAGCCAUGCUUGAGUUGAGCCAGCGAGAGGAGCCGGUGGUGGUGCCGGAGAUGUUAUCUUUUUCCGUGGCCAACAUGAUAGGGCAAGUGAUACUAAGCCGCCGGGUGUUUGAAACAAAAGGGUCGGAGUCAAAUGAGUUCAAGGACAUGGUGGUGGAGCUCAUGACCACUGCUGGGUACUUCAAUAUUGGCGAUUUUAUUCCGUCCAUCGCAUGGCUGGACAUCCAAGGGAUCGAGCGCGGGAUGAAGCAUUUACAUAAGAAGUUCGACAAGUUAUUGACAAGGAUGAUAGAGGAGCACACGGCAUCAGCCCAUGAGCGCAAGGGAAACCCAGAUUUUCUGGACGUAGUCAUGGGCCAUCAAGGAAAUUCUACAGGGGAGAAGCUCACCCUUACCAACAUUAAGGCGCUCCUCCUGGUAUGCAUAGUUAAAGCUCGUCUUUAAUUUUGUUUUCCGAUAUUUUCUUUCCGGAAACAGCACUUUUAUUGCUUUUAGAUAUGUACGUUUUUAUCAGGUAGCCAUUUUAGGGGCACAUCACUGUUCUUUAUUUGCAUUUUUUUUUUGUCUUUUUCCACUUGCAUGGUUGUUUUCAUAUGCUCAGCUGCAUGGCACAGGAAAAUUGGGAAAAAUGAUUGGUUCUCUGAUCAGACCUUCUGCACCAAAACACACUUCUCUCUAUUUUAUAAAAUCAAGAACAUUUAUGGUUUACAUGAUUUUUCGAACUUGAACUUUUGCUAGGGCUAAUGCAUGGAUCUCAAUUUUCAAUUGCGUUUGAUUACAUAAAUUUCAAGUAUGUCACCAUAUUUUUGUUUCCUUGGCUAGAAUUUAUUUACUGCAGGAACAGACACUUCAUCAAGCGUAAUCGAGUGGUCUCUGGCUGAGAUGUUGAAAAACCCGAGCAUCCUCAAGCGUGCUCACGAAGAAAUGGAUCAAGUGAUUGGAAGGAGCCGGCGGCUCGUGGAGUCUGACUUACCAAAACUUCCAUACCUACAAGCCAUAUGCAAGGAAAGCUUCCGGAAGCACCCAUCCACCCCAUUGAACCUUCCUCGUGUCUCAGCCCAGGCAUGUGAAGUGAACGGCUACUACAUCCCAAAGAACACUAGACUUAGCGUGAACAUAUGGGCAAUCGGGCGAGACCCUGAUGUCUGGGAAAGCCCGGAAGAAUUCAGGCCAGAAAGGUUUUUAAGUGGAAGAAAUGCAAAAAUUGAUCCUCGUGGAAAUGAUUUUGAGUUGAUCCCGUUUGGGGCUGGACGAAGGAUUUGUGCUGGCACUAGAAUGGGAAUAGUGCUAGUUGAGUACAUUUUGGGGUCGUUGGUACACUCAUUUGACUGGAAAAUGCCGGAUGGAGUUGAGAUCAACAUGGACGAAGCUUUCGGGCUUGCUUUGCAGAAGGCAGUUUCUCUUUCGGCUAUGGUGACACCUAGGCUUCACCAGAGUGCGUAUGCAGUCUGAGCUCAAGCUGUUCAGAUCAAAACCCAGGGCUAGCUACUAUAUGGCAUGGAUUUGUUUUAGUUUCCUUUGGGUUAGUAUAACUGUAUAAGAUGUAUUAGCUCAAAGAUUGGGAGUUUCAUUCUACCACCAAGCCAUAUGCCUAUCCGUGAUCUAUAAAUUUAGCUUCGGUUUGGUUAUAGUUUCUAUUUUUCUUUUGUCUUCGUAAUCAGUAAAUAAUAGUAACCUUUAUAUAAAAUAUAGUAACUCUUCACAAAUUUUGCAUUGAAAAAAAUAAUAGUUUUAAAAUCUGUUUAAAAAAAUUAAGGUGCAUUAAAAAAUUUUAAUAUAUCAAAUUUAAAAAAUUUUAAAAAUAAUUUUAAAGAUAUAAAAAAAAUUAUAUUUUUUGUAAAAGAGUUUUACUUUUUGUAUAGAACAUAUUACGGUUUUGUAUUUUAAAAACAGAAUACGAGGAAUGUAUCCAAAUGUACAUUUAGUAAUAUUUUACUGAAAAUUUUAAAGGUUAGAUAAGAAAUAAACAAAAAUUAAAAUCUAAUUGCACUAUUAUUUUAAGGUUAAUUCUGUCAUGGGUAUUCAUCAAUUUUUUAAGUUAAUUAUGCUUAAGGUCUUUACUAAAUAAGAAGAGGAAAUUUUGGUAAUUAAUUAAAUUUAAAAAAUAUAUAAUAAUAAUAUAUUAUAUUGUAUAUAUGCUAAAGAACCAUUAGAGAUGACAAUUAGGCAGGGUUGAGAUGAGAUGGGUCACUCCCAUCCUGUUUACAUAGUUUAAUUCUCAUGAGCUAAUAAAAAAAAUUAAAUGGGAGGGAAAGGGUGUGAGAAUUUUCCAUAUCCACUUGGUACCAUCCUUUAUAAUUUCUUUUUAAAAUUUAAUUUUCAAAAAUGUUUAAUUACAUUAAAAAUAAUAUAUAUUUUAUAAAUAAAGAAAAUAUUAUAAUUUUUUAUAACUUCUUUUAUUAAAAAUAAAUUUUAAAUCAAAGAAAGGGGUAUUUUUGUCCAUUCAGGGUCUUUUUUUUUUUUGUCGAGGCACUAUUGGAAAAAAGGCCAACAGUAACACUUCUGCAUCAUUUUCCAACUUGUCAUAAUAUUUGGAUGUGUUCCAUUAUUGAAGCUCUAGGUAAGGAUUUUCUUCUCCACCUUGAAGAGCCAGACAUAUCAUCCAAAAGCCCCCAGACACUAAUGGACUCAACCUUUUAUAUGUUUAUACACUACUCUUAUCCAACAUACUUCCAAAUUGAAUAGCCGGUGAAAUCAAGUAAACCCAACAAUGUCCAUCCAUUCCCAUGUCUCCACGCUAUUUCUCCUUAUAGUCUUAAUAUUAUCUGGAUCCAUUGCCAUCACAGGUCAAUUAAAGAAGCAACUGUCUAUGACUUCCAAGGUCAGCCUGGUCAGGUAAGUUAUGAUCCAAAGCUCAAUUUUUCUAACAAUAGUUAGCUUAUAUUUUGGUUCUCAUCCCCUCAAUAAAGACAUGAACAGAUAUACCCAAUUAUUUUCAAUCAAAUUCUUAGAAGGGGAAAAUCUUUUCUGUAGGUGAUGUACGUGUCUUGGAAAUUUCUAUUACUUAUCCUAAGAAGUUUGUGUGUGGUUGUCAGGAAAAGGGAAGUUACUGUUUCAUCUCUAUAGCAUAUUAAAAUGUAGAAAAUUGAAUUCAUUAAUUUUCAAUUUUUUCUCAUUCUACUCAGGGUAAGUGUCCUUCGGAACUUGAACAUGCAGAAAAGAUUAAAAAAAAUAAAAAAUAACAGAAUUAGAAUAUGAACAUGUACGUGAAUAUGCACUAUGAUACUACACGCCAAAAAAGACAAAAAGCUUAGACAUGUUUGCUAAAGGACAAGGUGACUAGAAGAGUGAAAAGCGUGUAGAGCAUCUAGUCAGGGUCACCAUUACAAAAAGAAGAAAGGAAAACUUGUGUUUUGAUGGGGCCAUUUGGGAAAUAUUUGGUUUUCGAAACCCAAUUUUAUGAAAUCUAAAAACCAUCUUUUAAUGUGGAAAGUUAUAUACUUUUCAUGCACUUUGAGUCGGGUGCAUAUUUUGUGCCGAGAUUGCCCCUUCGGGAUCCAGGUCAGUAGCAUCCUAAGGCCAUGUUAGCAAGGGCCAAAAUGGAACCGCAGAAAAACUCCAAAAUCAAAAUCUGAUCUUCCCAAAAAAACACCCUAGUCGAUGGUUCUUUCACCCCUUUCUCUCAUUUGAUACCCAUUUCUCUCAUAUUUCUUCACUUCGUCACCGAGGCAAAGCAAAGAACCGUGUAUAGUUUUAAAAAAUUUCUCUCAUUUCAGUUCAGAAGCCCUUAAUCCCAAACUCCAAUCUACACUUUUCUUUCUUCAGCCCCUUCUCCUCUCAAAGUCUUGACUAGUCGUACCUGAUCGUCCCAAUUUCCUCAUCCCAAACUCCAAUCACCUGUACAUUUUGAUUGAAAUUCUGGUUUAGGCCAGCGAACUAGAAUGGAAACAACAACUAUGAUAUAUUGGUUUCAUGAAGAAGAAAUCUCCUCUUCGUGUCAUUGGGUGGAAUUUUGCCCUAACCUCCACAGAAAAUUUUAAGGUAAUUAAUUUGUAUUUAGGGUUGUUUUGAUUUUAUUUUAUUUUUCAAAUGGAGCACAAGAGCGAUUGUGGAGUGGUAAUUGUAGUUCGAAUUUUGUGUGCAUUGGUGAGGCCAUAGCUUGAGGCGCAUGUGGAUUUUGGACGGCAUGAUCAGAUGGUCAAUCUCUAUCUUUUUGUGGAUUGGAGGCUCAUGAAAUGUAAAAUGAAAGUGGUAAUUUAUUUUUGAUUGUCAAAAGAAUGUUGUGGAGAUAUGUAGAUAUUAGGUAGAAGACCUUUGUUUUUUUUGACAUUUUUAGACUGAUGGUAAUUAACGAUGACAACAAUUAGGCAAGAUCAUUUUUUGGCAAAAAAAUUCAUAAUUAAAUCAUAUUUGUUGAGACUAAAAAUAAUAAUAAAAAUAAUAAUUCAAAUGCAUAAAUUAUGUGCUAGUUAGUAUAAAUUGUUGGUAGUGUUUGUGAAUUUGCAAUGUUUGUUGGAUUGUGAGGGUACAUCUUUUGCAAAUCGUGUGUGGUUUGAUUAACAUGUUUUUCUUUAUUGGGAAUGAUUUCAUUGUUGUAGUCUUUCAGAUUUUCUUUGUAGAAAGACUGAAUUUUAGUGAUGAUAUGAAAUAAAACCAUUAUAAUCUCCUUUGAGCAAUAUUUAAAAUAUUUCAUUAUGAAAUUUUGUAAGCUUGGCUUUCAUUAAUUAUAUCAUAUUGAUCCAUCCAACCAUUAUUAUUUCUCCUUUUUGCGAUAGUCAAAACAUUUUAUCUACAAAGGAAGUGUUUGCAAAUUGAUUUGAUGUUGGAAACAUUUUAUCUUAAUGAACCUUAGGUACUACCCUAAUGCACCUUAGGUACUACCUUAAUGAACCUUAGGUACGACCUUAAUGUACCUCAGGUACUACCUUAAUGCACCUUCAAAAAAUUGUGCCCUUAGGUCACUAAAGACAAUUCUUUCAUUGCAUUACAUAUUGGAGCAUGACUUGGUUAUGUUGUUAUUGGUAACUCAAUGGUGAGCUUAUGUAAUCAUACCAGGAUCAAGGUACAACCCUAAUGCACCUUAAGUACUAUCUUAAUGAACUUGAGCUACUACCUUAAUGUACCUCAGGUACUACUUUAAUGUACCUUAGGUACUACCUUAAUGCACCUUCGAGAAAUGUUGCUUUUCUGUGAUUGAAGACACAAUUAUUUCAUUGCAUUAUAGAUUGGAGCAUGGCAUUGUUAUGUUCUAUUUGUUACUUAAUCAGUAGCUUAUGUAAUUAUAACAAAUUUAAGGUACUACCUUAAUGCACCUUAGGUACGACCUUAAUGAACCUAAGGUACUAUCUUAAUGCACCUUCGAGAAAUGUUGCUCUUCUAUGGCUAAAGAGACAAUUAUUUCAUUGCAUUACAAAUUAGAGCAUGACAUUGUUAUGUUCUUAUUGGUUACUCAAUCGAUAGCUUAUGUAAUCAUAACAAAUUUAAGGUACUACCUUAAUGCGCCUUAGGUAUGACCUUAAUGAACCUGAGGUACUACCUUAAUGUACCUCAGGUACUACUUUAAUGCACCUUCAAGAAAUGUUGCUUUUUUGUGACUGAAGACACAAUUAUUUCAUUGCAGUACAAAUUGGAGCAUGGCUUUGUUAUGUUCUUAUUGGUUACUUAAUCGGUAGUUUAUGUAAUCAUAACAAAUUUAAGGUACUACCUUAAUGCAUCUUAGGUACGACCAUAAAGAACCUGAGGUACUACCUUGUACCUCGGGUACUACCUUAAUGCACCUUUGAGAAAUGUUGCUCUUCUGUGAUUGAAGACACAAUUAUUUCAUUGCAGUAUAGAUUAGAGCAUGGCAUUGUUAUUUUCUUAUUGGUUACUCAAUCAGUAGAUUAUAUAAUCAUAACAAAUUUAAGGUACUACCUUAAUGCACAUUCGAGAAAUGUUGCUUUUCUAUGAUUGAAGACACAAUUAUUUCAUUACAUUGCAGAUUGGAGCAUGGCAUUGUUAUGUUCUUAACCUCUUGGAUGAAUAUUUUCAAAUUUAUGCACAAUCUUCUAAGCAUAAGCCAUUUGUUAUUGUAUGGUGUCUCAUAUUAAUUUUUCAAUUGUCACCUUGUAAUUUAAUUGUUAGUGUAUGGUUUAAAAUUUAUGAUCACAUAUUCAGAUUUUAAAAUCUACAAUCGUGUGCUGUCAUCUCUAUUUUGAAACUGCAUUUGAUAGACUCAUUCUUGCUAUUGAAAUAUACAAAUUCUGAUAUAUGCUUUGCGUUUUUCAUCUCCUAUCCAAAUUAAGGAUGACAUGUGAGUGGACCUUCACCAGAUGGUGUAUACACCUCGAUGGUGUCUUACUUUUAGACAUCUCCUUGGCAAUGUAGUGAAUUAGUGUUACUGUGAUGUGUUGCUUAUGAUAUUCUGGAUGGUGUCUUAUGAUAGUCCACCAUGCUUGUGUUUGGAAAAAUAUAGACUUAUGGUCUUAUCUACCUUAUCAAGUUGUACACGGUAUUUAUAGUUGGUUUAUUUCUAAAUUUAUACGGUGCAUCGUAUAAUGUCUCUGAUUUUUGUGUGCAGGACUUCGAAGUUGAUGAACUCUCACAAAUAUUUCUUUUUGUAUCAGAAUUUGUAGAUUGUAUGAAGUAAAGGAUGAUCAACCUACAGAUGCAUUUUGGAACCCUCUUUACCCCUUGCAACGGAGGAUGUUGUUCCUUUAAGAGAGCAAGUGGCAACUCUUGAAGAUUAACAUCAGGAUUCUCAUAUCCCAAAUGAUGUUAAGUUAAGGCCUGGAUGAUCAGGAGAGAUUUCCAUCAUCAGUAGGAGCUCAACCAAAUAUGAAGAAGAUGAGGAAAUACCACAUAAAAAAUAAGAGGAAUCUAGUCACUAGGGCUGAAGCCUGAUAGAUCAAGAUUUCAAGGUCGUGGAAGAGGAACAAGGAGAGGAAGCGGAAAGAGUGGCAUUUUGGCUCAAUCUAGAAUUUCAUUUGGGUUGAAUCCAGUCAUUUUGGCUGCACAUUCAUGUCCACCGUCUUUGGCAUCAGAAGAGGAACUCAUGAUAAAGACAACAAAAUUAUGGAUGGUUCAGAUUUGGCCUAUUUUAGUAGUUAUGUUCAAUUAUUUUAAAAAGUCUCUAUUAUUAGUGUCUUGAGUUCACAACUAAUGGGACUUUGGAUUCUCUUUGUUGGAAGAUUACUUGAUGACCGGUUCUUAAAAUAAAUCCAAUUCAGAACAAGCAAUUCAAAUAUAUAACAUUGCUUAUUAUUAAUCUAAUUAUUAUUAUUAUUAUUAUUAUUAUUAUUAUUACCUUUGUUGAUAAUCAAAUGCAGUUUUUAAAAAACCCCACAAAAUGAUGCGCAAAAUGAAUAGUUGACAAUUUGUGGGAAGUGCAUUCUCAUCAUAUCCGGGUAUGGUUGCCACAUUAAUAUGCCAUCACACAACCCUGUUGAACCCAAUAUCUGAUAUCAAACCUAAAGAUUUCUCUUUCUUUUCCUAAGAUGAUUUAAUAAGAUUGUUAUUAAAUAAAAGAAAAGAAACUCGUGAUAGGAAGAAAUUCAUCCACAUGCUUAAGGUCAUCUCAGCACCUUACAAUCUCAUCAAAUCACCAGUGCCACUACUCUUGAAUGUUUCCUUACGAAUACCAACCAAUGUCUUCACCAUCACCCAUGAGACCUGAAUUUGUCACCAUGGUUUAGAGCAUUCAGUUUCAAAACCAUGGUCCUUUUAUUUUAACUACAAUUGUAGAGGCCACUAGCAUGGAAUAGAACAUUGAAAUAUGGAAAACAUAUUUAAGAAAUGCCUGAUCUUCAUUAAGAUUUUCUCACUAAAACGAAACACAAACAUAGUCCAUGGAAUUUAUACCUUAGCAUAAUUAUUAUACCAUAGUCAACAAACCAAAGAAACCUCCAAACUACCAAAAACCUUGAGAGAAAUUGCUAUCUAAAACCUUACACACCAACUAAUUAUGAAAGGAAUACCCAUAAACAAGGUACUACACUGACCAUAGAAGGAUAAACUGAAAGAUGAUCAAGUUAGAAAUAGAAAUUUCCAGUCUCUGUGUCUCAUUUUCCUAUUAAAUUAUUACUUUUUCCGAUAAAAAUGUUGUCACUUUGGAUCACAGUUGAAAAACUAAUAUGUUGUUGAAUCAGUCACCAAUGCACCACGGACGCGCACAUUUCAUCAACAUAACAAAUUAUCACCUAUUUACUUUUCUCCAUGUUCUUCCUUCCUUUCCUACACAUUAUUUCACAUUAAUCAACAACCCUAUUACAGUCAUGAAAAUCCUCACUUGAAGAGGAUUGAAUAAUUGAUUUAUUAGUGUACUAAUUUUGAUCAUAUGGAAAGAUGAGUUUGCUUGAUACAAUCUGAAGAAGGAGGAUAACAUAUGACCUAGUAUGAGAUUGCUCCCUCUCGUAGGCUAUAGUACCAGCAUCACCAGGCAGUCUUUGUUUUCCUUACGCGUUGUCCAUUGAUGUACAUAAACUCCUGACUAUCACUAUGACCAAAAUCCUAUUGUUACAAUGGUUAGUGACAAACAUAUAUAGAACACAAAUAAUGGUUUUACAAUGGGAAGAAAACCACAUUAGCCCACAAGAUAACCAUUCAGUCAUUUCUAGACAAACUACAAUCAAGCAUUGCUUUAUAGGGCUAGUAGCAUCAGUUAGGAAAAUACUUAUCAUCAACCAUCAGUCCCAAUUGAUAGGAGUCCAUAAUUUUAUCUCUGACGUUGUUCCGUUCAUUGAGCAGUAACUUCACAACUAGCUGGAGUCGGUACAUGUGCAUCUUGUCCUACAGAAGUCGGAACAACUGAUUUCAUGUUUUUGGAUAAAAUAAAAAGAUAAACAGUACAAAUUAGGGUGUAAACCAACUCUAACCUCUACCAAUGAAGUACUUAAGGUUGCUUAAUUCCAAAAUUCCAUGAAGUUAAGAGCGAUGAUACCACAUUCGUACCUAUAACACAUCACGCUUAGGCUUGUCAUGUAGAUGAUUGAAAUAUGAGAAAUAUAAUUAAAUGCAAAUGACUUUAUUGCUUAGAAUAUAUGAAUCUUUUACCCAUUAAGUUGUUGGACAAGAUGUGGUUGCACAUACACAAAUUUUGAGACAUCCAGGUCCAUGUGAAUUCCAUGUGCAUGCAGUGCUUUGUGGAUAACCACUGAUAAUCACCUGGUUGAUGCACUAAUGUUGUUCCCCCAUCGCAAUGGCAAAAAUGAAAGGAUCUCAACUCGUCUAAUCGGAAAGUUGACCACGUGUAAGUGCCAGUGAUUGUUUUCACAUACGGGGAUAAACAACUGCAUGUUCAUUACAGAGUUAUUAGGUUUUACGUUAUUAGAUAACAGUCAUGGCAAAUGCCAUUGCAUAUAUUAUUAAGGAAAGUAACUUUAACAAGCAUUAUUUACCAAAUCACAUGUUCCCAGAUCAUGACCCAAUAUGUCAGCAUCCACAUACAUGCGACAUCUGUCCAUGAUGACCUAGCUGGUUGCAUUUGCUUUCAGGUUGUUGAGAACAACCUGUUCAAGGGUGAGAUUAAUCAAUACAAACAUCAACAAAUACUAUUCUAUUUUGACACCAUCUAAAUUUAGGAUAUUAGAGGGUCCACCAAGAACGAAGGAUCAAAAUAGUGUGCUCACGCUGGUGGUGCUUGCUGUCCAUUCAACAUGUGGGACAUAAUCGCCAUAAUCUGAAAAAGUUAUGGAAAUGCACAUAUUUUACAACCUCAAUCUACACUUUAUGCAUUCAUAUUACCUAUUAAUUGGGAAUUCAAUUCAACUAAAGGACAAGUAACUUACCACAGAAUUAACCCACCGCCUUACAUUUAGACAAGACAUUUCUUCCCCGGUAAUGUACAUCCCAUACAUCUCGCACAAAAUCUCAUUACAAUGAUAGAAAAGGAUUUUUGUCAUAUUGAUGUCAAGUUAUUCACAUAUUAUAUCACUGUAACAAUCAUUGGUACAAAAAAUAAAUGUACCUAGGAUCACCAUUUUAUGCCAAUGCGCAAUCCGCUACUACCCUAUCAGCAUGGGGGAUUUUAGGGAAUGUUUAACGCAUUACACGACAAACGGGCUUUUGCAAGUGGGAGGAUGCUUGACAAUCCUCUUAGCAGUCCGCUUAAAUCUCCUCAUAAAUGAAAGUCUAACUAAUUGGCUGCCACUUCCACUUGCCCCAUCAUUUUCCAAUGCUUCUUCUAUUCUCAAUUCUGGUGGAAACGAUGACACUACAUGAAAUUGUGGGGACAGUGACUGGGAAUUAAUGGCUGCUGGUGAUGCUUCCAUUCCAAUUAGCGAGUGGGGGGUUGUUGCGAGGCUGUCUUGUGGUACCAUUUCUUCAGCUGAAGGCUACUUGUCCGAUGUCUCGUGCCUUGGUUGAUAUUCAGCUGGCUGUGCUGUCUGUGGGCAAGGGACUGAAGAAGUCCUGUCUAAUCCACAACGCCGAGAACGUAAUGCAACAACAUCCCGUGCCAAAGAGGAAGCUAAUCUCAGCAUAGUCUCUAAUGUCUCAAUGAGACGAGCUUCAAGUACCUAUUACAUAGUGGGAAAUUUUAUAUACUUGUAUUCAUUGUAUGGAAGAAUUGGUAUACGUGGUGAGUGGGCAUGUACUAUCUCGGUAGCAUUGUCAGAAGUUAAGAAUGUUGAAGCUACUAAUGGUACAUUCAAGUGGGGUGUGCUUUCUGGUUGCUUUUGUGCCUGCGUGUUGCAUCAACAGUUCAAUGUGAUAAUCAACAAAUUGGUUAUUAGUUGAAUAAGCUAAUAUUGUUUAUAAAAUGUAGGGAAAUAUUUGUUAAGUUAGAGCAUACAUGCACAUGUCCAUAAGCACCGAAUGUUGAUAUUUUAGCUGCUAAUCGGCAUUUGAUUACUUCAUCACUCCAAGCGACAACUAGCGGGCUAGUAACUUCAAUUUUAUUGACGGCAUGUAGAAGUAUGCCAUGAAGAACAACUGUGCAAGGGUAGUAUAUGAGACGAGGAACAUUAAAAAAGCAAAUUGCAGUAAACAUGACAUUCAAAUUAAAAUGUAAACUAAGUUCAUCCUAAUUACAUAAUGUGUUGGAGCCUUUAUUGUACCUGUAGGAACAUGAGGCAGCCUCAGAUGUAAGUAGGAUGAUUUUUGCAAUAAUCCCUGAUUCCAUCCUCUAAGUAUUGGAACACAAACUUGGCCCAAUUCCUUUGGACACCAACAUCACCAUCCCAAAUGGUAUUCCAAAGGCCAUAGAUCCCUUCAAGCUUUGAGUUUGGUGCCAGCAUAGUGGCACAUGAAAAAAUUAAAAAUGAUUUUAAGAAUUCAUCACAAACUGGCUGAUUCUCAAGGUUUUGCUCCAGUAUGCAGAGGCUGUAUGUGCGAUUGAUCGGGGCUGUUCUUUUAAGGACAACCAUGUCUAACCCGGUACUAGGGAUGGCCAUGACCCUAUUGACAUGUUCUUCAUUGAUAGGGAUAGCAUUGUCGAUUGCCAUAUUCAGUUUAUGUAAAGUCGUAUUGAGAAAUGAGCCACCCACAUAGCUCAUACCUCAGUUCGCGACAUGCAAAGCUCAAUAGUCCCCUAAAGCCCAUCUCCUUAAUGGCUUGUUGUUUUUCAUCGAAUAGACAUGCAAUGACACUAAUAAAUUUCUUCCUUGAAAAACGGGACUUAGGAAGCUUUUCCUAUAGUAAAAAUGUAAUAUUUGUUAGUGACAAAAAAAUGCAAGAUAUGGAAAUUUGGAAUAAGGUUGAAAAUGAAGAUUCAAUCCAUUUUGGAAUGAAAACUCUUUUGUCAAUAUGUGUACAUGUUGGUGGAAUGUGCUCUUUCAUUUUUCUGUGUUCUAUGGCCAUGUCUAUAGUGAGAUAACCUUAUGUUUGGAAGAUGAAACUGAAAACUCAAGUUUUGAGACCCUACAAAUUAAAGACUGUUAGCGUAAAGUGUCGUAUGGUAAUGCAUAAGGCAUGAAAAAGUUCAUUUACAAAUAAAUUAUAAGAGUCUAGGAAAAAUAAACAUAGAUUUGGAAAAAAUUUGAACAAUACACUAAUAAAUGGAAGCUACCAAUAAGAAAAUUAACUAGUUUUCUUCUUAACCAACCAAAUAGUUGAAUAUUAAGGACAACAACAAUAACUAUUAGUUGCACAAUUAGUAUAAUAAAGUGAAACAAAUUUUUUGUUUAACUAUUAGAUGCAAUUUUCUAGGAAAUCAAUGGCCUUAUACAUAGUCAAGAGUAUGAAUAUGAUAGUUGUAAAAAGGAGUAAAAUUGAGACAACUAUGGCUUUCAAAAAAUUGAAAUUGAUUUAUGUGAGUGUGAUUGGUUUAGCACAAGUUCAACACUUGUGAAACAUCAAGAAGAUAGGCAAGUUUUUGAAGGGCACAGAGAAAAGUUCUAAACAUGAUCUUGCUGCUGGCCAAAAUAGUCAAGUGUAGGGAUUUACUUCUGCUAAUAAAUUAUGCAGACAUUUGUAUUUGCAAGUUUAAUAUGAAAAGAAGGGAUCCAACAAGUAAAUACGGUUCUAUGAUAAUCCAUUCGACACAAGGAUCCCAUUAUACCCAGUUUAAAAUAACCGCAUAUAAUAAAAAAGUCAUUGGCAAUAUCUAUGAUAGUUAUUCCUCAUCUUAAAACUUUGAAAAGUUAUAAGAUCGAGUUUUUUCCUAAUUUACACCAGGCUCAUGUUUAACUAGUUUAAAGUCAAUAAAAAAUAAUGAACAAACCAUAAUUUUCAAAACUAUGACAAGACUCACAAACAAGUCAACAAGCAAUAUCAGAACUUUAGUGCCCAUCUUAGAAUUUUAGCAAGUUACUAAAGACAAAUAGAGUCAUCUUGGAAAGCAAAGCUCAUAUUUUAAGAUUGAACACUCCUAGCAACUGAAAGUUAUAUAUCUACAUAAGAAAAAAAUUUAAAUAUUUCCAAAACAUAAAUUUUAUAGAUGCAAUGUAAGUCAAAUUUGUUUUUGUCCAAAACAAAAAGAACUUUACAUUCAACAAUGCCCUAGUAAGCACCUAUAUGUUGCAAGAAUUCUUAUACAACAUUAAAAAAUGGGAUAAUAACCACCAUGUAUGUAGUUAGACAAGAUAAGUGGUGGUGACGGGAGAAAGGGGGAAUGGUGGAAAACAAAGUAUAACAAAAUAUUCGGAUUGAACAGUAUACAUGGAUAUAUAUAUAUAUAUAUUAUGUUGGAGAUGAUUGUCCAAUCCCCAGAAGGGAAAAAUGUAAAUAAUAAUAUUAAUAACAAUAAUAAUUAUUAUUAUAAUAAUGUGUAGAAAAAAAAUCUAAUAUCAAUAGUACAUCAAUAAUUAAGGGAUAUGAUAGCAAAAAAAGUUGGCCCUGUCAGGAGUACAACAUAUAUAAUAACAUAGUUCAGUUUGAUAAUGAAUUCUAAUAGAAUGAAACCUAUAUCUAAUGGAAGGGAGGGAUGUGUUUUUGAAACUGAAUAUGUUAUGAAAGAAAAUUUGGAUUCUUUGCCAUUCAUCUUGGUUUACAAGUGUUGGACAUGUACGACAUGAAUGUUGGUUCAUUUCUGGUUAGGAAGGGUCUUUAAUUUAACUCAAUGGACAUAGCAAGUGACAGCAAAGGUACAAAACAUUGACAUAGUAACACUCAUUCAAUGAGAACCAAUUCACUUAAGUUAGUUCAAAUAUGGUAGUACAAGAUCUGAACAAUGCAAUAAGGUGACAGAUAUGCAUUGAAGGCAAAUGAUUCUUGCACGUUUUUCUGUUGUGGUCGAACAUAUGACAACAAGAGCAAUAGACCGUCCGUUUAUCUUGAAAUUGGGACUUAAUGCGCUUCUUCCUUGGCCUUCCGGGAGGCCCUUUGUAUGUGAAGGCUUUAGAGAGAAGAAAACCUCCCUAGUGAUAGAUCGAACCAAACCAUCAUCAUUGUAGUAAUCAUUAAUGAAAUUAGUAAUGUUUUGGCCAAUGAAAAUGAUGGCAGCUGCAACAUGUUCACAAGGGAUUCCCAACAUUCGCCAACCCCUAUAAGUGCACAUAUGGUUCAUAAUGUCUACAUUCAACAAGGCCCUCCCGAUACAUGCCCCAAAUGCUCCAUUCAUGAACGGUGUGACCGGAUACACCUCACCAUUUUCAAUAUUUUGCAGCACCUUAUCUUCAAUUUUUGGGCCUAUAAACCUUUUCUUAUUGUUGGACUCUUCUUGAUGCUUCACAAGCAUAGAACCUAACUUGGACAUGUGCUCCAAUAAAAAGUUACAAAUGUAGUGAUGUUUUUCAUUCUGUAAGCAAGCAUUAAAUGACUCGGCAAGGUUGGUAGUCAUUUUAUCCUUUUUUUUUUUUUUUUAGGAAUUUUGGCAUGGCCUAAUAGUUGAUUCGAGCCCAAUCGGUGUCUCAGCUGAUUCAUGUCCAGCUGGUGCUCCUUGAUUGAGGUAGUAAUCAACAAAAUUUAUAACCUAUUACACCAUGAACUAGGGUAGCAAAGACAAAGCUACUAUAGCAUAGUGGCUCUAGGAUCGUUCACUGGGAAGGGUUUUCAACUCUCAACUGAUACCAAUUCAAAGCUGAGUUGGUGCUUUUUCAUUUCAAGGUUAGCUUUAAAAGAAAACAUAAAGAUGUUUGAGUGAAAAGGGUUUGGUCUUAAACUAACCAAAAAGAAAGUAAUGGAAAUUACUUAUGAAGAAAAACAUUCCUUGGAGGUUUAGGUUCACAGGGGAGGUUCCUUAUGCAAAAACAGAGCUCCGAUCAUUUGGUUCAUUUCCUCGCAUUAGAGAAUUAACAUAAAGUCAAUUCUCUAACCGGUGCGGUACAGCUGCUUCCCUUUAAUGGGUUCAAACACUAAAUCCCUCUCACUGAUGCAACUUGCAAUGGCUCGUGCCUCUCACCUAGCAUUUUCCAUUCAAGGUGAUCUUUAACCUUGGACUUCCCUUCUCAAGCUCGCAAGAGAUAACUAAUGGAUGUCUCCUUGGAGUCCAAAAUCUUACCAAGUGUUGGCAAUUCUAGAAAAUCCUACUUCCAAGUCACUUCCCAAAAGCUCGCAAGAGAUAAACAAGUGCAUCUCCAUGGACGGAGAUAAUGUGCCUUACCAAGCGUUGGCUCAAGUGACUUGGAGGUGUUUUAAGUUAACUAAAAACAUAGAAAUCAUUAAAGGAUCACACUUUCUCUUCAUUAAUGACUGAAACCACACAACUAUUAACUCUUGCACUUGGAACCUUUCCCGGCAACCUUAACUCCAAGGAACUAAAAGUCUAGCCACUCAUUCUCUGAGGAAACUUCCUUAGAGUUUGUUUGGCUAGUAAGAAAACUAACGAGAAAACAAAUAUAUGAAGGAAAAACAGAGCAAGUGCUCUCUGAAAUAUAUUUCUUCCUUCCCUGAUUACAUAAUAAUCCCUUUGUAAAGAAAAUUACAAAACUAUAUAUAUGAGGUUAUUCACCAUUUUUACUUACUUAAAGACUAAGGAAUCCUAUGAUAAGUGGAUUACAAGGAGAGUUUGUGGAUUUAGACAACAAAUAUCUAAAGCAAAAUAUCCCAAAAUAUCUCAAAAUGUCGGUCGGAAAUAUCAGGAAGCUUCAGGAGAACACUGCUGCACUGUAUACUGAGAAAAAACUCUGCCGACAAGCGUUAUCAGAAGGUCCGGAUAUGUUUAUUCGAAGAAGUUGAAGCGUCCUCCUCUCCUAUCUGGCUAUGAAAUAUCCGGAUGUAAAAUGUCAGCGCACGGAAUUCCGGAUAUGAAAUGUCGGUGCACGUAUCCAGAUGUAAAAAUGUCGGCGCACGGAAUUCCAGAUAUGAAAUGUCCCGCGCUGCCAAGCUAUCCGGAUCAACUCCAUCCGGAUUCCCCUAAGAGGACAUGCGCGCCAUGCUAUCCUGCUCUCGUGAACAUCACAUUCCGGAUGAUAACACAUCCUAUCCGGAUAUAGUGUCCGGAUGGAAAACAUUGACUAAAGUGAGCAAGCCUUGCUACAGCCCACGUUCCGCCACUCUCCAAUGGUGUGUCCGGACGCCCUGUCCAGACAUUUUUUGCCAUGGAUUCCAAAGAACUCUCCUCAAUCUUGGAUUGCUUUGGUGAUAAAAAAGCUAUCAAACACCAAAACUUAACACAAUUUGAUUAAAAUUGAUUGUCAGGGUCCUUAAUAUGUUAAUUGGGUUAAAAAGUGAUAACUACUGCUCAAAAGUGUUUAAAAGAGUUUAUUACAAGCUAUCAAAUAGCACUUUUUGAGUAGUAAUCAAUAGCCCAAUGGCAAGACACAUUUUCUUCAACCCAUGUGGCUAAAGCAUCAUUGUAUUUUUUUAGUUCAAACAUGGAAACGUUAUAAUCAUGUUCUAACCUUGCAUACACAAUACUAUCUAGGAAUUGAAGUGCAUUUUCUUUACCCUUGUUCCCUCGUGUGUUAUGCUUGGACAAGAAACUACUAAAAUUCUCCUUCAAGUGACGAUAGCAAUAGGCAUGGUUUUCAAGGUCAAACACCUCAAGAACACUACAAAGGAGAGCAAGAUGUCUAUCUAAGAUAAUAAUAAUUUCCUUGUUUCCAACAACUAUCUUCAAUUUUUCCAAGAACCACAACCAAUCUUCAUAAUUUUUCGAGCUCAUCACUCCAAAGGCAUGAAGUUAUUAGCAUUGUAGGUGGUGGCUGAAAAUAGUGCACCGCCAUUUGGCCCACUCAUGUGGUCCGAAUCAAUUGCAAUGAUUGGUCGACACCCCAUUACAAACCCUUGGAUAGAUAUUGAAUGAGCAAGAAAAAACUGCUCAAAAUGGCCAUCAUCAGAAUAACUCAACUCAACGCUCAAUCUUGGAUUUGUUGCAAGCAUUCUUUCACACAUCCAUGGCAACAAUUUGUAAUAAUUUUUUGGUAGUCCAUAAAUAGCUCCUUAGCAUUCUCCUUUAUUUUCCAUGCUUGAAGGUAAGUCAACUGGAUGCCAUGUUGCCUUACAAAGUCCUUACAAAUUUGUCGUGGUUGGUAUUCAGGAGUAGAUCAAACGACAUCAUCAAUGACCAAUGAGGCACAAGUGGAUCUCACUAAAGGUUGAGACAAGGCAAUAUCUCCCAAGCAAUGGUUAUGUACAUUUUGAAAUGUGCGUACUUGAACAAUGUUUGAAUCCCCUAUUGCACGAGCAGUGAUUUUCCAAGGACAAUCUUCAAUUGUGCAUACUACAGUCAUGCGUUUUGAACUAUUCAUUUUGUAAGAAUAUUGGAAUUUUCUAGCCAAAUACAUCAAAUAGAUUGCAUCUCGAAACUCUGAGACAUUUGGGAAGGUAUGUCCACUACCUAUAAUUGAAUGUCGGAACCGGCUUGGUUGAAGUUGAAUGAUAUUUGUUUCAGCACAUAUUUGGGAAAACCCAAAUGACUCAAUUGUAGGCGACUCAUUAGAUAUGUUGCAAUGGGGGCUCACCAAUGGAGGAAACAUGUGCCGAGUUUGAAACAACAAUAGGUGUUGGGGCACUGCGAAAAAAACAGGGAAAGAAAUUGAUCAUCCAUCAGCCUAUGUGUGAAAGUUGAUUAAAAAGGGAAAAUUAUUAUGGGAAGACAUUAGGUACCUAGUAAGGGCAAUGAAGCCAGCACCACCUUCAACACAUUGGCAGACAUAGACACGACAAAACAUGUUAUUAAUUUAAACAUCUUGACUAUAUCGGCAUUAUUAUUCAUCAUCGAGAGUAGACAUGAUGGGUCAAACUUCACUAUGAAAUCCAAUUUAAUUGAAUUGGGCUCCAAGUUCAGUUCACCACAUACUUUGAAACAAAUUCAGAAUCUGAGAUAUUCUUGCUAACAAUGCAAUUGGUCCUACCACCCUUAUAUUCAACAGACCCAACAACAAUCUUAACAAGCUCACCAUCUUCUGGAAUGUAACAAAACAUCUCCUCUUCCAUUUCCUUAAUGACAUAAAGAUUUGUUACAAAUAAUAUAACAACGAAAGAUUGAGGAAUUAUGUAUGUUGAUUGCAUUUUCUUUUAUGUAGGAAAUAUAUAAGACAACUUUUAUUCACAAAUGAAGUAUUUGAAUCUUCAAAAAUGCAAUUUCCAGUCGUCACAUAGGUAGUACCCAAGGUGGGCUAAGGUAGUACCUGAUGUUGACUAAGACAGUACCUACAGUCGAUUAAGAUCGUACUUUCAAGAAUAAUUAGCUAGUACAUAAGGUUAACUUAGCAGUAGAAUAAGAUUAACCAACUGAUCACCAAAAUAAAACACAAUGGGCUAAGGUAGUACCUAAUAGAUUGGUAAGUUCUAUGCGCAAUUGAGUAUGUUUUAUGCACGUAGCCCAUGCAAUGCCACUUAUUGGUUAUAUCCUUGUGAAAUGGACUACGUACUGACCAAGGAAUUACCUAAUGUUAAGGAAUGAAGUCACUAAGACUAAUAUGAGAAGUGAACAUUUUCUAACCAGCAAACCACUUCUAAAAAUUUGGUCACCCAUAAUGACAAGCAAGGUUUUGUUAGAUCAACUUAUUUUUUUAGGACAUCUUCAUCAAGAUGGGAAGUUUGUAUUGUUACAGUAAAUACAAAAAGCUACGGAAUGGGAAUAGGUUUAUGGUUAGCCAUGGAGAUGAAGGUAGUUUUCUAUUCUGUAGAGGACCAAAACUGAGAACAAUACCCAUGAAGAUCUGGCUCCUCUCCACACCGUUUAUUCAUAAAGAACCAUUUAUCUAAAGAGUAGAGUGUCAUAAAAUUUUCAUUUCUUCAUUCAAGUCAUUGAAAAUUUAGUUACUUCAUUUGAAGGGUUACAAUUAUUACCUGCAUAUAUAAAAUAUAAAUUUGACUAGAUAAUUUUAACUGCUGAAACCUAUAUCAUUUUUUAAGCAUUUAUAGCAACUGCCUAAUAGUUCAAGUAAUUUUAUAUAAAAAUAUGAAAAUAAAACUGAUAAAAUUAUCAAAUCUAGGUCAUUUUGUGCUAAAUGGGAGCAGUCACAGACAAACAAAACAAAAAAUAUAUAGAUCAAUAUGCAUUUCAUCCAUUCUACUUGCAUUCCCUAGUUCCUAAAAUCUUAUUAAGGAAACUAAACCACUACAUGGAUACCAACAGUUCCUAUAUAGCCUUUCCUAUUUCCAUAUUCUAAAAGGGAUCUCUAAAUCAAUAUCAAUUACUAAUCAACAAGAAGAGUAACAUAUACUAACCAAAAAUAUUUGAAGAAAUGGGACGUGAAUUUAAAUUAUAGACAUAAAAAAAAAAAUAACAAAAACUUUAGCACCCAUCAACCAUCAAUAUCAUAAAAAACCCAAAAAGCUGAGUAAUUUGGAAUCUAAAAAUCACCAUUUCAAAAGCACUUAUUUCGAUCUCAAAAGAAAUACAUCCUCCUGAAAAAGUGUUCUUUUUGGUAAUCCACUGCAAAGCCCAAUCCAAAAACACAAUCCAAUAAAUGGGUUUCACUAAAAAAUGCAUUGUUUCCCAACACCCAAAAAUAGGAAGGAAAAAAAGGUUCAUUUUUGGCAAAUCAGUUCAAAAUCCGUUUUUCCCAGUUCAAAACCACAACAAAAAAAAAUGGGUUUUUCAGCAAAACGAUUCCCAACCCAUAUUCUUGCCUUCAUUUGAUAUCAAAACAGAAAAGUUUUGGGAAUUUUCCAAUCCAAAUAAAACCGUAGAAACUGAUAAAAACGCAUGGAAUUGAGAAAAUGGAUGAUGAUUCAUUACGAAUAGAUUUAAAAACUGAUUAUGAACUCCUAGAUGCCAAAAUUUGAGUCACACCUAAUUGAGAAAAAACCCAGACAAACAUGAGAUUUUUGUGAUGUGAAUGCAAAUGCAAAAGAAAGAAGGAAUGGGUUACCUUGGGAGAAAAAAUCUAAGAUGAGACAAAUGGGAUUAAGGGCUUUUGAACUGAAGUGAGAGAAAUUUUUGAAAACUAUACAUGGUUCUCAGCUUCGCCUCAGUGAUGGAGUGAAGAAACAUGAGAGAAAUGGGUAUCAAAUGAGAGAGAGGAAAGAAAGAAUCAUCGGCUACGGUGUUUUUGUGGGAAUGUCAAAUUUUGAUUUUUGAGUUUUCAAGCGGUUCAGUUUCGGCCCGUGAUGACAUGGACUCAAAGAUGUUGUUGACCUGGAGACCUGGGGGGCAAUCUCGGCCUAAAAUAUGCACCCGACUCAGAGUGCAUAAAAAAUAUAUAACUUUCCACAUUAAAGCUAGUUUUCAUAUUUCAUAAAUAUGGUUUUGAAAACCAUAUAUGUCCCAAAUGGCCCCAUCAACACACAAGUUUCCCAAGAAGAAAACAUCUUUCCAAUUAGCAUUCACACUAUGGUUUUCAAAUAGGUUUCAGUAUGCCAUUAUAUCCUAUGUCAAUAAUUCACCAUUAGUGGGUAUACCAAAAGAUUCUUCCUAUGAAUCAUACCUUCUUUAAAAAAAUAUAAACUUGACUUUUUUCAUGCCUCUAUUGAUUCUACACAACAUUCUGUUUGGAUCAGUUGUCAUAUUUCUCUUGCAUUCCUAUGUUUCUGAUACCAAGUAUAUCAGAUAAGAGUUUUUUUUUUUAAAAAAAAAAAAAAAAAAAAAAAAGAAACCUCAAACUACCCUUGAUUUCAUGAGGGAAGAAGAUUAAGGAUGAAAAUAGACCACAGUGUAUUGCAUAAAAAAUUUUAUGACUCUGAAGUGUUUGAUUUCAAUAAUGCGCAGAACACUCAUGUUCUAUCAACAACUCCUAGUGGCUCAAGUAGUGGAUCAACUAUAUUAACAGCAGCAAAAUUAGCAGUAAUGUCACCAGGGACGGAGACUGAUGGAUCCAUCUUAUGUCUAUCUGAUAGUAAUUCAAUAGUUGGUAUCAAACCAACACUUGGUCUUACCAGCUGAGCUGGGGUGGUUCCAAUCUCUCCUAGGCAGGACACAGUUGGGUAGGUAAUGUUUCAUCUUCCUCAAUCCAAAUACAAGACUAUCAUUUGUUGAGCAACCAAAUAGAGCAGACUGGUCCAUCUUAUUGACGAACAUAGAAAAGAAGAAAUAACAAUGAAAAGUUGGGAUCUUACAAUUAUUUAAAUUUCAAAUGAUGAUUUUUAGUAGUGAAUUUUGUGUUUAUACUCUUCAUCCAGACCGAAGCCAAUCAAGCAUCAAUGAAUGUAACUAGAUUUUAUUAUAUGCAAUACAAGAUCUUCACAUGGUUCUGUCAAUUUGUUAGGCUUUGAUAUAAAUCUGCUUGCUUUAUGAUCAUCGGCAUGUGCUUCACUACUUUGUUUUUAACUGGAGAACUUCAUAGUUUUGUUAUAUCCAUUGAUCUCAGAACUCAAUGGUGUUAAUUCUAGUAAGAACUCCUAACAUGUUGGAUGCAACAGGCCUAUCUUAGGACAACCUUCUAUUCUAUAGAGAUAUUGGAUGUCAUUGUUGGUUUUGACUAUAGGGAUGAAGCAACUAGGACAACAUCCAAGUACAAACCAUAAGGUAGCUAUAAGCAAUUUCUCAAUGCAAAUGAGAUCAGGGAGAAGAGAUUGUAAUAAGUACAAAUGCUAAGAAACAAAACAGAUCAUGAUCAGAAUUCUUCCAAAAAAGAAUAGAGAAAAAAAAUGAAAAAUAUUGGAGAAAGCAUUUCGCACGAUCUUGCUUUGGAUAUUGAAAUGAAAAACAAUAGAGUCCCAACAGUUCACAAAACCUAAAAAACUCCAAUGUAAAUCUAUAGCAUUUCACAUAAUAUUGCUUAAAAUAUUGAAAGAUCGUGACCUUCUCUCAAAAGAAGUCCUUCAAUAAAUAUGGAUUAAGGGUUUUCCUCCCUCCUUUAGAGAAAAUAGUGUUAGACCAUAGGGUAGGGCAGGGCAAAUGAAAGAGAAAACAAAUCAGGGUUUUGAUUAAAAGAAAAGGAAACCCAUUGGAAUCUUAGAAUGCAAAUCUUACCCCACUUCCAGUUGGUAGCUAGACUCCUUACUUGAGCUACUCCUCUAAUCCCGACUACAUCGACUGAAUCUUUCACUUUUGAAAUGAAAACCUCCAGAUCUCAGUUCGUUUCUGGUUACUUCAUGGAAGAGAAGGCCAAAUAGCUCUAUCUAUGGAGCACUAGUGCAUCAUUAGGAAGUGAAGCUUAGAGUGUAUGCUCUCAAAUAUUCCUACCACCAUGAGAUUCCAAGACUUUUGGAGGGAAAUCCUGUAGAAGGAAUGAAACUUUUAGCUAAAUAUAUUCACUGUGUAACACUUUUAAGAAGUGAUGAGGAUAAAAAAAAAAAUUUAUAUAUAUCAAUGACACCUUUCAGAAGAGCCAAGGAUGCAAAAAAUGACGCUUAAAAUAAGCGCCAAGAUUUUUAACCUCUACCGUUCCAUGACGCUUGUAGAGCGCCAUAGUAAAGGAGCGUCAACGUCUAGGCAUGAUAAGCUAAAUAGAAACUUUUCUAAUAGCAUCCAGAAAGAAAAAGUCAUUGUUUUUGUGUUUUUUUUUUUUUUAGUAGUGCUAGUGAUUAUAUUUGCAUCCUUCAAAUAUCGUUACACAUCUAAUUAAAUUUUUAAAAAUUUAGGAUAAAAAUGGCCUUCUCCUUUAAAGUUAGCAUUAUGUGGAACUAUACUUUAACAUCCUUAAGGUUGUGUUUAGUUCCAGAAAAUACUAAGGAAAUAAAAAAUAUAUAAAGAAAAAUAAUUUUUUCAUAUUUGGUUGUCAUAUGAAAAAUAUAGAAAAAAAUAAAAUAUAAUUAAAAUUUCAUGUAUGUUUAAAUUAUUUAAAUCUUUAUAUCGAUGAGUUAAAAUAAAUAACAUUAGUUUAAAGUAACAAAUAAAAAUAAUUUAUCGACUUUUAAUUUAUUUUUUAUUUUUCUUCACUUUUUCUUUAUAUUUUCUUUCAUUUGUAUUUUCCCUCAAAUUUUCCGGGAACCAAAUAUAACCUAAGGGAAUCUAGAAUAUUAUAAACAUUCUUAAAGGUGUCCAUAGCUAAACUUUUGAACACCAUUAAAAACGUGAAAAACUAUAUUUUGGACAUACUUCAGAUGUCGAAUCUUACUUUCAAGUUUGAAUGCCAUGAAAUUGUUUCAAGAUUGGGAACAAUAAGACUAACUCAUCAUGUCAUGGAUCCUUGCAUCCAUAUCAGAUGCUCUUCUAACACGUAUGGUAAAUUGUGAUACUUCAGCUCAGGUAUAGAGGACUCUUGAACAACAUUUUGCCACUGAAGUACGAGCCAAAAUAACUCACUUCAAGACUCAACUUCACAACACAAAGAAAGGUGACCCAUCCAUAAGUGACUACUUUCUCAAGAUCAAAAACAUUGUUGAUCACCUUGCACUAGUUGGCCAUAAUCUUUCUGAUAAAGACCAUAUAGAUGCAGUCUUUGAAGGAUUACAUCAAGAAUAUGGAACCUUCAUCAUCUCACUAAGCUCAAGAAUUGACCCAUAUACAGUUGAAGAGAUUGAAGCACUCCUUCUUGCCCAAGAAGCUUGUACUGAGAAAAACAUCAAGAUUCAUGAAUUCUCGGGUGAUACUCGGGUUUUUAAUGACAUGUCAAAUUCAGAUAUUAGAAAAGUUUUCAUAAAAUUGUUAAUCAAAUGGUAAAAAUAAAAAAAAUAAAAAAAUUGUGAAGAUCCGCAUCUUAAUUGAGAGAGAUUUUAGAAAAGUUAGUUAAAAGUGAAUAGUUUAAAAAUCUUGCCACGUCAUAUGUAAAGAGUAGGAAUUAAAAAAAUUAUUAAAUAAUUGAGAUUAGGUUUUUGUAAUUUUGAAUAUUAAGUAUAUUGUGAGAAUUAAUUUAAUAAUUAUUAGAUAAUUAUUAGAGAAUUGUGGAGAAAAACUUGGUAAAAAUUUAUAUUAUAUUGAAUUGUUAUAAUGAAUAAUUAAACAGAAAUUGAAUUUAAUUCUAAAACGAAUCAAUUUAACUCUUAUACUUGGAAUUAAACCUUAUGGGAUUAUAAAACAUCAAAUAGAAUUGAAUUGAAAUUAAGUUUAGAUUAAAUUAUGAUAUAUGAAUUUAAGAAAAUGUAUAAAAGGGUAAAUUAAUUAAAUGCGAAUUUAAUGAAUUUAACUUUUGCAAUUUUGAUUCAAUUGAGGAAUUUGACAAAUGAAAUAAAUUAAAUGAAAGUUAAACUAAAGGUUGAUAAUUUGAUUAUUAUAUAAAUUUAAUGACUAAAUAAUUGAUGAAAUUAAGUUUUAAAAUAUUGCUUAAUUUUUUGUUGGUGAAUAAAUAUUGGUAAAAUUAACGAGUUAAAGGUUAUCAUGAAUCUCAACUUCUUGUAUGUUGAAGAAUUAUUUUAUAUUUAAGACAUUUUAUAAAAUUGAUUUUUAUUUUUAUUUUUUAUUCUUUUUAAUAGUUAAUGGAAUCAUGUCCUUAAUGAAUUUCAAAGUAAAAAUGCGUUAGGUAAUUAAAUUCAAAUUAUAUUUUUUGAAGAGUAGACUUGUAGUAAAUUUAAUAAAGAAUACAAUGGUAUUUUUCAUAAGAAAGAAAAUCAUAAGUUGAGUAUAAUUUAUAAUUGUGGAAUGUGAAAUAAAAACUAGUAUUUUAAUUUAUUAAAAAAAAUAUGUGUGGUAUUUCAAAUUUGUUUAAUAAUAAUAAUAAUAAUAAUAAAAAUAAUAAUAAUAUAGAAGGAAUGGAGAACAUAAUAGGGGCGUUCGUAGAGAGGAAAGUGUCAUUGGCCUUCGACCGAUCAUUUGGUGGCCAAACGACUUUCAUUUUGUGUGAGAUUUUAGAAGAACACUCUAUUCAACACGAGAAACAUAUGAACGUAGUCAGAUUUUGAUUUCAACAGUUAGAUUUUCUAAUUUGAGGUAAGAUGGUUUAAUCCUAAAACUUUGAUUUAAUAUUUUAUUUUGAAAAAAAUUUAUAUAUUGUGUUGUUGGGAGAUAAUAGAUGUUAUUUGUAUUAUUUGAAGUAUGAUUAUGAUUAUUGAUAAUUUUAUUUUGUGAUUUACAGAUUUUUUUUUUGGAAUAAUGAUAAUAUUUAAAAUGAUUUAAAUAUAGAAAAAUAGUUGUAUUGAGUGUUACGAAUUAUAUAUUGAGACUGUUGAGAAUAAAUAAAAUUAAAGUAUAAAUUGUGUUUCAUUGAUAUUUGAAUUAUUGAGAAUUUUCUUUGAUAUUUGGGAUGAGAUAAUUGAAGAAAAAUUGUUAUGUUGGUUGUUGGAAAUUAUUAAGCUAUUGGGAAUAAAUAAAAUUUAUGUGACUAAGGUUUAACCCAUGUUUCGAUAAUAUACGAAUUAUUUGUGAAUUUUCUUUGAUGUUUGUAGUGAUUAAAGUGAAGAAAAAUUGUUGUGUGAAUUAUUGAAAAUUAUAAAACAUAAUUGGAGUAAAUGUAAUUAUGUCUUGGAAGAAAAAGAAAAAUUGAAGAAAUGGUUGAAUUAGUAACUUUAAUUUUAUAGGGUACUUAAAACAUUUCCAAGUUCACAAUCUAAAAAGCUCAAUCUGAUCAUUGACAUUCAAAAUAUAAAGUGAAAGAACAUUUUUUUAAACAAUUUUCAAAAUAAUUGGUUUAUAUUGACUUAUGCUAGUGUUUUAUGAAAGAAAAUACUAAAUUAUUGUAAUAUCAUAAACAAUAUUUAUCUCAAUAAUUUGAGUCAUUACACUCUCAACGGGAAAAUAAUAUAUCCAACUCAUAAGCAGAUUGUUUUGGCACCUCUAGAGAAUAAGUUCAGAAUUUAUUGUAAUGCCAUCUUCACACAUCAGAGAUGGACAUGGAUGAAGACCCUCAAUGAAGAACUCAAGGCCAUUUACAAUACUAACAUUGAGUAGUUGCAUUUUUCACAAAAGAUAGUUUGAUCUAUCUCAUCGUAUAGUUAGGACUUGGUUCAAUGAUGGAAGUGGUAGUGCAUGGUAAUUUUGAGAAAUUGAAGAUGAGGUUCUGAUCAAGAUUGAGGAUGACGAAACCAUUGCCACCAUUGUUGAAGAGGUAAAAGUUUCAACAAAGGGCAUGGUUGACCAUUGCAGCGAUAUAUUGUGUAUCGGAAGGUAUCGACACGAUAUUUCAUGGAGAAAUAUGGAUCGAUAUUUCGGGAUAAAUCCCGAGAAAUCGGCGAUUUUAACGAUAAAUCGUCAAUUUUUCCCGAUAUAUCGCAUAGUCAACGAAAGUCAAAUGCGCUAAAAUGCUUUCUCCUUUUGCUUCUGAGGGGAUUUGAACCCCAAACCUUUUGGUUUGGGGUACACCCCACUUGCCUUUGGUAUAUAUUGUGCACUAAACUUAUAUAUACUUAAACUCAUUAUAUAAAGAAAAUAUUAAAAGGAUAUUUUAAAGAGCAAAUUAAUUAUAAUUAUUUUAUAAUUAAAUGCAAAAUUUUCUUUUAAUUGAUUACCAAAAAUAUAAAAAUUAUAUAAUUUUCUUCAUAAUGUUUUUCAUAUCAUUAAUAAUUAAUUAAAUAUUUAAAAAUUAUAUAUAUAUAUAUAUAUAUCAUAAUUUAUUUUAUAUUGUUUAGUACAAUUGAAUUAAAUGAAUCAUAAUUUUAAUAUUAAUAUAUAUUUUAAAAUUAGACAUAUUAUAAUCAAAUAUCAUAAUAUUAAAUGUAAUUUAAUAAUAAAUGUACACUUAUAAAAUUCAUAUUUUUAUCGAUGCAUACGAUAUUAUUAUCAAAUAUGAUAAAUCAUGUUAUACAUAUAUCAAAUUUUUCAAUAAAAUAACUUUAAAAUGUCUAUUAUACUUCUAAUUAUAUUAUUAUGAGGUUUUCCUUACAUUUUCAUGAGUUUUUAACAAUUUUAAGCUUACCGAUUUUUUUUUUUCCAAAAUAUCUACCGAUAUAUUCGAUAUAUCCGUAAAAUUGAAGUACCGAUAUAUCCGUGAUUACCGAUAUUUUCAUUCUUGAUUAUACCAUGUAAAAUAAAAGUACAGUGGUUUUGGAAAAUACAAUGAAACAGAGUGAGUUUGAUUUUUUAUUUUUUAACAAAAUAAAAUGUUGAAAAAAAGAAGUAAAUAAAGAAAGAUAUAUUAAGAGUCAGUUUGACAUUACUUUUAAUGAAAGUGUUUUUAUUGUAAGUGUUUUCUUCUACAACACUUCUGUAAAAAACACUUUUAUAAGAAUUUAAAAAAGUGAUUCUAAUAGUAUUUUUAAUAAUAUAUUGCAUAAGUAUAAAAACAUUUUUAAUAAUAAUAAAUUACUAAAAAAAGAUAUUUAUUACAAAAAAAAUUAUAAUAAAUAAAAAAUUUUAUUAAAAAAAUAUAUAUAAAUAUUUAAUUGUUAAAAAAACUCAAAUUUAUUUUUAUGAAAAUGAAGUGAAAAGGGAAGAGGAGAGUAAGAAGAAAAAAGAAAGUUAAAGGGAAAUGGAGGAUAGCGAGAAAAUUUAUUUUAGGAAUAUAUAAAAAAAAUUUGAAGUAUUUUUUUUUUUAAAGAAACACCUCUCAAGUGCUUCUCUAAAAAACACUUCAAAUGUUUUUUAAAAUUUUCAUAAGUGUUUUUCAAAAUAUUAUAAAACAUAUAUAUAUUUUAUCUUAAAAAAACAUUUAAGUGUUUUUAGGGCUAAUUACACUUCUAAAAAACAUUGUCAAACGGGCUCUAAAUUCAUAUUUCCUUGAAUUUAUAUUUUUAUUUUCUCUCUAUGAAUUUUCCUUUAUUUCAAAUAUAAACUAUAUUUUAAAAGGGUAAUUUUAUUUACUUGCCUUAAGGUUUUUGUUAGAUACACUUAAUUAUCAUUUAUUUGAAAUUUUAUUAAAUAUCUUUCUUAUCAUUUUCGUUUCUUAAUUGCCAUGUACUCGAUAAAAUCAACUUGAAGGGAAUUAAGCCAAAUUCCCAACCUGUGAGAAACAAAAAAUAGAGAAAACACACGCCAAAGAAAAACAAUCACACGCACAAGACAGUAUUUACGUGGUUUGGCAAUUUGCCCACUACAUCCACGGAGUUGUAGGGAUACCAUUAUUAUUAUGGAAGAAUACAGAGUACAUCUUGCGGCUACAAUAUUUUCUCUCUAUAUAUAACACAACAACCACACUACACUAAAAAUCCCUAAUUACAAAAGGUGGUUCCACAAUGGGUUAAACGGGCCUAUCAGCCCAAGCCUUCGCUCCAUGGACUAAGCCUCAGUAAAUCUCCCAUUAAAAAACCACGCAAUAUUAUUCGGGUCGGGUCGUCAAACCGGAUCAAACAAAACUAGGCUCCACAAAGCCCAACAAAUCUCCCACUUGGAGACUAGUUCAAUCACCAACAUCAAACCAUUAUCCUCCAAGAAACAAUCCCUCAUCCCUGCAACUCAUCCUCCUAUCCUCAAGCUAGAAGACCAAUUGAAGUUGCGCACAACUUCAACUUCUCAACAGUGAUACCCUUAGUCAACAUGUCUGUCGGGUUCUUAGAUCCACAAAUCUUCUCAAGUAUUACUAGUUUAUCUUCAACAAGGUAACGGAUAAAGUGGUAUUUUGUUUGUAUAUGCUUCGACUUUGAAUGAAAAACCGAAUUUUUGACAAGAAAAAUUGCACUAUGACUGUCACUGUGUAGAAUGCCCAUCUCCUACUUCUUAUCCAAUUCAUCUAAGAAACUAUGUAGCCAAAUCAUCUCCUUUCCAACUUCAGUUGCUGCAACAUACUCAGCUUCUGUAGUAGACAAAGUAACAAUCUUCUAUAGAUUUGAAGCCCAUGAUAUAGCUGUACCACCUAGAGUAAAAACAAACUCAGUAGUACUCUUUCUACUAUCAAUAUCACCAGCAAAAUCAGCAUCUACAUAACCCUGCAGUUUCAAACUUACACUUGUGAAGCAAAGACAUGUAUCUAAUGAACCCUUCAGAUAUCUUGAAAUCCACUUGACUACCUCCCAAUGUUGCUUUCCAGGCCUACUCAUGAAUCUGCUCACAACUCCCACUGCAUGUGCAAUGUCUAGCCUUGUACACACCAUAGCAUACAUCAAGUUGUCAAUAGCUGAGGCAUAGGGCACCUUGCUCAUAUGGUCUCUUUCUUCUUCUGUCUUCGGUGACUGUUCUUUGCUUAGUUUGAAAUGACUACCCAAGGGUGUGCUCACUAGUUUAGCUUCAUUCAUGUUGAACCUGCUGAGAACUUUCUUCACAUACUCUGACUGUGAAAGCUUCAAUGUACUAUUAGUCUUGUCUCUAAUGAUUCUCAUACCAAGGAUUUGCUUUGCAGCUCCCAAAUCCUUCAUCGUAAACUUUUUGGACAAUUGCUUCUUCAGAUUAUUAAUCUUCUCAAUGUCAGACCCUGUAAUAAGCAUAUCAUCCAUAUACAACAGUAAUAUGAUGUAAGAAUUGUCAAAAGACUUAACAUAGCAAUAGUGAUCAACUUCACAUCUCUUGAACCCAAUUCUAUGCAUAACAUUGUCAAACUUCUUGUACCACUGUCUAGGAGCUUGUUUAAGGCCAUACAAGCUCUUUCUUAGUUUGCAAACUAGAUUCUCUUGUUCCUUAACAAUGAACUCUUCUGGCUGAAUCAUGUAAAGGUCUUCUUGCAAGUCACCAUGAAGGAAUGCUGUCUUCACAUCUAAUUGCUCAAGAUGUAAGUUUUCUGUAGCCACCAUUCCCAGUACAAGUCUGAUUAUUGACAUCUUCACAACUGGAGAAAAUAUCUCUGUGUAGUCAAUGCCCUCCUUCUUCUGGAACCCUUUAACAACUAAUCUGGCCUUGUAACGUUUGCUACCAUCAUGCUCAUUCUUUGUUCUGUAUACCCACUUGUUGUGCAAAGCCUUCUUUCCUACUGACAAUUCAGUCAGUUCCCAUGUCUGAUUUCCCAACAAGGAAUCCAUCUCAUCCUUCAUGGCUAACUCCCACUUGCUUGAAUUCUCAUCUUGUAAGGCUUCAUCAUAACACUUUGGCUCACCACCAUCAGUCAACAUGAGAUAAUUUAAAACAGGUGAAUAACACUGUGGAGGUCUAAUGUUCCUGGAAGAUUUACGAACUUCAGCUAUAGGUGUACUCAAAUCUACCUGUGAAUUUAUAUUCUCCUUAUCUUCUUCACCCCCUUUUUGGACAGUACUUUCAGUCAAUUCAUCUAAGUUGACAAACUCAGAUUUCUUUUUAUCUAUCUCUGUAACAUCUGACACUAUAGUUGGCCUGUCCUUGUACACAACCUAUUCAUUAAAUAUCACAUUUCUACUUCUGAUGAUUUUCUUGUUUGUUCAUCCCAAAACCUAUAGCCAAAUUUCUCAUCACCAUAGCCAAUGAAAAAACAUAUUUUAGACUUUACAUCAAGUUUACUACGAGCAUUAGAAUCAAUAUGAACAUAAAAAACACAACCAAAAACUUUUAAACGUGAAAAUUUUACCUCUUUACCACUCCAAACCUCCUCGGGAAGUCUAAACUCCAUGGGAACUAAUGGUCCUCGGUUUAUCAAGUAAGCCGCAGUGCUAACAGCAUCAGCCCAAAAAGUUUUUAGUAGUCCAGCAUGCAACCUCAUACUUCUAGCACGCUCACUAAGAGUUCUAUUCAUGCGCUUAGCCACACCAUUCUGUUGUGGUGUCCUAGGAAUGGUCUUCUCCAUCCUAAUUCCCUCUACAACACAAUACUCAUUGAACCCUCCAUCUAUGUACUCUCCUUCAUUAUCUGACCUCAAACAUUUUACUUUCAAACCUGUUUCUAUCUCAACCAUGACUUCCACUUCUUAAAAGUUUCAAAUGCAUCAGAUUUAUUUUUCAGAAAAUAAACUCAUACCUUUCUUCUUGAGUCAUCAAUAAAAGUGAUGUAGUACCUUGAACCUCCAAGGGAUGCAAUCGGAGAAGGCCCCACCAAAUCAGUGUGUACUAGUUCCAAUUUUUCAGCCUUCAGUGUCCUGCGAGUUUUCAAGAAGCUCACAUUUUUUUGCUUUUCUAAGAUGCAACUUUCACACAUGUCAAAAUCAAUGGACUUCAAUUCUGGUAGUUUUCCUUUUGACAACAGCAUCUUCAUCCAUUUCUCACUCAUGUGAUCAAGUUUGCAAUGCCAUAAGCUUGUAUCAGUCUUUGCAUCAGCAACUGCAAUUGUGUCUCUUGGACAUGAGGUCAUAUACAGAGUACCGGUCUUCUUUCCACGAGCCAAUACCCUAGCUCCCUUUGUAACCUUCCAAGUACCACCAACAAAUAGUAUUGCAUGUCUUUCAUCAUCAAGUUGUCCAACAGAAAUCAGAUUCCUCCUCAGGUCAGGAAUAUGUCGAACUUUCUCCAGUAACCAAACAGACCCAUUGGGCAACGAUAUCCGGACGUCUCCCAAACCCACAACAUCCAAGGCUGAACCAUCAGCCAAAUACACCUUACCAAAUUCACUUGCAGCAUAAUUCUGUAUGAUUUCUCGGUGUGGAGUGGUAUGAAAAGAAGCUCUUGAAUCCAAAACCCAAUCAUCAAGUGGACUGUCUACUGCAAGAAGUAAUGCAUCUUGUACCUCUUCUGUUACAACAUUAGCAAAAUCAUCUUCAUUAUUCUUCUUAUGACUUUUGCAUUGCCUUCUAAAGUGACCUAUUUUCCCACAAUUCCAGCAUUGUACUUGUUGGCCUAAUCUAGAUUUGUUUCUAUUCCGAUUAGAAUUUUUGGAUUUUCAUCUACCCCGAUUUGAAUUUCUGUCAUUACCUUUGCCUCUUAUCUCAAGGUUUAGGGCAGAACCAGAUCCUGAGGUUUCGCCUGCAUCUCUUCUGCGAAUCUCCUCAGCCAGAAUUAAAUCUCGUAUAUCAUUGUACUUGAGUUUUUCCUUUCCCGUAGAAUUGCUUACUGUCAUCCUCAUUGCCUCCCAACUGUUUGGCAAAGAAGCCAAGACGAUUAAGGCGCGAAUCUCAUCAUCAAAAUCAAUUUCUACAGACGACAAUUGAUUUGUGAUUGUAUUAAAUUCAUUUAGAUGUUGUGCUACUGAUGCAUUCUCUACCAUCUUCAAAUUGAACAAUUUCUUCAUUAGAUGCACCUUAUUGUUUGCGGACGGCUUUUCAUACAUACCGGACAAAGCCUUCAUCAGAUCUGCUGUGGUCUUCUCAUUUACAAUAUUGUGUGCAACAGACCUAGACAGAGUUAACCUAAUAACUCCUAGAACCUGUCUGUCAAGAAGCGCCCAUUCCUCAGCCUUCAUACUCUCAGGUUUUGUCCCCAAAAGAGGCAGAUGCAAUUUCCUCCCAUAGAGAUAAUCUUCAAUCUGCAUCCUCCAAUACGCAAAGUCUGUGCCAUCAAACUUUUCUAUUCUAGACGUCUUUUCUGCUUCCUCUGCCAUUGCUCCCACUUAAACCUAACCCUAGGCUCUGAUACCAGUUGAAGGGAAUUAAGUCAAAUUCCCAACCUAUGAGAUCCAAAAAAUAGAGAAAACACACGCCAAAGAAAAACAAUCACACGCACAAGACAGUAUUUACAUGGUUCGACAAUUUGCCUACGUCCACGGAGUUGCAGGGAUAUCACUAUUAUCAAGGAAGAAUACAGAGUACAUCUUGCGGCUACAAUAUUUUCUCUCUAUAUAUAACACAACAACCACACCACAUUAAAAAACCCUAAUUACAAAAGGCGGUUCCACAAUAGGCUAAACGGGCCUAUUGGCCCAAGCCUUCGCUCCAUGGAUUAAGCCUUAGUAAAUCUCCCAUUAAAAAACCAUGCAAUAUUAUUCGGGUCGGGUCGUCAAACCAGAUCAAACAAAACUAGGCUCCACAAAGCCUAACAAAAUCAACCUUAUUAUCAUCCUUACUUCUUGAACCUUGGCUUAAAACUCCAACUUCACACAACAUAUGGUAUAAAUUAAGAAAAGACUUAUUAAAAGUAGUAACGUUCUACUUUAGUUUAAAAAUGUUAACAAAAAUUAGAGGAGAAUGAACUAAAAUAUACUGAAUUUAAAAUCAAGCUAACAUAUUAGAAACCAUUUGAAAUCUCACGUGAUUAAAUAGAUUUCUUGUAGUUUGACAAAGGAAAGAAAUUACUUGAAAAGAAUGGCAAAAUCGAACUGCAUCUUAUGACCUACAAUCACAUGAUUUCCAGACUUAGUGCAUCCAUUGCCAAGAAAGAUGACGAUCAUAUCACCUUUUGUAAUAAUUCAAUGCCUCUUUUUGUAAAGCCAUAUCAUAAAUAUAAUGAAAUUAAAAGACAAAUUAAUCAAUCAAAUAAUUAAAAUUUAAAAUUUACAUGGCAGUAGGUGAGGGAAUUGUUUAGUUAAGAAUGAAGAGAGACCACACUCGAGGAAAUAUUAUUGAGGGCAUUGAUGUUGACUUCCCAUAUUCACACCUAAUUAAAAAGGUGAUUAAGAAAAUAAACAAAAACAACCCAAAAAGAGUGAAAGAUAUAUUGCUAGGAAAGAUUGUUCAAAAUGAUCCCAAGUUAUAAAAAUGAACUCUUUCAUUAAGAUGACCUUUUUGAAUACUUUUAUCCUUUUUUGUUUUUUGUUUGCCUUCAAAAUUAUAAUCUUUCCUUUAUUUAUGUUAUUUUAUUUACUUUAUCAUUUUUUUUUUCUAAUUUCUCAUUUAUUUCUUCUACUUACUUUUUCUCUUCUAUGAAGUCUCAUUAUAACUUCAUCUUUAACUUAAUCUCUCUCUUACCCCAUAAUUUCAUCUUUAGUUUAGUCAUGUCUUAUGAAGCUAAUUGUAUUUCCCUCCCUAGCUUACUCUCUAAGUUGUUAGUAAUCCUCGAUCUCAAUUCUUUCUCGUAGUCCAUUUUUAUUUUCAUUCAAGGUGAUCAUUAAAAUUACACAAGGGCUAAAUUUAAAUUAUAAGAGUUAAUUUCAAUUACAUUCCCUCAAGUUUUGGCUUAGAUACACCUUACCUCAACUGGUUUGAAAUUUCAUCAAUUAUCUCCCUUAUUUUAAGUGAAAGGGGAGGUGAGUAAAAUUAAUAAAUGAAAAGGUAAGGGAUGUAUUUGAUGAAAUUUCAAAUCAAUGAGCGAAAGUGUAUUUAGCUGAAACAUCAUGGAAAAUGAAUUAAAUUAACUUUAUACAAAACUUAACUGAGAUUAAAUUCUUGUAAAGUUUCUCACUUAAUCUAUCAUGAGAUUAAGUUCAAAAUCAUAAUAGUGAUGAGAUCUCAAACUUCAUAUCUUAACACAGUCAAUUGAACUUAUCUUGAUGAGUUUGAAGUCUCAAAAUUGUUUUGAGAUCCCUAGCUAGAAAUAAUUGCUAAAGCCCUUAAUUUUUUUAUUAAAAUGCCUGUGAGCUUGAUUGAGAUCAAUUUGGAUUACUUUUAGAGAUUCUAGAGGAAUUUAGAAGAAUAUAUAAAGGAAAAAACUUAGGGAAGAAGAAAAGUGCUAGUUAGAGCAGCCUUCUAUUGCACCAGAAGAAGUGGGCGCACCCUUCUACUAUGCCAAAAGGACUUGACGCAUCUGUAUAAGUACGCUAGGAAGGAAAAUAAAGCAACAAGCCGGCCUUUGACUUGAGAGAUGGAGAACCCUCUCCCAGACUUAACUGGCGCACCUUUUAAGUGCGCCAAGGAAAAGAAAGAGUUGUGGCUCAACCCCAUCAAGGAUUGAUAGGCAUACUCUGUCCACUAAAGAUUAAAUGUGUUAGCACAUCUCUUAUCUCCCUCUAUGAACAAAUGGCGCAUUUAAUUAUACAUACACUGUAAGCAUUGGGCUGCCUAUCCGAUGGUGCAAUUCAAAAGCUGUGGCACGCUUGGUCAACGUAUGAGAAGCAUCCACUUGCAUCCAACAAUCUUGCAUGGGUGGGGCACACCCAACCUAAGUGUUCUCGAAGUUUGGAUGGUGUUGGAGCUGUUCUUUCCAAACUUCCAGCUUCUUCUUGUCUCACGUUCACCUGCAAUGCAAGGUUUACCCGGUGAAGCCCCGGGCAGACCCCUCCGAUGGUUAAGUCUGUUGGAGUGUGAUAAGCCAACUUCUUUUUAAUUUUUCUUCUUAGCUGUGUUCUUAUACAUCUCUUCACUUACCGCCGGGACCGGAGAUAAUGGGGGCAUUUUCACCACAUCACUACCCACUUUGCCCCCUUCUCAUGGCAGCAACCUUUUGGGCUAACCGCUCCCACCAUUUUUGGCGUCUAACCCCCUCAAGACCUUUCACAUAAGUUCCCAUAUUUCUUUCUGGGCCAGAGACUCUGUCUAGUCCUCCAAAUUCAGCUCUUAAUUUUAAAUGCUUGGGCCCAGGCCCAUUGCUCCAAAUCUGUGAGGGGUACCCACAGAUGGCUACCACCAUACAUUCUACUGCAACCUUAUUCAUCAAGAUGUGAACCAAUCAUGAAAACAAGGGAAGCAAUUUAGAAAAAGGAAUGGGGCCUCACAAGAUAUUUGGUGGAGAAUUUGUUCUGCUACCAUCUCUGAAAGGAUCAAAGGUUGACUAAUUUUAGGCUGGCAACCAGUAGUAUUCUAGAAAUAGAGAAGGGAAAUUUGAGGAAAAGUCAUCAUUUUCCUUCUCAAAUUUCCUUGGAGGGGUGUUCUAGAAUAUAGAAUAUAGAAGAUAUUUUUUCUUAUCCCUUGGAGGGGUGUUUUUAGUUUUUCUUCUUGAAAUACUUUGCAGGUACAAAACUGUAUGAGCUUUUUGUUCAUGGAGUUCUAUGGGAUUCUUCGAAAAUGAAUGAAAUUCAAUUUUAAAAGAAGUCUUUUGUUUCUUUGCUUGAGUAAUUUUUUACCUUAAGUUUAAUUUCCCUCGCAUGUUCUAUCCAUGAAGCACUAAUUUCAACUAAAUCUUUGUAUAAUGGUUAUGGGAGUAACUUUAAACCUUAAAAUUCUCAUUCAAGCUUUUCCAAAUGAAAUAUAUUAAUAUCAAGUUUCAUUUAAAUAAUCUAUUUUUCCGCAGAUAUAACGAUGAGUUGAAAUUUAGACUUAUUUAAUUUGUUUAUGUCAAACAUUCAAAUCUAAAAUACAUAUAACAAAAGAUCAUGGGAAUUUGUAAUAUAAACAAUUUUUAUGCAAAGGGCCAAAUUGUAAAGAAUAGAAUACUAUUUUCAAAAGAGAUCCAAAUCAAGUCGUUGUUUUUAAUAAAUAAAUAAAUAAAUACAUUUUUUGUUUCAUUUGGAAGAUGGUGUUAAAGAGCGACUGAAUCAAAUAACUUGCUCAACCGGCAAAGCUGAGCUGGUCAACUGGACUUGCUUAUAUAUACGUAAUUGGGGAAAAAAAUGUCAGAUGAGGGGGCGGAUUAGGUCACUUGGGGGGUGCCGGGUGUAGAUGGAAGAAAGAAGUACGUAUAUAAUAAUAAUAAUUGGAGGGUUGACGUUGUCUGUGAGGCAGCUCGGGCUUUCCUUAAAACCCUAGACAUUAAUUUCUCGAACCGCCCGCCUAAUGCCGGUGCAACACACUUGGCCUAUGAUGCCCAAGACAUGGUUUUUGCGGAUUAUGGGCCAAGGUGGAAGCUCCUGAGAAAGCUAAGCAACUUACACAUGCUUGGUGUGAAGGCUCUUGAGGACUGGUCUCGGGUUCGAACUGUUGAGCUAGGUCACAUGCUUCGAGCCAUGCUUGAGUUGAGCCAGCGAGAGGAGCCGGUGGUGGUGCCGGAGAUGUUAUCUUUUUCCGUGGCCAACAUGAUAGGGCAAGUGAUACUAAGCCGCCGGGUGUUUGAAACAAAAGGGUCGGAGUCAAAUGAGUUCAAGGACAUGGUGGUGGAGCUCAUGACCAGUGCUGGGUACUUAAAUAUUGGCGAUUUUAUUCCGUCCAUCGCAUGGCUGGACAUCCAAGGGAUCGAGCGCGGGAUGAAGCAUUUACAUAAGAAGUUCGACAAGUUAUUGACAAGGAUGAUAGAGGAGCACACGGCAUCAGCCCAUGAGCGCAAGGGAAACCCAGAUUUUCUGGACGUAGUCAUGGGCCAUCAAGGAAAUUCUACAGGGGAGAAGCUCACCCUUACCAACAUUAAGGCGCUCCUCCUGGUAUGCAUAGUUAAAGCUCCUCCUGGUACGUUUUUAUCAGGUAGCCAUUUUAGGGGCACAUCACUGUUCUUUAUUUGGAUUUUUUUUUGUCUUUUUCCACUUGCAUGGCACAGGAAAAUUGGGGAAAAUGAUUGGUUCUCUGAUCAGACCUUCUGCACCAAAACACACUUCUCUCUAUUUUAUAAAAUCAAGAACAUUUAUGGUUUACAUGAUUUUUCGAACUUGAACUUUUGCUAGGGCUAAUCCAUGGAUCUCAAUUUUCAAUUGCGUUUGAUUACAUAAAUUUCAAGUAUGUCACCAUAUUUUUGUUUCCUUGGCUAGAAUUUAUUUACUGCAGGAACAGACACUUCAUCAAGCGUAAUCGAGUGGUCUCUGGCUGAGAUGUUGAAAAACCCGAGCAUCCUCAAGCGUGCUCACGAAGAAAUGGAUCAAGUGAUUGGAAGGAGCCGGCGGCUCGUGGAGUCUGACUUACCAAAACUUCCAUACCUACAAGCCAUAUGCAAGGAAAGCUUCCGGAAGCACCCAUCCACCCCAUUGAACCUUCCUCGUGUCUCAAACGAGGCAUGUGAAGUGAACGGCUACUACAUCCCAAAGAACACUAGACUUAGCGUGAACAUAUGGGCAAUCGGGCGAGACCCUGAUGUCUGGGAAAGCCCGGAAGAAUUCAGUCCAGAAAGGUUUCUAAGUGGAAGAAAUGCAAAAAUUGAUCCUCGUGGAAAUGAUUUUGAGUUGAUCCCGUUUGGGGCUGGACGAAGGAUUUGCGCUGGCACUAGAAUGGGAAUAGUGCUGGUUGAGUACAUUUUAGGGACGUUGGUACAUUCAUUUGACUGGAAAAUGCCGGAUGGAGUUGAGAUCAACAUGGACGAAGCUUUCGGGCUUGCACUGCAGAAGGCAGUUUCUCUUUCGGCUAUGGUGACACCAAGGCUUCACCAGAGUGCGUAUGCAGUCUGAGCUCAAACCGCUCAGACCAAAACCCAGGCCUCGUUGCUAUAUGGCAUGGAUGCAGUUAUGAAGAAAAUAUUUUCGGAUGUUGUUUUAGUUUCCUGUGGCUUAUAAUAAGAUGUAUUAGCUCAAAGAUUGUAGUUUCAUUCUAACACCAAGCCAUAUGCAUCUAUGCAUAAUCUAUUAAUUUAUGCUUGAUUUGGUUAUAGUUUUUGGUUUUUUUGUCUUCCAAAUCAGUAAAUAGUAGUAACCUUUAUAUAAAAUAUAACUCAUACAAAAUUUUGCAUUGAGAAAGUAAUAGUGUAUAACUCAUAUGCAUCUAUGCAUAAUCGCUUGACCCCACCUCUUUUAAUUUCUUUUUAAAAUUUAAUUUUAAAAAAAUGUUUAAUUACAUUAAAAAUAAAUAUAUUUUAUAAAUAAAGAAAAUAAUAGGAAGCCGACAUGCAUGAUUAAAUAGUUGUGUUGGAGUCCAGCAACAAAAGGCAACAAGGUCCUUGAUCAGAGCCAUCAUCUCUUUUCGAUCACUUCUUGUGCAUGAGUUGGCCUGCAGAAUGGGAUUGGCUUAGAUGAUCGUUACUGAUGUUUCCUUUUCAACAUCAUAAUUCAGCGCAAACCAAGUUGAAUAUUCAACAACAAAUAAGUACAGAAAAAUAAAGGAAGAAAAAAAUCCCACUUUAUCUCCGUAAAGUAAUGCCAUAUUUUUCUUCAGACUUAUCUUCUAGCUAGAUUUUUGUUGGAGCUCUGAGCCCGUGAUCCAUUAGAUGACCUUUAAAAAAAUCCCAUCAGCUAUGGAAAAAGUUUUCAUUAAAUCUAAUGAUAAAAAACAAGAAACAAAAGGAGGCACAUCUUCCAGGAACUUUCACCCAGAAAAAAAUAAAAGACAAUGAAUCUUAAUCAGCCAUUAGCCGCUUUCAAUUAUUUAUCAUAAUUAAUGGCGUGCGAUGAAAGCCUAGGAACCAGUCCCAAACAAAAAUUCAUAAAGCAAACCCUCGGUACGAUCGGGGCGGACUGAAGUGAAGGUGGAACUUAGAAGAAGUCGAUAAAUAAAUAGUCGGGUACCAGAUCUGACCGCUACAAUAAAUUGGGGAGUAAGGAUGAAAAUAUCGGUAAUCACGGAUAUAUCGGUACUUCGAAUUUACGGAUAUAUCGGGGAUAUAUCGACGGAUAUUUUGGAAAAAAAAUAUCGAUAGGCUUAAAAUUGUUAAAACUCAUGGAAAUAUAAGAGAAACCUCAUAAUAAUAUAAUUAAAAGCAUAAUAGAUAUUUAAAGUUGUUUUAUUGAAGAAUUUGAUAUACAUAUGAUAUAAUUUGCGAUAUUAGAUGUAAUUAUAUUAUGUAGAACUAUAAGAAAUGUUAAUUUUGUAAUUGUUCUCAUUAUAAAGUCACAUAAAAUACUUCAUUUCAUUUAAUAUCAAUAAUUUGUACACAUUACAUUACAAUGUCCCUUUUGUACCAAAAUGAGGAUCGAUGUGGUUCAAUGGGAUUGAUAGAUGAAGGAACCCCGCCUUGUUGUUGGAGACAAUAUUAGUACUAACUCAAUGAAUCUCGAUAAUAUUGGUUAAAAAUUCUAACAUGCCAUGCAUAUAUCUCUUGAGUCCUGCCCACUACCGCUACAUGGAUAGGGUACUCAAAGUUCACCCAUGUGUUAAUGUCAAAUCCUCCUUCCAUCUGAUAUGGAACUUGGUAUGGCAUUUGUCUGGAAAGGGAACAAUGCGACAUACCAUACUCUUCAUCGGUUGAACUUGAAGGUUGACCAUAACUCAUUACAUGAGGAAGGUAGAUGUUAGCCUCAUUUGAGGAAUCACUAAAUUGAGUCCCUAUACUCAUAGAUUCAAAACUCCCUGAAAGUAACUCUUCGUUAUAUGGUUCCAUCGUUCAUUCUCUUCCUCUAUAGGGCUUCCUAAUAGCUCCUAUGCUUGGACCAGCUCUUCUAGAGCCAUGGUCUUCAUCCUGUGUGUAGUGUGUGAAAUCAUUUUCAUAGGUAAAUUGGCUGAUUAGAUAUUGACUAUGUUGAUGUUCAUAAAUAUCUCCUCCCGUAUUAUCACCUCCAUCAUUAGUUUCACCUCUUGAACCAUAGUAACUAAAAGCAGAAGUACCUGCAGCACUAGGUCUACUGCUAUGGCCAGCACUUGUGGAGUCAAUCUCUUGGUGGGAAUUCAAUGCCGCUUGAACUAAAUCAUUAGUAUCUUUGCUAAAACUUUCAGAGUGAACUUCUUCAGAUAACACACGUUCAACAUUAACUCCAAAUUAUUGAGCAUGAGCGGCAAUUCAUGGAUUAGGAUUUCCAACUUCGUCAUCCAAGUGUAUAGGCCUAACCCAUUGGAACAACUGAUUAUCUUCUUCUUCACCUACCUUAGCUGAAAUGUCAAGAAGAUCAAAGUAAUCUUUUUCAACAACUCGAUCAUUUUCUGCCUCCAUAUCGCGUAACUUUAGCCUCAUAUUAUAGUAACAAAAAACUAAUUGCUCCAAUCUAGGGUAAGCCAAACGAUUUCGUUGCUUUGUGUGGAUGAGAGCAAACGUGCUCCAAUUUCUCUCACGGGCAAAAGAUGACGCAGUUUGUGAGAGAACUUUGAUGGCUAACUUUCUCAAUGUAGGUGUUUGAUUCCCAUACAUAAACCACCAUUCAGUUGCAACCAAUUUGAUAAUCAUAUAAAUACUUAUGUGGUGAAUUUACAAUAAUGAUAAUCAAUUUUUUCUUAUAAAGACUCACCGGGUACCAUGGUUGACCUUGUUGCAAUCGCUGCUCGAUUACUGAAUCAUUUUUUUGCAUCUCGAAAAAGCACAAGCUAUGUAUUCAACAUUUAAUUUGUUAAUAUCAUAUUUGUUAGUAAACGUUCAAAUAAAUUGAUAAUUGAAAUAAUUGUUUUAUCAACAAAAAUAACAAUUUUCUAUUUACCUCAUUUCCAAAUUGACCAAGCGACUUAGUAGUUGGAUCAAAUUUUGCAAAAACAUCAUGGACCGCUUGAAGUAGUUCCGGAUCACUACCAACUCCAUGCCUAUAUUGAAAUCUUGGAUUUAAGAAGUAUGUUACAAUAAAAUUAAGUAGAGCUAGUAUAUUUUUAAAGAAAAUUAAAUACAAAGUAAAAACUUAUAAAGAUAGAUAGUACUUAAGUACCUGUUGCAUGAAGUGGAUGUUUUAGUGUUUUCUCCCAAUGAUCUUUUAUUAUUUUGAAGAUCUAAUCUCCAGCUCCUUGAUGAAUAAGGUUUCCUUUCAUCACUUGCAUAAACUCGUACACAAAUGGCAUUGUGGGAACAACUUUAGAAUCCACAAGUUGAAGCACCACGUAUAAUGGCUCAUAUAAUGAAACUAUAUUUGUCAAUCUGUCCCAAUACGUAUGGUCAAACAAUAAUUGCUCCAAUUCUCAGCUAAGUUUUGUUCGACUGAGUUUGUGGUGUGCCCAUUCAUCACUCAUAAACAUUUUUUUCAAAUCAACCCUUUUUUUAAGAAGACUGUUAAGAACAAUAUAAUUGGUAAAAAACCUUAUAGCUCCUGGUCGAACAAUGUCUCCACCACAAUACUUUCUCAUUUGUGCAAGUAACCAAUCAUGAUUGUAAAUGAAGUUAGUUAUCUUGCGAGCAUUGUUUAUCACAUCGAUAACAUUAGGUCUUUUACCAAUGUCUUCAAAGAUUAAGUCGAUACAGUGCGCCGCACACGGAGUUCAAUAUAAGUUAUACUUCUUCAUCAAUUGUUUCCCUGCUUUCAUGAACGCCGACCCAUUAUCUGUGACAAUUUGGACCACAUUUUCUUUACUGACUUCUUUGAUAAUAGUCUUCAAUAGCUCGUAAAUAUACUUGUGGUCUUUGAUAUAGUUUGAUGCAUCGAUUGACUUAAGGAACACCGUGGUCCCUUUAAAAUAAACCAUGAAAUUAAUAAUACUUAAUUUCGUGGGCCUUGUCCAUCAAUCUGACAUUAUUGUGCACUCAUAUGUCUUCCAUUUUUCUCUUUGCUGGUUCACAUAAGCUUCCAUUUCUUUGUACUCCAUUUCCAAGUACUUGUUCUUUAUUUCAUAUGGAGAUGGAGGUUCGAUUCCCAUUCCUACACUUCAUAUAUAAAAAAUAUGUAAAACAUGUCACAAAAGACCAUGCUUACUAAAAAUGUGACACAAUAUAACAUUUCAAAAAUUAGUAAUUAGUUGCUUGUUGUGCACCAAUAAUCAUAUUCUUGAAGUGAUGAGACUUUGCUUUUGCGGGUGCGACGCUCUCAUAAAUGAAGAAUUAGCUAAUUAAGCGUCCCAUCGUUUCUUUAAUUGCACCACGCUUGAAUAUUUCUUUAAUAUUUUUUUGUCUUGCUGCAAAAGACUUAUAAAGCGAAGGGGCAACAAGGGGUGAUUGGUGCGAAUGUCGCAUACUUUGUGAUUUUCACAUCGUCGUCGGUAUACCAGCAGACCGUGAAGACUUCCCCGUUUUGUGUUUGCUUCCUACAAUAUUCUCAUGUUGUUCAUGUUCCCAUUCUGAUGAUUUUGAGGCACGAACUGCAGAUCGAUAUGCAUCCCGCUCAUCUGGGUACAUAUCUGUUAGAUACAUAUACACAUCUUCAUCCUCAACAUCUUCAUCAUCAUCAUUUUCGUCUACCAAAUGUGUAUCAUGAGUCCCCAUUGUGCCACGUAAUUGAGCACAGAUGUCUUGAAUAUCAGCAACUUUCUUUGCUUUUGCUUUUUUUUUUUUUUUUUUGUCAUACACCAACAAACAUAUCUUUUCUUUCACUUCGGGAGGCACUCUCGGACACUUUUUGGUGUUGUUAUGCGAGUCGUUAUGCGUUAAAUGGAACUUGAAUCGUGUGAUGCCUCCACUUUUCAUCAAUAACCUACAGAAAUUACAAAUUGUUCCAUUUAUGUUCCCCCUCAAUUGGUGAACAAUACUUCCAAGCCGGAUCUCGCCCUGGCAUGACAGAACCACCUUCACUAGCCAUGCUAAAUCUAUUGCAAAAGAAAUACACUUGAAUGUAAUUUCAAUGUAAACAAAAAUUAAGUCAACAUUUAAAUUUAAAUCUAUGAGAAAUCUACAAAAUAAUCAUAAAAAAUGAACAUAUUUGAUAUUCCAAAUAUCUAGUUCAUGUUAAUUAAACUAAUUAAAUAAUUUAGCUAAGUUAAUUUUUUGAAUCUAAAUGUAAUUCUAUGAAAAAUUUAGUAAAUAUAAAAAUUAAUCAUAAUUGAAUAUGAAAAUAAAUCCCAAUAAUCAUAAAAAUGAACAUAUUUGAUAUUCCAAAUAUACUAGUUCAUGUUCAUUAAAUUAAUUAAAUAAUUUAGUUAAGUUAAUUUUUUGAAUCUAAAUGUAAUUCUAUGAAAAAUUUAGUAAAUAUAAAAAUUAAUCAUAAUUGAAUAUGAAAAUAUAUAGCAAUAAUCAUAAAAAAAAGUUCAUAUUUGAUAUUCCAAAUAUACUAGUUCAUGUUAAUUAAACUAAUUAAAUAAUUUAGCUAAGUUAAUUUUUUGAAUCUAAAUGUAAUUCUAUGAAAAACUUAGUAAAUAUAAAAAUUAAUCAUAAUUGAAUAUGAAAAUAAAUCACAAUAAUCAUAAAAAUUAACAUAUUUGAUAUUCCAAAUAUACUAGUUCAUGUUAAUUAAAUUAAUUAAAUAAUUUGUCUAAGUUAACUAGUUGAAUCUAAUUCUAACUAGAAUGAAUGUGAAAAAAAAAAUCACAAAAAAUCAUCUAAAAUAAACAUAUCAAUUUAUAAUUAAAUAAUCAAAUUAACCUAAGUUAAUUCAAUAAAAAUAUACAAAUUAGUUACAAUUGAAUGUAAAAAUAAAAUUAAAUCAUCCAUAUUGCAAAUAUACUAAUUAAUUGAACAUACAUGAAUUAAUUACAAUUGAAAACAAAAUUAAUUACAAGUUAAAACAAACAUACCUUAAAAUGAUUGAAUAAUUGAGCAACCUUCGAAAAAAUUGGAAUAAUGAGAGAGCAAAUCAAUAAUGAAAUCAAAUAUGAAUGAAAUGGAUGCAAAAUGGGCUAUUUAUAGGAGAAAUUUGGGCCACAAUAGCCGUUGGAAGAUUAUUUUACCAUUGAAAAACAAUUUUGGCUGUUGGAUCAAAAUCUGGGCAAAAUCUGACCGUUGGAUCAUGAUAUUACUGUUGGAAUCUCAUCCUAACCGUUGGAUCAAACCUAGAUUCAAUUUGGAGCAUUGGAUAUAUGACUGUUGCAAGCAGACGUGGCGGGCAACAUUUGGACCAUCGGAUCAACAUGGGUGUGAUUUGGGCUGUUAGAUCAUGUUGGAGAUAUGAGUAGACAUGUCACCAAAAAAUCGGCGAUUUAUUGCCGAAAUAUCGACGAUUUUCCUCCGUCUGGGCUGACUUUUCGCCGAUAUAUCGCCGACAAAUUGGCGAUAUUUUGACAAUUUUUUAGUGAAAUUUCUCAUUCUUGAUUUUUCUCCACAUAAUAUCGUGUCGACACCUCCUGAUACAUGAUAUAUCACUGAUAUAUCCCGACAUUUUCCUCUUUGUUGGGGAGUAGGUGAUCUCGAUAUUAAUUCAAUAAAUAAAUAAAUAAAUAAAAUCAGAGUGGUGUGUGAUUGAGAUUAAUUGUAUGAUCACCGAAUUAUGAUGGAUCGGACGUACAAUAUCAAAAAGUUUUGAUAUCGUUUUGAUAUUAUUUUUUUAAUAAAAAUAAUUAUUUUUAAAAAAAUAUGUUAUAAAUAUUUAAAAUAAUUAAAAAUAUUUAGAUCAAAAAUCGACUAUUUUUCAAACAAAAAUAUGGAAGUGAUAAAUGUGCAAAUAUGGGGAAUAUUUAAUCCUUUUAAUCCAUUAUUUCAUUAAUAAAGUGGGUAUAAUUAAUGAUGAACGCAAACUUGGUUUUGCUAGGGCAUGCAAAGGUUUUGCAAGAGAGAGAGAUCAUUUCUCGACUUUAAGAAAUCAAUCUCCUUUUGGCCUGGAGGCAGACUCCAAGUUAAGCCUUGAAAGAGCAUUGCUAAUAGCAUCACUGCUAUUGCAGACCCGAAUGCGAUCCCUGUGCACCCACACCUUCCAGCACUGAAGGAAAUGAAACGAAGGUUUGGCUCGUUCAACUCCACUGCUUGACUGUACUAGCAUUCAGAUGCUACCCUGGAUUGAAAUUUAAUGGUUCUUCCCAUAUUCUAAGGUUCCGGCCAAGCCCCAAACGGCUCAGAAGGACAUGACUGCCUUUGGGGAUAAAGUAGCCAGCAACACUAGUCAGAUUCUUGAGCUAGUCUAUCCUUUCCAACCACUCCAUCAAUUUCUUCACUGCUUUGCUCAAAACCCCUAGUUGAUUGACCAUUGCCUACUCAAUUGCAUUUGAUGGACUAUCCACGCCUGCAAGCAUCAACUCCUGUAAAUUAUGGAAGGAUCAUAAUCUGAUGAUUGAUCAAGUUAUUUGCUGGCUAGGAAAUGAUCAACACAUAAUAUAGAUCAAAAUGUAAACACAACACUACUAAAAAAUAAUUUAUGGUGUUACUAUUUAUGGUGUCACUUUUAAAAUAAUGACACCAUAGGGUUUAUAAUUAAUAAAGGUGAUACAUCAUAUAAAAAUUCUUCAAUUGAGAUAGUUAGAUGAUGUUAGUUUUAUUUUUAUAAUGUCAUUUUUUGGUAAGUUACAUCAUAUAAAAUAAAAAAAUUUAAGUAUUAUAACUCAAUGAGCCUAUUUGAGCCCACUUUUAAAAUUAAUAAUGAGGGACAAUGUAUAAAAAGCCAAUUGUUUCCACAUGCCACCCACAAUCCAAAAAAUCUCAGUAUACAAACCUUAUAUAUCAAACCAUAAUCUUUUUCUACCUUUUCUCUCACCCAUUGUCAACACACUCACAACUGACAUUCUCCACUUUGUGAACUCCCAGGUAACCCAAAUUCUCUUAGAUCUAUCAUAUUUUUUCCUUUAUUAAUAUCAUUAUAUCGAUUGUUUCAGCAUCUUUGCAUUAUGAUUUUUGUGAAAUGCAUUUUCUUGAGUUGUAGGGAAGAAAAACUUAAGUUUAAACUUCUAGCAUAGAAGAAGAAACCUAUAGAUUAAUUGAUUUUUUAAUCUGAACCAAACACAUGGUCGAAUCCUUAGAAACAAGUGAAAAAUAAGAAAAAAUGAAUGAUUUUUAAUAUAUAUUUGUGUGAGAAUGACAUGUACAUAAUUUUGUUGAGAUAUACUGUCACAUAAUCUUCAUCCCUUCCCAAAAAUGAGAGAGAGAGAAAAAAAAAAAGGAAUAAUUUUUUUGUGUGUAUCUAAGUGGGAAUGAGAGAUAUAGAAUUUCGUUGAGAUGCAAUGCUAUCACAUGAUCUUUAUCCUCCAUUAAACCCAACACAUUAAAUCCACUAACUCUCUCCUCAAAAACGAGUAAAAAAAAAAAAAAAAGAAUGAGUUAAAAAAGAGGAAAAAAAUGAUUUUUUUAAUGUGUUUCUAAGGAGAAUGAGAGAUACAGAUUUUUGUUAAGAUGCACUGCCACAUGUUCUUCAUCCUCUCCAUUAAGCCUAACAUAUUAAACCUAAUAGCUCACUCUUUUAAGCAUUCCAAUGAAGUGCCUACAGUAUCCAACUCAAAAUAAGACAGACAACUUAAGCCCCAUUAGCCAACAACCCAUAUUUUGUGCACAUCUUCAUGAGAUUAUUUUGUGAGAAAAUGUCAUGAAACAAUCCCAAUUUGAUAAUCUAGGCAUGUAUUUGACUUAAAAAUAAAUUUCUAUUCUAUAUAUUAAAGAAUAAAAUCAUGAUUGAAAAUUAUUCUUAAAAACUUAUUUAGAGCAAAAAUUGUUUUCUAACAUAAAAAUAUUUUUUUAACUUAGAAAAUAUAUUUGAAAUUAUUUGAUAGAAAACUGGGCAUGUAUUUGACUUAAAAAUAAAUUUCUAUUCUAUAGCUCAAAUAAUAAAAUCAUGUUUGAAAAUUAUUCUUAAAAACUUAUUUAGAGCAAAAAUGGUUUUCUAACAUAAAAAUAUAUUUUUUAAUUUAGAAAAUAUAUUUGGAAACAUUUGAUAGAAAACUGGGCAUGUAUUAAACUUAAAAAUAAAUUUCUAUUCUAUAGAUCAAAGGAUAAAAUCAUGUUUGAAAAUUACUCUUAAAAACUUAUUUAGAGUAAAAACGGUUUUCUAACAUAAAAAUAAAUUUUUAACUUAGAAAAUAUAUUUGAAAACAUUUGAUAGAAACCUUUUUUUUUCUAAUGUCAAUAAGUUGUCUUUUUCUUAAUUUAAUUGCAAUCAAUUUGCCUAUAUGCAUUUAAAAAUAUAUAUUAUCAUAUUUAGCAAUAUUUUGAUUGUUAGGCAAAUUAUCAUUUUUGAGAGGAAUUUUUGUAGCUCUCAUAAUUAUAAUUGUAUUUUAAUAACCAUUUCCAAUAUAAAAAAAAAAGAAAAAGAAAAUAAAGUUAGACAAUUAUCAAAAUCUGAUUUUUAGGAUUUUUAAAAAAUCUACAAGCCAAAACUAUUUAUAAUUUUGACCAUGUGAGAACAAUUCUUUUUCUAUACUUUGAGUUAUUUUGUUUUUUUUUUCUUAGCAUUUGAAAGUAUAAAAGAAUUUCUUUUAUCAUAUUAUAUAUGUGCAUAUGUGUUCUUAUGGUUGUUUAUGUCAUGUUUUAUCAAAGAAUAUAGUGAAAUUUCCUUUGAGUGGAAGGUUUUAGUCCACGCUAGUGAGUGGACAUGGUAUGAAUAGUUUGGGUGGGUUGUAUCUAUGGUAAAAAAUAAUAAGACACACCUUUUGCAAGUCUCCAAGUUGGUUGAGACCUACAGACAUGGCAUCAUGUUGACUAGACCUUGACUUUUGCAAGUCUCCAAGUUUCCAACUUUUUUUUUUUUAAUAUUAAGGUGUGGGGUCAUGAACACCUUUAUUUCCUUUUUAAAUAACAAAAAGGAAGAGAAUUUGAUCGUGAGAAGGCUAUUGCUAUCAAUUGUGUUCACCUGGAGAAUUUUUUAAUGUAUAGAGGCCAUAUAUAUAUAUAUAUAUAUUUAUGUCUAAUUUAGGAGGGUAAUUUGGGUUUGUCUAAUCUAUUCCAUUUAAUCUUACUAUACAAUCAUUUUUAUUAUUUGAAUUAUUCUUGUAUUAAAUUUCUUCAACCCAAAUUUAAUUAAUUGAUAGGAUGAAAGAAAAUGUGAGAAUGUGAGACUAGAGGUGGCCUUUGUUUGAUUGAUAAUUAAUCAUUUUUUUAUUUUACAUAUAUCUAUCGACAUAUAAAGAGCCAUAAAGUUAAUAUCAUAAUGGAAUUUCAUAAAACCCAUUAUAGAAUUUCAUGCUUGAAGUCAUUACUUUUGAAAGUAUUUAUUAUAAUGAAAGCUACUUUUUGUAAAAAUUAUUAUUUUAUGGUUGAUAAUUCAUUAAGUGUCUUCUUAUUCAACUAGUUGACUUCUUGCCAUGGAAAAGUAUACCCAAAAAAAGGUGACUUCUUGUAGUAGAAAAGUAUACCCAAAAAAUGACUUGUUGGAGUGCACCCAAUGUGUAUGUAAAUUUUGUGGGUGAAAAAUUUAGAGGUAAAUUAUUGGGUACUUGUAUACAUAGAUAACUAUGAAAACAUAAUUUUUGUUAAGUGAAAUAAAUUAAUUUUAAAAUAACAAACAAACUGCCAAUAAAUUAAGUUAAACAUGUUGAUUAAAGUUAAGAGAAAAAUAUUAAAACAUAAAAUGAUGAAAAUGAUAAUAAUUAUGAUAAUGGUGAACAUAGUAAAUGAUAACAAUAAUUGUGGUUGGUAAAUGAUAAAAAUAGUUGCCGGAAAAUUUGUUUAGAUAAUAGGUUAAUUUUAUAAUAAAUUUAUGGCAUUUUAAGGUUUUUUUUUAUAACAUAUUCUUUUAGAUUUUAAAAUUUCAAAGGAUACUAUUUGUUUUUAUUACUUAUAACUUUUAGUAUUUAUAAAUUAAAAUUUUAGUACUUAAAUUUAAUAUUUGUAAGUUAUAUGAAUGACUUGAAGCAUGUAAUAUAUAUAAAUACACAUAUUCAUACUUGAAAUAUUGCAUUUUUUUGGAUUAUUAGUUUAAUUUAAUGGAGAUGAGUAUUUUGUUGAAAAGUUACAAUGUAUUAUUGAAAAUAUGACUUGAUAGUUGAUUAUGAAUAUGUGUCAUUUUUAGUAAAAAUAAAUAAAAUUAAAUCUAUAACAUUUUAUAUUGAUAGUAUAUUAUUCUUGUAAUAGGUUCAAAUAAUAAGCAAGUCAUUAUCAAAGAAGUUAUUGGAAGUGUAAGGGUACGUUUAUUUAUUGCAUGCUCUUAUAUAGUAUCAAUUGUAAGGAAGAUAAAAUUACUGAUUACUACUCAAAAAGUGCUAUUUGAUAGCCUAUAAUUAAUCCUUUUAAACACUUUUGAGUAGUAGUUUAGGCCUUUUAACUCAAUUGGCAUGUUAAGGACCCUUGAAAGCAAUUUUAAUUACUUUGUGUAAGUUUUGGUGUUUUUGUUAGUAUUUUGAUCACCAAAGCAAGUCAAGACUGAGGAGAGUUAUGAGGAAUCUUGGGCAAAGCUUAGAAGUCAUUUGCCAAGAGUGAAUCCAGAAUGCAAGGAGAAAAAGUAAAGAGAAUCUGCCAUGAAGCAUAUUCUUGAUGACAGUCAUAGCAGCCACUUUAGGAGCACUUUCUGAAGUCCAAUUGAUACAUGCUAUAUACCAUUUCAAAGCUCAGGAAGUCAACAAUCCACUGCUUCAAACGGUGUGCAAUUCGGAGUUGAAACGAAGAAGUUGCAGCCAUUGCAAGCCAAUCACUCCAAGCUGAAGGAAGCAUUUUUGCAAAGUGUUGCGAAAUCACCCUUUUGUUGCGAAGUGAUUCCACAGCCUUUUUGUACAGUAGGGUGUAUUUCCUCCUGAAGAUGCCCGACAUAUACCGCGAGAGGGAAGCUGGGAACCUCAAGGUGGAAGCCAACUUCGCAGCCCUGCGAAGAUAGCAUGUUGUUGCGAAAUGAUUUCGCAGCCCUCUUGAGUGUCUGCGAAAUCUCGCAGACACCAUUUUCUCUUGCGAAAUGGUUCCUGGAGCAUCCCGAUAUCUGCUACCGAUAUUGGGAGAUAUUUUACAUUAGAUUUUUGUUGUCUAAAUACCAAAAUACUCCUUGUAAGCCACCAAUUACAAGAUUCCUUAGCUUUUAAGUUAGUAAAAAAGAGAAAAAUAUCUAUGUAAUAAUUAGUUUUAUAUUAUGUUCAUAUAUACCUCUCGGGAGCCUGUUCUCAGAAGGAUCCUUUUGUAAAGUUUUGGGUAAGCAAGUAAAGUUCAGUUCUUUGUUUUGCCUUACCUUCUCACUUUGUAUUUUUCUAUUUAUUACUAAGUUAUGAACUCUCUGAGGAGUUUUCCCCAGAGAAUGAGUAACUAAACCUCUAGUUCCUUGGAGCUAAGGUUGCCGGGGAAGGUUCCAAGUGCAAGAAUGCAAAGCUUUGUGGUUUUAGCUAAUAAUGAAAAGGAAGUGAAAUCCUUUAGUGAUUUCUAUGUUUUUAGUUAACUUAAAACACCUUAGAGUCACCUGGGCCAACACUUGGUAAGGCAAGUGAUUUCCAACCAUGGAAAUGCACUAGUUUACCCCUUGCGAGCCUCUGGGAGGUGACUUUAGGGUAGGAUUUUCUAGAAUAGCCAACACUUGGUAAGCUUUUGGACUCCAAGGAGACAUCCAUUAGUUAUCUCUUGCGAGCUUUUGACGGGUAAUCCAAGGUUAAAGAUCACCUUGAAUGGUUACGGCUUAGUGAGAAGCUUAAAUCAUUGCAAGUUGCAUCAGUGAGAGAAUUAAAGUGAAAUCUAAUUGAAGGAUGUAUCUAUACAACACCGGUUAGAGAAUUGACUAUAGGUUGAAUCUCUAACGCGAAGAAAUGAACCAUCUGACCGGAGCUAUGUCUUUUGCAUGAGGAACCACCCCAGUGAACCUAACUCUCCAAGGAAUGUUUUUCUUCCUAAGUUAUUCCCAUUACCUGUUGUGUUAGUUAGUUUAAGUCUAAAUCUUUACAAAUCAAAGUUUGGGUUUUAUUUCUUAAGCUAACCUUGAAAUGAAACAAGACCAAUUCACUUUGAAUUGGUAUCAUUGAUAGCUUGUUAAUCCUUCCCAGUGAACGAUCCUAGAGCCACUAUACUAUAGUAGUUUUUUCUUUGCUACCCUAGUAUAUGGUGUUAUAGGUUAUAAAUUUUGUUGAUUACUCCCUCAAUCAAGGAGCACCAGCUGGACACGAAUCAACUGAGACACCAACUGGGCAUGAAUCAAAUUACCUUGUAAAGGUAAUUAAAUAUUUAUAUAUUUUAAAAACUUUUUUCCUAUAUACUAUGCUUUUGAAACUUGUUUAAUUAAACAUAUUAGUUAUUUGACAAACUUUUCACAAAUGUUUUGUAUACUUAUGUGUUCUAUUUCGUUCCAUAGUUUUAUUGCAUAAUACUUAUGUAUAUUUUUUCACAAACUUUUUACAACUAUUUUGUGUACUAAUGCAUAUUAAGUUUUGUUCUUGCCUAUAUAAGCUACAUUUAGUUAUUUAAAUAUAUCCAAUAUUAUGUUGAAGAAAGAUGUAUUUACUUAACUUUUUUUAUUCUUCAUAUUAACAAGUUUUUUAGUUCUCUUGUCUCGAGAUUGGAUGUCAAAAGAUAGAAGGUCAGUUGAGUAUGAUGAAAGAGUUGAAAACUUUAUCAAUUUUGCAUUAGCACAUUCAAUCAACCAUACCUCUAUAAAAUGUCCAUGCUUAUGUUGUGCAAAUCUGUUAUGUCAAACUCUUCAAGUCAUUAGAGAGCAUUUGUUCUUUAAUGGAAUAGAUCUCAGUUAUUGAGUAUGGUAUUGGCAUGGAGAAAAGGGACCCAAUGGAGGAUUUUCAAAUGUCUCACCACAACAUUAUGACAAAUGCAACUAUAAUGAUGUUGUUGACACAAUAGAUAUGGUUAAUGCUGCACAAGUUAAUUAUAUGAAUAAUCCCCAAGUGUUUGGAAGGUUACUUGAAGAUGCAGAAAAACCUUUAUAUCUCGGAUACAUGAAAUACACAAAGUUGCCAGCAUUGGUAAAACUUUACGACUUAAAAGCACGUUAUGGUUAGUCUGACAAAGGAUUCUCAUAAUUGCUUCAGUUGCUUGGAGAUAUGUUGCCAUUGAAUAAUGAGAUGUUGUUGUCCAUGUAUGAAGCUAAAAAGGCUUUCAGUGCACUUGGGAUGGAAUAUAAAAAAAUUCAUGCAUGUUCUAAUGAUUGUAUUUUGUAUAGAAACCAGUAUAAGGAUGGUAUUACAUGCCUAACUUGUGGAAAGUCAAGGUGGAAGAUAAACGAUGAGGGGAAAAAGAUUAAGAAGGGGGGUUCCUUCAAAGGUUUUUUGGUAUUUCCCACCAAUCCCUAGAUUCAAAAGGAUGUUCCAAUCCUCAAAAACCACUAAACAUCUUAUAUGGCAUGCCAAGGAUAAAGAAUAUGAUGGUAAACUACGCCACCCAUCAGACUCCUCAGCAUGGAAACUAGUUGACCAUAUGUGGCUUGAUUUUGCUUCUAAACCGAGGAACCUUAGACUAGUACUCUCAAUAGAUGGUAUAAAUCUUCAUAAGUCUAUGAGCAGUAGACAUAGUUGUUGGUCUGUUAUACUGAUCAUAUACAACCUUCCUCCUUGGUUGUGCAUAAAAAAGAAGUUUAUGAUGCUAUCAUUAUUGAUCUCAGGACCACGACAACCUAGUAAAAAUAUAGAUGUUUACUUGAGUCCAUUGGUGGAUGACCUUAAAACUUUGUGGUAAAAAAAAGUUGAGACUUAUGAUGCACACUUGCGUGAGGUUUUUUACUUUAAAGGCCAUCCUUUUAUGGACAAUCAAUGAUUUCCCUGAAUAUGGAAGCUUGGCCAAUUGCAUUGUGAAAGGAUAUUAUGCAUGUCCAAUAUGUGGAGGAGGAACAUAUUCCGAAAGAUUAAAGCAUGGUAGGAAGAACUCGUAUAUGGGUCACCAACGAUUUCUUCCACAUAACCAUCCCUAUUGGAGACAAAAGAAGGCAUUCAAUGGUGAAGAAGAUUUUAGAAUUCCUCCUAAAAUUUUGAGUGGGGAAGAAAUACUUGAAAAAGUUGAUCUCAUUCCUAUUUCUUGGGAAAAAAUGAAGAUAAAAUCUCUUGAAUCUAAUGUGAACACAAAUUGUUGGAAAAAAAAAAGUCCAUAUUUUUUGAGUUAGAAUAUUGGAAAUAUCUUCAUGUCCUUCACAACCUGGAUGUUAUGCACAUCGAAAAGAAUGUCUGUGAGAGUAUUAUUGGUACUUUGUUUAACAUCCCAGGAAAAAAAAAGAUGGACUUAAUGCUCAACUUGACCUAGUUGAAAUGGGUUUAAGGUCUGAACUUUUCCCAAGAGUUGACUUAAAGCAGACCUAUCUUCCCCCUGCAUGUUAUUCACUAUCCAAACAUGAGAAAAAAAUUAGUUUGUCAAACAUUGUCUAAUUUGAAGGUCCCGGAGGGGUAUUGCUCAAAUUUUAGAAAUCUUGUCUCCUUAGAGGAAUUGAAGUUAUUUGGUUUAAGAUCCCAUGACUAUCAUGCACUUAUGCAACAACUGUUGCUAGUGGCAUUACGUUUUGUUUUGCCAAAGCAUGUGAGAUAUACUAUAUCAAGAUUGUGUAUCUUCUUCAAUCAAUUACAUACAAAAGUGGUUGAAGUGUCAAAAUUGGAUGAAGUACACAAUGAGUUAGUGGUCAUGUUGUGCUUACUUGAAAAAUAUUUUUCACCUUUAUUUUUUUGAUAUUAUGCUUCAUCUAGCAGUGCAUUUGAUAAAGGAGGUGUGACUAUGUGGUCUAGUUUACUUUAGUGGAUCUACCCAUUUGAGAGGUAUAUGAAAGUUCUUAAAGGAUAUGUUCACAAUCAUAAUCAGCCUGAAUGAUGCAUUACUAAGUGCUAUUUAGCAGAGAAAGCUGUCGAAUUUUGUACUAAAUAUUUAUUAAGGAUUCAUGCAAUUGGAAUUCCAAAAAGUAACAAUUAUGACAACAAAUUUGGUAGACCUAUAAUUGGUGGUCAUUCUACCAACAUUGAUCAUAAAUCGUGGUUACAAACACAUCAUUAUGUGUUAGAGAAUACAACUAUUGUCCAACCAUACACUGAGUAAAAAAAAACAUACCUUUAUCUUUUUAUAAUUUUAUAACAUAAUGAUGAAAUCCUAAGUUUGCAUUCCUUGUCUAUAAUGUCAUAGGGAACACAUGAAUUGGUUGAAGUCUCAAUACCCUUGACAAUCUAAUAGACAAAUUUGGUUGCAAGAAGAACAUAUGUGUUGUUUUACAUAUUGACUGAAAGAAAAGGUAAUCUCUUAGUUUUUAGAAAAAUUUUCAAUAUGUUGAAAACAUCACAAGUUUCCAAUAUGUUUUGAUUAUACACAGGUUGAAGAGGCUAUCCAUAAUGGGCAAGAUAUUACCGACACGCUUAGGUGGUUAGCACAUGGCCCUACUCUCCAGGUAGUCAAAUAUCCUGGAUAUAUCGUUAAUGGGUGUCGUUAACAUAUUAAUGAACACGAUAUGACAUGCAUCACCCAAAAUAGUGGUGUUAGCAUUUUAGUAAGGACUAUGCAAAUUCCCAGUUCUAAGGAUAAGAACCCAGUUUUUGGUGAACUUUGCUUUUAUGGGGUCAUUAUUGAGAUAUGGGAUCUUGAUUACAACAUGUUCACAAUUCCAAUUUUCAAGUGUGAUUGGGUUGACAACAAGAAUGGUAUAAAAGUUGAUGAACUCGGGUUCACAUUAGUUGACUUCUCCUAAAUAUGUCACAAAUCGGAUCCAUUUAUUUUAGCAUCACAAGCCAAGCAAGUCUUCUAUGUUGAAGACCAACUUGAUCCUAAAUGGUCAAUAGUUCUCUCAAUUCCUCCAAAAUAUUUCAAGAACAUAGAAGGACUAGAUGACUUCACCGAUAAUUGCAUGGAACAUCACCCCUUUAUAAGUUCAAUGCCAAAAGUUGAAUCAUUUGAUGCUAUGGAUGAAUCAGAGGCAAUAUACAUGAGGGAAGACUAUGAGGGCAUAUGGAUUGAAAAUAAUUAAAUAAUAUAUUGUACCCUUGACAUGAGAUAUAAUAAGGCAUUUCACUUAUUAGUUUUCAUGAGUUGCAUAUUACCUUAGCUUCUAUAUAUUGCUCAUGAUAUAUAUAUAUAUAUUGAUCAUCCUAAAUUUCUUUCAUGCAUCAUAAACAUAUGUUAUUCAAAGGUACCACUUCAAUCUUCAUUCAACUAUCUUUUUGUUGUCCAUGGAACUAGAUUUAUAUUAUUUUUUAUUAUCAUGUUUUGAUUUUAUGCUCACAUAACUUGAAACUCUCAUUCCUAAAUUUCUUUUUCAUUAAAACUAUAAAUCAUAAUUGAAACUAUGCACUAAUUUAUUUUAUUAUUAUCCUCACAAAUAAAUUCUUCAUUAUUGAUAAGAAAUCAAAAAACAAGACAAACUUUGAAAGAAAAUUUCAAAAAAUGUAUUUGUGAAUGACCAAUUUAAUUAUAGAAAAUAUAUGCAAGGCUAUACUAAUCUUGCUUUUAAGUCAUUUUACAGGUUUGUUGGUGAAGUACUAGUUUGCACAUUUACUUGAUAUCUUCCACACAAAUAUGGAUCUGAAAGAAGAAUAAAUGCCAAAAAUAAAGCAUAGAGGUAGUACAUUGAAACCAAAGAUUGCAAAAAAUCAAAGUAAAGGGAUAAAGCUCAAGAUUGAAUACAAUAGCCUUGGUAGUCACAUUGAGGAAAAUUCAGUUGAACUAAGUAGUUAUCUUAGUACAAUAACUAGAACCCAUGUGCCAAUAAUUAUUGAGAGUUGGAGGAAAGUCCCUAAAGAGACUAAGGAGAAGUUAUGUGAUUUGAUCACGGUAAGUCUAUCUAUAGCUUUAAUAUAUAAUUAUUGUAUACAUUCAUUAACAUGAGUUAACAUGGGUUACUAUUUUGUAGACAAGCUUUAAUGUGAAUAAAAAAUCCAAGAGGAAUUGUUUCAUACUAAUGGACAUAAGGUUUUGAACCUUUAAGACAAAGAAAUAUAUAUUGUCUUUCAAGAAUGACCAGAAAAGCUGAAAAAGUCACCUCCUAUCUACCCAUUCAUACAAGAGGAUCAUUGGAGACAGUUUGUUAAAGAUAGACUUUCUGAACAUUUUAAUGUUAAGCAUUAUUCUUAUUACAUCUUCAAUUUUCACAUUUACGUAGUUUCACCAUGUACUAAUUUUGUGUCUAUAUUUUGUAGGAAUAUUGCAAGGUUCAGAAAUCAAGAAAAGAUAAACACAUUUACAAUCAUUAUCUUAGAAGAAAAAGAAAAUGAUAUGCACGUUUUGAGCAGGAUAUAGUAAGUUAUCAACAUUCAUAAAAAAAAAUGAAGUAUAUGUUUUGUUUAUAGGAAAAUGAUUCCAAUUUUUAAAUAUCAUUUAUGAACUUGAUCAUAUUGAACUAAUGAGUUUUAUUGUUAACAAUUUUAUAGCUACAAGCAGAAGGGGCAAUUGGUAGGGUUGAUAGAAGUGUUUUAUGGAAGAAAGCAUGUGAGAAGAAAGGAAAGUUUAAUAAGAUUACAAAACCAAUGAUUAACAUGAUAGUAAGUUAGCAUAUUUAUUCCUUUUAGAGCCUAUAGUGUUAGUAUGUCCAUGUGAUUAUGGUUUGUGAUGAUAUCGUUAGGUGUUAAUAGGCAAGAGGCUUAAUGCUAUCAUUUUUAUGAGUAGUCAUGUUAGACUAGUGCAAAUAUAGUAGCCUAAUUUGAAAAUUAAUUUUGAAACAAUAUACAUUAAUUUAUCUAUUAUUCUUUAUAUUAAAACAAUUCAUUUUCUAGCUACCUUGAAUUGGUUGUCUUUGAUUGAUAUGUUAAUCAUCUUCAUCAAAUUAUUACUAAUAUAUGUUUUGUUGUAGGAUGAAUUACUAGAAAAGGCAAGGAGACUGGACUACCUCCACUUGGUCCAAAUGACAUAUUAUGUCAAGCAUUGGGUAAACUUGAUCAUCUAGGACAUGUGGUAGGUCAGGACCGUUUGGUUAGGCCCAACUCAUACUUUUAUCAAACAUUUGAUGACAUGAAAAAAAUCAAAGAAGAAAUAUGGGAAAUGGUGUGAAAGAAGAUGCAAGAUGCUGCAACAAGACAAGCUAUGUCUCCCCCCACACCCCAUUCUGAUAUGGGUAGUAAUAACAUGAGACAACAGCUUGUUUUACAACUAGUUGUAGCAAAAAAACUGAUGUUUGAAAUGAUGGAAGAGCCCCAACCACCAGAACCACCACUAAAACGUAAAGUAUACAUUUACUUACUAAUAAUACAAGAUUAAUAUAAGUGAUAUAUAGCCUAUGUAAAUGAUAUUAUUUGUUGUAUUGAAGGUAAUUAAAUAUAAAUUAGCAGUGGAAAGAAAAUGAAAUGUUGUUGCAACCGGUACACUAAUGAAAUGCUGAGCUUUCCAUUGCUUUGCCAUGGAUUCCCAAGAACUCUCCUCAAUCUCGGAUUGCUUUGGUGAUAAAAAAGUUAUCAAAACACCAAAACUUGACAAAAUUUGAUUAGAAUUGAUUGCAAGGAUCCUUAAUAUGUUAAUUGGGUUAAAAGGUGAUAACUACUACUCAAAAGUGUUUAAAAAAGUUAAUUACAAGCUAUGAAAUAACACUUUUUGAGUAGUAAUUACUCCCCCCAACCAACAUAUUGCUAGUCCCUUAGCAAUGAAGGAGAGAAAAAUAAAAAUAAAAAGUAUUAUAAUUUAUAACAUCAUGCUGAUCAAAAACCAAUUUCCAAGUGGCAUGAUGAUUUAACUCUCACAUGGAACAUUAAAGAAAUAAAACUCAAAUUUCAACAAGAGUUAUCAAAUAACUUGUCUAAUCACAAUUCUUAAAGAGAAGACAUUAUGUAAAUUUAAGCUUUAAAAGAGUUUCCACUCCCAAAGGGCCAAACCUUACUUUUCCACAAAAAUCUAAGUGUUAUUUAUUAGCUUCCGAAUAUAGUAUGUUGAACUAAUCUCUCCCCCUAACCUAGUUCUUUUUCAAAGCUUAGCAAACUAAUCAACCUCAAAUAGGUUAAGAACGCACCUCUUUUCUCACAAUUUUUUUUUUCAUUGUAGGAGUACAAGGCUUAAAGGUAUUCUUUUUUUAAAUUGUCCAUGUAAUGGGGGUCCAUUGAUGACUCCCAACCAAUUAAGGUUUAGGGCAUCAAGCUUUAAAGAUCUUUCAACCACUAACUCCUCGGAUUUUACCCCGGACUUUUGAGAAUGAAUUUUAAUACCCAAGCACCUACAGUAUGUUAGACUCCACCUUUUCACCCUUGUAACGAGCAUUGAGGUCGGUGACUCCCAACCAAUUAAGGCUUAGGGCACCAGGUUUUAAAGAUUUUCACCAUAUACCCCUCAGACCUUGCUCGAGUUUCAAGGCAAGUAAACAUUUUUUCUUUUUUCUUUUUUUUUUUUUCCAAAGGCUCAUUGGCCUUUUAUAAGGUGUCCCAACACUAUUAAAUGAGGUCAAAGGUACCAAGUCUAAAUUUUCCUAAGUCAAGAGGGAAAUAGUUUUUCAUCUUAUAAUCGGAACCUAUUGUACACAGUGUGUGAAUAGCUUAAAGUGGAAGAACUGAGGUUGAAUUCAAUAGAAGUUUCAACAAUUCAUCAACUUUAGUAAGCAUAAUACAAAAUCUAAGUCAAGUAAAAAGACAAAAAUUCAAUUUCUCCCUUUUCAUUUUGAAAAUUUUUCCUUAAUAACCAUGGAGAGUAGAAUAAAAAACUUUAAAAAAUUUUAAAAUUAAGCAAAAAGCAACUAAAUUACCAAAAUAACUUAGCAUUAUUAACAAAACUUACUUCCUCAACUCUCCCCCCAACCAAGCUGAACAUUGUUCUCAAUGUGACAAAAGCGAUUGAAAAAUAGGGAGGAAGUGGUACCUCCUGUGUGACAUGGAGUCUGAGUCAUAUAAGAGAAACCACAUGUUUAAAAAAAAAACAUAAGAGUUAGUGAGUAGAGGAAAUAGGCUGAUCAACAAAAGGAGGGGCCUGUGAUGGCUCUGAUGAGCUGGGAAUGGCAUGCUCAGGAGCUGAUGUAAUGCCGAGAUGAUGCUGGAUCUGCCUCAGGAUGGCAGUGUGUUGGGCCUGACUGGUAAGCCAUUUGAUCUAGCCUAACAACCUGGGGAAAAGGAGUGGAAUGGCAUCAGCUCGGAGUAGCUUCUUUCGAUUUUCUUGCAAUUCCUCCUGAUUUUAAUCAUUAAAAAAAAAUAAAAACUAUAUUACAUCAAAACAAAGUAAAAUUAAAGCAUUAAAAUCAAAAUUAAAGCAUUGAAAUCAAAAUUAAAACAAGUAAUAAAUAAAACAAAAAGGUAUGGACUAGCUAGUCUUUAAAAAGACUAAGUCCAUUAAAAAAAAUUUGAUCCUGAUUUAGCUUGCCCGGAUCCCAUAUGAAGCUUGCAUCCCUCACUUGAGACUUGCUCUGUAUGAUUUUUCCAUACAAAGCUCGGGGGAAAAGUGGAUGCAUGUGUUUCUUCAUCAUUUCUUCCUUGAUGACUAUUUUCAGUGGUUCUUCAUCUAUAUAGUCAUCUUUCUCUAUGCUUUUCCCCUUUUUCUUUCCUUUGAUUUCCUCCCUCUUUUCUUUCUCUGUUUCACUCUCUUCAUCAUGCUCUAGCUUGCAUGUGGGCAGAUCAACCUCUUUAUCACUCUCCUUAGCCUCCAUUUCAUGGAUACCCUUUUGAUUUUGAUGAGGUUGAGAAGGAGAGUUUUCUUUCUCUUGCAUUGUUUUGAGGUUGGCAAACCUUGAGAUUGAAUCUUGGAGAUUAUCUAUCUUCUGAGAUAGAUCAUUUUGCACUCCAUCCAUCCUGUCAAUUUUUUGACUGAGCUGAGCAUUGAUGGAUUUCUGAGCUCCAACAAAGUCUCCCACGACCUUGCUAAGAUUCACCAUAACUUGUUCAAGGUUUGAGGCUUGCUGUGGUGCUUGAGCAGGUUGCUUGUACUGAGGUGGCUGUGGUUUCUAAGAGAAAUUUGGAUGGUCCUUCCAAUUGGAAUUGUAGGUGUUGCAAUCACCAAACAUUUCCCUCAUGACUGGAAUGGUAGGACACUCUUCCACCAAGUGCUCAUAAGAUAGACAAAUGGCACAAGACAUAGCUUGCAAUGGUGUUUGAGAGAUGGCUUGCACUUUUUGCAUCUUUUUCAUUUCUAACUCUUCCAAUCUCCUUGCCAUAGCUGUAAUCUUUGCCUUCAUGUCUAUGCCGUCAUUCAAAAUAUACAUCUCACCCUUAGCAUUAGGUUGAGACGUCAUUCUUCCCAUAUCUCUAGCAUUUGGUUCAUCCCAUUCUCUUGAAACUUCAGCCAGAUAACUCAUGAAAUUCAUGGCUUCCUCUGCUAUCUUGUAUUCAAUAUGGCAUGCACAACUAGCAAUUUGUGAAUUAAAAACAGAGAAAACAAAAGAAAAUAAAAGAAAAACAAUUCUAAGAAAAAAAAUAAGGUAAACUAAAAACUAAAUAAAAUGUAUUCUAAAAUAUGAACAAAGGAAAAUAAACAAAUAAAAAGAGUUAGUAAAAGGAAAAGAAAAGUCACCAAACUUGUGAUGAAGAUCACAAGUACUCUAAAAAGGUCAUAUCACUGUAAAGUGGCACCAUCCCCGGAAACGGCGCCAUUUGAUUCGUGCCCAAUUGGUGUCUCAACUGAUUCAUGUCCAGCUGGUGCUCCUUGAUUGGGGGAGUAAUCAACAAAAUUUAUAACCUAUUACACCAUGAACUAGGAUAGCAAAGACAAAGCUACUAUAGCAUAGUGGCUCUAGGAUCGUUCACUGGGAUGGGUUUUCACUUCACAAUUGAUAUUAAUUCAAAGAUGAAUUGGUGCCUUUUCAUUUCAAGGUUAGCUUUAAAGGAAAACAUAAAGAUGUUUGAAUGAAAAAGGUUUGGUUUUAAACUAACCAAAAAUAGUAACUGAUUUUACUUACAAAGAAAAGUGUUUCUUGGAGUUUAGAUCACUAGGCUCAGGUUCCUUAUACAAAAAGGGAGUUCCGGUCACUUAUUUCUUUUCCUCGCAUUGGGGAUUUAACAUAUAGUUAUUUCCCGAACCGGUGUGGUACAGAUGCUUCCCAUUAAUGGGUUCAAACACUAAAUCCCUCUCACUGAUGCAUCUUGCAAUGGCUCGGGCCUCUCACCUAGCAUUUGCCAUUCAAGGUGAUCUUUAACCUUGGACUUCCCGUCAAAACUCGCAAGAGAUAACUAAUGGAUGUCUCCGUGGAUCCAAAAGCUUACCAAGUGUUGGCUAUUCUAGAAAAUCCUACCUUCAAACCACCUCCCAAAGGCUCGCAAGAGAUAAACUAGUGCAUCUCAACGGAUGGAGAUCACUUGCCUUACCAAGUGUUGGCCCAGGUGAUUUAAAGACGUUUUAAGUUAACUAAAAAGAUAAAAACCAUUAACGGGUCACACUUUCUCUUCAUUAAAAACUAAAACAACAAAACUUCCAAUUCUUGCAUUUGGAAACUUACCUAGCUUUCUUCAUUCCAAGAGAUGAAGAGCCUAGCCUCUCAUCCUCUGAGGAAAAAUCCUCAGAGUUUGGUUGGCUAGAAAUAAAAAGAACGAGAAAACAAAAAUAUGUAUGAAAAGCAGAGCAAGUGCUCUGUAUUUUACUUCCUUCCAAAAUUGUACAAAGGAUGCGUCGUCUUUGAGAACAAGCUCCCGAGAUUCUACAUAUAUAUUUUUUAUGAAAAUUACAAAACUAUAUAUAAGAGGUUAUUCACCCUUUUUUCUUACUUAAAGACUAAGGAAUCCUAUGAUAGGUGGGUUACAAGGAGACUUUGGGGAUUUAGACAUCAAAUAUCUAAAGCAAAAUAUCUCAAAAUGUCGGUCGCACAUUGGGGAUUUAGACAUCAAAUAUCUAAAGCAAAAUAUCUCAAAAUGUCGGUCGCACAUAUCAGGAAGCUUCAGGAGAACACUACGGCACUGUGUAGAAAAAUAUCUCAAAAUGUCGGUCGGACAUAUAGGGAAGCUUCAGGAGAACACCGUGGCACUGUGCAAAAUGGAUGCGAAACUCUCUGGGUAAGCGCUAUCAGAGGAUCCGGAUAUGUCUGACCGGGGAAGUUGAAACGCCCUCUUCUCCCAUCCGGCAUCAAGCGUCGGAUGCGAAAUAUCCGGAUGGAAUGUCGGCAGAGCAAAAUUCCGAAUGUGAGACAUCCGGGUGGAAUGUCGGCGGAGCAGAAUUCCGAAUGUGAGACAUCCGGGUGAAAUGUCGACGGAGCAAAAUUUCGAAUGUGAGACAUCCGGGUGGAAUGUGCGAUGCCACAGCCCACAUUUUGCCGCCCUUCGAUGGUGUGUCCGGACGGAUCCCAUACUCCUUGCAUUCCGGAUUUGCUUAUGGCAAAGGACUUCAAAGCUUCGGUUCUUUUUGUUUUUGAGCUUUCCAUUUCUUUACCAUGGAUUCCAAAGAACUCUCCUCAAUCUCGGAUUGCUUUGGUGAUAAAAAAGCUAUCAAAACACCAAAACUUGACAAAAUUUGAUUAGAAUUGAUUACAAGGGUCCUUAAUAUGUUAAUUGGGUUAAAAGGUGAUAACUACUACUCAAAAGUAUUUAAAAGAGUUAAUUACAAGCUAUGAAAUAGCACUUUUUGAGUAGUAAUCAACUUGUUAAUGGUGUUCAUAGCCUUCCAUACAGUCUUUUCAUGGCCAUCUAAAUUCAGCACUCUUAGCCAUGGGAAGUAAUAAGAUAAAGACAAUACAUAUAGAUGAGAAAGUACAGUAAAGAAGGAUUCAACAUGUUGCUCCUCUUCAACUAUAGGGCUUCCAUCUUUUUUUCGUUGGCCAAAGUAUCUUGUGUUGAGGAUCAUCUUCUAGAUGACAUUCCCGCUAUAUUGACAGACUGUAUUUCUAUCACACCCCAAAUACUGGGCAACGCAGAACUUGACUCAUGACCCCAGGUCAAAGGUUUGACCCUAAGAGUUACAAUUAUCCAUGUUGGCAAUCAAUCAAAACAUCCUGAAUUUUUUUUUUCAAUAAAGCGUUUAAUCCUAAAUAAAUUUAUUAAGUUAAGAUUUACUGUAACAUAUUAUUUUAUUUUUCCAAAACCAACCAUCACAUUAUCUCCUAUUCACAAGUAUUAAAAAAAAUAAAAUUCCACCGAUCAUCUUCCUACCCAAAAGCUCAAAUAUUUACAAUAAUCUCUAAGUCAAAAAGAAUAUUUCCAAAAAUGUUUUACAAACUAAUAAAAUAUAAUUUAACUUACAAAAGUCCAUAUAACUCAAAUUAGUGGAUGUCAAAAAGGUAUUAAAAAAAAACAACCAUUAUUAUGGUUUUUUUUUUUUUUUUGCUUUUUGAAACACUUCAUGAUCUUCCUAUGGUCCCUCAGAAACUAUAUCUGCAUCUAAAAAUUUUAUAAAAUAAAGGGAUGCACAUUUCCACGUUACUCUUUAGACCUAAAUGGGUUAGAAAUUCUAGGUCAAUAAAACACAACCAUAUGCCAAAAUAUAAUAUUACAUUUACAUUAUACACACUAAAAGAACCUCAACCAUACAUAUUUAAAUCAAUCAAAAUUAUCAUUUUCCUUAUUUAAUCAUAUGUCUAGCAUAUCAAUAAUUUUAAAUUUACAAAAUAAAUAAGUCACUUUAGUCUUGAAUAAUAUAUUCAAACAUACACUUGAUAAAUAAUACAAAUUCUUCUUCCAAAUGCAACCAUGAUGCAAAUGAUUACACACAAUCACACAAUGCAUUGUCAUUCUCGGGUUUUCACUGAAGGAUACACGUUUGUACCUAAAUACACUUCCCAUUCGGAGUCUUCCUAGGGUAAACUUUUGAGUUUUUCACCCUAAGGAUCUCACUUCCUUCUUAAUUCGCCCUCUCUAGGGUCAUUCAAUUUCUUAUUUUUCUUUUCUUUUCAUUUUUGCCAUUUUCGGGUCUUUUUAUUCUCAUUUCUAUUUCACACAACCGUUUCUUUAAUUUUUCUUUUUCUUCACACAAUCAUGAUGCAUAUGAAAUGCAACUGAAUCAUAUUUUAACAUCCAUAAUUUUCCAAGACAUAAUUCUAUUUACUCCCAUUAUGUUUCAUAAUUUCCAAUAAUCCACACAAUGAUUUUUCUUCACUUUAAUCGUCACAAACAUAAAAGAAAAUUCAUAAUUAAUUUGUAUAGUAUUAAAACAUAGUUUUAAACAUUGACCACAUAAAUUCUAUUUAUUCCCAACAUGCUUAGUAAUUUCCAAAUCCAAUAUAACCAUUUUUUUUUCAAUUAAAUAACCAAACAUAUCCAAGAAAAUUCCCACUAAUACAAAUAUCAACAAAAAUGUAAUUUAUGUCAUAAUUUAUUUGUCUCCAAUAAUUUCAAAAAUUUUAACACCCAUAUGACAAUUUUCCACAAUUAAGCCACCCUAACAUUCGGGAAAUUUUUUUCAAUAAUUCAAAUAUCAACAAAAACCCAAUUUAUAUCAUCAUCUUAUUUAUUUAUAAAAACAUUAAUAAUUUUAAUAAUCAAUACGACACUUUUCCACAAUUAAGCCACCGCAACAUUCUGGGAAAAUUUUCCAAUAAUUCAUAUAUUAACAAAACACAAUUAUACCUUAAUUUUUCUUAUCUCCAACAACAUCAAUAAUUCUUAGUACUCAAUAUAACUAUUUUUAUUUUUUCAUAUUUAAUAUUCUCAAGCACUACCAAAAUUCCAAGAAAAAUCCAUAAAUCACGAAAUAAAAUUAUUCACAACAAUAAUCACACUUCAAAUACCACAAAUAACAUCUAUUAUCUUUCAACAACACAAUAUAUAAUUUUUUUUCAAAGAAAAUAUUAAAUCAAAGUUUUAGGGUUAAAUCACCCUACCUUAAAUGUGAAAAAUUUAACCGUUAAAACUAAAAUGGGACACCGUAGGAGUAUUCCUCGCAUUGAAUAGAAUAUCUUUCUAAAAUUUCACGUGAAAUGGAUGUCAUUUGGUAGGUCCACCAGCGUCCUAAAGCUGGCGACCCAUUUUUCCCACUCUCUAUCGACGACUCCCCUACAUCUCUCACUCAAUUUCCUUUCUUCAUUUUUUUUUUCUUCUUUUAAACUCCCACGCCAAUUUCACUUUAUAUAUAUAUAUAUAUAUGUGUGUGUGUGUGUGUGUGUGUGUGUGUGUGUGUGUGUGUGUAUUAUUAAAACAAAUCCUAAAAUACCACGCACAUCCCUUUCUCAAUAAAUUAAAACCAUUAUUCUUAAAUUCACCUUCCGUAAUUAUGAAUUAUACCAAACUUAUGAUUUUCCAUCUCACGAAAAAUACCACCGUAUUCGUAAUUUAAUUUACUACAAGCCUACUCUUCAAAAAGUAUAAUUUGAUUAUAAUUACAUGAAACAUUUUUUUUUACUCUGAAAUUCAUUUAAAACAUGAUAUAAUUAACUAUUAACAAAAUUCAAUUCCAUAAAAUAUUAAAAACAUAAAAUAAUUUUUUGGCAAUCAAGAAGUUGAAAUUUGUAAUAACCCUUAACCUGUUAAUUUUACCCAUAUUUAUUUACCAACAAAAAUUUAAAUAAUAUUCUAAAAUUUAAUUCCAUAAAUUAAUUAGUCAUUCAAUUUAUAAAAAUCAAAUUCUCUACCAUUUGGUAUAACUUUUAUUUAAUUUAAUUCAUUUGUCAAAUUAUUCAAUCGCAUCAAAAUUUCAAAAGUUAAAUUCACUAAAUUCACAUUUAAUUAAUUUAUCAUUUUGUAUUUUUUUCUUCUAAAUUCACAUAUCAUAAUUUAAUCUUAAUUUAAUUUUGAUUCAAUUCUGUUUGAUGUUUUGUAAUUUUAUGAGGUUUAAUUCCAAUUAUAAAAAUUAAAUUCAAUUUCCUUUUAAUUAUCCAUUAUCACAAUUUGAUAUAAUAUAAAUUUUUAUCAAGUUUUUCUUACUACGAUUUUUCUGAUAAUUAUCCAAUAAUAAUUAAAUUAAUUCUUGUAACAUACUUAAUAUUCAAAUUUUCAAAACUUAAUAUCAAUUAUUUGAUAGUUAAUUUUUUUCUCCAAAUCUAAAUUUAAUUUAUGAAAUUCUCACUCCUUACAUCUAAUGUGGCAAAAUUUUCAAACUAUUGACUUUUGACCAACUUUUCCUAAAUUUCUCCUAAUUAAAUACUAACAUGUGGAUUUUCACCACUCUUUUUGACCUUUUGACCCACAAAUUUAUGAAAGACUUUAUGCUUGGAGAAUCUACAAAAACGUGGGUAUUACAAUUUCUCGGGUUGAUAACAGUCGUGGUUAAGAAGCCACCACUUGAAUACUCAGUCGCCAUUGUAAUGGGUGUGGAUGCAAAUAGUACAUCAUGUUUCUUCAAAAGUUCUCUGCUAAUCUCUAGGGAAGUCACGAGAACGAGAUGAAAUAUUGCCUAAUUGAAUACAUGCAAUUUCAUUGUUCAUUUCUUUCAUAAAGCCAUGUAUCCACCGGAAAGUUGGCUUGUUGUUGAGUAAAUGAGGUAGAUUUCGCACUAGUGGCCAUGGAGCUAAUCCUGGAGGAAGUUGUAUUGGCUUGCUUUUGGUACUUGUUUUGGAUUUUAAUUUAGUGAAGAUGAGAAAGAUUGAUGUGAUGAAGAGUAGCAAGAGGAAGUUGAGAUGAGACAACACAUCGUCUAUGGUAGUAGAAGAAAAUAAGGCUGAGUUGCUGCUACUACUCUCUACAACAAAACCAUUUACACGUUUUUUUAUUGCAAAACCAUGUUUGUCCUGUCUUGGGUCUGGAUGCACAUUUUUAAUAAUGGGGAAAUCAUGCAACCAAACGUCACAUACAAAGAGAGAGAGAAAAAAAAUAUUACCCAUUCUUGAACUCUAAAAGUAAAGUUAUAAAAAGCUUAGUUUUUUUUUUUGGUUAUGUAUGAUUGCAUGAUUUCCCCCUUUUAAGGUUUUAUCUCAUAAUUUUUUUUUCUAGAAGGUUCAAAUAAGUUUGAUGAAUAUUGUUUAUUUUAGUAAUUUGAUGAAGAUUUUUUAUUUUAGUAAUUUUAAUUUUAUGGGGUACUUAAAACAUUAGAAGGUCACAAAAAGCAACAUUUAUAAGCUACCUGUCUAAAAAUCUUGGCCUAAUCAUUGAAAUUCAAAAUAUAAAGUGACAACACACUUUUUAAAGCAAUUUUCAAAAUAGUUUUUAAAAACACAUUUAUGAUAUUUUUAAAAUAAAAAUCUCAAAAAUAACUUGUUUAUAUAGCGUUUUAUUAGACAAAUAGUUGAUCUUUACAAGAUCACCCUAAUUAUAGAUUUAUGAACAUGUAACACAACAAUUAUCUAUAUAUAUAUACUUAAAAUUAUUAUAUUUUAAGUUUUUAACUACAUAGGACAUCAUGAGUUCUUCCACCAUUUAUCUUAUAAUAAGUUUAUUUAAAUAUGAUAAAGGAUAUAUUAUCUCAUUUUUUAUUAUAUCUAAUGUUAUAUAUAUAUAUAUAUAUAUAUAACAAAUCAAAUACAAUUUAAAGAUUUUAAUUAACCAUCUAUUAGCAACAAAGCAAUCUCUUAAUCUCAUUCAUAAUAUUAGGAUAAUUUAGUAUUCCCUUUUAUAAAACACUAGCAUAUAAAUCAACACAAAUCAUAUUAAGGGUGUAUUUGGUAUUGAUUUUAGAAAACAUUUUUAGUAUUUCUAAUACUUGAAAGAUAAAAAAAUUCAAGUUUUAGAAAAAUCAAAAACGUUUUUUAGAAUGACUAUCAAAUACACGCUAAAUAUUACUUUUGAAUAUUUAUAUUUUUAAAUAACUUUUAAAUCUUUUAAGGCAAGUCUCUACUAUUUCUAUAAAUCCCCUAUUAUUUUUAAUUUUUAGAAACAAAAAAUAAAGAAUAGGAACUCCAUUUAAACAUCACCUUAUUAUUUCCUAUUAUAAAAUAGCACAAAUCAAAUGAAUUAUUUAAAAAUAAAUAAAUAUAAAAUCAAAGUUGAAGAGAAAAAACUCUUGUGCAUUAAAAAAACAUCAAAAUAAAUAAAUAAAUAAAACAUCAUCAAAUAAAUGUAAAAACAAAAUAAUGUUAUGGAAAAAUGAGAAUAGACAACAAGAAAAUAAGAACACGUAGAUUUACAUGAAAAGUCCUAGACGGGAAAAACCAUGGAUAGAGGAGAAGAAAUUCCACUAUAUUAAAAUUUUGGUAUAAAAUGUGAGAGAAUCAAGCGAGUAUUGUAUAGGCAUAAUCACUACGACCCUAAAUCCUAUACAUCAUCGCAUAGGUAUGGUGUAUGCGAUAAUAUUUGUGAUAAUAAAAAUAUUGUCACAUAAAAUAACUAUGGAAUGUAAUAUUUGUAAUAAUAUUCUUUACAAAAAAAUAUUUUUUCUUUACUUUAUUCACUUUGAUCACAACUUGAAAUAAGACAAUAAAAAUAUUUUCUUAAUUUUUGAAAAUUAAUUGAGGACUUAGAGCAGCUUGUUACUGAGUGAAUUUGCUGAAUGGUGAAGAAUGCGAGUAUAGUAGUUUUGCAAUUUUUUAGCCUUGUAGACAUAUUUUGUGAAGUCUUUUUCUCUUUGUAAAGCCCCAUUUUCUAUGUGAAGUUAUUUUUUUAAUAUUCUCUUUGGAAGUAAUUUAUCAUUAGUUAUAUAGGUAAGAUUAAGGAAUUAAAUUUGGAAUUCUUAAGAUUUGGUUGCUUAAUUCAAAGAAUUUGGUUCAAGGGAAAUUUGCCAACAAAAUAAUAUUUAUUUUUAAUUCUAUGAUGACUUUAAUUAUUUGAUAUAAUUUUAUUUUGAAAGACUUGAUGUGGGGGACUCAUCACUUAUUGAGUCCAAAUUUUGUUGCACCCAAAUUUUUAUGAGCUAAGAAACCAUAAUUUUAAAGACCAAUUCAAUGGUAAGUGAAUCCGCUAAAAUCUUCUAUGUACAAAUGACCUCACUUCAAGGUGCAACACAUACAUGUAUUAUUAUGUGUAUGGGAUGAGUCUUGAAGUUAGUCUUCAUUCCUCUUUGAUUUUUUUUUCUUCAAAUAAAUAAAUAAAACAUCAUCAAAUAAAUGUAAAAAUAAAAUAUGUAUCGGUUAAUUGGAGAGGAGAGCUUUAAGGGCAUUUCUUCCAUGAAAUUCUAUGCUCCGCGUACCAUAAAUUCGUACUCAACCAACAAAAUUGCAGAAUGGGCCCAUGCACAAACAAAAAUAGCCCAAAUGUAAAUAUCUAAAAAUGUAUAAAGUUCACAAUAGAUGAUCAAGCCCAAAUUUAAAUUUAAAAUUAGUCCAACAGGUUUCAUCAAUCAAAAUGGGCCCAAAUUAGCAAAUAUAACCCAACAAAAAUAUCUCAUAUGUCAUAGGCCCUAAUCUAAAAUUUUCAAAUUAAUAGCCAAAAUAUAAGUUCAAUUAAUCAAACCUAAAACAUAAUAAAUUAAAAUAAAUCUCAUUAGGCCUAAACUUAAUAUUCCAUAAUUCAAACCUAAUUUAAUAUAUAAACCUAAAUCCACAAUCAAAAUCAACCCAAUUUAUGCUAAUCCCAAUUUACAAUCAAUAUCAAACACAAUUUAAUAAGUAAAUAACUAAAUAGAUUAAGCAAACUCAAAACACCCAAACCACUACGGCAUAAAUCAAACAAUAAUAAAUAUAAUGACAACAAUAAUAAUAAUAAUAACAAAAUAAAAUAAAAAUUUUAACUCACGUUGGAGCCAGUUUAAAUGUCGUGGGAAAGAAAGAAAAUAGGAGAAAAGUGAGAGAUGAUUGACAACUGAUAGAGGCUUGCCGGCGGCGACUGGCCGGUGGUCCUGUUGAUGGUAGUGAAGAUUGAUGGGUUUUUGGGAAAAAAGAAAAAAGAAAAUGAGGAGUAAUAAAAAAAUGGAGAAAUGAGAGGAAUGUAGGAGAAGAAAGGAGAUAGAGAAUGUAGAAAAUGGGCGAAAAGAAAUGGGGCUAGCUGGAGGAGGAAGUGGUAGUGUGUGUGAGUUAAACUAAAGAAGAAUGGAAGAAGAAAAUGGAGAAAAAAUGGAAAAUAAGGGAGAAAAAACAUUCGGCCCCCUAAAUGAAGAGAUGUGGGUAGCCUAAAGAAGAAGAAAAAAUAAAAUAAAAUGAAGAGAAAAUGAGAAGGGGUCGGUGGUCUUGCGAAUGAGGUGGUGGUAUGUGUUAGAGAGAGAGUGGGUGGGAUUGUUGGGAAAGGUAUGGGAGAGAGAUGAGAGAGAAAAUAAAAAAAAGAUAAUAUAAAUAAUAAUAAUAAAAAUAAAAUAAAAUAAAAUAAUAUAUAAAAUAAUAAAAACUAAUAAUUAAAUAGUGAGUGGGCCAAAAAUAUCAUAUGUAAUCGAGAUUUAAUUUUAAGAGUAAAAUUGGGCUAAAAAUUAAUGUAAAAAUAAAAUUAGGACAAAUUUUGGGGUAUACAAAUAUGCGCCUCUUUAGUAGAGUCCACGAGUAAAGCAAGUGUAUAUGUGGGCGAAACAAACUGGGCUCUACUGAAAAACAAGAAAUACCAGCAAAUUUGUCUUAGUAUGACACGAGUUCUCCCAAAUUAAAACAAAACAAAAAGAAAUUUUAAAACCCCACACAAAUGGCAAAAACGGAAACUCCUAAGGUGUCUCUAAAGUUAUACUAUGGAUCUAGACUCCCUUAGAAAAGCCUCCAAAAAUGGCCCAAAAAUCGGUGUCAAAAUCGAGUAGCAAUUAGACCACUAAGGAGCGUAUGAACGAAUGUGUACAAAGGGAAAAAAACCAUACAAGGACAAAAGGCAUAAGGUAUCCAACAAUAUGACUGAAUCACAUGUUACAAGCUCAAAAGACUUUGUCAUGCACCAUGGAGGAGGGGAAGCUCUAGAAUAAUGUGAUGAGGAAGUUAUUAGCACAAUGUAACAGAGUGAGAAAAAAAGCAACGAGUGCAAAGCUGUGAGGACAAGGUGCACAAUGCUAAUGAAUAUGAAAUGAAUAGCACUGGGCUAUGAUGCAAUGAAUAGCUAAGGGUUGUAGCAUAAUGAACAAGUCAAGGAUGUGUAAAGAUGAGGAACAACUCAAGGUUGUAAUGCAAUGAACAACUUAGGGCUGUGAUUGCAAUGAACAACUCAAUGCAAUUAAUGCAAUGAAUAGCUCAGGGCUGUGAAUGCAAUGAACAACUUGAGGUUGUGGAUGCAAUGAACAACUCAUGGUCAUGGAUGCAAUGAACAGCUCAAGGCCGUGGAUGCAAUGAACAACUUAGGGUUGUGGAUGUCAUGAACAACUUAAGAAUAAGGGCACUGUACACCCAAAAGGGGAAAUCACGAUCUACGAUUCCAAGUCAAACCACUAAAGGGUGACCAAGAUGAGGGUGAUCAACUCACUAAAAAAGAGGAUCAAAAUGUCUCAAGGGAAGGGGGAUGCCCCAAAUGAAACUUAAAGGAAAUGAAUAGCACUAAUGAAACUAAAAAAAGAAAAUAUGUCACAACUGAAAUUGAAAAAAUAACAAAGUUAGAUUAAAGUGCAAUGAACAACUUUGGGUUGUGGAUGCGAUGAAUAGUACCGUGCUAUAAUGAAAUGAAUAACUCUAAGAUAUGGGCAUUGUACGCCUAAAAAAGGAGAUCGUGGUCUAGAAAUCCAAGUCAAACCACUAAAGGGCAACUAGAAUAGGAUGAUCAGCUUACUGAAAAUGAGAAUGCAACUAUCUCGAGAAAAAGGGUAUGCCCCAAAUGACACUCAACAGUAAAAGAAUGACACAAAUGAAACUAAAACAAGAGGAUGCCACAAAUGAAACUGAAAUGAUAACAAACUCACAAAUAAUGUGCAAUGAACAACUUUGGACUGUGGAUGCAAUGAAUAGCACCAGGUUGUAAUGAAAUGGACAACUCUAAGAUGUGGGCACUAUACACCUAAGAAAGGAGAUCACGGUUUACGACUCCAAGUCAAACUGCUAAAGGACGACUAGAAUAGGAUAAUCAACUAUCUAAAAAUGAGGAUGCAACUAUCUCGAGAAAAAGGGUAUGCCCUAAAUGACACUCAACAGUAUAAGAAUGACAUAAAUGAAACUAAAAUAAGAGAAUGCCACAAAUGAAACUAAAAUGAUAACAAACUCAAAACUAAUGUGCAAUGAAUAACUUUAGGUUGUGGAUGUAGUGAACAACAUUGGGUUGUAAUGAAAUGAACAACUCUAAGAUGUGGGCAUUAUACGCCUAAAGAGGGAAAUCACGAUCUACGACUCCAAGUCAAACCACUCAAGGGCGACUAAAAUAGGAUGAUCAACUCACUAAAAAUGAGAAUGCAACUAUCUCGAGAAAAGGGGUAUGCCCUAAAUGACACUCAAUAGUAAAAGGAUGACACAAAUGAAACAAAAACGAAAGAAUGCUACAAAUGAAACUGAAAUGAUAACAAACUCAUGACUAAAUUGCAACGAACAACUCUGGGUCGUGGAUGCAAUGGACAGCUCAAGAAUAGGGGAAUUGUUGGCCCAAAAUGAGAGAUUGUGGUCUGCGACUUUGAGUCAAACCACUAAAGGGUGACUAAAAUCAAAAUGAUUAACUCACUAAAAAUGAGGAUCUAAACAUCUCAAGAAAUGGGAUAUGCCCCAAAUGAAACUCAAAUGAAAGAGAUGCCACAAAUGAAACCGAUAAUAGAGGGAUGCCCUAAAUAGACUAAAGAAAAAGGGGUGCCCUAAACAAACUAACGGAAAAUGGAUGCCUUAAACAAACUGACGGAAGUGAAAUGCCCUAAAUAAAUUGACCAAAGAAGAAUGCACUAAACAAACUCCGAGAAAAAAAAAAAAAAAAAAGUAUGUGAUAUACAAUCGAAAACACCUAAAGCAAAAAUAAGAAACAAAAAAUGUGGUUUACAACUAGAAACACCCAAAAGAACCCUAAAGAAGUGAUUGGGAUAAUGAACUCAAUGAAAAUGGGGUAUGCCACAAUAAAAGACUCGGAAGUAUCAGCAAAUGGGUCAAACAACCAUGAAAUCAAUAGGAGAUAUGAUGAACCCAAAAAGGGUGUAUGCCUCAACAAAAGAACACUAAAAUAGGGGUAUGCCCUAGUGUAAAAUAGUGACCAACAUAAGACGCAAAAUGUCACCAUACAAGACACUCUAGGAUAUGCUCAAUGACAAUGUAAUGAAAACAUAUAGCCUCAAUUAACAAAUGUUCAAGCAAAACCAUGCAUCACAUAAACUAAAAUAAUAGGCUAAACAAAUGCUAACUAAGACUCUCAGUCUAAAAUAUAAGCAAGUUAAGACAUGACAUGUCAACCAUCAACAUGAAAACAUCAUCACAAAUACAUCAACAAUCUAAUAGUCCCUGUUAUCAUGGAAGAUGUAGAACCUAACGUCCAAAGGCAUGUGAAAGCUCAACCAGAAAACUCAAAACUAGUCUGUAUCCUCCUCUAAUCAAGAGAAUGGGACAAGGUUAUGUAAGAUGAUGAAAUAGGCAAACUCAAUAUCGGUCAGGCUCUGCCAAGAUGGAUGUAGGUAUAAUAGUGUCAAAGGUAGGAUGUUUGGAUGUCCAACGAAGGAAACUAGGUAUCCAAGUCGAACCAAGUAUAUUGAGGAAACUGAACCCAGGGGUCAAUAACUUUAUGAUCCAUUGAAAAUAGCAAUCAUGAAUAGAAGGUUGAGUCUCGAUGUCAAAAUCAACAAGGUGGCUAUGCCCCAGUAAGAAUACAUCUUCUCAAAAUGGGUAAACCCUCAAUGCAAGAUAAUCUCUAGAAAGUAUGUGUCUAGUAUAAACCGUUAUCUCACAAAAUCUAUCACUAAUGAGUGGGCUAUGUCCUAGUGUAAGCAUUUCCAAAAUCAAACAUCAAUGAGAGGAGUACAACCAAUCAUACAUAAUUUGAUCAAAAUGAAUCUCCACUCCUCAAAGUCAUCAUGGUAACGUGAAUAGAGUAUCUAUCCGCAUUUAAAGAAAGAUCAUGUCCCAAUGUGAAAAAGAUCAAGCAAAGUGGUAUGCCUCAACAAAAAGGCAAUCUAACAUGAUCAUGCCUAGAUGUAAGUUGGUAUCUUUAAGAUCAAUUGCCAAUGAAAGGGUUAUGCCCCAAUAUAGGGCAAUAUUUGAAAUGACUAAAAUCCGUUGCAAGCUCUCACAAGUGUCUAUGUCAUGAACCAAUCAUCUCCAAAAAAAAAAAAAAAAAAAAAUCUAUCAACAAUGAUGAGAAGGCUAUGCUUCUAUAAUCACAUCAAGGAAAUCACCCAGUCAUAUCUUGUACUCCAAUGUGAAAGGAAAAUAUGAUCACCUCCAAAGAAUGGCUAUGCCCCAAAAUACAUCAUUGAUUGAGAAAUAUGUCCCUACAUAAAGUACAUCAACUGAAAUAUGUCAAUCAUGCCUCAUGCUCCAAUGUGAAAAAGGACGUAUAAUCUUCUCUGGGGGAUGGUCAUGACUCAAAAUCCAUCAUCAAUUGAGAGAAAUAUGCCCCGACAUAAUGGUCAUCUAAAAAAUCAAUCCCUGACCAAGAAAUGUGUGCCUUGAUGUGAUGUAUCAAGCAAAAUGGCUGCAUACCCCAUAAAAAACUCUCUAAGGUGGCUAUGCCCUAGUGUAGGAUCAUACCACAUCUCCUGGUCUAUCAUAAUCAAAAUGCUCUCCAACCAAUCCCAAUUAUCGCUCACAUGAGAGCUAUCAAACACAAUGUGUGAUGUCAUGGCCUCAAGAUGGUCUUAAGAUUUAGGACGUAACGUAGGCUAGGGUAAUAAGGUGAAGAAAUGAAGGGAAACUAGGCUCAAUAAUCCCAAUGAUAAAACCCCAUACCUUAAGGCGAAUGAGAUAUCAUGAGAAGAACAAAUAAAUCGAAGAAAAAUGAAUGAGCACUAAUCCACUCAAAUGAAGUCAUGGAGAAUAGUCAAAUCACCAACGUAUGUAAUGAUGGAGAAGACAAUGAUUCGAAAUCCCUAGGAAAAUGUCACUUGUCUGUCACACAUAAAAUACAUAACGAGAUAGACACAAAAAGAUGAGAGCCUCUUGAAAUUUCACAUACGAACUUUCAUAAGCAACUAACUCGAUAAAGCAACCUCAAUGACCAAUAUAAACACUUAAUAAAGGAUGACAUUGUAUACAUGCGCUUAUUACUUUUUUUUUCUUUUUUUUUUCUUUUACCUGCGCAUACUCUGAAUAUCAAUAAAUGAACUUUUUUGAGAAUACAUAAUGAAAUGGAUAUACUCUCAAACAAUGAUGUAAGCGAACUUUCUCUGCCAAGAUGACCCUCUAAAUUAAGGAUUUUUGAACUAACGUCCAUGAGAUAAGAGUGGAGGAGAAUAUAGCCAUCCUUCAUGCACCGAAAUGUGAAAGAUCAUCACCCAUGGCAUAAAAAAAUGUGAUGAAAAAAAAUAAAAGAUGAAACAGAAGAUAUAAACAAUGAAGUAUGAUGUUGGGACAACAAAAAAAAAUAGUGAAGAAGGUGAGCUAAUAAGUCCACAACUCAUGAAACUCUCGAAUAAAACAUAUAUAACCAAAAGACCCCUAUCCCGGUGUAAAAUGUGAGCAAGGAUAUCAGAAAGAAAAGACUAUGAUGAUCAUGUGAGGUUCAAAGGGCUAGCAAUGGUCCAAAUGUCAAUAAAGGUAAUAGGGUGUGAGCUAACCGAAAUGAAGGUCACCCAUCCUAUGACCAUGGUCUCAAACAUCGUGCUCUUAAGCUUUCAAAUGAUUAAUAUUGAAAAUCGAUGUCCAUUUGAUAUAAACAUGUCGACCUUUUGGAAUUGUGCGCCAAACCAUACUCCAAAUGCUCCAUAAUAAUCUCAAAGAUAAUCCUCUCAAAGCAAAGUAAAUGGCGAUCUCAUAAGGCACAACUACUCAUCAUAAGCCAACUCUCAUCAUGCAAGAUCAAUCUUUAUUUUCAUGGAAAAAUAAGUGACAAUCUCAUCAGGCAAUCAACCAAUUCUCACAUCGUAAACCAACCAAAGAUCAUAAGUCAUUCAUCGCCAUGCAAGAUUAAUCCCGGGUUCAAACUCCUCACACUCUACCUAGUUGGAUUAGAGAAGAAAUGGACAAAACUAGAAAAAUUGAAGAUGGAAAGGUCAUAUAAUGGUGUCAAGGGUGAUGUUGUGCAAAACUCACAAUGGAUGGAUGUAGGUCAAAGCAAAGUCAAUGUGUGAGAGUGAGUAAGGCACUACUCUGAUCAUAAGAAGAUGGGUCACAAUCUCAAACUCCCUAGGUCAAAUCUCCGAUCCUAGGCUAAUAAGCUCAAUAUCCUCCAUGAUAGGUCAGCCCCCAAGAUCACAAUGUGCAAAUGAAUACAUGUCUCAAGUCAAAAGUACAACACGUCAUAUGAUAUAUGGUCCUGCGAUGGCAAUCUAAAACUGGAAAUAUGUUAGAAACUCUAAGGUCAUAAAGGUGUCCACUGUGAGAUGACUACAAAUGUGACUAAAGAAUCUUUAUAAAUAAUCUAGAAAAUGAAUGAGGUGUGAAAAACAACACUAUCAUGAGAUCGAUAUCCCAUCAAUAACAAAAUAUCUCUAAUUCAUUUUCAAUCUAAGCUCUAUAAAGAAUAAUAAUAAGGUUAUAAAGACAAACCUCUCAAAAGUGGUGUGAAUGUGAAAACAUGUCUUCACCUUUCUGCAAUGAAAAUAUCAGGUUGAAAAUAGAAAUAUGCAAAUCAACCAAAAAAUGAAGUACCGAGUCUAUGACAGGUGAAGAAUGUAAAAAUGUGAACAUGAUCAAUGAACAUAUCCCAAAACAUCAAGCAGAAUGUGACAACAAACCGAAAGAAUGUGUCGACUUAAGAAAAGAAGACUAUCUGAAGCCCUAGGGAGAAAGUGUGCUAAACUCAACAAGUGACAAGAAGAAACUAAAACCAUACAGCAAGAGGUGGUCCAACUGAUACUCAAACUUGCACCAAUAUCUAAGCACUCUCGAUUAGAGACCAAAAGAUGGAGUAUUGGAUCCAUAUUGUGACUAAAGCGGCCUUGAGGGCUCUCAAAUGCACCCACGUGUAGGAAAGGAAAUCUUAAUAAAAAUAUCUAAGGCUUAACCUACAAGGUCAAGGCGGCUCUAAAAAGAAAAAUUGAGUGGACUUUAAAGGAUCCCUAGCAAAAACGAUCACACCCUCCGACGGUACGCAACCUCCUACACGGCUUCAAAGAUACGGGAGUGAUUCCAUGCAAGGUGGUCAUCACCUCCACACAUGCACUAUCUCAUAUCCUAGAGGGUUUUCUAAUGAUGAAGGCUCUUACAUCUCUCAACAUUUAGUGGUAAUCUAAGGUGCAUAGUGAAUAGUAUGGGUUCAUCCGAAAAUCCUAUCAAACUAAGUAGAGAGAAAACACACUGGUCACACAAAUAUCUUGAAAUCUAGCUCUAGGCUAUACAAGUCUUCAAAGAUUGGAUUCCAAUUAGCAUUAAUGUGUCGGCCUUCUCCAGAAUGCUCCUAAACAUAGAUAUAGCCCAUCACUAAACCCUACUCUGAAUCACUAGCUUGGUCGAAAAGCAAACAAAGUAACAAGUCUCAUAUCAAAUACGAGAUCAAGGGGAACACGAUCACCCGAGACUAAGGAAUUAGAGGUAAGGGGAUAGAUGUGUAUCCCACAUAGACAAGCAACACAUGCAUCACACAGAAGAAGAAUAGUCAUGCAAUAGACAACUAAGCAAAGAACAGGUAUAUCAUUCAUAUCUACACACAAGCUAAACAAGAAAUAGGUAUAUAAUAAGAAUAAACAAUAUCUUGAGAUAAACAAGAUAAUAUACAAUAAAGAGAAUCAAUCACACCAAUAUAAAUGAGAUAUACAAAAAUGAGAAUAUGCAUGUGUGGACCCUCACCCGAUCCACCAACCGGUGCAAUUUGCUAUUCAAAAGGUGAAAGGGAAAACUGGUUUUCGAGUUUUGAAAAAUUUGUCCCAGUGAGGAACGGUUUUGUUUGGAGUCACCACUUACUUUUUAUUUUUAUUUUCAAAUUGGGAAAAUUUAAGUAAGAAUAAAAACCUCAGUAUGACUCCAGUUAGGAAAAAGCGGUCUGCGAAAACUAGAUUCUAGGUCCGGGGAUCAGGUUACCUAUCGGGAAGGUACCUCAUGCUAGGUAGCACCCCUCUAGGCCCGAAACUUGGUCUUUACUAAUGAACUGGGUAUAUGGGAGCAUAUGGGUCAAAGAUCAAACAAACCUUGGGCUAAACAAAUGAUAUGAAUCACAUAGACUCACCUAGUAUUUAGCAUGCACAUACACUCAACAAGUCAAAAUCAGAGUGCAUACCUGAGGUCCCCAGCCAAACAUUGUAUAAGAAGUCAGUCAAUAAGCUCAAACACACAACAAAUAUACAUAGCAAUCAUGCACCAAGCAUUCAUGUGAAUUUCAUUAUCCAAAGCCGAAGUGUAUACUUGUGGUCCCUAGCCAUGCAUUGCAAGGAAAAUGUGAGGCAAGUAAUACAAGCAUACAACAUACACUCUCAAUCAAGCAUCAAAUCUCAUACCCAAAAGAGAGGGAAACGGGUUGAAAUGAAAUAAAUGGUUUGCUUUCUUUUGCACACAUUCCUCUAAAUUCCAUCAAACCAAACCAUGCUCGCUUAACCCAUAUUCUUCUCAUCCAUGAAAUGAGCUCACAUAAAAUCUAACCAAACCGAACUCUGACCCUAAAGGUGGCCCACAAGUGCCUUGGAGCCUAAGGGCUCAAGCCACAACAAAAAUGGGGAUCAAAACAUGUUAAAAUUGGGGUUGUCUAGUAGAACUUGUUGAACUGGUUCCCAAUUGGUACAACUGAUUGAGAAAAAUUUUGAAACUUUACCAGCAUAUUCAUCGAAGAAUAAGGAAUGCAACAAAAAAAAUGGCACUCAAUUCCGAGCCCGGAUGAGGGAGAACCGGCCGAAACAAUGCAAUGUGUUUAUAAAAUGGGGCUACCUAACAUAACUUGUUGAACUGGUUCCCAACUGAUUCAAACUAUUGAGAAAAAUUCUAAAACUUUACCAUAAGAUUCCUAGAAAAAUAAGGAAUCCAAAAAAAAAUGGCACUCGAUUCCGAGUCUGGAUGAGGGAGAAUCGGUCGAAACAAUGCAACGUGUUCCUUAUAGAAGGCCAAACCCGAGCCACCCAACCUUUCUAUAAAAACCGGAAAAACUUCAAAACAGAGUAUUCCCCCUCAUUCUCUGAAAAGACUCCAAGAAGUUCUCACCAAUCAAGAGCUCCUUGCUCCCUUCUCUCUUUCCAUUCUAGCUUUUUAUACCAGAACCUCUGCUCCUAUGUAUCCUGACGAGGGGAGGGGGCCACAAAAGAGAGGCGCCGCCCAUGCCAUGGUGGCAAAAGAAGCCAUCCCUUUCGGCCCCAAAACCUUCUAGAACUGGACAUGCUAAUAUCUUAUAUCCAAGCCUUUGUCAUUCUCCAAUACAGGCAAACACAUAGACAAGGACUCUAACACCAUAAAAAAAUGAGUAGAAAGCAUAGAUAAAAACAUUAAAGAAAAAAAUCCCAGGGAAUGGUGAGCAAAAGAUGAACAUAAAUAACCUCAGUUCAGGGGUAGAUUCAUAGGCAAAAAUAGGGAAACGAUUCAAAAUAGAUUUUUAGCAUGAACAAAAUCAAAUGGGAUCAAUGGCAUCAAUUGAAUGAAGAACGUAGCUAACAGACAAAAAACCAAUUUCAACAUAACAAUUUGUGGCCUUUUUCGUCCACACCAAUCAAUAAAACAUUAAAUAUUUUGAAACAACCAGAAGAAGGAAUUGAAUAUAAGCAAGAAUACUGAGAGUAAUUAGAAUCGUACCUUGAAAGGACCAGCCUUUGAGAGGUGUUCCUCAGCUUCAAGUGAGAUUGAUUCUCCUUCUACAAAAUCCACUCAAGACCAGUGAUCACGAUUUCUUUUCCUUCUUUUCAAAGCCAACAAAAAUUCUUUUUUUUUUCUCAAGAUUUUUCCCUUUUCUCGUUCUUUCUGUUUUUCUUUAAAAACUUUUCCCAUUUCUCCCUCUCAGACCUCCGUUUUUCUUUUUCUCUAGGUGCCAAACUCUUAGAGACCCCUAGACUCUUCCCCCACUCUUUCAGUUUCCCCUCCUGCAGAGUCUCUCUCCCAGAAUCUCUAAAAAAAACCCUCUUUUUCCUCUCUAAACAUCUCAUCUUUUUUCUUCUUUUUCAAACUUCUCUUCCCAACUCUCUUUGUUCUCUGUUUUCUUUCUCUCUAGGUGCCAAACCCUCAGAGACCCCUAGAAUUUUCCUCCCACGCUUUCAAUUCUCCUCCUACAGAAUCUCUCUACCCAGAUUUCUCAAAAAGUCACUUUUUCCAAACGUCCCUCUUUUCCUCAAAACCUUUCAAACUUCCAUCCUUAGCAUCCGCACCACCCCAUUUUCUUUUCCCUUCAACUUUAGAAAUCCUCACCUUCAACCUUGGAACCCCAACUCAUUUAGCUCUCAUCUUCUCGAGGUGAGCAGCUGCCCCUCAUUACUUCAUAAUUCCUUGCCCGCCAAGAAUCCACAUGGAUUCAAGGUGGGUUGUAAUCAACCCGAAAAAUGGCCUAAAUUGGACAUAAAACCAUCCUCCUAACCCAUCUGGAGCACCAAGGCUCGAACCAGCCUAAACAAGGGCACCAAAAAUGCCAAAAACAGAGUCGUUCGCAAGCAGCCUCGACGAACCAAUUGACCGCCUAAAAAAAACCUUGACGAACCGGUUGACCAUCCAAUCGAACAGUUGAGAAAAAUUAUCAAAAUUUGAACAAUAUUCCUUGAAAAAUAAGGAAUCGAACAAAAAAAUGGUGCGCGAUUUUGAGUUCGAAUGAGAGAGAUAUGAUUGAAACAAACCCAAGUGCUCCGUAUUCGAACAUGCUCAUAUGAACUCCAACUGAGUUGAAGUUUUGGGGAGACCUCACUUCCUUUCUUUAGCACGAUGUGAAGAAUUAGGGAAUUGACCAUGAUGGCACUCCAAAAUGAACUACACACUCGCACUACAUUGGAUCGCAGAUGAACUUACACAAGGCUCAAAAACCGAUCAAACCCAAAAGAGGGACCAUAGUGGUGCCAUACGGAAAAAAUUGGGUGCAUGUGACACUCCUAAGAUAAAUGCAAGUGUCGAUGGACAAAAUUGAGGGUCUACAACAUGUUAAGGAGAGCAAGAUAAUCAUACAACAAAAAGAGUCUUAUAUUAAAGCAAGCAAGAGAAUCAAUCGAUGUAGUUAACAUGUCAAUAUCGCAAAUGAACAUAACAACCAAAUAUGCAUCAUAAAGAAAAAAGGGCAAUCAUGCAACACACAGUCAUACAAAACAAAUACAGACAAACAUAAGCAAAUAAAUGUAAACACACAUGAUAACAAAAAUCAAUGUAUAGUAAGACACAUGCAAUAUAUACAUAAAAUAAUCAUCAAGUCAACACUCAUAUACCUUAAAACAUGAAAAUAUACAAUAAAGACACAACAAGAGAGUAUUCACUGAUCAAUUAAUCAAACGCUACCUUUUCCUUAACUUGAGUUCAAGUUUGAUCCUCUAAAUAUCCCUAGUGGAGUCGUCAUUUUGUGGACCCGCAUUUUUCACAUGCAUCCUUACAUAACAGCGAGACUCAUUUUUUUAUUUGGUGAAAAUUUGAUUUUUAGAAAAAAAAAAAAAACUUUAAGUCGUCACUUAUUUUUAUUUUUUUAAGGGAAAACAAAAUAAGAAAGAAAACCUUGUGUGACUCCUUAUUUGGAAAAGACAUGUAUGCAAAAACCAAAUUUGGAUUUGAGGGUCAAGUUACCUAUUAGGAGUGUACGAUGGUGAGCUGUAGCACCCCUCUAAUCUCGUAUAUGUACGGUCUCAACUAAACGAAUUAAGAGAAUUGUGGUAAUUAAUUAAUUAGUCAUGACUACCAAGAAAAAGAAUCGCACAAAUGAGUAUGUACAAAUCAUGAUAAAAAAAAAUCAAAUUAUAAGAAUAGACAAAAUAAAUAACAAGAGAACUGUGCAAAGUGAUUUAUUGAACUAAAUAAAAAAGAAGAUAUUAAAAAAAAUAGUUUUCAAUAAAUUUCAAAGGAUUUUAUUAAAAUGACUUUGAAUUAAUGAUUUUAAUUUAUUUAUUUACAAAAAAAAUGUCAAUUUAUUUUCUUCAAGUGAUUUGGUUCAAUUUCAUUUAUAUUCAAUUUUUUAAAAAAAAUAAUUAUUUACACUCAUGGUUGUUAAAAGAAUUAUUAACAAAAUUUCAAGUUGACAAUAAAAAUGAUUUUUACUUGCUUUUACUCGAAAACAAUGAAUUUUUACAAUUUUAUUAACAAAAGAAUUUCAAUUUAAGAAAAGUGAUUUAUACAAAUGAUUAAAAAAAUUUAACUUUAUUUGCAAAAGAAUUUUUUAAUUAAAAAGAAAAAAUUUAAAUCCUCUAUUUCUAAAAAUGACUUUUAAUCCCAUUUUAAUUAAGGAAAAAAAAAGUUAUUUAAAAAACAUUUUUUGGACAAUUUGAUUAAAAAUUAAUUUUUGGGACAACUUUAUUUACAAAACAAUUUUUGGACAAUUAUUAUUAAAAACAAAAUUUCAAAUUCUAUUAAAAAUAAUUUUUUUGGAUUUUUCUAAACACAUUUUUAUGAAUUUUUAUUAAUAAAAAACCUUCUUUUAUUAAAAUGAAUAUUUUUUGAGCUAUUAUUUUAUUAAAACAUGUUUAUUGAAUUAUUAUUCUUAUUCAAACAAAAUUUUUGAUUUGUUCGAUAUCCAAUUCUGUACACAACAAGUAAAUAUAUACAAACAAAUAUUUUUAGAAACCAAUAAAAAUAAAACCAAAUAGAAGUGAGAAAUAAAACAUGUACUUAAACAAACUUACAACAAGCUCAAUGUCUUCCUACGACUUUUCAAGUCUCACUUUCUUUCAUUAAAUUUUAUGCUCCACGUACCAUAAAUCUGUACUCAACCAACAAAAUUGCAUAAUGGGCCCAUGCAAAAACAAAAAUAACCCAAAUGUAAAUAUCAUAAAAUGUAUAAAGUUCACAAUAGAUAUUCAAGCCCAAAUUCAAAUUUCAAAUUAGUCCAACAAAUUUUGUCAAUCAAAAUGGGUCCAAAUUAGUAAAUAUAACUCAACAAAAAUAUCUCACAUGUCAUAGGCCCUAAUAUAAAAUUUUCAAAUUAAUAACUAAAAUAUAAGUUCAAUUAAUCAAACCCAAAACAUGAUACAUUAAAAUAAAUCUCAUUAGGCAUAAACUUAAUAUCCCAUAAUUCAAGCCUAAUUUAAUAUAUAAACCUAAAUCCACAAUCAAAAUCAACUCACUUUAUGCUAAUCCCAAUUUACAAUCAAAAUCAAACACAAUUUAAUAAGUAAAUAACUAAAUAAAUUAAGCAAACUCAAAACUCCCAAACCACUAUUGCAUAAAUCAAACAAUAAUAAAUAUAAUGAAAACAAUAAUAAUAAUAAAAAUAAAAUAAAAUAAAAAUAAAAAUUUUAACUCAUGUUGGAGCCAAUUUGAGUGUUGUGGGAAAGAAAGAAAAUGAGAGACCAGUGGGAGAUGAUUGUUAGCUAGUAGUGGCUUGUCGGCGGCAAUUGGUCGAUAGUCCUACCGGCGAUAGUGAGGAUUGAUGAGUUUUUGGGAAAGAAAAAAAAAAGAGGAGUAAUAAAAAAAAUGGAGAAACGAGAGGAAUGUGGGAUAAGAGGGGAGAGAGAGAAUGAAGAAAAUAGGGGAAAAGAAAUGAGGUCGGCUGGAGGAGGAAGUGGCGGUGUGUGUGAGCUAAAGUGAAGAAGAAUGAAAGAAGAAGAAGGAGAAAAAUGGGGAAGAAGGGGAAAAAAAUACGGGCCCUAAAUGAAGAGAGGUGAGUAACCUAAAGAAGAAGAAAAAAUAAAAUAAAAUAAGAAAAAUGAGGAGAAAAUGAGAGGGCCAAUAGUUUUGGAAAUGGGGUGGUAUGGGUGAGAGAGAGUGGGUGGGGUUGUUAGGGAAGGUAUGGAAGAGAGAGGAGAGAGAAAAGAAAGAGAAAAAAAUAUAAUAAUAAUAAUAAUCAUAAAUAAUAUAUAAAAUAAUAAAAAUUAAUAAUUAAAUGAUGAGUGGAUAAAAAAUAUUAUAUGUAAUUGGGAUUUAAUUUUAAGAGUAAAAUUGUACUAAAAAUUAAUAUAAAAAUAAAAUUGGAACAAAUUUUAAAAUCUAUAAAUACAUUCUUUAAUCUUUCCACAACAUCAAUCUGAUCUAAAUGAAAUGCAAUAAAUUCUAAAAAUGAUACAAUCUUUAAUCAAUCCACAACAUCAACCCAAUCGAAACUCAAUGCAAUAUUGCUUAAUGGAGAGAAUAGUAAAAUCCUUUAAUGAGAGGAAAACAAAACCCUUAACAGACCUUUAUGAGAGGAAAAUAGGAAAACAUAGAACUAAAAACCCUUAACGUCUUCAUGAGAAUAAAAAAUCCUUAACACCUUAACAAGAGGAAAACAAAGAAUUUGAACAAUCCUUAAUCCAUCAAAAGCUCUUAAUGUGAACAAGGGAAAACAUAACCUUUAUUUUUCAGAGCGUCUAUAUAGGUGAAUAAAAAAUCUAAAGAGAUAGAAUUUUUAGCUAUUAAGGAUUUUUUAUAGAUGUCUAUUGAAAGUUUAAGAACUUUUAUGGAUAAGUGUUAAUUAAGAGACUGAAAGGGUACUUAGGAUUUUCAACUAAAAAAGUUAUAACAAUAUGAAUGGUAAGAACUUAAAAACAUCACCCAUCCAUCAUAGGAAUAUGGAAUGAGAGGUUUUUUUUUUACUUAUACAAUAAUAAAUUUUUUUGGAAGAGGUUUUUCUAAGUACAAAAAGUUAUGAAUAAAAAACCAUUGUUACGAUGAGUUAACUAAAAUAGAAUUAAUUUAUAAAAUAUCAAUAAAGUUGCAUGAAUUAUUAAUUUAAAAUAAUAUGGAAAUCAGUUUUAUAUUUAUUUAUUUAAAAAUAUUUUAAAAUACAUAUAUUUUUUCAUGACUCAAAUAGUCAUUCCUCAAAUGCUAAUUUUACUUGUUAUGUUAAUAACACUAGUUAAUAAUUUUUUAUUGUGAAAAUCGAUUUGAGAUUAAUAAAAUAAGAAAUUUUUAAAACUAAAAAGACAAUUUAAACUUAAAAAAAACUUUUAAAUUAAAAAUAUAAAAAUAAAACAAUAAUUUUUCAUUUAGUAAAACUUGUCAGUAAAAAAUAUAAAUAUAAAGAAAAAGUUGGAAAUACAAUAAGAGUUAAUAUUUUAUUUUUAAAAUUUUAUGUUUUUUUAUUUUAAUUGUAUUUAAUUUUUAUUUAUUUUAGUUGUAAUUUUAUUUUUAAUUUUUUAAUUUUUUAAUUUUAUUGUUGAUGUAAACUAAUAAAAUUUUUGUUCAAUUAUAUAUAUAUAUAUAUAUUUUAAAUUAGUGAGUAAAACCCACUUUUUCUAAUUUAUAAUAUAUUUAUGGGAUUUUAUAAAGAAAAAUCAACAUUUCAAUUUCCCUUCAUUAUUAUUAUUAUUAUCCAAUUUGGUUGAUUAUGAGAUUAGUUGGUAUCAUUACUAUAUCCAUUUGUCCUUAACCCUUCAUUAGAAUAGUAUUAGGAGUUGAACGUCAGUUGGAAUACAGGCUUAUGGAAACAAAUCUAUCCGAUUAGUAGGUUCUUAUUAUUUUCAAUAUAGACCCCAUAAAAUAAAUAGGAGAUGGGCAGCCCGUCCCUUUUGUCUGGAGGCUUAUGGAAACAAAGUAUCUUUGGCAGGAUACUUUGCAGAACAACUUUAGGAGACCCCUAUCUCAAAUUCAAGACUAUAAAUUAAAGCCUAAAAUCGAAACGGAAGUCGUAUAAUACAAAUAAAAGAAUAAAAGGGAGUGAAGUAAAAUUUAGUAUGGAAUGCAUGACAAGUUCCACCUGGAAGUGGCUUAUAGAGAAAAGGAAACGGAAAAAACAAAAGAACUGGAAUUGCAUAAAUCACAAUAAAUGGAUUCUUAUGCAGUGAGAGCAGCGUGUUUUCUCAUUCUCCUUGCUAUUGUUUUCUUCUCUUUACUCCAACCUCUACCAGUUUUUUUCUCAUUUUUGAACCCCUUUAAAAACCAGUUUAUUUUUUUAUUUUUUUAUCUUCGCUCUGUUUUUUCCUUUUCCAGAAAAAAAAAACGGCAAACCUCACUCGCCCAGCUGCCCUAAGAACCCACACUCCAUAUUUUUUUUUUUUCAAAAAAAAUCUUUCUCCUGCUCGGUUUUUCUUCCUUUUCUAUUUUUGUUCUCCCCCGAAUCUGUCGCCACCCACUCUCUGUUUCUCUUGUUUAGUUCCAAAAAUCCUCGCUCUCACCCCCCGUUAGCUAGUUUUUCUCUAUCUACCUUCAUCUUCGGUCCCCAGCUCUCUCUUAUUUUCCCGUUUUUCUAGCUCUCUCUUUUACCCAACCUUUCCCUCCCCCUCUAGAACAAAUUUUCUCCUCAAAUCUUCACCCGUGAGCCACCCUCUUCCUCCCUCGCUUGCUCUGUUUUUCUCUCUCCGGUCUUAUCCCCUUUCCCGUUUGUCCCCUAACUCCUCAUUUUUUUCCUCCUAAAAAAAAUGAAGACCCCCUACCAACCUUCACCUGCCCUCUGUUUAUCCCCUCUUGCAAGUCUUCCCUUGUUCCAACCAUCAGCCAGUCUCCAUCCUCAAGCACCACCAUGGCAAGGUGGUGGUGUCCAUGGCCACAUGUCCAAGCAUGCUCGGCUCCUCUAGAAACCAGCCACCCACUCUUCCAAAAAUGCUGCCAGCUCUCCCGGGAUUGUGACACCUAGAAAAAGAACUGCAUGGAAGAAGAGCCCCAAAUGGGGGUCUAGAAAUAUGCCCCUCUUCAGAAGAGCUCACGAAUGUAAGGAAUAUGAACACUGAAGUGAAAAGAAAGUGUGAAUAGUGAGUGGAAUGAAGUGAACACUAUCGAAGAACAAAGGAGACCCCCAAAGGACACUAGUGAAACCCGAACUCACUCAGGCCAAGAGGUGAACACAAACAAGGCUCUAAAAUCCUAAAAGAAAACAAUGUGUCAAAAUGUCUCUAAAGCCACACUGAGGACUCAGGCCCCCUCUAAGACGUCUCCAAAAGUGACUCGAAAGACCGUAUCAAAGAUGAGUAACGGUAGAACCACACUGAAGUACAAGAAAUAAUGUGUCCAAAGGAGACUCCCUUUGUGAACUACAUGAGAAUACUAGGUGUAGGGUGCCCAACAACAUGACUGAAAUAUGCAUCGUGAACCCAAGGGCCAUGUCAUGUGCAGUGGAAAAGGAAUCUAGAAGAACAAUGAUGAAUAGGCGAUAAGCAUAGGGUAAUGAGUUGAGGAAAAUGAGAACAAGUGCAAAACCACGAAGGUUAAUGUGCAAUGCCAAUGGAUAUGAAUACUAAGAACUGUGACUUUGAAUGGUACAACUGAGGAAAAAUGACUCUGAACAUAAAAAACACGGAAAGAUGGUGACUCAAGGUGCCUAGAUGGAUAUGUAUGAUGGCUCUGAACGCCAUAACUAAAGAAAGAUGGUGACUCAAAAUCGAACAAGACUCAACUAUGCAAGCGUAACUCGGAGGCGAACAAGACUCAACUUACUCUGACAAAACAAUGAUCGAUCGAUAUAGGUGCGGUUCUGACUCAAAUUGAACACAAACGGAUAGGAAUAUGGCUGAUCGAUACGGGUACAGCCUCAAAACGCAAACUGACACGAUGAUGACCGAUCAAUAUAGGUGGGUCCCAACCUAAACUGAACACAAAAUAAUAGGAAGAUGGCCGAUCGAUAUAGGUGCGGCCCUGAAAACUCAAACUAAACUCUAACUGAUAGGAUGAAUGAUCGAUCGAUAUGGGUGCGACCCCAAAACACAAACUGACCGAUCGAUAUAGGUGCGGUCACGACUCAAAUUGAAUAUAAGAUGAUAGGAAGAUGAUCGAUCGAUAUGGGUACGGCCUCGAAAACUCAAACUGACAUGGAAAAUGAACGAUUGAUAUUAGGUGCGGUCCCGAAAACUCAAAUUGACAUGGAAAUGAUAGGAAGAUGGUCAAUCGAUAUAGGUGCGACCCCGACUCAAACUUAAACAGACAAGAUGAUGACUGAUCGAUAUAGGUGUGGUCCCGACUCAAACUGAACACAAUGAUAAGAAGAUGGCUGAUCGAUAUGGGUGCGGCCCCGAAAACUCAAAUUGAAACGAAAAAAUGACCGAUCGAUGUAGGUGUUGUCCCAAAAACUCAAACUGACACGAUAAUGACCGAUCGAUAUAGGUGCAGUCCUAACUCGAAUUGAACACAAAAUGAUAGGAAUAUGCCCGAUCGAUAUGGGUGCGGCCCCAAAACGCAAACUCAAAUUGACAAGAUGAUGACCGAUCGAUAUAGGUGCAGUCCCGAAAACUCAAACUGAGAUGGAAAUGAUAGGAAUAUGGUCGAUCAAUAUGGGUGUGACCCUAAAACGCAAACUCAAAUUGACAAGAUGAUGACCGAUCGAUAUAGGUGCAGUCCCAAAAACUCAAACUGAGAUGGAAAUGAUAGGAAUAUGGUCGAUCAAUAUGGGUGUGACCCUAAAACGCAAACUCAAAUUGACAAGAUGAUGACCGAUCGAUAUAGGUGCAGUCCCGAAAACUCAAACUGAUAGGACGAUGACCGAUCGAUAUAGGUGCGGUCUUAACUCAAACUGAUAUGAAAGAUAAUCAAUUGAUAUAGGUGUGGUCCUAAAUCAAACUGACAGAAAAAUGGUCGAUCGAUAUAGGUGCGACCCUAAAAUGCAAACUGACAAGACGAUGACCAAUCGAUAUAGGUGCGGUCCCGAAAACUCAAAAUGAACUCAAACUAACACAGAAAGUGAUUGGAACAUGGCCAAUCGAUAUGGGUGUGGCCCCAACUCAAACUAACACGAAAAAUGAUAGAAACAUGGCCGAUCGAUAUAGGUGCGGCCCCAACUCAAACUAACAUGAAAAGUGAUAGGAACAUGGUCGAUCGAUAUAGGUGCGGCCCCAACUCUAACUGAAACUGAUAAGAUGAUGAAUGACUGAUCGAUAUAGGUGCGGUCAUAACUCGAAAACUCAAACUCAAACUAAUAGGAAGAUGGUCGAUCGAUAUAAGUGCGACCCCAACUCAAACUGACAUGACGAAUGACCAAUUGAUAUAGGUGCGGUCCCGAAAAAAUUAAACUGACACAGAAAUGAUAGGAAGAUGACUGGUCAAUAUAGGUGCGACCUAAACUCAAACUGAUAUUAACGAGAUGAAAGAAUGACCUGAUCAAGUGGCCCAAAGCCAAAGGAUAACUCAGAUAAUGAUGCAAGCAAACUCGACCAAAAGGGAUAUGCCCUAGUAUGACAACUCAUGAGGAUCGACAACUAGGUUGAAGGAUACCAAAGCCUAGGAAAGGUUUGAUGAUCCUAAGGAAUGAGGGUAUGCCCUAGUAUGCGACUCGCGAGAGUCAACGACUAAAUAAAAAAGUGCAUGAAGUCUAUGGAAGGUCCGAUGAUCCCAAGGAUGUAGGGUAUGUCCCAGUAUGAUAACUCGGAGGGGUCAACAACUAGAUCGAAAAAUGAAUGAAACCUAUGGAAGGUUCGAUGCUUUCGAAGAAGGAGGGUAUGCCCUAGUAUGACAACCCGGAGGAGUCAACAAUUAGAUCGAAAAGGUGAAUGAAACCUGUGGAAGACCCGAUGCUCUCAGAGAAUGGGGUAUGCUCCAGUAUGUGAUGAUGAACAAACAGAGAUGCAAAAUGCCUCUAAACCACUGUACUAUAAAAUAUGCUCAUCCAUCAUGUAAUGAAAAUGUCCAAUCUCAGAUAGGUAAUGCUAAACAGGACCAUGUAUCGUGACACCAUGCUGACAAAACAAAACUAACUAGUGAAUAACAACAAUAAUGAUUAGUACUCAAAAUGCAAAGAGAAAACAAAUCAACACUCAACAUGCCAACUAUCAAAAUGAAAGCAUCAUCACUAAUAAAUCAAUAAUCUAUCAAGCCCUACCAACAUGGAAGAUGUUGAACCUAAAGUACAAAAGAUGUAUGAAAGCACAACCAAAGUGAUCGAGGAUUGAUCCACGUCUCCUCCUAAUUGAGAGAUGGGUGUGAGGUCAUGUGUCAUGGUGAGAUGUGUAGGAUAAAAGAAGGUGAUGAUCAGGCUCUGGUAAGAUAGAAAGCAUGAAAGUAUCAAAGGUGGAAUGUCUGAGUACAAGCUGAAAGGUAUGUAGGUAACCGAGAUUAUCCAAGUAUGUCGAGAAGACUAAACCCAAGGUAUCAAUAGCUCCAUAAUCCAUCAAAAACAGCAAUCACAAAAUAGAAAGUCAAGUCUCGAUAUCAAAACAUCCGACUAGGUGACUAUGCCCCAGUAUGCAAUGAAGACAACAUGAAAUAAUCCAAUGAUCUCUAUAUCACUCGGUAGAUGCUCCAAUAUAAAGGAUCAAUCUGAUCUCCCUCCAAAAGAUGGAUAUGCCCUAGUGUAAAGGAUCUGAUAGGAUGACUAUGCUCCAAUGAAACAUGCUCUCCAUUCUGGCUAUGCCCUAGUGUAAAGUAGUGUAUUCGAGUAAAAAAAUCAAUCAAUUUCUACUCCUGGUGUUAAAAAUGGAAACAUCUCAACAUAAUCCAUAUGAAUUAGAAUCCCCGAGCUCUAUGAGUAUGAAUGAACUAGCUAUGCCCCAGUAUAAACCAUUUGAAGUGACUAUGCUCCAAGAUAAAUCAAAGUCCAUCACCGAUGAGAGGGCUAUGCCUCAAAAUAAAUUGCCAUCUCAAAAAUCAACCAUCAAUGAGUAGAAUAUGUCCUAAUGCAGAGUAUCGAGUAAAGUGACUGUAUCUCUAAUAAAAGCGUUCUCUGAAAUGGCUAUGCCCUAGUGUAAGGUCAUCCCACAAUUCCUAAUCCAUCAUAAUCCAAGUGAAGAAGCGAACUGACUAUGCCUCAGUGCAAGGCAUCAUCUUGAAAAAAAACGUCAUCAAUGAGCGGGGUAUGCCCCAGUAUAGAUCAUAUCAUCUCCGAAAAUCCAUCACUGAUAAAAAUGGUAUGCACCAAUGUAAAUCCAUCGCCUCAACUCCCCAUCCAUCAUGCUCCGAGAAAUAAUCUCCAACCAAGUUCGAGUACAUCAUGUGUGAAGCGAUAAAGGACUACAAACGACUAGACUCUUAGCAUGAACUAUAAACAACGAAUCUGAACCAAACUGGACUCAACAAAGCAACUCUAAUGAACUAAAGACUGGACCCGAUAGAACGGGAACGGCUCAGAUGACGACCAUAAAUCAAAAUGAAAGGUGCUCUGAGCUAAACCACUGAAAAAUGAUGUACCCAUGUCAACUAAACCAAGUCCUCAACUCGGAAUAUCCCAAAAUACCAUAUGACCAUCAAUAUCAUCAACAUCUAGAUCAAUCUACUGAAGGCUAGGAGGAGGGGGAACUGCAUGUGUAGAAUACGUAGGUAAGGGAUUGGUGGUCACACUUGGCCCAGACAAGUUGACCAACCCUGAAUCAAUCAAGUCUUAUUUCACAUGAUGGAACGCCGAACAACACUCAGUAUCGUGUCCCUAAAUCUGAUGAUAUAAGCAAUGCUCAUGUGAGCGGAAAUGAGGAGGAAUGGGAUAUGGCAAGGAGCGUGGCACCAAAUGAACAAUCAAACCAGCAUCUCUAAGCUUCUCAAAAGCUCUAGUCAAAGUCAUGCCCAAUGGAGUGAACUGUCUCGCGGGUCUCUGUGCAAAUGGUUUAGGUGGUGGGUGAGUAGCGACUCUUAGAUGUGAUGGUCAUGAUUGUAGGCUAGUUUGAGAAAUGUAAGGCUAUUGAACAUAAACCGGCUGAUACUGAUACUGUGGAUGAGAGAAAUGAGCUCUGACUGUAGGAGGCCUGUAAGGUGAGUGAAGUGCAGGCCUCUGAUGCUGAUAGCUAAUAGUGUCAACCUCUCCAGACCUACUAGAUGAUCCAACUAGCUUCUUCCUCUUAUUGUUAGGGGAAGGAGUAGCAUCUGUCCAUAAUCCUCGAGCAAUGACCUCCUUAACACUAAAAGCUACAUGAACUAGACUCUUAAGAUCCUGAAAUGGGAUGCCCACAAGGUGUCUAGUGAACCUCGGUUGUAGGUUCUGAAGAACCAUAUCAAUCUGAUCCUGCUCCUUAAGCCGGUCUAUCAUACCAGCCACCUUUGCCCUCCAACGUUUGACAAAGGAAGAAAUAGACUCAUCUGGCCUCUUCAUGGUGGCCUCCAACUCUUGUCUGGAUACAUCAAUGUCGACACUAAAAGCAAACUGAGUCAAGAACUCAUGAGCCACAUCUUCCCAGGUGCGAAGUCUCAAAGGCUCAACUGAAGCAAACCACCUCUGAGCUGCCCCACUAAGUGACAUGGGGAAAAGGGCCACCAACUGUGCUUCAUCUAUCCCAUGUGCUCUCAUGACUGUGCUCUAUAGUCUCAAGUGGAUCUUAGGACAACCAAUCCCACUAUACCACUCAAUGUCUGGCAUGCGAAACUUGGUGGGCAAGCUAGCCGCCGGUAUGUCAUCCCUAUCAUCCCAAGUCAAACCUCCAUCCUGUAAUCUGAUUUGUCUUAUCCUGGCCUCAAGCCUCUAAACCCUAGCCUCCUGCUCGGUCAAUCUAGUAUCAUUAGUAGUAGUAACAAUGAGAGGCAACACUGUGGCAGUAGGUGGUGGAGUACUCUCGCAAUGAUCUGAUAAAUGGAAUGGAAUGCCAUGUGAAAUCCUAGGUGGAAAAACCUGUGCUGUCUGAGGUACAUGAGGAACUGUAUCGUCAGUGCUAAUGCCAACUGGAUGAUGAUCCUAGCGAGAACUCUCUAUCUGAUCCAAACGUCUACUAACCCUUGCCAUGAACUCCUGAAUAGAAGCAAGUGUGGAAGCUAGCUCGUCUGACAUCUCGAUCGAACUGUCUGAACUCUGAUGUGAAUCUGCUCUAAUCAAUCAACCUCCAACUCUCUUUCAAGGAUGUAACUCCAGACUUAAACAACUCCUAAAAUGGCUCCCUACAAUGCAAACGAAAUGGAUGAAGGACACAAGAUAAGACCUUAAAAGACAACAGUACAACAUGCAAGCACAUGGUCCUGAGGUGGCAAUUUGAAAUCUAGAUUUAUGAUGAGAACUCUGGAGUCAUAAAGGUGUCCACUGUGAGAUGGCUACAAAUGUGACUAGAGAAUUCCUAUCGAUAAUCCAAGAUGAAAGAGGUGUGAAUAACACACUAUCAUGAGAUCAAUACUCCAUUUAUAACCACAUAUCCUUGAUUCAACCUUCAAUCCAAGCUCCGUAAGAGAAAAAUGAUAAGGUGAUCAAGGCAACUCUCUCGAAAAAAGUGUAAAUGUGUCUUUCACCUUUCUAUAAUGACAACAUGAGCAUCGAGUUGAAAAUUGAAUCAAUGAUCAAACAAAGAAUGGGGUAUUGGGCUGAUGAUAGAUGUACGGGGUAAAAAGGUGAUCAAUGAACAUAUCCUAAAGCAUCAAGCAAGUGACAACAAAGUGAAAGGAUGCCAAGCCAAGAAAAGAAGAUGAAAACCCUAGGGAGAAAACAUGUUAAACUCAUCGAGUGAAAAACAUAAACUAAGGCGACAUGACAAAGGUGAUCCAACCGAUACUCAAACUCAUACCAAUCUCUAAGCACUCUCAACUAGAGACUAAAAAGAGGGAGUGUCGAAUUCGAAAUAUGACCACAGAGGCUCUGAAAGCCCUCAAAUGCACCCACGUGUAGGGAGGGAGUCCUAAUUGAAGGAUCUACGGCUCAACCUACAAGGUCAAGGUGGCUUUAAAUGGAUAUGGGUGGACUUUUAAAAGAUCCUUAGCAGAAGCGAUCGUACCCUCCGACGGUACGCAACCUCUUACACAUCUCUGAAGAGACGGGGCGCUUCUAUGCAAGGUGGUCAUCACCUCCACACAUGCACUACUUCGCAUCCCAGAGGGUUCCAAUGGUGAAAGCUCUCACAACUCUCAGCACUCAGUGGUAAUAUAAAGUGUAUAGUGAGUGGUGUGGGUGCAUCCGAAAACCCUAUGAAACUAAAAGAAAACACACUGGCCACAAAAAUAUCCUAAAAUCUAGCUCUGGGCUAUACAGGUCUUCAAUGAUCGGACUCUAAUCGACAUCAACGUGUCGGUCACCUCCAGAAUGCUCCCAAACAUCAGUAUAGCCCAUCGCUAGACCCUACUCCCAUCCUUUGGCUCGAUCAAAGAACAAGCACACACAAGGCCUCACACUUGAAAAAGUGAUAGCCAAGAUGAAGGAAAUGACCAAAACUAGAGGGUUGGAGAUAAGAGGAUAGAUGUGUGGCCCACACGGACAAACAACAUGCAAUCACGCAAAAAAAGGGCAGUCAUGUAACAUACAGUCGGGCAGAGUACAUGAUAUGUCACUCAUGUAUACAUACAAGCCGUGACGAUCAGAAUGAAUAGUGAUACAGACAUCAUACUCAAAGAUGAUCAAGAGACUACACAAUGCAAGUGAGUCAACAUGUCAAGUCAAAUUAUGUACAAUGGCGAGUCUAUACAUGUGAAAUGAUCAGAACGAACAUGGAAAAAAACAGGAUCACUAUGCUAAACAAUGUAAGAUAAUCGAUCAAUACAAUCAACAUAUCAAUCUCUCAAAUGAAUAUGGCAAUGAAGCAUAGAAAAAAUAGCUACCUCGAAAUCCCCAAUCAAAAUAAUCGAUCAUCAUAAUCAGCAUGUUAAGUGUCUCAAACAGAUAUAGCAACGAAACACAAAAAGAAUCACUAUAUCAGAAUCCUCAAUCAAGAUAAAUCAAUUGUCAUGACCAGCAUAUCAAUGUCCCAAAUGAAUACCAUAUCCGAGCAUGCAUCUAAUGAUAUUGGGAACUCUCAAUGUGCAAUCAAGAGAUAGGUACCCAAUGAUCGACUCAUCAAAUGCCACAUUUGCUUCAUCUUAAGUUCAAGUUUGACCCUCUAAACGUUCCCCAGUGGAGUCGCCAUUUUGUGGACCUCGUAUUUCUACUCAUCCACUUCCACUCAAUGGCGAGCUCGCUUUUUGUUGGAAAAAUGAUUUUAUUUUUAAGAAAAUGACUUGGAGUCGCCACUUAUUUUUUGUUUUAUUUUUAAAGGGUAAACAAAAUAAGAAAGAAAACCCUAAGUGUGACUCCUUAUUUGGAAAAGGUGGUCUGUGAAAAAUCGAGUCAAGGCUCGGGGGUCAGAUUACUUAUCGGGAAGGUAUGGUAAAGACCAUAACACCCUUCUGAGUCCCUAAAAACGAGUCUCUACUAAUAAAAUGAAGCAAGUAUGACAAUUGAUAAGUGAAUCAAUGGAUACCGAAUGAAUAUCGAUUAAAACAGAAUAACCGAAAGAACAAGAUGGGCAAAUAGUGUACCUGAGCGAUGAACUGAUUUGCUUCAUGGAAAACAAAGAUUAGUAAACAAACAUAGAAUACUUGCACACAUGUAUUAGAGUGGAAUAAAUCAAUCAUGUAUAACAAUCAAUCAAUCAAUCAACCAAUCAAUGAGGAAAUUCCAUAUGUUGGGCCCUCACCAAAGCCCGAUUUAUUUUAGCAUGAAUUGGUCUCACAAAUUCCAUUGUUUUAGAAUUAUGAGGAAAAAAAAAACAUUAUUGCUUAUCAAAAUCAAGAGAGAUAGAAGAUUAUUUGAAAACCAGAGUGGAAUUAAAACUGUUUGAAAGAAAAUUAGAUUUUUGAAAUUUAUUUGAAAAAUUGGAGUCUCAAAGAUUACUUGAAAAUCGGAGUUUUGAAAAUUAAAUUUAAGAAUUGGAAUUUUAGAUAUUAAAUUUAAAAGAAAUUGGAAUUUUGAGAAUUAAAUUUAGGAAAUGGAAUUUUGGAAAUUAAAUUUGAAAGAAAUCAGAAUUUUUGAAAUUAAAUUUGAAAGAAAUGAAAUUUUGGAAAUUAAAUUGAAGAAUUUGAAUUUUGGAAAUUAAAUUUGAAAGAAAUUGGAGUUUUAAAAAUUAAAUUUAGGAAAUGGAAUUUUGGAAAUUAAAUUUAAAAGAAAUCUGAUUUUGGAAAUUAAAUUUGAAAGAAAUUAGAAUUUUGGAAAUGAAAUUUGAAAGAAAUGAAAUUUUGAAAAUUAAAUUGAAGAAUUUGAAUUUUGGAAAUUAAAUUUGAAGGAAAUCGGAAUUCUAGAAAUUAAAUUUGAAAGAAAUUGGAGUUUUAAAAAUUACAUUUAGGAAAUGGAAUUUUGGAAAUUAAAUUUGAAAGAAAUGAAAUUUUGGAAAUUAAAUUGAAGAAUUUGAAUUUUGGAAAUUAAAUUUAAAGGAAAUCGGAAUUCUGGAAAUUAAAUUUGAAAGAGAUUGGAGUUUUAAAAAUUAAAUUUAGGAAAUGGAAUUUUUGAAAUUAAAUUUAAAAGAAAUUGGAUUUUAGAAAUUAAAUUUGAAAGAAAUCAUAAUUUUGGAAAUUAAUCGAGAAUUGGAGCUAUGAAAAUUAAAUUUAAGAAUUAUAGUUUUGGAAAAUUAAAGUUUUGAAAAUUAAACUUAAAAAUUUGAGGUUUUUUUUUUAAAAAAAUUUAAAUUUUAAAAAAAUGGAAUUUUGGGAAUUUAUUCGAAAAUGGAAUCCUAAAAAAAAUCUGAAUUUGAAAAUGUUAAUUUUGAAAAAUUAAUUUGAAGAUUGAAGUGAUUGAAAAUCAAGAAUUUUGAAAGUUGAUUUUUUUAUUAAAAAAAAAAUUGGUGAAAACGUGUGAGCAUAAAGGCUUAAAAAAAAAAAAAAAAACAAAACAAAAAAAAGUGUAUGGGCAUAUGUGCCCCAUGGAUGGCCCACCAAAAUUCCUCCAUUGACUUUACUACCAUGAAAUGAUUCCUAAAUAAGAAAAACCAUUAAUGACUCUGAGAGACUUCAAGAGAGAGACAGGGAGAAAAGUCUUUCUCUAACACAACUGAUGAACCAAGUCUUUAUGGGAGACUAGGCGGCGUUUGGUGGUGGUUUGGAUUCCUUUGCUGCCUUGUCAGUCUUCUUUGGUAGGAUACUUUGCAGAACAACUUUAGGAGACCCCUAUCUCAAAUUCAAGACUAUAAAUUAAAGCCUAAAAUCGAAACGGAAGUCGUAUAAUACAAAUAAAAGAAUAAAAGGGAGUGAAGUAAAAUUCAGUAUGGAAUGCAUGACAAGUUCCACCUGGAAGUGGCUUAUAGAGAAAAGGAAACGGAAAAAACAAAAGAACUGGAAUUGCAUAAAUCACGAUAAACGGAUUCUUACGCAGUGAGAGCAUCGUGUUUUCUCCUUCUUCUUGCUACUGUUUUCUUAUCUCUGCUCCAACCUCUACUAGUUUUUUUCUCAUUUUUGAACCCCUUUAAAAACCAGUUUAUUUUUUUAUUUUUUUAUCUUCGCUCUGUUUUUUCCUUUUCCAGAAAAAAAAAACGGCAAACCUCACUCCCACAGCUGCCCCAAGAACCCACUCUCCAGAUUUUUUUUUUCAAAAAAAAAUCUUUCUCCCGCUCGGUUUUUCUUCCUUUUCUAUUUUUGUUUUCCCCCGAAUCUGCCCCCACCCACUCUCUGUUUCUCCUGUUUAGCUCCAAAAAUCCUAGUUCUCACCCUCCGUAACCCAAUUUUUCUCUAUCUCCCUUCAUCUUCGGUCCCCAACUCUCUCUUAUCUUCCCGUUUUUCCAGCUCUCUCUCUUACCCAACCUUUCCCUCCUCAUCCAGAACAAAUUUUCUCCUCAAAUCUUCACCUGUGAACCACCCUCUUUCUCUCUCACUUGCUCUGUUUUUCUCUCUCCGGUCUUGGCCCCUCUCCUGUUCGCCCCCUAAAUCCUCAUUUUUUUCCUCCCAAAAAAAAUGAAGACCCCCUACCAGCCUUCACCUGCCCUCUGUUUAUCCCCUCUUGCAAGUCUUCCCCUAUUCCAACGAUCAGCCAGUCUCCAUCCUCAAGCACCACCAUGGCAAGGUGGUGGUGUCUAUGGCCACACGUCCCAGUAUGCUCGGCUCCUCCAGAAACCAGCCCCCCACUCUUCCAAAAAUGCUGCCAGUUCUCCCGGGAUUGUGACACCUAGAAAAAAAAACUACAUGGAAGAGGAGCCCCAAACGGGGGUCUACAAAUUAACUUUUUAAAAAUUCUAAACCUCUUUUGUGUUAUUAGCUUUUUUUCUCUCUCUCAUAAUUUCAUUACUUAGGCUUGUUUGGUUCGACUUCUAAAAAUGUAAAAAGAAGUAAAAAAAAUCAUUUUUAUGCCAAUAAGCUCUAUAUCAUGACUAUGAAACAAAUAUCUUAUGAAUUAUUGGAGCAAGAAAAUCAAUUCAUGAUUAAUUUUGUAAAUGAACUUUCUAAAAUGAUACCUUCAAUUGAGAAAGUGGUUGGUAAUUUAACUUAAUAACUUAAUUUAUCUUAUUAAGCACAUUAAGUAUGCUUGAUAAAAUAACUUACUACCAUAAUUUAAAGUUUUAAAUAACUUAAAUAAUUGGUUAAAAUAAUUAACUUUUUAAAAUUUUGAAACAUUUUUUGUGUUAUUAGCUCAUUUUUCUUUCUUUCUUUCUUUCUUUUUUUUUUUUCCUCAUAAUUUUGUUAUUUAGGCCUUGUUUGGUUUGACUUGUGAAAAAAAAAAUCAUUUUUAAGCUCAAUAAGAGUUUCUAUGAUUUUGACUUUUGUUUUUUUUCAAAAAUCUUAUGCCUUAAAAACGAGCUUAAUAUAGAAGUUAGGAAAGUGUUGUUUCUUGUAUAAACUCUAUUUUAAUUUAUGUAAGAAGUUUUUUCAUGUUUAAUAUACUUUGAGAAUACCAAUAUUGCUCUUUAAAAAUUAUGACUUUGGCUUCAGCUUUAGCUUUAUGAUUAGUUAAAGAAAAACACAAAAAACUCUCCGUAACAAGGUGUUAAUAUCAUUGAGGAUAAAUAUGACAAUUUAAUGGUCUAGAAAAAGUUUUGAGUUGAUUUUAUGAAACAACUUUGAUACUUAAAGUAAAAUUAAGUAGCAAGUUUUAAGUCAACAACUUAAAAGUGAUUUAAUUUAAAGUCAUUCUAGCAAUGCACUAACAAAUUGACAUGAGUCAAGAAGAGGUUGAUCGGUUUGAAGGUAUAGAUUUGGAUGUUAUCAACCUCCCUUGGGAGGAUGCAUAGAAUUUCCAACAUGUAGUCAGAAACAAAAAACUUCACCAAAAAAAAAAAAAAGUCCUAGGAAAAUAUCUUGAGGGACAUGUCUAAAUUAUCAUCUAAAUAUUCAAACAAUUUAUUAAAGCUUUAAUGUUGCAAAAGACGUUCAAAAGUCCAAAACAAGAGAAAAUUUCAAGACAUGCAUAAACCAUUUUUUUUUUAACUAAUCCAAAAAUGUGAUAAAAUCAUGAAAAAAAAAAAUCAUACAAUAGUCUCAAAAUGUCUAAUUUACAAGAAAAAUUAUGGCAAGGUAAAGUAUACAUACAAAUCAAUUUCAAAAUCAAGCAAACAACCCCUUUAUUCAAAAUUAGGUCAAUGCAAUCACUAUUGCAAGGGAAAAUGUUUAACUCAAUUGGGAAAAACAUUUUUUAAAUAUUUUAUUUGUCUAAAAUAAGCUUUAAGAAGGUUAAAAUUAAGUAAAAAUAUCAAAACAAUUUUACAAAGUCAUUUAGCAAUACAUUUCGGGUGUAACUAACCCACCAAAAUAUGAUUUGAUAUCUCCCAUUUGAAAAUUACUUUUUAACUUAGCCAAAAUUCUAAAGUCAAGUUCAAAGAGUCUACAAUACCAUAAAAUCAUAGAAUAAAUUUAGGAGCAUCCUAAGUUAGUCAUGUGUAAUGAAUCAAAUUUUAUGUAGGGGUCUCGCCAAAUCCCCAUUUAAUAUACAUGAAUCUAGCUUAUGCAUUUUCAACUUCACAUGAGUAUUGAUAAACUCAUCAAAACUAAGAAUUAUCCCAUUUAUUUAGGACUACAAACUUGGAUUCGUGUUAUACUCAAAAUCAAAAUUUUAUCGAAGAUAAAAAGGAAAAUGCAAACCGGAUGAAAUUUGAUUGCAUAUCUUUAGAAAAAGAGUUUUAGACCUUAAGAACUCUAACUAAAAUUUUGAAAUGGAUUUUAAUAUUAAUCUUUUUUUUGAGAUAAAGAUUUCUUUUUAAAAGAGAAAAUAUUUGUAAAUAACAAAACAUAAGAAUCAAACCAAGUAAACCAAAGGAGUGGAUGAACUACAAAGUUAUUUUUUUAUUUUUUAUUUUUACAAUCAACAAAGACUAAAGAUGGUGAAAGUAGAGACCAAUAUUCAUUAUUUUUCAAUGGCCUUUGAAAGUCAAAUUAAAAAAUGGAUCACCAGGCAACACAUUACGAAUUUUUAGAUCAAACAAACAAACAAGACAUCAAUAAAAAAUUAACAAAGAUCAACCAAACACAUAAACUGAGGCAAACAAUCGAGAACUAAUAUAAGAUAAACCAAAUGCAUAUACAUGUGGUCAUAAUAAUAUGAAUUUAGUAACAUAAGCACACAAAAUCCUAAAAAAACACAUGAACUAAGUAAGAUGAAUCAAGAACUAAAAUUACCUAUUUUAAAGCUUGAAUAUAAUAACAUUAGGAUAAACUAAUUAUCGGAAAUUCUAAAAGCACAAAUUAGAAUUGAAUCAAUCAAGAACUAAGAUUAAUAAACUUAAAACAUGAAUGCCAUUACAUGAGAUCAACUAAACUAAUUAAUUAAAAUUUGUAAGAACACAUAAAAUAAAUAGGAUGGAUUAGAAAAUAGAAAAAAAAAAAUACUAUUUUAAAACAUGAAUAUAAUAACGUGAGUUCAAUCAAACAAAUAAACUAGAAUUCAAAAAAUACAUGAACUACAUAGGAUCAAUCAAAACUCAAAAAAAAAAAAAAUUGACAAAACUUAAAUCAUGAAUAUAAUAACCUGAGUUCAAUUAAACUAAUAAACAAAAAUUCUAAAAACAUAAAAUAAAAUAGGAUCAAUUAAGAACUAAAAUUAACAAUUUUUAAAUAAGGAUAAAAUAGCAUGGAAUAAAUCACAUUAUCCAACUAAAAGUUUAAAAAAAAAAAACCACAUAAACUAAUAAGAUGAAUCAAGAAUUAAUAAUUAACAAUUUUGAAACAAGAAUAAAAUAUCAUGGAAUCAAUCACAUUAAUCAAAUAAAAAUGAAAAAAAACCACUUAAACUAAUAAGGUGAAUCACAAAUAAAAAUUAACAAUUUUGAAACAAGAAUAUAGCCUGGAAUUAAUCACACUAACCAAUUAAAUUUUUUUUUUAUAAAAAAAAACAUAAUCUAAUAAAAUGAAUCAAGAAUUAAAAAAAAUUAACAAUUUUAAAACAAUGAUAAAAUAGCAUGAAAUCAAUUACAUUAAUCAAAUAAAAUUCUGAAAACCACUUGAACUAAAUAGAUUUGAUUAAGAACUAAGAACUAAUUAUUUUUUUUAUUUUUUUUUAAACAAACAAUGUAUAAACUAAAGGAUCGACAUGUGAUUACAAUUUUUUUUUUUAAAAAAAAUAUCGAAACAAAAUACUCAAGAAAACUUACCUUCAAUCAUGUAAAAGAUGCUGCUGAUCAAUGGUGCGUGCUGUCCAAAAAAGGUUCAGCCUGGUGUGUUUUUCUCUCUCUCCAAUGGUGCGUGCCCCUCUUUUUUUAAAAAAAAAUCUGAUGCACAAUCCCACGUCUCAAAGUGGCAGCCUCAGUGGUGCGACUGUAGGAGAGUUUCUUUGUUCGAUAGUGUGUCAGUGCUCUUUCCUAGUGGAUGCACGAUAUGCAUGCGUCUUCGAAGAUGAGGGCAUGGCUUCUCUUAAAGAAAUCUGUGAUGAUGAAAGUAGUCCCCUUAAUGGAUGCGUCCCUAUUGGAGAGCCCCCUCUUAUAGUGUGUGUUGAGCCCCCUCCUAUAGCCCCUCCUCUCCCGUGUGUGUUGCUGAAAGAAGUCGCCUAUGGACGCACCCCACCUAAAAAUCCCGUGUGAAAUCUCCUCCCAUUUCCACAGCCUAUGCGUCAUCCCAAAAAAUCUAGUGGUAUACAGCCCGAUCUUCCACUUUUUUUUGGUAAGUCGUAGUUCCACCUUGGUCAUCAAUACUCUCUCUCUCUCUCUCUCUCUCUCUCUCUCUCUCUCUAUAUAUAUAUAUUCAUUAUUACAAUAGUAAUUUGAUAUAAAUUAUUUCAUUUAAGCCAUUUAUAAAUAAUAUAUAAGAUGACAUAAUAUACCAAUAAUUCAAUUAAGAAUAUAUGAUAUUAAUCAAUAAAUAUUAUUUAUGAUAGAUAUAUCAAGUAUAUUAUCUAAUAAUAUUUUGUUAUAUUAAUAGAUAAAUAAAAAUUUAUGAUGAUAAUUUUAGAAAUGUAGAAUACCAAUAUUUUUUAAUGUUUGAAAUUGUAGUUUCAUUUUAGUUUUUUCUUUCUUGAAAAUACGUUUAAUUAAGAAAGUAAAAAUUGUUUUUUUAAAAAAAAAUUCACAAAGUCUUGUUUGGUUUUAAACUUUCAUUAAUGUAAAAAUUUGUGAAAAAAAAUAUAAGUAAAUUAUAUAAUUUAUAUCUCAUGUUAUGAAAUAUAUUACUAUAAUGAAUAAUAUUGUUUCUUUUAUAAUAUACAUAAUGUGAUAUUAUGUAAUAGUAAUAAUCUAUAUUAUAUUGUUAUAUAUUAUCAUAUUAUAAAUUAUAACUUAUAUACCUUAAUAUUAUAUUAAGGUUAUUUUUUUACUAUAUUUUAAAUUUUAAAUCACUUUAGAAAAUUUUCUAAUAUAUUUAUAAUAAAUUAAUCAUCUAAAUUAUUUUAAUAUACAAAUAUAUUCUCUAAUAAAUAAUUUUUAUAACGUUUUCAAAUAUAUAUAUAUAUAUAUGAUAAUAUUUUAUUUAUAUUAUUUUGUACUGGAUCUCAAGUCUUUAAUUUAUAUGCUUUUAUUAUAUCAUUUGAUUUCUACCUUUUUAAAAAAACCGCUUUUUUCCCCCUUAAGUUUUCUAGAAAAUGAAAAGGAAAAAUAUCAUUCAAACAUAUUUUGAGAGAUGAUCUUUGUUUUUUUUGAAAAUGAACAAAUCUUAAGUUUUAAUAAUUAAUAUUGAUUUGGGACUCUUUAAAGACACGUUUAUAAUUAGUAAUUAUGAAAUUUUGAAUUUUGAUGGAAUAAAUUAAAUUAAAUUUUAAUUUUCUAUAAUAAAAGGUAAUUUGUUUUAAAAUUUAUUUAAAUUAAAUAAUUUUUAGAUAUUUUAGAAUUAAUUAAAAUAAUAUAUAAAAUGACAUAAAUAAUUAUUUUAUGUGAUUAUACCAUAAAUCAUUUAAAAUUUUAAAAUUAUUCAUUUAUUAAGUAGUUCAAAUUUUAAAAUCCAAUACAAUUCUAAGAACGAAUCCAAUAUUAUUUUUUAUCCUUCCACAACAUGAAUGUAAUCAAAGUGAAAUCCAAUAAAUCCUAAGAAUAAAUACAAUCCAUUCUUUAAUUCUUCCACAACCUCAAUAUGAUCUAAAUGAAAUGUAAUAAAAUAUUUCAAAGGAAAUUAAAUAUAAUUAAAAUUAGUUAAAAUUUUAUUUUUCUUCAUUUUUUUUUUCUUUUACUUUUUAUUUUUUAUUUUUUAUUUAUUUGCAUUUUCUCUUAAAUUUUUCAGAGAAGCAAACAUAGUGAAUUUUUUUUAUGGAUAAGUAUUAAUUAAGAGAUUGAAAGGAUUUUUUUUGGAUAGGAGUCGAUAGAAAAGGUUUGGGAUAAAGAAAGAGUUUCCGGCCAAGUAGUCUUUUUUUUUUUUGCUACUUCUCAACCUAAUCUCAUGUUGAAGAUAUUUGUGUGUUCGUACAACAUCAAAUUCAACUUUAUUAUUAUUAUUAUUAUUAUUUUAUUUUUUAUGUGGUUUUUUUUUAAAAAGAAAGUCAUAUGAAUGGACAUGAUGAGAAAGAUUAGAUCGAGAAAAGACCUUGCUUUGGUUUUAGUGGAAUUUUCAAAAGGAAUAUGGUUAGGGGAAUAGACUACUUUCAACUAAAAAGUUAUAACAAUGUGAAUGGUAGGAACUUAAAACAUCACCAAUAUAUCAAAGGAGUGUAGAAUGAGAGGUUUUUAUUUUUUAUUUUUAUUAUUAUUAUUAUUAUUUUUACUUCUACAAUAAUAAAUUUUUCUGCAAGAGUUUUUUUAGGUACAAAAACUUAUGACUAAAAAACCAUUAUUACGAUGAGUUAAUUAAAAUAGAAUUAAUUUAGAAAAUAUAAAUAAAAUUGCAUGAAUCAUUAUCAUGAGUUCACUUAAUAAGAAUUAAUAGUAAUAAAGUUGAAUGAAGUGAAUUUGGAAUGUAGAUAUUAUUGAUGAUAAGAUUUUUUAAUAAUAAAAAUAUUAUUAGGGUAUGAAAAAUAGGACAAAAUUGACCUUUCUUUAUGUUACUGGUUAAAUGGAUAAUAGGGAUAAUCAAGUACUUACAUGUGGUGAGGUUACCUAAGCUAAUUCUGUACUUACCAGCUAGCCCAAAAGCUAAGAAAAAUCUCCAUCCUCCAUUCACGGCGCCCUUUUCUUUUCCCUAUUUUUAGAAAAUUCAACGAGUUUUGGUAAAUCAAUCUUACAACGUCCUUUCAGUCCACCAUUAUUUUCUGAUUCCUCCUUUUCUUUUUCUCUCGUUUCUUCCUUCAAAAUCCAUCCCUCAUCUCUCUCACAAUUUUCUCUUUACCUUCUUCUCUUCCUUCCAGUUUCCUUUUUAUUUUAUUUUUCAUGCAGACAGAAUCCCCUUACUUUCCUUUGUUUCUCUCUUUAAAAAAUUCUGAUUUUGCCCUAAAAAAAAUUGAUUUUUCUCUUUAAAUAUUUUAAUUUUCCUCCUCCAAAUUCUGAUUUGCCUUUCUAAAAUUUCAGAUCUUCCCAACCCAAAUUAAAUUCCGAUUUCCCCCGGUAAAAUUCUGGAUUUUCUUUUCCAAGAUAGUCAAUUUUUUAUUUUUUUUUCAAAAGACAUUAUGGGUGUAUUUUGAAAAAUUGAAAAGGUAAUCAUGCAUGGCCAUGUGAGGAGAGAAUAAAAAGUAUAGAUAAGUUGGAAGACAACAUUGAUGGGAGAAUAAAAGUUAAAAAAUCAAUAAAAUAGUGAGUAAAAAUAAUGAAUGGAACAUUCUCAUUCAACUAUUAUGAACAACCAAAUGUUGAAAUGAAAAACUAAUGAAAUUAAUACGAUUUUCUUUCUAUGGUUAGGUUUCUCUUCACACCAAACAAAUGUAGAGAAAUUUAAUUUAUAAAUGAAAAUUGGGUUUUGAUUCACUAAUAUAAGAGAAUAAAAAUAAAAAGAACUCUAAAUUAUAAAUUAGUUUUAUUUUUAUCAAUUUAAAAAUAUUUUAAAAUAUAUAUACUUUUUUAUAACUCAAAUAAUUAUUUCUUGAAAUAACAUUUUUACUUGUUAUGUUAAUAACACCAAUUAAUAAAUUUUUUUAGCGAUUAAAACUAAUUUGAGAUUAAUAAAAUAAAAAAAAAUUUAAAUUUAAAAUAUAAUUAAAAUUAAAAAAACUAUAAAAUAUAAAAUAUAAAAAUAAAAAUAAAAUAAUAAUUUUCAUUAGUUAAACACAUGUUGGUAGAAAAUAUAGAUAUCCAAAAAGAGUUGGAAAUACAAUGAUUAUCAAUAUUUAUUUUUAAAAUUUUAAAUUUUUUUUAAUUGUAUUUUUUAUUUUAUGGUUGAUUUUAACUAACAAAUUUUUUAUUCAAUUUUAUUGAAAAAUAAGAAGAUGGGCUUUAUAUAAUAUAGAAUAUAAAAUUAUUAUUAAUUAAAGGAUAAAAAAAGAUUUUAUUUAUCACUUGAAGAUUUGAAUAAUUUUUUCACAAUGAUUUGCAUCUUAUAAUAAAAAAUUUAUAAUAUAUUUAUAUACUUUUAUCAAAUUAAAUUGAUCAAUUAAUUUUGGAUUAUUUAUUCAAUAUUAUCAAGUAAAAUGGUAUUUAGAAAAUAAUUAUUUGAGUUAUAAAAAAGUAGAUGUAUUUUAAAAGAUUUUUAAAUUGAUGAAGAUAAAAUUGAUUUAUAAAAAUUAAUUAAAGUUUUUUUUAAAUAGUGAAUAAAACCCCCUUUUUUAAAAAAAAAACUUUAUAAUGUAUCCAUGGCAUUUUAUAACAUAAGAAAAUUAAUUUUUUGUGAAAGAGGAAAAAAAAUCAACUUUUCAAUUUCCAAUAAUAAUAAUUAUUAUUAUUAUCCAAUUUGGCUGAUUCUGUAAUUAGUUGGCAUCAUUACUAUUCUGUAAUUAGUUAGAAUAGUAUUAGGAGUUGAAGGUCAGUUGGAAUACAGGCUUAUGGAAACAAAUCUAUCCCAUUAGUUGGUUCUUAUUAUUUUUAUUAUUUUCAAUAUAGGAGAUGGGCAGCCGCUUCCUUUUGUCUGGGGGCCAUCCUCCCAACUUAUUAAAGGUGAUAUGAGAUUAAGAUUUUAACAAAAUUGUAUCUUGACUUCUCGAACCAUCGUUACUUGGCUCUCCACAACCACACCCAGUGCUGACACGUGACUAACAAACCUUCGCUCAUCUACCAAACCCAUGGCCUCAUGCCUUAUAUAUUUCCACAAACCUAGCUCAAUUUUCAUAGCCACCUUCACUAUCCUAUACUCACUAAGCCAUGCCCAUAGAUACAAGCCUCUUGCUUGAGUUUGCUGCAGCAACUCUACUCUUCUUCAUCACCCGCUUCUUCAUUCGUUCUCUCCUUCCCAAACCUUCCCGGAAGCUCCCCCCUGGCCCCAGAGGGUGGCCGCUCCUCGACGCUCUUCCUCUUCUAGGUAACUGAUUCGUCCCUAGCAGCGGAAGUGGCAAUGGCACCAUCUGAUUCGGGGUUCGAUCCCCGGCAACGGCGCCAUUUGACUCAUGCCCAAUUGGUGUCUCAGCUGAUUUAUGUUCAGCUGGUGCUCCUUGAUUGAGGAAGUGAUCAACAAAAUUUAUACCUAUAACACCAUACACUAGGGUAGCAAAUACAAAGCUACUAUAGUAUAGUGGCUCUAGGAUCGUUCACUGGGAAUGAUUUGCAAGCAAUCAAUGAUACCAAUUCCAAGUGAAUUGGUCUUGUUUCAUUUCACAGUUAGCUUAAGGAAUAAAACACAAACUUUGAUUUGUAAAGGUUGAGAUUUAAACUAACUAACUUAACAGAAGUUUGGAAUAAUUUAGGAAGAAAAGCAUUCCUUGGAGAUUUAGGUUCACUGGGGUGGUUCCUCAUGCAAAAGACAUAGCUCCGGUCAGAUGGUUCAUUUCCUCGCAUUAGAGAUUCAACCUAUAGUCAAUUCUCUAACCGGUGAUGUACAGAGACUCCUUCAAUUAGAUUUCACUUUAAUUCUCUCACUGAUACAACUUGCAAUGGUUCAUGCCUCUCACGAGCACUUACCAUUCAAGGUGAUCUUUAACCUUGGAUUCCCCUUCACAAACUCGCAAGAGAUAACUAAUGGAUGUCUCCUAGGAGUCCAAAAGCUUACCAAGUGUUGGUAAUUCCAGAAAAUCCUACCUUGAAGUCACCUACCAGAGGCUCGCAAGGGGUAAACUAGUGCAUUUCCACGGUUGGAAAUCACUUGCCUUACCAAGUGUUGGCCCAGGUGACUCUAAGGUGUUUUAAGUUAACUAAAAACAUUGAAAUCACUAAAGGAUUUCACUUCCUCUUCAUUACUAGCUAAAACCACAGAGCUUUGCAUUCUUGCACUUGGAACCUUCCCCGGCAACCUUAGCUCCAAGGAAUUGGAGGUUUAGUUACUCAUUCUCUGGGGAAAACUCCUCAGAGAAUUCAUAACUUAGAAAUAAAAUGAAAAUACAAAGUGAGAAGGUAAGGCAGUAGAAAGACAAGACUUUACUUGCUUACCAAACGUUUUCAGAAGGAACUCUUCCCUUAGAGAACAGGCUCCCGAGAGGUAUAUAUAUCAACAAAAUAUAAAACUAAUUGUUACAAAGAUAUUUGGUCUUUUUACUAACUUAAAAACUAAGGAAUCAUGUAAUUGGUGGUUUACAAGGAGUAUUUUGGGAUUUAGACAACAAAAAUCUAAUGGAAAAUAUCUCCCAAUGUCGGUAGCAAGCUUCGGGAGGCUUCAGGAGCCAUUUCGCAGGUGAAAAAUGAGGCCUGCGAAAUUUCGCAGACACCCAAGAGGGCUGCGAAAUUAUCUUGCAAGACCGAGCUAUCUUCACUAGGCUGCAAAGUUGGCUUCCAUCUUGAGGUUUCCAGCUCCCUUCUCGCGGCAUGGUUCGUGCAUCGUUAGAAGGAGAAAUACCUUACUGUACAAAAGUGCUGCGAAAUUCUCGCAACACAUGGCUGAUUCCGCAACACUUUAGAGUGUCUGGCUUGUAAUGGCUGCAACUUCUUCGUUUCAAUUCCGAAUCGCACACCGUUUGAAGCAUUGGAGUGUUGACUUCCUGAGCUUUGAAAUGGUAUAUAGCUUGCAUCAUUUGGACUUCAGAAAGUGCUCCAAAAGUGGCUGCUACGACUGUCAUCAAGAAUAUGCUCCAUGACUGAUCCUCUUUGCUUUUUCUCCUUGCAAUCCGGAUUCACUCUUGGCAAUUGAAUUCUAAGCUUUGCCCAAGAUUCCUCAUAGCUCUCCUCAUUCUUGACUUGCUUUGGUGAUCAAAAUACUAUCAAAAACACCAAAACUUACACAAAGUGAUCAAAAUUGCUUUAAAGGAUCCUUAACAUGCCAAUUGAGUUAAAAGGCCUAAACUACUACUCAAAAGUGUUAAAAAGGAUUAAUUAAAAGCUAUCAAAUAACACUUUUUGAGUAGUAAUCACUCCCCCCAACCGACAUAUUGCUAGUCCCUUAGCAAUAUAGGAGAGAAAAAUAAAAAUAAAUAGCAAACUAAUCUAAAAUUUACAACAUCAUGCUAAAGGAAAAUAAUUCUUAAGUGGCAUGAUGAUUUACUUCUCACAUGAAUCAUUAAAGAAAUACAAACCCAAAUCUCAACAAGAGUCAUAACACCUGUGCUAAACACUGUCAAUCAAGGGAGUGCAUUAUGCAAACUGAAGUUUUAAAAUCAUUUCACUUUCUAAGAACUAAACUUCAAUCUUCCACAAAAAUCUAUGUGUAUUGGUUCCUUAGAUUCCGAGAAUAAUAUGCUAAACUAGUCUCACCCCCCAACCUAUCUCUUUUCAACACUUUAGCAAACUGACCAAAAUCAAUAAGAAAAGAACACACUUUCAUCUUUUUUUUUUUUUUUUUUUUUUUUUUUUUUUUUUUUUUUUUUUUUUUUUUUUUCGGGGGACCUUUUGGGGGUACCCUUUCUGACUUGCCCAUGGAAGGGGGGCCCCCCGAUGACCCCCCACCAAUUAAGGUUUAGGGCCCCCCGUUUUAAGGAUUUUUCAACCCCAAACCCCCCGGAUUUUUCCCCAAAUUUUUAAAAAGGAAUUUUUAAACCCCAAGCAUCCACCAAAUGCUAUUUUUUCCUUUUCCCCCUUGGAACGGGGUUUGGGGGCGGGGACCCCCCACCAAUUAAGGGUUAGGGCCCCGGGCUUUAAGGGGUUUCCCCAAAAACCCCCCAAACCUUGCUCGGGUUNNNNNNNNNNNNNNNNNNNNNNNNNNNNNNNNNNNNNNNNNNNNNNNNNNNNNNNNNNNNNNNNNNNNNNNNNNNNNNNNNNNNNNNNNNNNNNNNNNNNUUUCAACCACUAACUCCUCGGAUUUUUCCCCAAACUUUUAAGAAUGAAUUUCUAAUACCCAAGCAUCUACCAUAUGCUAACUUUACCUAUUCACCCUUGUAACGAGCAUUGAGGUCGGUGACUCCCAACCAAUUAAGGCUUAGGGCACCAGGCUUUAAAGGCUUUCACCAUAUACCCCUCAGACCUUGCUCGGGUUUCAAGGCAAGCAAACAACUUUCUUUAUUUCAAAGGCUCAUUGGCCUUUUGCAGGGUGUUCCAAUUUUUAUCAAAUGAGGUCAAAUAUACCAAGUCUCAAAAUUAUCCUAAGUCAAGAGGGAAAUAGCUUUUCAUCUUAUAAUCGGAAACUAAUGUGCACAGUGUGUGGAUAGCUUAAAGUGGAAGAACUAACUUCAAUUACAGUAGAAGUUUCAACAAUUGAACCACUUUAGUAAGCAUAAUCCAUACUCUAAGUCAAGUGAAAAACAACAGUUCAAUUUCUCUUGGUUUAAUUUGAAAAUUUUUCCUCAAAAUUCAUGGAGAAUAGAGUAACAAGAGUAAAAAGUAAAAACUACAACUAAUUAACCAAUAUAAUUGCAAUACCAAAAAGGUUUAGACUACUUCCUUCCUCAUACCCCCCAACCGAACUGAGCAUUGUCCUUAAUGUGAUUUGAGUGACUGUAAUAAAAGGGAGGAAGUGGUACCUCCAUGCUGAUAUCAAAUUCGAAUAUUGAUUGGGGAAAACCACAUGUUUCAAAAAGAAUAGAAUAUGUGAGAAAAGGAAAUAAUAAUAACUUAAUGCUAACUUUUAACAAGAAAAAUUCAACUUGUAUUACUUUGAGUUCAUUUGAUUACAAUGCUAAAGACAAGUAACACAAGGAAUCCCAUAUAUAGUACCAAAAUACUGGGAUUUCUUUUCAACUAAAACAAAACAAGCAUAAAAACAUAAAUAGCAAAUAUAUAUAAUGUCUGAUGAGUGGGGUGAUGGUGCUAAGCAGAAGGAUCUGCCUCCUCUGUAGGUGGAUCAGCUGGGGCUUCUGGCUCUGGAGGAAGAGACUCUGAAGGCUGAGAGUGUGGCUCUGGUGGAGUAGCAGUGGAGGGCUCUACAGCUUGUGGUAGAUCGAAAUGGACUUGAAGCUGCCUUAGGAUGGCAGCUUGUUGAGCCUGAGAGGCUAACAUCUGCUCCUGGCAUGCUUUGAUGGCUGCCAACUCUUGAGCAAAAUUGCUCUGGGACGCUGUAAGAGUCUCCAAUGCUCGGCACAGCUCUCGAUAUUCGGAUAUAGGGAUGGCCAUCCUCGGCUCAGCUGAUGUGGAUGGCUGUGAUGCAGCAGGUGCAGCUGGUGAAGCUCGAGGGAUGGCAGGAGUAGCAAGUGUUAUACCUUCAGGUGCAUGUCUUGGGGAGGCUCUCCUUGCUGCUGGCUGAGGCUGCCCAGGAUGAUCAAUUUUGUAGGCCAUCAUAUUAUUCCAUUUAUCAAGGGUAAAUGGCUCACGACAUAUUCUCUUUCUUUCCUGCUGAGGCUCAGAGGGGUAUCCAAGAUGCUCCAAAACUUGGCAUAGCAGCCGUGGGAAGAGGAGGGGAAUGCAAUCUGCUCUUUAAAGCUUCUUCUUGUGAACCUUCUCCUCAAAGUAGAGAAGGGCUGCCAUGAUCAGAUGAUGAGGCCCAAAGAAGAAUCCUUCUGACAUCUUGUACAAGGCUUCCAGGAGAAUUCCCCUUCUUUGGGUCCAAUGCUGCAGGGGAUAGAUAUUAUGCCUCAAAAAGGCAUCAAUCAAAAACAUCACUAGAGGUAGCUCCCCCCUCAGCAAAUGUGAUCGAUUUGCAGCUCCUCUGGUUAGUGUGCGAACCAUCUCUAACUCAGUAGGAUUUACCCAAGCUUUAAAAUUGUCGAAUUGGGUUGGCUCAAAAGGAAUUUGCAGGGCUUCAGCAAUAUGUCUUGCUCCCAAAAUACCAUGUCUUCCAUCAAUUAUAAAAUGAAUCAAGGUUGGAUUUCUUACUUCUUUGGUUGUCAUGGUCUGGUAGAAGUCCGUGACUACCCGGGGAUAGAAAAAAUCCCUUGGAGCUAGCAGAUACUCCAUAUGAUAUCUCCUCAGCAGCUGGAAGGAUUGGGCAAGCUCUGGCCUCACUCUGAAUGCUGUUAAAUCGAAGCAAAGCUCAGAAUGGAAUGCCCGUGUUCGACAAUCCAAGUUUCCUUCGAUUGGGGGCUGGGGCAGCAUUGGCCUUCGGAUCACUUCUUCCAGAGGUGCUUCAGCUGCAAUUUGGGGCUCUGGAAUUGGCGCUUGAGGCUCCUGAGCUUUUUCUUGGGGUGCCGGAGAUGGUACCGGCGAUGGAAUUGGAGUUGCUUCAGGUGAGGGAAUUGGCGAGGGAACCGGUGACGGCACUGGAGUUUGAACCAGUGAAGGAUUUGGGGACUGCUCAGGGGAUUGCUCAGUCAAAUCAAUUGGUUCAGAGCUCUCAACCCUGGUUUUCUUCUUCAAUGGCUGACCGCCUGACCUUGUUAAAUAUCGCCUUGCCGGCGGCUUUGGUGGCGCCGGCUUCACUGGAGAAGGAUUUGGUCUCGACGGCGAAGGCUUUGGAGCAGGUUCUGGAACAGAACCUGGACUUGGCUCCUUUCGCAGACUCCUUUUGCGAUUCGAAGGGGAUGAAGACUUUGCCCCUUGUGUUCGUGCCAUUUUGGAAUACCGAAACUUUAGCCGGUGCUGCUGAACGGAGAAGACGACCGGAGGUUCGGACGGCGUGGCUUGGCGAAGAAGAUGAAGGGGCUGCGAGAAUGGUGCUCUGAUUUUUGAAACCCUUUUUGCAGCACUUUUGACCGGUAUAAAUAGGAAAAACGGAAGCCCAGGGGUCAGUUUAAGUUUCGCAACAAAACGCCAAUUUUGCAGCAACUUGCCAUUUUCGCAGCAACUUCGCAGUGAGUUUCGCAGCUGCGAAAUUGAUGUCACUGUGCUGCGGAGUGGCACUCGUGUGCCAAAACCACUUUCGCAAUUGCGAAAUGCCCUGCGGAAUGAGACUUUUGGUGCGAAAUCACGCUUUUCCAUUUCGCAAUGAGUUUCGCAGCUGCGAAAUGGGUUCUACUGUACUGCGAAGUGGCACUCGUGUGCCAAAUUCACUUUCGCAGCUGCAAAAUACACUCGCAGAGGCUUCUACAGUGCUGCGGAAUGGUUUGGCAGCAAAAUGCUCAGUUCGCAGAAGUUUCCUUCUCUCUGCGAAAUUUCGCAGAGCUCUGUUUUUCCCCUGUUUCUGCUCUGUUUCGGCUCCAAUUUCGACCCGAUUUUUUUUCUUUUCAAUCCCCUUGAAAUUUCUUCCACCUGGGAUCAUUUUAAACAAUUAAAACACACUUAAAAACAUGAUUUAAGAUCAAAAACUAAGAUCAAAAGUAUGGAAACAACUUAAAAAUUUUACAAAAUUUACAAAAAUUUUGGACUGUGGUUAAGACCACGUCCAGCAAACCCUUUUCACUUAGGCUUUUUGAGGUUCAAGGAGGUUGAUUGCCUCCUUUUCUGAUUUGAAUGACUCCAUGAACGGCUUAAGACGAUAUCCAUUGACUCUAAAGCUAUCCUUGCCAUUGGAAUUCAAUAAGUCCACCACUCCAUUGGAAUAUACUCGGUGAAUAACAAAUGGACCAAUCCACCUUGACUUGAGCUUCCCAGGAAAGAUAUGGAGUCUUGUGUCAUACAUCAAAACUUUUUGCCCUUCCUGAUUCAGUUUGCCCGGAUCCCAUUUGAAGCUUGCAUCCUUCACUUGAGACUUGGUUUGAGAUGAAGAUAUUACGACAGGACAUUGAUUAUUUUCUUCAAGAUAUGUAUAUUUCAGCUCCACAGGUAAAGGCUUCAGAUUGAAUUUUGGAAUUUCUUUUUCAGCGGCUGCCUCCUCUUCUUCAUUGAACAAAGGUAGAAUUUCUUCUAUCUUUCUCCAACUUUGUAGAGUAGCAAGCCCAAUAGGCGAUUCAGAAAAACCUUCCUCAAUAUCCUCAAGAUUUUCAUUCAACUUAUCUUGCAUAUGUUGAUUACAGUGCUCCUCCACCAAAGUAUCAAUUACACAUAACUCUUCUGGACCUUCUUCUUCUUCCGGAGUGAUUUGAUUUUUAGACAUAUAGAAAAUAUUUAGAUCCAGUGUCAUAUUACCAAAAGUGAGUUGCAUAAGCCCAUUUCUACAGUUGAUGAUUGCAUUUGAAGUUGCAAGAAAUGACCUUCCAAGGAUGAUAGGAACUAAAUUAGCUUCCUUUACAGUAGGAUCAGUAUCAAGAACAACAAAAUCUACAGGAUAGUAGAAAUUAUCUACUUGAACCAAUACAUCCUCAAUUACUCCUCUUGGAAUUUUCACUGAUCUAUCUGCCAAAGAUAAAGUGAUUGCUGUUGGCUUCAACUCUCCAAGUCCUAGUUGCUUGUAGACAGAGUAUGGAAGCAAAUUCACACUUGCUCCCAAGUCUAGCAAGGCUUUCUCCACUACCUUUCCUCCAAUCAUGACUGAAAUGGUAGGACUUCCAGGGUCUUUGUACUUCGAAGGAGACUUACACUGUAAGAUUGCACUUACUUGCUCAGUCAAGAAGGCUUUCUUGUUUACAGUCAACCCUCUUUUGAUCGUACACAAGUCCUUUAGGAAUUUUGCAUACGUUGGAACUUGUUUGAUCAUAUCCAGCAGUGGAAUAUUAACUUUCACUUGCCUCAAUACUUCUAGGAUUUCAGCUGCAUUUCUAACCCCCUUUUUCCCAUGUAAUGCUUGAGGAAAAGGUGGAAAAGUUGAUUUCUUCAGCAUUUUUUCCUUCAGAAGCUCUUUCUCUGGAAUUGCUUUCAUUGUUGAAUCAGAGUCCUUCUUCUCUUCGCUGAUCUCACUCUCUUUAUCUUCCAUUUCCUUCCCUUUCUUCAUCUCUUCUUCUUUUUCAACAUGUGGCUUGGGUGUUGGCUGCUCAAUUUUUUUACCACUCCUUAGAGUGAUCAAAGCUUUCACAUCUUUCACCUGUGAUGAUUCUCCCUCAUGGAUUUCCACUUCAUGGACACCUUUGGGAUUUUGGUUAGGUUGAGAAGGAAAUCUUCCUUUUUCUUGCAGUGUAUUCAAAUUUGUAAGCCUGGAAAUUGAAUAUUGGAUGUUAUCAAACUUUUGGUUCAUUUCAUUUUGCAUUCCAUCCAUUCUUUUGUUCAACACACUCUCCAUUCUAUCCAUUCUUUGAUCAACUCGAGCAUUGGUGGCUUCUUGCUUUCCCACAAAAUCUCCCACUACCUUGCUGAGAUUGGCUAUUAUUUGUUCAAUACUUGAAGAUUGCUGAGAUGGUGGAUCCGGCUGUUGGUAUUGAGUUGCUCUGGCCUUCCAUGAGAAAUUUGGAUGAUUCCUCCAACUUGAAUUGUAGGUAUUUCCAUAUGGAGCAUUGUUAUUGGGCCUGAAUUGUCUAACAACAUUUGCUUGAUCUCUAUACAUUUCCCUUUCAACUGAAAUUGCAGGGCACUCCUCUACCAAAUGUUCAAAUGAUUGACAAUUGGGACACAACUUCACUUGCACUGGUGCUUCAGCAACAGCUUGCACUUCAUGCAUUCUUUUCAGCUCCAGCUCCUCCAAUCUUCUUGUCAUAGCUGCCAACUUUGCUUUCAUGUCAUCAUCUUCUUUCAAAUUAUACAUCCCAGCCUUUGCAUUGUAAGCAUUCAACUGAGACUUCAUCUUUCCCACUUCUCCUUUGGUUGGUUCAUCCCAUCCCCUUGAAACAUCAGCUACAUAGUUCAAGAAAUCCAUAGCUUCCUCUGGAUUUUUGCUCAUGAAAUCUCCUCCACACAUUGUCUCGAGGAGUUGCUUCAUUGAGGAUGACAUACCAUCAUAGAAAUAGCUCACCAAUAGCCAUGUAUCAAAGCCAUGGUGAGGACAAGCAUUUAUAGCUUCCAUGUAUCUUUCCCAACACUCAUAGAAUUUCUCAUUCUCUUUAGCUGAGAAGUUUGAAAUUUGCCUUUUCAAGCCAUUUGUUCUAUGAGUAGGAAAAAAUUUCUUAAGGAAUUCAGCUUGUAAAUCAGUCCAAGAGCGGAUACUCCUUGGCCUUAAAGAAUUAAGCCAAAUUUUGGCCUUAUCCUUUAAAGUAAAAGGAAAUAACUUAAGCCUCAUCAAGUCAAUUGAAGCUCCUCCCUCUUGGAAUGUAUUACAAACAUCUUCAAAUUCCUUGAUGUGUGCAUACGGAUUCUCACUUUCCAUCCCAUGGAAAGUUGGUAGAAGUGGAACAAGAUACGGUCUGAUCACUAGCUGCUCUGUAGGGGCACUAUACAUGAUGGUGCACUCAUACGANNNNNNNNNNNNNNNNNNNNNNNNNNNNNNNNNNNNNNNNNNNNNNNNNNNNNNNNNNNNNNNNNNNNNNNNNNNNNNNNNNNNNNNNNNNNNNNNNNNNUAUAGUCAAUUCUUUAACCGGUGAUGUACAGAGACUCCUUCAAUUAGAUUUCACUUUAAUUCUCUCACUGAUACAACUUGCAAUGGUUCAUGCCUCUCACGAGCACUUACCAUUCAAGGUGAUCUUUAACCUUGGAUUCCCCUUCACAAACUCGCAAGAGAUAACUAAUGGAUGUCUCCUAGGAGUCCAAAAGCUUACCAAGUGUUGGUAAUUCCAGAAAAUCCUACCUUGAAGUCACCUACCAGAGGCUCGCAAGGGGUAAACUAGUGCAUUUCCACGGUUGGAAAUCACUUGCCUUACCAAGUGUUGGCCCAGGUGACUCUAAGGUGUUUUAAGUUAACUAAAAACAUUGAAAUCACUAAAGGAUUUCACUUCCUCUUCAUUACUAGCUAAAACCACAGAGCUUUGCAUUCUUGCACUUGGAACCUUCCCCGGCAACCUUAGCUCCAAGGAAUUGGAGGUUUAGUUACUCAUUCUCUGGGGAAAACUCCUCAGAGAAUUCAUAACUUAGAAAUAAAAUGAAAAUACAAAGUGAGAAGGUAAGGCAGUAGAAAGACAAGACUUUACUUGCUUACCAAACGUUUUCAGAAGGAACUCUUCCCUUAGAGAACAGGCUCCCGAGAGGUAUAUAUAUCAACAAAAUAUAAAACUAAUUGUUACAAAGAUAUUUGGUCUUUUUACUAACUUAAAAACUAAGGAAUCAUGUAAUUGGUGGUUUACAAGGAGUAUUUUGGGAUUUAGACAACAAAAAUCUAAUGGAAAAUAUCUCCCAAUGUCGGUAGCAAGCUUCGGGAGGCUUCAGGAGCCAUUUCGCAGGUGAAAAAUGAGGCCUGCGAAAUUUCGCAGACACCCAAGAGGGCUGCGAAAUUAUCUUGCAAGACCGAGCUAUCUUCACUAGGCUGCAAAGUUGGCUUCCAUCUUGAGGUUUCCAGCUCCCUUCUCGCGGCAUGGUUCGUGCAUCGUUAGAAGGAGAAACACCUUACUGUACAAAAGUGCUGCGAAAUUCUCGUAACACAUGGCUGAUUCCGCAACACUUUAGAGUGUCUGGCUUGUAAUGGCUGCAACUUCUUCGUUUCAAUUCCGAAUCGCACACCGUUUGAAGCAUUGGAGUGUUGACUUCCUGAGCUUUGAAAUGGUAUAUAGCUUGCAUCAUUUGGACUUCAGAAAGUACUCCAAAAGUGGCUGCUACGACUGUCAUCAAGAAUAUGCUCCAUGACUGAUCCUCUUUGCUUUUUCUCCUUGCAAUCCGGAUUCACUCUUGGCAAUUGAAUUCUAAGCUUUGCCCAAGAUUCCUCAUAGCUCUCCUCAUUCUUGACUUGCUUUGGCGAUCAAAAUACUAUCAAAAACACCAAAACUUGCACAAAGUGAUCAAAAUUGCUUUAAAGGAUCCUUAACAUGCCAAUUGAGUUAAAAGGCCUAAACUACUACUCAAAAGUGUUAAAAAGGAUUAAUUAAAAGCUAUCAAAUAGCACUUUUUGAGUCAAAUGAGUUCAAGGACAUGGUGGUGGAGCUCAUGACCACUGCUGGGUACUUCAAUAUUGGCGACUUUAUUCCGUCCAUCGCAUGGCUGGACAUCCAAGGGAUCCAGCGCGGGAUGAAGCAUUUACAUAGGAAGUUCGACCGGUUAUUAACAAAGAUGAUGGAGGAGCACACGGCGUCAGCCCAUGAGCGAAAGGGAAACCCAGAUUUUCUGGACGUAAUCAUGGCAAACCAAGAAAAUUCUACAGGGGAGAAGCUCACUAUUACCAACAUUAAAGCACUCCUCCUGGUAUGCAUAGUUAAAGCUCGUCUUCAAUUUUGUUUUCCGAUAUUUUCUUUCCGGAAACAGCACUUUUAUUGCUUUUAGAUAUGUACGUUUUUAUCAGGUAGCCAUUUUAGGGGCACAUCACUAUUCUUUAUUUUUGGACUAUUUUUUUCUUUUUCCACUUGCAUGGUUGUUUUCAUAUGCUCAGCUGCAUGGCACAAGAAAAUUGUGAAAAAUGAUUGGUUCUCUGAUCAGACCUUCUGCACCAAAACACGCUUUUCUCUAUGUUAUAAAAUCGGUUUACAUGAUUUUUCAACCAGCUUCCUUGAACUUGAACUUUUGCUAGGGCUAAUGCAAAAAAUGAUUGAUCUCAAUUUUCAAUAGCGUUUGAUUACAUAAAUUUCAAGUAUGUGAACAUAUUUUUGUUUCCUUGGCUAGAAUUUAUUUACUGCAGGAACAGACACUUCAUCGAGCGUAAUCGAGUGGUCUCUGGCUGAGAUGUUGAAAAACCCGAGCAUCCUCAAGCGUGCUCACGAAGAAAUGGAUCAAGUGAUUGGAAGGAGCCGGCGGCUCGUGGAGUCUGACUUGCCAAAACUUCCAUACCUACAAGCCAUAUGCAAGGAAAGCUUCCGGAAGCACCCAUCCACCCCGUUGAACCUUCCUCGUGUCUCAACCCAAGCAUGUGAAGUGAACGGCUACUACAUCCCAGAGAACACUAGACUUAGCGUGAACAUAUGGGCAAUUGGGCGAGACCCUAAUGUCUGGGAAAGCCCGGAAGAAUUCAGGCCAGAAAGGUUUUUAAGUGGAAGAAAUGAAAAAAUUGACCCUCGUGGAAAUGAUUUUGAGUUGAUCCCGUUUGGGGCUGGACGAAGGAUUUGCGCUGGCACUAGAAUGGGAAUAGUGCUGGUUGAGUACAUUUUAGGGACGUUGGUACAUUCAUUUGACUGGAAAAUGCCGGAUGGAGUUGAGAUCAACAUGGACGAAGCUUUCGGGCUUGCACUGCAGAAGGCAGUUUCUCUUUCGGCCAUGGUGACACCAAGGCUUCACCAGAGUGCGUAUGCAGUCUGAGCUCAAACCGCUCAGACCAAAACCCAGGCCUCGCUGCUAUAUGGCAUGGAUGCAGUUAAGUAGAAAAUAUUUUGGGAUGCCUGUGGCUUAGUAUAAGAUGUAUUAGCUCAAAGAUGGUCGUUUCAUUCUACCACCAAGCCAUAUGCAUCUAUGCAUAAUCUAUUGAUUUAGGCUCGAUUUGGUUAUAGUUUUUGUUUUUUUGUCUUCCAAAUCAGUAAAUAGUAGGGGUAUUUUUGUCCUAUGUAGUGAUUCUUUUUGUUUGAUUGAUUAUAUUUGGAUCCUUCAAAAAUAUAUGGUCAGAGCCAUCUCCAUCUUUUCACUUCUUGUGCUGCAGAAUGGGAUUGGCUUAGAUCGUUAGUCUAAUGUUAACCCCCUUCAAAUCUAAUUAUUCAUACCCAAUUUUGACACGAAAGAGCCAUUGUCAUGAAAGGGGGACCAGGGACCUCAGCACCCUUGGUUCAUCAUUUUGGUACGAUGCCAACUCUACCACAUAACCACCAUUUAGAUAUCUAUCCUUUUAUUUUUGGCAUGUGAACUUAUAGUGGGUGGCUGACCUUGAAUCCAGUAGUUAUCAUGAUAUAUAUGGCUGUGUUGAAACUAACCACCAUUUAGAUAUCUAUCCUUUUAUUUUUGGCAUGUGAACUUAUAGUAAGUCCGAUUUAUGUCCAAGGGUCAAAUUUAAAUCUCUCUUCAAUCUAAUGGCUAAGAACUUCCCAACUUUAUUUAAUACUUAAUGUAUCCAAUAAUUGUAAUCGAGUAAUCCAAUGACAAGUACCUUCAAUGAUUAUUUUGGCAAAAGAAAUAAUAUAAGUUUGUUAUUUUAUGAUAUAAUAAAUUUAUUAAUACUUUCCUUUUUCAAAAUAUGUAAUUAGUUGUAAUUUCAUUAUAUAAUAUAUAAAUUAAGUUAUUUGCAAUUUUAAAAUAUGCUCAUUUUGUAUUUUUUUAAGUGUUAUUUAAAAAUUACACAAUUUUGUUUUAUAAAAAGUAUUUAGUACUUUUAAUUUUAUAAUUUACAAACAUUAAUUUAUACUAUUUUCUUAAAAUAUUUAGUUUAGUAUGCAUAUUAUUAGUUGUUUUCUCAGAUCUCAAGUUCCAAUCAAAAAAAUAUUUAUGAUUUGUUUUUGUUAAUUUGUGUCUUGUUUUCAAUUUAAUUAAUGAAAUUUUAUUUGAUCAAAAAGUUCAUUAUAAACCAAUUUUAAAAAUCUAAUCCUUUAUUAUAUUUUGAUAUGGUUUUGAUAAAAAUGUCUUUAUUAUUAUUAUUUUUUAUAAAAAUAAUUAUUAUUUUUGAAAUAUAUUGUAAAUAUUUAAAAUAAUUAAAAAUAUUUAGAUCAAAAAUCGAUUAUUUUUCAAACAAAAAUAUGAAAGUGAUAAAUUUGCAAAUAUGGGGAAUAUUUAAUCCUUUUAAUCGAUUAUUUCAUUACUGAAGUGGGUAUAAUGAUGAACGCAGACUUGGUUUUGCUAGGGCAUGCAGAGGUUUUGCAAGAGAGAGAGAUCAUUUCUCGACUCUGAGAAAUCAAUCUCCUUUUGGCCCGGUGGUGGACUCCAAGUAAAGCCUUGAAGGAGCCUUGCUAACAUCCCUGCACACCCACGCCUUCCAGUACUGAAGGAAAUGAAGCGAAGGGUUGGCUCGUUCAACUCCACUGCUUGAACUGUACUAGCAUUCUGAUGCCGCUCUGGAUUGAAAUUUAGCGGUUCUUCCCAGAUUCUAGGGUUCCGGCCCAGCCCCAGACGGCUCAGAAGGACAUGACUGCCUUUGGGGAUAAAGUACCUAGCAACACUAGUCGGAUUCCUGAACUCGUCUAUCCUUUCCAACCACUCCAUCAAUUUCUUCACUGCUUUGCUCAAAAUCCCUGGUUGCUUGAUCAUUGCCUACCCAAUUGCAUUUGAUGGACUAUCGACGCCUGCAAGCAUCAACUCCUGCAAAUUAUGGAAGGAUCAUAAUCUGAUGAUUGAUCAAGUUAUUUGCUGGCUAGGAAAUGAUCAUCAUGCAAUGUAGAUCAAAAGGUAAGCACAACGCUACUACAAAAAUAAUUUAUGGUGUCAUUUUUUAAAUAAUGACACCAUAGGGUUUAUAAUUAAUAAAGGUGAUACAUCGUAUAAAAUUUUUUCAAUUGAGGUAGUUAGAUUAUGUUAGUUUUAUAUUUAUAGUGUCAUUUUUUGGGAAGUAACAUCAUAUAAAAUAAAUUUUUUUAAGUAUUAUAACUUAAUGAGCCCACUUGAGCCCACUUUUAUAAUUAAUAAUGGGGGAUAAUGUAUAAAAAGCCCAUUGUUUCCACAUGCCACCCACAAUCCAAAAAAUCUCAGCAUACAAACCUUAUAUAUAAAACCAUAAUCUUCUUCUACCUUUUCUCUUACCUAUAGUCAACACACUUACAACCAACAUUUUCUACUUUGUGGACUCCUGGGUAAUCCAAAUUCUCUUAGAUCUAUCAUAUUUUUUUUUUCCUUUUAUUAAUAUAAUUAUAUUGAUUGUUUCAGCAUCUUUGUAUUAUGGUUUUUGUAAACUGCGUUUUCUUGAGUUGUAGGGAAGAAAAACUUAGGUUUAAACUUCUAGCAUAGACGAAGAAACUUGUAGAUUAAUUGAUUUUUUAAUAUGAACCAAACACAUGACUGACUUCUUAAAAACAAGAAAAAAUGAAUGAUUUUUAAUAUGUAUUUAUGUGAGAAUGACAGGUACAAAAUUUUGUUGAGAUAUACUGCCACAUAAUCUUCAUCCCUUCCCUAAAACAAGAGAGAGAGAAAAAAAAAAAGGAAUGAUUUUUUUUGUGUGUAUCUAAGUGGGAAUGAGAUAUAUAGAAUUUCGUUGAGAUGCCACAUGAUCUUUAUCCUCCAUUAAACCCAACAUAUUAAAUCCACUAACUCUCCCCAAAAACGAGUAAAAAAAAAGGGAAAAAAGUAUGAGUUAAAAAACAAAAACGGAAAAUAUGAUUUUUUUUUUUUUUUAAUGUGUUUCUAAGGAAAAUGAGAGACAAAUUUUUGUUAAGAUGCAUUGCCACGUGUUCUUCAUCCUCUCCAUUAAGCCUAACAUAUUAAACCUAAUAGCUCUCUCUUUUAACUUUCCAGUGAAGUGCCUACAGUAUCCAACUCAAAAUAAGACAACUUAAGCCCCAUUAGCCAACAACCCAUAUUUUGUGUACAUCUUGAUGAGAUUAUUUUGUGAGAAAAUGUCAUGAAACAAUCCCAAUUUGAUAAUCUAGGCAUGUAUUUGAGUUAAAAAUAAAUUUCUAUUCUAUAGAUCAAAUAAUAAAAUCAUGUUUGAAAAUUAUUUUUAAAAACUUAUUUAGAGCAAAAAUAGUUUUCUAACAUAAAAAUAAUUUUUUAACUGAGAAAAUAUAUUUGAAAUUAUUUGAUAGAAAAUUGGGCAUGUAUUUGACUUAAAAACAAAUUUCUAUUCUAUAGCUCAAAUAAUAAAAUCAUGUUUGAAAAUUAUUCUUAAAAGCUUAUUUAGAGCAAAAAUGGUUUUCUAACAUUAAAAUAAUUUUUUAAUUUAGAAAAUAUAUUUGGAAACAUUUGAUAGAAAACUGGGCAUGUAUUUGACUUAAAAAUAAAUUAUUAUUCUAUAGAUCAAAGGAUAAAAUCAUGUUUGAAAAAUAUUCUUAAAAACUUAUUUAGAGUAAAAACAGUUUUCUAACAUAAAAAUAAAUUUUUAACUUAGAAAAUAUAUUUGAAAACAUUUGAUAGAAAACUUUUUUUUUUUUAAUGUCAAUAAGUUGUCUUUUGUUAAUUUAAUUGUAAUCAAUUUGCUUAUACGCAUUUAAAAGUAUAUAUUAUCAUAUUUAGUAAUAUUUUGAUUGUUAGGCAAAUUAUCAUUUUUGAGAGGAAUUUUUGUAGCUCUCAUAAUUAUAAUUGUAUUUUAAUAACCAUUUCCAAUAAAAAAAAAGAAAAAAAAAGUUAGACAAUUAUCAAAAUCUGAUUUUUAGGAUUUAAAAAAAAUCUACAAGCCAAAACUAUCUAUAAUUUUGAUCAUGUGAGAACACUUCUUUUUUAAUACUUUGAAUUAUUUUGUUUUUUUUUUCUUAGUAUCUGAAAGUAUAAAAGAAUUUCUCUUAUUAUAUUAUUAUAUUAUAUAUGUGCAUGUGUGUUCUCAUGGUUGUUUAUGUCAUGUGUUAUUAAAGAAUAAAGUGAAAUUUCCUUUGAGUGGAAGGUUUUAGUCCACGCUAGUGAGUGGACACAGUAUGAAUAGUUUGGGUGGGUUGUAUCUAUGGUAAAAAAAAUAAUAAAAGACACCUUUUGCAAGUCUCCAAGUUGGUUGAGAUACAUGGUAUCAUGUUGACUAAACCUUGACUUUUGCAAGUCUCCUAGUUUCCAACUUUUUUUUUCUUUUUUUUUUAAUAUUAAGGUGUGGGGCCAUGAACUCCUUUCUUUCCUUUUUAAAUAACAAAAAGGAAGACAAUUUUAUUGUGAGAAGGCUAUUGCUAUCAAUUGUGUUCACGUCGAGAUUUUUUUAAUUUAUGGAGGCCAUAUAUAUAUUUAUGUCUAAUUUAGGAUGGUAAUUUGGGUUUGUUUAAUCUAUUCCAUUUAAUCAUACUAUACAAUCAUUUUUUUAUUUGGAUUAUUUUUGUAUUAAAUUUCUUCAACCCAAAUUUUGUUGAAAAGUUACAAUGUAUUAUUAAAAAUAUGACUUGGUAGUUGAUUAUGGAUAUGUGUCAUUUUUAGUAAAAAAAAAAAUCUAUAACAUUUUAUAUUGAUAAUAUAUUAUUCUUGUAACAGGUUCGAAUAGUAAGCAAGUCAUUAUCAAAGAAGUUAUUGAAAGUGUAAGGGUAUGUUUAUUUAUUGCAUGCUCUUAUAUAGUAUCAAUUGUAAGGAAGAUAAAAUUACCUUGUAAAGGUAAUUAAAUCUUUCUAUAUUUUAAAAACUUUUUUCCUAUAUACUAUGCUUUUGAAGCUUGUUUAAUUAAACAUAUUAGUUAUUUGACAAACUUUUCACAAAUGUUUUGCAUGUAUACUUAUGUGUUCUAUUUUGUUCCAUAGUUUUAUUGCAUAAUACUAAUGUAUAUUUUUUCACAAACUUUUUACAACUAUUUUGUGUACUAAUGCAUAUUAAGUUUUGUUCUUGCCUAUAUAAGCUACAUUUAGUUAUUUAAAUAUAUCCAAUAUUAUGUUGAAGAAAGAUGUACUUACUUAACUUUUUUUAUUCUAAAUAUUAACAAGUUUUUCAGUUCUCUUGUCUCGAGAUUGAAUGUCAAAAGAUAGAAGGUCAGUUGAGUAUGAUGAAAGAGUUGAAAACUUUAUCAAUUUUGCAUUAGCACAUUCAAUCAACCAUUCCCCUAUAAAAUGCCCAUGCUUACGUUGUGCAAAUCUGUUAUGUCAAACUCUUCAAGUCAUUACAGAGCAUUUGUUCUUUAAUGGAAUAGAUCUCAGUUAUCGAGUAUGGUAUUGGCAUGGAGAAAAUGGACCCAGUGGAGGAUUUUCAAAUGUCUCACAACAACAUUAUGACAAAUGCAAGUAUAAUGAUGUUGUUGACACAAUAGAUAUGGUUAAUGCUGCACAAGUUAAUUGUAUGAAUGAUCCCUAAGUGUUUGGAAGGUUACUUGAAGACGCAGAAAAACCUUUAUAUCUUGGAUGCAUGAAAUACACAAAGUUGUCAGCAUUGGUAAAACUUUACGACUUAAAAGCACAUUAUGGUUGGUCUAACAAAGGAUUCUCAAAAUUGCUUCAGUUGCUUGGAGAUAUGUUGCCAUUGAAUAAUGAGAUGUCAUUGUCCAUGUAUGAAGCUAAAAAGACUUUCAGUGCACUUGGGGAUGAAUAUAAAAAAAUUCAUGCAUGUUCUAAUGAUUGUAUUUGGUAUAGAAACCAGUAUAAGGAUGCUAUUGCAUGCCUAACUUGUGGAAAGUCAAGGUGGAAGAUAAACAAUGAGGGGAAAAAGAUUAAGAAGGGGCUUCCUUCAAAGGUUUUGUGGUAUUUCCCACCAAUCCCUAGAUUCAAAAGGAUGUUCCAAUCCUCAAAAACCGCUAAACAUCUUAUGUGGCAUGCCAAGGAUAAAGAAUAUGAUGGUAAACUAUGCCACCCAUCAGACUCCUCAGCGUGGAAACUAGUUGACCAUAUGUGGCUUGAUUUUGCUUCUAAACCGAGAACCUUAGACUAGCACUCUCAACAGAUGGUACAAAUCUUCAUAAGUCUAUAAGCAAUAGACAUAGUUGUUGGACUGUUAUACUGAUCAUAUACAACCUUCCUCCUUGGUUGUGCAUGAAAAAGAAGUUUAUGAUGCUAUCAUUAGUGAUCUCAGGACCACGACAACCUAGUAAAAAUAUAGAUGUUUACUUGAGUCCAUUGGUAGAUGACCUUAAAACUUUGUGGGAAAAAAACGUUAAGACUUAUGAUGCACACUUGCUUGAGGUUUUUACUUUAAAGGUCAUCAUUUUAUGGACAAUCAAUUAUUUCCCUACAUAUGGAAACUUGGCCAAUUGCACCGUGAAAGGAUAUUAUGCAUGUCCAAUAUGUGGAGAAGGAACAUAUUCCCAAAGAUUAAAGUAUGGUAGGAAGAACUUGUAUAUGGGUCACCGAUGAUUUCUUCCACGUAACCAUCCCUAUUGGAGACAAAAAAAGGCAUUCAAUGGUGAACAAGAUUUUAGAAUUCCUCCUAAAAUUUUGAGUGGAGAAGAAAUACUUGAAAAAGUUGAUCUCAUUCCUAUUUCUUGGGGAAAAAUGAAGAUAAAAUCUCUUGAACUGAUGUGAACACAAAUUGUUGGAAAAAAAAGUCCAUAUUUUUUGAGUUAGAAUAUUGGAAAUAUCUUCAUAUCCUUCACAACUUGGCAGUUAUGCACAUUGAAAAGAAUGUUUGUGAGAGUAUUAUUGGUACUUUGUUUAACAUCCCAGGAAAAAAAAAAGAUGGACUUAAUGCUCAACUUGACCUAGUUGAAAUGGGUUUAAGGUCUGAACUUUUCCCAAGAGUUGACUUGAAGUGGACCUAUCUUCGUCCUGCAUGUUAUUCACUAUCCAAACAUAUAUGACAAAAAAUUAUUUUGUCAAACAUUGUCUAAUUUGAAGGUCCCUGAGGGGUAUUGCUCAAAUUUUAGAAAUCUUGUCUUCUUAGAGGAAUUGAAGUUAUUUGGUUUAAGAUCCCAUGACUACCAUGCACUUAUGCAACAACUAUUGCUAGUGGCAUUACGUUUUGUUUUGCUAAAGCAUGUGAAAUAUACUAUAUCAAGAUUGUGUAUCUUCUUCAAUCAAUUAUGUACAAAAAUGGUUGAUGUGCCAAAAUUGGAUGAAGUACACAAUGAGUUAGUGGUCACGUUGUGCUUACUUGAAAAGUAUUUUUCACCUUCAUUUUUUGAUAUUAUGCUUCAUCUAGUAGUGCAUUUGAUAAGGGAGGUGUGACUAUGUGGUUCAGUUUACUUUAGGUGGAUCUACCCAUUUGGGAGGUAUAUGAAAGUUCUUAAAGAAUUGUUCGCAAUCAUAAUUGGCCUGAAGGAUGCAUUACUAAGUGCUAUUUAGCAGAAAAAGCUAUCGUAUUUUGUACUGAAUAUUUAUUAGGGACUCAUGCAAUUGGAAUUCCAAAAGCAACAAUUAUGACAACAAAUUUGGUAGACCUAUAAUUGGUGGUCGUUCUACCAUCAUUGAUCGUAAAUCGUGGUUACAAGCACAUCAUUAUCUAUUAGAGAAUACAACUAUCGUCCAACCAUACACUGAGUAAGAAAAACAUACCUUUAUCUUUUUAUAAUUUCAUAACAUAAUGAUGAAAUCCUAAGUUUGCAUUCCUUGUCUUUAACGUCAUAGGGAACACAUGAAUUGGUUGAGGUCUCAAUACCCUCGAAAAUCUAAUAGACAAAUUUGGUUGCAAGAAGAACAUAUGAGUUGUUUUACAUAUUGGCUUAAAGAAAAGGUAAUCUCUUAGUUUUUAGAAAAUUUUUCAAUAUGUUGAAAACAUCACAAGUUUCCAAUAUGUUUUGAUUAUACAUAUGUUGAAGAGGCUAUCCAUAAUGGGCAAGAUAUUCCCGACACACUUAGGUGGUUAGCACAUGGCCCUACUCUCCAAGUAGUCAAAUAUCCUGGAUAUAUCGUUAAUAAGUGUCGUUACCAUAUUAAGAAACGCGAUAUGACAUGCAUCACCCAAAAUAGUGGUGUUAGCAUUUUAGCAAGGACUAUGCAAAUUGCCAGUUCUAAGGAUAAGAACCUAGUUUGUGGUGAACUUUGCUUUUAUGGGGUCAUUAAUGAGAUAUGAAAUCUUGAUUACAACAUGUUCACAAUUCUAAUUUUCAAGUGUGAUUAGGUUGACAACAAGAAUAGUAUAAAAGUUGAUGAACUCAGGUUCACAUUAGUUGACUUCUCCAAAAUAGGUCACAAAUUGGAUCCAUUUAUUUUAGCAUCACAAGCCAAGCAAAUCUUCUAUGUUGAAGAUCAACUUGAUCCUAAAUGGUCAAUAGUUCUCUCAAUUCCUCCAAAAGAUUUCAAGAACAUAGAAGGACUAGAUGACUUCACCGAUAAUUGCAUGGAACAUCACCCCUUUAUAAGUUCAAUGCCAGAAUUUGAAUCAUUUGAUGCUAUGGAUGAAUCAUAGGCAAUACACAUGAGAGAAAACUGUGAGGGCAUAUGGAUUGAAAAUAAUUAAAUAACAUAUUGUACCCUUGAAUGAGAUAUAAUAAGGCAUUUCACUUAUUAGUUUUCAUGAGUUGCACAUUAACUUAGCUUCUAUAUAUUGCUCAUGAUAUAUCUAUAUAUAUUAAUCAUCCUAAAUUUCUUUCAUGCAUCAUAAACAUAUGUUAUUCAAAGGUACCACUUCAAUCUUCAUUCAACUAUCUUUUUGUUGUCCAUAGAACUAGAUUUAUAUUAUUUUUUAUUAUCAUGUUUUGAUUUUAUGCUCACAUAACUUGAAACUCUCUUUCGUAAAUUUCUUUUUCAUUAAAACUAUAAAUCAUAAUUGAAACUAUGCACUAAUUUAUUUUAUUAUUAUCCUCACAAAUAAAUUCUUCAUUAUUGAUAAGAAAUCAAAAAACAAGACAAACUUUGAAAGAAAAUUUCAAAAAAUAUAUUUGUGAAUGACCAAUUUAAUUAUAGAAAAUAUAUGCAAGGCUAUACUAAUCUUGCUUUUGAGUCAUUUUACAGGUUUGUUGGUGAAGUACUAGUUUGCACAUUGACUUGAUAUCUUCCACACAAAUAUGGAUCUAGAAGAAGGGGAAAUGCCAAAAAUAAAGCAUAGAGGUAGUGCAUUGAAACCAAAGAUUGCAAAAAAUCGAAGUAAAGGGAUAAAACUCAAGAUUGAAUACAAUAGCCUUGGUAGUCACAUUGAGGAAAAUUCAGUUAAACUAAGUAGUUAUCUUAGUACAAUAACAAAAACCCAUGUGCCAAUAAUUAUUGAGAGUUGGAGGAAAGUCCCUAAAGAGACUAAGGAGAAGUUGUGGGAUUUGAUCACGGUAAGCCUAUCUAUAGCUUUAAUAUAUAAUUAUUGUAUACAUUCAUUAACAUGAGCUAACAUGGGUUGCUAUUUUGUAGACAAGCUUUAAUGUGAAUAAAAAAUCCAAGAGGAAUUGUUUCAUACUAAUGGGCAUCAGGUUUCGAACCUUUAAGUACAAGUUGACAAAGAAAUAUAUAUUGUCUUUCAAGAAUGACCAAAAAAGCUGAAAAAGUCACCUCCUAUUUGCCCAUUCAUACAAGAGGAUCAUUGGAGACAGUUUGUUAAAGAUAGACUUUUUGAACAUUUUAACGUUAAGCAUUAUUUUUAUUACAUCUUCAAUUUUCACAUUUACGUAGUUUCAUUAUGUACUAAUUUUGUGUCUAUAUUUUGUAGGAAUAUCGCAAAGUUCAGAAAUCAAGAAGAGAUAAACACAUUUACAAUCAUUAUCUUGGAAGAAAAUGAUAUGCACGUUUUGAGCAAGAUAUAGUAAGUUAUCAAUAUCCAUAAAAAAAAAUGGAGUAUAUAUUUUGUUUAUAGGAAAAUGAUUCUAGUUUUUAAAUAUCAUUUAUUAACUUGAUCAUGUUGAACUAAUGAGUUUUAUUGUUAAAAUUUUUAUAGCUACAAGCAGAAGGGGCUAUUGGUAGGGUUGAUAGAAGUGUUUAUGAAAGAAAACACGUGAGAAGAAAGGAAAGUUUAAUAAGAUUACAAAGCCAAUGAUUAACUAAGUUAGCAUAUUUAUGCCUUUUAGAGCCUAUAGUGUUAGUAUGUCUAUGUGAUUAUGGUUUGGGAUGAUAUCGUUAGGUGUUAAUAGGGAAGAGGCUUAAUGCUAUCAUUUUUAUGAGUAGUCAUGUUAUAUUAGUGCAAAUAUAGUAGCCUAAUUUGAAAAUUAAUUUUGAAACAAUAUACAUUAAUUUAUCUAUUAUCAUUUUUAUUAAAACAAUUCAUUUUCUAGCUACCUUGAAUUGGUCCUCUUGAAUUGGUUGUCUUUGAUUGAUAUGUUAAUCAUCAUCUUCAUCAAAUUAUUACUAAUAUAUGUUUUGUUGUAGGAUGAAUUACUAGAAAAGGCAAGGAGACUAGACUACCUCCACCUGGUCCAAAUGACAUAUUAUGUUAGGCAUUGGGUAAGCUUGAUCAUCUAGGACGUGUGGUAGGUCAAGACCGCUUGGUUAGGCCGAACUCAUACUUUCAUCAACCAUUUGAUGACAUGAAAAAAAAAAUCAAAGAAGAAAUAUGGGAAAUGGUGUGAAAGGGGAUGCAAGAUGCUGUAACAAGACAAACUAUGUCUCCUCCCACACCCCAUUCUGAUAUAGGUAGUAAUAACAUGAGACAACAACUUGUUUUACAACUAGUUGUAGCAAAAAAACCAAUGUUUAAAAUGAUGGAAGAGCCCCAACCACCAUAACCACCACUGAAACGUAAGGUAUACAUUUACUUACUAAUAAUACAAGAUUAAUAUAAGUGAUAUAUAGCCUAUGUAAAUGAUAUUAUUUGUUGUAUUAAAGGUGAUUAAAUAUAAAUUAGCAGUGGAAUGAAAAUGAAAUGUUGUUGCAACCGGUACAUUAAUAGAAGAAAAUUGAUCAAAUGGGUUGGUCGUAAUAAAUGUUGCACACAAGCUAGAUGCUAGACUCCCAUUUCCAAAUCCAUAUGAGAUUAUCAAUGUUGGGGAUGCUAUUGGCCUUAAGCUUGACUGGCCAACAAGCCUUGUCAUACUUGAAACUAAACAUCCUCGGGUAUGUCAUUUUAUACUUGUAGUAAAUUUGAUUGUAACUUGGUAUUUUAUUGUUAGGAGUAUAUAUUACUAACAUUCCUUCAUUUUUCAUAGGUGUUGGAUAAAGGAAAGAAGUAGAUAGUGAAUGCACCAAUUAUUCGAAAAUCUAAGCCUCAAAAUUAUUCGGUCAUUAAAAAUUUCCAGAAAUUUAUGGAUGGUUGUCUUAGUAAUGAGAAGACAUACCCAAUACAGCUCCCCAUUUCACUAUUUGGUGUCGAAUUCCGAACAUAUAUAUCUAGAGAGGAUUGUGAAUACAUUAUUUCAUCUUCAGAAGUGUCAUCAAAAUGCAUCUCCUUCCAUUUAUGGUGUGCACCUUUUAUUUUCAUUUGUUUUUAUUUUUUUUAAUAUGAGUUGCCCAUGUUGAACAAGAUUGGAUAUGACUAAUGAUAAUUUUCUUUUGGUGUUUUGAUAAUAUAAUAGGUACAUGCAUGAUCAACUACAUAUUGCCAAAAAGGAAUCACAAUUUAUAUUUGUUAAUCCUUUUACAAUAUCAUGAGCAGGCUUUAGUAAUCCUCAAACAGAGAAAAGAACACAAUUGUUGUCAAAACACUUAAUAGAGUGCCAAGAUGUCGGAUAUGUUUUCAUGCCCUACAACCUCGAGUAAGUGACGAAUAUUAUACUUUAAUUUGAGGUUUUAUGAUUGAUUUAUAUUUCUAAUUAGAUGCUACUUUUGUUUUUAAUGUUUUAGCUUUCAUUGGGUCUUGGUAGUGAUUGAGCCAAGGAAAAUGAUAGUCCACUAUCUUGACCCUGUGCAUCACAAACCAUGUGAGGACUUAAAGGAUAUCGUAAACAUGUAAGUUCUUCCUAUUAUUUUUCAUAGUAUUAUUUAAAAAAAAAUUACAUUCACCUCAAACACAUUUUUUAUUGUUAUUUCUAUAUAUUAAAGAGAUAAUUUUUUAUCCUACAAUGAUUGCUUCAAAGGUAUUACUUAUUUAAUGAAUUGUACAUAUUUUUAGGCUUUCAAAUGUUAUGCAUUUUAAUGUUAUUUUCUUAUUUGAUUUCAGUUUGGUGAUAAAAAAACAUAUUCUCAAGUAGAAUUCAAUGAAAUUAGAGGAGAAUUGACUACUUUUGUGCUACAACUAAUCAUGAAUCAUGUUGAUGCAUCAUGAUCACCAUGCAUGGUGAGUUCCUUAGCUACUACAUGAAUUUUUCCAUAGAUAUUGUAUAGUAUUGCUUUUCUUUGAACAAUGUUUUUAUUUGAAAAAAAGAAAAAAAAAAGUUCUUAGAUUUGUUCAUUUAUGAUAACAUCGAUCCAUAUUUAUUUUCUUCAAUGAAAUAUAUAAAACUCAUUAAACUAUGAAAUGCAGGUAUACACUCUUAGGAGGGUGGAAUAGAGAAUAAAAAGAACAAAGAAGGCAACAAGAUUUUAGGUUUUUAAAUACAGCUCGUAUGUCAUACGUUGUAGGACAUAAACAUUACUUUAAUUGGUAGUGAGAAUUUUAGAUUUUUAGAUGCUACUUUUAUGUCAUUUUAUAGUUAGUCGAUUUUAUGCUUAUGAAAUGAAGGUAUACAUGAAUCUUGGGAUGCUUCACAUUUCUAAAUCAUGUUUUGGUAUGUAUUCCCUCUUCUUUUUUAGUUUUGGUGGGUUUGAUAUGUUGGAUGUACUAUCUUUUUGUGAACAUUUGAUAUACAAAUAUUAUUAGAUGAUCAAUGUAUUACGAGUUAUUCCAUAAGCAUUACCGAAAAAUGAGUUAAAUGUAAUAUGAUUGUUAUAUUUAUGGAAAAAAUAUACACAGGUUAAUCCUAUUUGUUAAUUCAUAAGCAUUACAAAAAUCUACAACUAAAAGCAAUCAUAUCUUCCACGAUAAUUUACAAUGAUGUGACACCAUAACUCAAAGGUGAUGCAUUUAAUGUGACAUCAUAACUCAAAGAUCAUGCAUUUAAUGCGAUAUCCUAUCAUCACUAGAAAUAUAUGAUGUCACUUUCGAAUGCGUCACCAUUUAUCUACUUUGGUGUCACUUACAAAUACGUCACCAAUUGGUACCCUCUAUGGUGUCAGUGGAGAAGGUGACACUAUGUUGUAGUGACACCCUAUGUUUAUGGUGACUCGUUAUAAAUGUCACCAUAUAUUUUUUUUCUUGUAGUGCAAAUUACUUAUCUUACUAUGCAUUGGGCUUUGAUAUUAGCCAGAGACAGUAGUGGCUCCUAAUUUUUAUCCUUAACUGAAAUGAAAACGUCAAGCAGGUCCCCAACCUCUUUUUCUCCAUUCUUCCACUAUUAUACUAUUUGGUCCAUGAUUGGAUCAUGGUACUUGUUAAUGGUGUUCAUAGCCUCCCUUAUAGUCUUUUCAUGGCCAUCUAAAUUUAGCACUCUCUGCCAUGGGAAGUAAUCAGAUAAAGAGAAUACAUAUAGAUGAGCAAGUAUAGUAAAGAAGGAUUCAACAUGUUGCUCCACUUCAACUCCAGGGCCUCCAUCUUUCUUUCGUUGGCCAAAGUAUCUUGUGUUGAGGAUCAUCUUUCAGAUGACAUUCCCGUUGUAUUGACGGACUUUAUUUCUGUCACACCCCAAAUACUAGGCAACCCAGAACUUGACUCGUGGCCCUAGGUCAAAGGUUUGACCCUAAGAGUUACUCUUAUCCAUGUUGGCAAUCAAUCAAAACACCCUAGAUUUUUUUUCUUUUCAAUAAAGCGUUUAAUCCUAAAUAAAUUUAUUAAGCUAAGAUUUACUAUAACAUAUCAUUUUAUUUUUCCAAAACUAACCAUCACAUUAUCUCAUGUUCACAAGUAUUAAAAAAAUAAAAUUCCACCAAUCAUUUUCCUACCCAAAAGCUCAAAUAUUUACAAUAAACUCUAAGUCAAAAAGAAUAUUUCCAAAAUUUUUUUACAAACUAAUAAAAUAUAAUUUAACUUAAAAAAGUCCAUAUAACUCAAAUUAGUAGAUGUCAAAAAGGUAAUUAAAAAAAAACAACAACCAUUAUUAUAGUUUUUUUGCUUUUUAGAACACUUCAUGAUCUUCUUAUGGUCCCUUAGAAACUAUAUCUGCAUCUAAAAAUUUUAGAAAAAAAAGGGAUGCACAUUUCCACGUUACUCUUUAGACCUAAAUGGGUUAGAAAUUCUAGGUCAAUAAAACACAACCAUAUGCCAAAAUAUAAUAUUACAUUUACAUUAUACACACUAAAAGAAACCUCAACCAUACAAAUUUAAAUCAAUCAAAAUUAUCAUUCUCCUGAUUUAAUCAUAUGUUUAGCAUAUCAAUAAUUUUAAAUUUACAAAAUAAAUAAGUCACUUUAGUCUUGAAUAAUAUAUUCAAACAUACACUUGAUAAAUAAUACAAAUCAUUUUUCCAAAUGCAACCAUGAUACAAAUGCUUACACACAAUCACGCAAUGCAAUAUCGUUCUCGGGCUUUCACCGAAGGAUAUGCAUUUAUACCCAAAUAGACUCCCCAUUCGGAUUCUUCCUGGGAUAAAAUUUUGAGUCUUUCACCCUAAGGAUCUCACUCCCUUCUUAACUCACCAUCUCUAGGGUCUUUCAAUUUCUUAUUUUUCUUUUCUUUUCAUUUUUGCCAUUUUUUGGGUCUUUUCAUUCUCAUUUCCAUUUCACACAACCAUUUCUUUAAUUUUUCUUUUUCUUCACACAAUCAUGAUGCAUAUGAAAUGCAACUGAAUCAUAUUUUAACAUCCAUAAUUUUCCAAGACAUAAUUUUAUUUACUCCCAUUAUGUUUCAUAAUUUCCAAUAAUCCACACAACGAUUUUUCUUCACUUUAAUUGUCACAAACAUAAAAGAAAAUUCACAAUUAAUUUGUAUAGCAUCAAAACAUAGUUUUAAACAUUGACCACAUAAAUUCUAUUUAUUCCCGACAUGCUUAAUAAUUUCCAAAUCCAAUAUAACCAUUUUUUUUCAAUUAAAUAAUCACACAUAUCCAAGAAAAUUCUCGCUAAUACAAAUAUCAAUGAAAAUGUAAUUUAUGUCAUAAUUUAUUUGUCUCUAAUAAUUUCAAAAAUUUUGACACCCAUAUGAAAAAUUUCCACAAUUAAGCCACCCCAACAUUUGGGAAAAUUUUUCUAAUCAUUCAAAUAUCAACAAAAACCCAAUUUAUAUCAUCAUUUUUAUUUAUUUUUAAAAGCAUUAAUAAUUUUAAUAAUCAAUACAACACUUUUCCACAAUUAAGCCACCACAACAUUCUGGGAAAAUUUUCCAAUAAUUCAAAUAUUAACAAAACACAAUUAUACCUUAAUUUUUCUUAUCUCCAACAACAUCAAUAAUUCUUAGUACUCAAUACAACUAUUUUUAUUUUUUCAUAUUUAAUCUUCUCAAACAUUACCAAAAUUCCAAGAAAAAUCUAUAAAUCACGAAAUAAAAGUAUUCACAAUAAUAAUCACACUUCAAAUACUACAAAUAACAUCUAUUAUAUUUCAACAACACAAUAUAUAAAUUUUUUUGAAAGAAAAUAUUAAAUCAAAGUUUUAGGGUUAAAUCACCCUACCUUAAAUUUGAAAAAUUUAACCAUUAAAACUAAAACGGGACACCGUAGGAGUAUUCCUCGCAUUGAAUAGAAUAUCCUUCCAAAAUUUCAUGCGAAAUGGACGUCAUUUGGUAGGUCCAUCAACAUCCUAAAGCUAGCGACCCAUUUUUCCCACUCUUUGCCGACGACUCCCCUACAUCUCUCACUCGAUUUCCUUUCUUCAUUUUCUUUUCUUCUUCUUCUUUUAAACUCCCACGCCAAUUUCACUUUAUAUAUAUAUAUGUAUAUAUAUAUAUAUAUAUAUAUAUAUAUAUAUAUAUAUAUAUAUAUAUAUAUAUAUAUAUAUAUAUAUAUAUAUAUAUAUAUAUAUGUAUGUAUGUAUUAUUAAAACAAAUCCUAAAAUACCACGCACAUCCAUUUCUCAAUAAAUUAAAACCAUUAUUCUUAAAUUCACCUUCCAUAAUUAUGAAUUAUACCAAACUUAUGAUUUUCCAUUUCACGAAAAAUACCACUGUAUUCGUAAUUUAAUUUACUACAAGUCUACUCUUCAAAAAGUAUAAUUUGAUUAUAAUUACAUGAAACAUUGUUUUUUUACUCUAAAAUUCAUUCAAAACAUGAUAUAAUUAACUAUUAACAAAAUUCAAUUCCAUAAAAUAUGAAAAACAUAAAAUAAUUUUUUGGCAAUCAAGAAGUUGAAAUUUGUAAUAACCCUUAACCUGUUAAUUUUACCUAUAUUUAUUUACCAACAAAAAUUUAAAUAAUAUUCUAAAAUUUAAUUCCAUAAAUUAAUUAGUCAUUAAAUUUAUAAAAAUCAAAUUCUCUACCCUUUGGUAUAACUUUCAUUUAAUUUACUUCAUUUUUCAAAUUAUUCAAUCGCAUCAAAAUUUCAAAAGUUAAAUUCACUAAAUUCACAUUUAAUUAAUUUAUCCUUUUCUAUUUUUUUUUUCUAAAUUCGCAUAUCAUAAUUUAAUCUUAAUUUAAUUUUGAUUCAAUUUUGUUUUAUGUUUUCUAAUUUUAUGAGGUUUAAUUUCAAUUAUAAAAAUUAAAUUAAAUUUCUUUUUAAUUAUCCAUUAUCACAAUUUGAUAUAAUAUAAUUUUUUAUCAAGUUUUUCUUACUACGAUUUUUCUUAUAAUUAUCCAAUAAUAAUUAAAUUAAUUCUCGUAACAUAUUUAAUAUUCAAAUUUUAAAAACUUAAUCUCAAUUAUUGGAUGGUUAAUUUUUUUCUCAAAAUCUAAAUUUAAUUUAUGAAAUUCUCACUUCUUACAUCUGACGUGGCAAAAUUUUCAAACUAUUGACUUUUGACCAACUUUUCCUAAAUUUAUCCUAAUUAAAUACUAACACAUGGAUUUUCACCACUCUUUUUGACCUUUUGACCCACAAAUUUAUGAAAGACUUUAUGCUUGGAGAAUCUACAAAAACCUGGGUAUUACAAUUUCUCAGGUUGAUAACUGUCGUGGUUACGAAGCCACCACUUGAAUACUCAAUUGCCAUUGUAAUGGGCCUGGAUGCAAAUAGUACAUCAUGUUUCUUCAAAAGUUCUCUGCUAAUCUCUGGGAAAGUCGUAGGGACGAGAUGAAAUAUUUCCCAAUUGAAUACAUGCAAUUUCAGUGUUCAUUUCUUUCAUAAAGCCAAUGUAUCCACCAGAAAGUUGGCUUUUUGUUGAGUAAAUGAGGUAGAUAUUGCACUAGUGGCCCUGGAGCUAAUCCUGGAGGAAGUUGUAUCGGUUUGCUUUUGGUACUUGUUUUGGAUUUUAAUUUAGUGAAGAUGAGAAAGAUUAAUGUGAUAAAAAGCAGUAAGAGGAAGUUGAGAUGAGACAACACAUCGUCUGUGGUAGUAGAAGAAAACAAGGUUGAGUUACUGCUAUUACUCCCUGCAACAAAACCAUUUACAUGUCUUUUAUAGCAAAACCAUGUUUGUCCUAUCUUGGGUCUGGAUGCACAUUUUUAAUAUUGGGGAAAUCAUGCAACCAAAUGUCACACACAAAGAGAGAGAAAAAAAUACGUUUUUUAGAACUUGGAAAGGUAAAGUGGGACAAAAAAUAUUAUCCAUUCUUGAACUCUAAAAGUAAAGUUAUAAAAAGCUUAGUUUUUUUUUUUUUUUGUUAUGUAUGAUUGCAUGAUUUCCCCCUUUUAAGAUUUUAUCUCAUAAAAUUUUUUUCUAGAAAGUUCAAAUAAGUUUGAUGAAUAUUGUUUAUUUUAGUAAUUUUAAUUUUAUGGGGUACUUAAAACAUUAGAAGUUCACAAAAAGCAACAUUUAUCAGCUACCUAUCUAAAAAGCUUGGCCUAAUCAUUGAAAUCCAAAAUAUAAAGUGACAACACACUUUUUAAAGCAAUUUUCAAAAUAGUUUUUAAAAACACAUUUAUUUAUGAUAUUUUUAAAAUAAAAAUCUCAAAAAUAACUUGUUUAUAUAGCGUUUUAUUAGACAAAUACUUGAUCUUUAUAAGAUCACCCUAAUUAUAGAUUUAUGAACAUGUAACACAACAAUUAUCUAUAUAUAUACUUAGAAUUAUUAUAUUUUAAGUUUUUAACUACAUAGGACAUCAUGAGUUUUUCCACCAUUUAUCUUAUAAUAAGUUUAUUUAAAUAUGAUAAAGGAUAUAUUAUCUCAUUUCUUAUUAUAUCCGAUGCUAUAUAUAUAUAUAUAUAUGUAUGUAACAAAUCAAAUACAAUUUAAAGAUUUUAAUUAACCAUCUAUUAGCAACAAAGCAAUCUCUUAAUCUCAUUCAUAAUAUUAGGAUAAUUUAGUAUUUCCUUUUAUAAAACACUAGCAUAUAAAUCAACACAAAUCAUAUUAAGGGUGUAUUUGGUGUUGAUUUUAGGAAGCAUUUUUAGUAUUUCUAAUACUUGAAAGAUAAAAAUUUUCAAGUUUUAGAAAGAUCAAAAGCGCUUUUUAGAAUGACUAUCAAAUACAUGCUAAAUAUUACUUUUGGAUACUUAUAUUUUUAAAUAACUCUUAAAACUUUUAAGGCAAGUCUCUACUAUUUAUAUAAAUCCCCUAUUAUUUUUAAUUUUUAGAAACAAAAAAUAAAGAAUAGAAACUCCAUUUAAACAUCACCUUAUUAUUUCCUAUUAUAAAAUAACACAAAUCAAAUGAAUUAUUUAAAAAUAAAUAAAUAAAAAAUCAAAGUUGAAGAGAAAAAACUCUUGUGCAUUAAAAAAACAUCAAAAUAAAUAAAUAAAUAAAACAUCAUCAAAUAAAUGUAAAAAUAAAUUAAUGUUAUGGAAAAAUGAGAAUAGGCAACAAGAAAAUAAGAACACAGAUUUACAUGAAAAAUGCUAGACGGGAAAAACCAUGGAUAGAGGAGAAGAAAAUCCACUAUAUUAAAAAUUUGGUAUAAAAUGUGAGAGAAUCAAGCGAGUAUUGUAUAGGCAUAAUCACUAUGACCCUAAAUCCUAUACAUCAUUGCAUAUGUAUGGUGUAUGCGAUAAUAAAAAUAUUGUCACAUAAAAUAACUAUGGGAUGUAAUAUUUGUAAUAAUAUUUUUUACAAAAAAAUAUUUUUUCUUUGCUUUAUUCACUUUGAUCACAACUUGAAAUAAGACAAUAAAAAUAUUUUCUUAAUUUUUGAAAAUUAAUUGAGGACUUAGAGCUACUUGUUACUGAGUGAAUUUGCUGAAUGGUGAAGAAUGCGUGUAUAGUAGUUUUGCAAUUUUUCAAACUUAUAGACAUAUUUUGUGAAGUCUUUUUCUCUUUGUAAAGCCCCAUUUUCUAUGUGAAGUUAUUUUUUCAAUAUUCUCUUUGGAAGGAAUUUACCAUUAGUUAUAUAGGUAAGAUUAAGGAAUUAAAUUUGGAAUUCUUAACAUUUGAUUGCUUAAUUCAAAGAAUUUGGUUCAAGGGAAAUUUGCCAACAAAAUAAUAUUUAUUUUUAAUUCUAUGAUGACUUUAAUUAUUUGAUAUAAUUUUAUUUUGAAAGACUUGAUGUGGGGGACUCAUCACUUAUUGAGUCCAAAUUUUGUUGCACCCAAAUUUUUAUGAGCUAAGAAACCAUAAUUUUAAAGACCAAUUCAGUGGUAAGUGAAUCUGCUAAAAUCUUCUAUGUACAAAUGACCUCACUUCAAGGUGCAACACAUACAUGUAUUAUUAUGUGUAUGGGAUGAGUCUUGAAGUUAGUCUUCAUUCUUCUUUGAUUUUUUUCUUCAAAUAAAUAAAUAAAACAUCAUCAAAUAAAUGUAAAAAUAAAAUAUGUAUCGGUUAAUUGGAGAGGAGAGCUUUAAGGGCAUUUCUUCUAUGAAAUUCUAUGCUCCACGUACCAUAAAUUUGUACUCAACCAACAAAAUUACAGAAUGGGUCCAUGCACAAACAAAAUAACCCAAAUGUAAAUAUCUAAAAAUGUAUAAAGUUCACAAUAGAUAUUCAAGCCCAAAUUUAAAUUUCAAAUUAGUCCAACAGAUUUCAUCAAUCAAAAUGGGUCCAAAUUAGCAAAUAUAACCCAACAAAAAUAUCUCAUAUGUCAUAGGCCCUAAUUUAAAAUUUUCAAAUUAAUAGCCAAAAUAUAAGUUCAAUUAAUCAAACCCAAAACAUGAUAAAUUAAAAUAAAUCUCAUUAGGCCUAAACUUAAUAUCCUAUAAUUCAAGCCUAAUUUAAUAUAUAAACCUAAAUCCACAAUCAAAAUCAACCCAAUUUAUGCUAAUCCCGAUUUACAAUCAAAAUCAAACAUAAUUUAAUAAGUAAAUAACUAAAUAAAUUAAGCAAACUCAAAACACCCAAACCACUACAACAUAAAUCAAACAAUAAUAAAUAUAAUGACAAUAAUAAUAAUAAAAAAUAAAAUAAAAUAAAAUAAAAUAAAAAUAAAAAAUUUAACUCAUGUCGGAGCCAGUUUGAAUGUCUUGGGAAAGAAAGAAAAUGAGAGAAAAGUGAGAGAUGAUUGACAACUGACAGUGGCUCAUUGGCGGCGACUGGCUAGUGGUCCUACCGAUGGUAGUGAGGAUUGAUUGGUUUUUGGGAAAAAAAAUAAAAUGAAGAAAAGAAAAUGAGGAGUAAUAAAAAAAAUGGAGAAAUGAGAGGAAGGUGGGAGAAGAAUGGAGAGAGAGAACGUAGAAAAUGAGUGAAAAGAAAUGAGGCUAGUUGGAGGAGGAAGUGAUAGUGUGUGAGCUAAAGUGAAGAAGAAUAGAAGAAGAAAAUGGAGAAGAAUGGGGAAAAAAAAAUCCGCCUCCCUAAAUGAAGAGAGGUGGGUAGCCUAAAGAAGAAGAAAAAAUAAAAUAAAAUAAAAUGGGGAGAAAAUGAGAGGGGGUCAGUGGUCUUGCGAAUGAGGUGGUAUGCGUUAGAGAGAGAGAGUGGGUGGGGUUGUUGGGGAAGGUAUGAGAGAGAGAGGAGAGAGAAAAGAAAAAAGAUAAUAUAAAAUAAUAAUAAUAAUAAUAAUAAUAAUAAUAAUAAUAAUAAUAAUAAAAUAAUAUACAAAAUAAUAAAAACUAAUAAUUAAAUAGUGAGUGGGCAAAAAAUAUCAUAUGAAAUCGGGAUUUAAUUUUAAGAGUAAAAUUGGGUUAAAAAUUAAUGUAAAAUAAAAUUGGGACAAAUUUUGGGGUAUACAAUAAUGCGCGCCUCUUCGAUAGAGUCCACGACUAAAGCAAGUGUAUAUGUGAGCAAAACAAAGUGGGCUCUACUGAAAAACAAGAAAGACCACCAAAUUUGUCUUAAUAUGACAUGAACUCUCCCAAAAAAAAAAAAAAAAAAAAAAAUCUAAAACCCUACAAAAAUGGCUAAAACGGAAAUUCCUAAGGUGCCUCUAAAGUUAUACUAUGGAUCUAGACUCCCUUAGAAAAGCCUCCAAAAAUGGCCCAAAAAUCGGUGUCAAAAUCGAGUAGCAAUCAGACCACUAAGGAGCACAUGAACGAAUGCAUACAAAGGGAAAAAAAACCAUACGUGUACCAUACGAUGACAAAAGGCAUAAGGUAUCCAACAAUAUGACUGAUUCACGUGUUACGAGCUCAAAAAACUUUGUCAUGCACCAUGGAGGAAGGGAAACUCUAGAAUAAUGUGAUGAGGAAGUUAUUAGCACAAUGUAACAGAGUGAGGAAAAAAGUGAUGAGUGCAAAGCUGUGAGGACAAGGUGCACAAUGCUAAUGAAUAUGAAAUGAAUAGCACUAGGCUACAAUGCAAUCAAUAGCUCAGGGUUGUACCAUAAUGAACAAGUCAAGGAUGUGUAAAGAUGAGGAACAACUCAAGGUUGUAAUGCAAUGAACAACUUAGGGCUGUGAAUGCAAUGAACAACUCAGCGCAAUGAAUGAAAUGAAUAGCUCAGGGCUGUGAAUGCAAUGAACAACUCGAGGUUGUGGAUGUAAUGAACAACUCAGGGUUGUGGAUGUCAUGAACAACUCAAGAAUAGGGGCACUGUACACCCAAAAUGGGAGAUCACGGCCUACGAUUCCAAGUCAAACCACUAAAGGGUGACCAAAAUGAGGGUGAUCAACUCACUAAAAAAGAUGAUAAAAAUGUCUUAAGGGAGAGGAGAUGCCCCAUAUGAAACUUAAAGGAAAUGAGUAGUGCUAAUGAAACUAAAAAAAGAAAAAAUGUCACAACUGAAAUUGAAAAAAUAGCAAACUUAGAUUAAAGUGCAAUGAACAACUUUGGGCUGUGGAUGCGAUGAAUAGUACCGUGUUGUAAUGAAAUGAAUAACUCUAAGAUAUGGGCAUUGUACGCCUAAAGAGGGAGAUCGUGGUUUACGACUCCAAGUCAAACCACUAAAGGACAACUAAAAUAAGAUGAUCAACUUACUAUAAAUGAGAAUGCAACUAUCUCGAGAAAAAGGGUAUGCCCCAAAUGACACUCAACAGUAAAAGAAUGACACAAAUGAAACUAAAACAAGAGGAUGCCACAAAUGAAAUUGAAAUGAUAACAGACUCAGUACUAAUGUGUAAUGAACAACUUUGGACUAUGGAUGCAAUGAAUAGCACUGGGUUGUAAUGAAAUGAACAACUCUAAGAUGUGGGCACUAUACCCCUAAGAAAUGAGAUCAUAGUUUACGACUCUAAGUCAAACCGCUAAAGGGCGACUAGAAUAGGAUAAUCAACUCACUAAAAAUGAGGAUGCAACUAUCUCGAGAAAGGGGGUAUGCCCUAAAUGACACUCAACAGUAUAAGAAUGACAUAAAUGAAACUAAAAUAAGAGGAUGCCACAAAUAAAACUAAAAUGAUAACAAAUUCAAAACUAAUGUGCAAUGAAUAACUCUAGGUUGUGGAUGUAAUGAACAACACUGGGCUGUAAUGAAAUGAACAACUCUAAGAUGUGGGCACUAUACGCCUAAAGAGGGAAAUCACGGUCAACGACUCCAAGUCAAACCACUAAAGGGCGAUUAGAAUAGGAUGAUCAACUCACUAAAAAUGAGAAUGCAACUAUCUCGAGAAAAGCGGGAUGCCCUAAAUGACACUCAAUAGUUAAAGAAUGACACAAAUGAAACUAAAAUGAAAUGAUACUACAAAUGAAACUGAAAUGAUAACAAACUGAUAACUAAAGUGCAAUGAACAACUCUAGGCCGUGGAUGUAAUGGACAGCUCAAGAAUAGGGGAACUGUUCGCCCAAAAUGGGAGAUCGUGGUCUACGACUCUAAGUCAAACCACUAAAGGGUGGCUAAAAUCAAAAUGAUCAACUCACUAAAAAUAAGGAUCUGAACAUCUCAAGAAAGGGGUUAUGCCCCAAAUGAAACUGACAAUAGAGGGAUGCCCUAAACAGACUGAAGAAAGGAGGAUGCCCUAAACAAACUAACGAAAAAUGGAUGCCCUAAACAAACUGAAGGAAGUGAAAUGCCCUAAAUAAACUGACCAAAGAAGAAUGCACUAAACAAACUCCGAGAAAAAAAAAAAGAAGUAUGCGAUAUAGAAUAAAAAACACCUAAAGCAAAAACAAGAAACAAAGAAUGUGGUUUACAACUAGAAACACCCAAAAGAACCUUAAAGAAGUGACUGGGAUAAUGAACUUAAUGAAAAUAGGGUAUGCCACAAUAAAAGACUCGGAAGUAUCAGCAAAUGGGUCAAAUGACCAUGAAAUCAAUAGGAGAUAUGAUGAACCCAAAAAGGGCGUAUGCCCCAACAAAAGAACACUAAAAGGGGGGUAUGCCCCGAUAUGACGACUCACAAUAAUUAAGAAAUGGAUCGAGUAAUGAGAAAAUCUGCAAAAUAUCUUAUGAACUCAAAGAUGGGGGUAUGCCCCAGUGUAAAAUAGUGACCAACAUAAGACACAGAAUGUCACCAUACAAUACACUCUGGGAUAUGCUCAAUGACAAUGUAAUGAAAACAAUAGCCUCAAUCAACAAAUGUUCAAGCAAGACCAUGCAUCACAUAAACUAAAAUAAUAGGCUAAAGAAAUGCUAACCAAGUUUCUCAAUCUGAAAUGUAAGCAAGUCAAGACAUGACAUGUCAACCAUCGACAUGAAAACAUCAUCACAAAUACAUCAACAAACUAAUAGUCCCUACUAUCAUGGAAAAUGUAGAACCUAACGUCCAAAGGCAUGUGAAAACUCAACCAGAAAGCUCAAGACUAGUUUGCAUCCUCCUCUAAUAAAAAGAAUGAGAUAAGGUCAUGUAGGAUGAUGAAAUAGGCAAGCUCAAUAUUCGUUAGGCUCUACCAAGAUGGAUGUAGGUAUAAUAGUGUCAAAGGUAGGAUGUCUAGAUGUCCAACGAAGGAAACUGGGUAUCCAAGUCAAACCAAGUAUGUUGAGGAAACUGAACCCAUAGGAUAAUAACUUUAUGAUCCAUUGAAAAUAGCAAUCAUGAAUAGAAGGUCGAGUCUCGAUGUCAAAAUCAACAAGGUGGCAUUGCCCCAGUAUGAAUACAUCUUCUCAAAAUGGGUAAACCCUCAGUGCAAGAUAAUCUCUAGAAAGUAUGUGUCUAAUAUAAACUGUCAUCUCACAAAAUCUAUCACUGAUCAGUGGGCUAUACCCCAGUGUAAGCAUUUCCAAAUCAAACAUCGAUGAGAGGAGUACAACCAAUCAUACACAAUAUGAUCAAAACAAAUCUCCACUCCUCAAAGUCAUCAUGGUAAUGUGAAGAGAGUAUCUAACCUCAUUUAAAGAAAGAUCAUGUCCCAAUGUGAAAAAUAUCAAGCAAAGUGGUAUGUCUCAACAAAAAUGCACUCUAACAUGAUCAUGCCUAGAUGUAAGAUGGUAUCUUUAAGAUUAAUCACCAAUGAAAGGGUUAUGCCCCAGUAUAGGGCAAUCUCUUAAACGACUAAAAUCCACUACAAGCUCUCACAAGUGUCUAUGUCAUGAACCAAUCAUCUCAAAAAAUAAAUAAAUAAAUAAAUAAAUCUAUCAACAAUGAUGAGAAGGUUAUGCUCGUAUAAUCACAUCAAGAAAAUCACCCGGUCAUAUCUUGUAUUCCAAUGUGAAAGGAAAAUAUGAUCACCUCCAAAGAAUGGCUAUGCCCCAAAAUACAUCAUCGAUUGAGAAAUAUGCCCCUACGUAAAGUACAUCAACUGAAAUAUGCCAAUCAUGCCUCAUGCUCCAAUGUGAAAAAUGACGUAUAAUCUUCUUUGAGGGAUGGUCAUGACUCAAAAUCCAUCAUCAGUUGAGAGAAGUAUGCCCCGACAUAAUGGUCAUCUAAAAAAUCAAUCCCCGACUAAGAAAUGUGUGCCUUGAUGUGAUGUAUCAAGCAAAAUGGCUGCAUACCCCAUAAAAAACUCUCUAAGGUGGCUAUGCUCCAAUGUUGGAUCAUACCACAACUCCUGGUCGAUCACAAUCAAAAUGCUCUCCAACCAAUCCCAAGUAUCGCCCACAUGAGAGCUAUCAAACACAAUGUGUGAUGUCAUGGCCUCAAGGUGGUCUUAAGAUUCGGGACGUAACGUAGGCUAGGGUAAUAAGGUGAAGAAAUGAAGGAAAACUAGGCUUAAUAAUCCUAAUGAUAAAACCCCAUACCCUUAUGUAUAAAAUGCAAUAUGUGCAAAGAGUCUCAUAAACCAUGGAUCUAAGGACACCCAAUAUGAAUAUAUCAGUGAGGAAGAAAGAAUCUAAGAUGAAUAUAUCAAUGAUAAAAGAGAAGAAAUGAAGAAUAUCAAACUGUUGAUGGGAUGUAUAAGAAUGAUGUGUGGAAAAUAUUGAACAUGGAAUGUAAAUUGAUAUGAACAAAGAACAAUGUAGGCAAGGCAAAUGCGAUAUCAUGAUAAGAACAAAUAAAUCGAAGAAAAAUGAAUGAACACUAAUCCACUCAAAUCAAGUCAUGGAGAAUAGUCAAAUCACCAACGUAUGUAAUGAUGGAGAAGACAAUGAUUCGAAGUCCCUAGGAAAAUGUCACUUGUUUGUCACACAUAAAAUACAUAACAAGAUAGACACAAAAAUAUGAGAGUCUUUUGAAAGUUCACGUACGAACUUUCAUAAGCAACUAACUCAAUAAAGCAACCUCAAUGACCAAUAUAUACACUCAAUAAAGGAUGACACUGUAUACAUGUGUUUAUUACUUUUUCUUUUUCAUUUUUUUCAUUUUUUUUUUCAUUUUUUUUCUUUUACUCACGCAUACUCUGAAUAUCAAUAAAUGAACUUCUCUAAGAAUACAUAAUGAAAUGGAUAUACUCUCAAACAAUGAUGUAAGCGAACUCUCUCUGACAAGAUGACCCUCUAAAUUAAGGAUUUUCGAACUAACGUCCAUGAGAUAGGAGUGGAAGGGGAUAUGACCAUCCUCCUUGCAUCGAAAUGUGAAAAAUCAUCACUCAGGGCACAAAAAAAUGUGAUGAAAAAAAAUAAAAAAUGAAACAAAAGAUAUAAACAAUGGAGUAUGAUGAAGACUGAUGUUGGGAAGACAAAAAAAUAGUGAAGAAGGUGAGCCAAUAAGUCCACAACUCAUGAAACUCUCGAAUAAAAUAUAUAUACACCAAAAGACCCUUAUCCCAGUAUAAAAUGUGAGCAAGGAUAUAAGAAAGAAAAGACUAUGGUGCUCAUGUGAGGUUCAAAGGGCUAGCAACGGUCCAAAUGUCAAUAAAGGUAAUAGGGUGUGAGCUAACCAAAAUGAAGGCCACCUAUGAUGGUCUGAAACAUCAUGCUCUUAAGCUUUCAAUGAUCAAUACUGAAAAUCGAUGUCCAUUUGAUAUAAACACGUCAACCCUUUGGAAUUGUGCGCCAAACCAUACUCCAAAUGCUCCAUAAUAAUCUCAAAGAUAAUCCUCUCAAAGCACAAUAAAUAGCGAUCUCAUAAGGCACAACUACUCAUCACAAGCCAACUCUCAUCAUGCAAGAUCAAUCUCUAUUUUCAUGGAAAAAUAAGUGACAAUCUCAUCAGGCAAUUGACGAAUCCUCACAUCGUAAACCAACCAAAGAUCAUAAGUCAUUCAUUGCCAUGCAAGAUCAAUCCCAAGCUCAAACUCCUCAUACUCUACCUGGUUGGAUUAGAGAAGAAAUGGGCAAAGCUAGAAAAACUGAAGAUGGAAAGGUCAUAUAAUGGUGUCAAGGGUGAUGUUGUGCAAAACUCACAAUGGAUGGAUGUAGGUCAAAGCAAAGUCAAUGUGUGAGAGUGAGUAAGACACCACUCUGAUCAUAAGAAGAUGAGUCACAAUCUCAAACUCCUAAGGUCAAAUCUCCGAUCCUAGGCUAAUAAGCUCAACAUCCUCCAUGAUAGGUCAACCCCCAAGAUCACAAUGUGCAAAUGAAUAGAUGCCUCAAGUCAAAAGUACAACACAUCAUAUGAUAUAUGGUCCUACGAUGACAAUCUAAAACUGGAAAUAUGUUACAAACUCUAAGGUCAUAAAGGUGUCCACUGUGAGAUGACUACAAAUGUGACUAAGGAAUCUUUAUCAAUAAUCCAAAAAAUGAAUGAGGUGUGAAAAACAACACUAUCAUGAGAUCGAUACCCCAUCAAUAACAAAAUAUCUCUAAUUCACUUUCAAUCUAAGCUCUAUAAAGAAAAACGAUAAGGUUAUAAAGGCAAACCUCUCAAAAAUGGUGUGAAUGUGAAAACAUGUCUUCACCUUUCUAUAAUGAAAAUAUCAUGUUGAAAAUAGAAAUAGGCAAAUCGACCAAAGAAUGAAGUACGGAGCCCAUGACAAGUGAAGAAUGUAAAAAGGUGAACAUGAUCAAUGAACAUAUCCCAAAACAUCAAGCAUAAAGUGGCAACAAACCGAAAGAAUGUGUCAACUUAAGAAAAGAAGACUAUCUGAAGCCCUAGGGAGAAAGUGUGCUAGACUCAAGGAGCGACAAGAAGAAACUAAAACCAUAUAGCAAGGGGUGGUCCAACUGAUACUCAAACUCGUACCAAUAUCUAAGCACUCUCGACUGGAGACCAAAAGAUGGAGUAUUGGAUCCAUAUUGUGACUAAAGUGGCCUCGAAGGCUCUAAGAUGCACCCACGUGUAGGAAAGGAAAUCCUAAUAAAAAUAUCUAAGGCUUAACCUACAAGGUCAAGGCGGCUAUAAAAAGAAAAAUUGAGUGGACUUUAAAGGAUCCCUAGCAAAAGCGAUCAUACCCUCCAAUGGUACGCAACCUCCUACACGUCUUGAAAUAUAUGGGAGUAAUUCCAUGCAAGGUGGUCAUCACCUCCACACAUGCACUAGCUCAUAUCCUAGAGGGUUUCCUAAUGAUGAAGACUCUUACAUCUCUCAACACUUAGUGGUAAUCUAAGGUGCACAGUGAACGGUGUGGGUUCAUCCAAAAAUCAUAUCAAGCUAAACAAAGAGAAAACACAUUGGUCACACAAAUAUCCUGAAAUCUAGCUCUAACCUAUACAAGUCUUCAAAGAUUGGACUCCAAUUAGCAUUAAUGUUUCGACCUUCUCCAGAAUGCUCCCAAACAUAGAUAUAGUCCAUCACUAAACCCUACUCCGAAUCACUAGCUCGGUCGAAGAGCAAACAAAGUAAUAAGUCUCAUAUCAAAUACGAGAUCAAGGGGAACACGGUCACCCGAGACUAGGGAAUUGAAGGUAAGGAGAUAGGUGUGUGUCCCACAUAGAAAAUCAACAUGCAUUACACAGAAGAAGAAUAGUCAUGCAAUAGACAACCAAGCAAAGAACAGGUAUAUCAUUCAUAUCUACACACAAGCUAAACAAGAAAUAGGUAUUUAACAAGAAUAAACAAUAUGUUGAGAUAAACAAGAUAAUAUACAAUAAAGAGAAUCAAUCACACCAAUAUGAAUGAGAUAUACAAAAAUGAGAAUAUACAUGUCAAGGAGAGCAAGAUAAUCAUACAACAAGAAGAGUCUUAUGUUAAAGCAAGCAAGAGAAUCAAUCGAUGUAGUCAACAUGUCAAUAUCGCAAAUGAACAUAACAACCAAAUAUGCAUCAUAAAGAAAAAAUGGUAAUCAUGCAGCACGUAGUCAUACAAAACAAAUAUAGACAAACAUAAGCAAAUAAAUGUAAACACACAUGAUAACAAAAAUCAAUGUAUAGUAAGGCACAUGCAAUAUAUACAUAAAAUAAUCAUCAAGUCAACACUCAUAUACCUUAAAACAUGAAAAUAUACAAUAAAGACACAAUGAGAGGGUAUUCACUGAUCGAUUAAUCAAACGCUACAUUUCCUUUAACUCGAGUUCAAGUUUGAUCCUUUAAAUAUCCCUAGUGGAGUCGCUAUUUUGUGGACCCACAUUUUUCAAAUGCGUCCUUACACAACAGCGAGACUCAUUUUUUUUAUUUGGUGAAAAUUUGAUUUUUAGAAAAAAGACUUUGAGUCGUCACUUAUUUUUGUUUUUUUUUAAGGGAAAACAAAACAAGAAAGAAAACCUUGUGUAACUCCUUAUUUGGGAAAGACAUGUAUGCAAAAACCAAAUCUGGUUUCGGGGGUCAAGUUACCUAUUGGGAAUGUACGAUGGUGAGCUGUAGCACCUCUCUAAGCUCAUAUACGUACAGUCUCUACUAAACGAAUUAAGAGAGUUGUAGUAAUUAAUUAAUUAGUCAAGGAUACCAAGAAAAAGAAUCGCACAAAUGAGUACGUACAAAUCAUGAUAAAAAAAAUCAAAUUAUAAGAAUAGACAAAAUAAAUAACAAGAGAAUUGUGCAAAGUGAUUUAUUAAACUAAAUAAAAAAGAAGAUAUUAAAAAAAUUAGUUUUCAAGAAAUUUCAAAGGAUUUUAUUAAAAUGAUUUUGAAUUAAUGAUUUUAAUUUAUUUAUUUACAAAAAAAAAAGUCAAUUUAUUUUCUUCAAGUGAUUUGAUUCAAUUUUUUUUAAAAAAAAAAGUUAUUUACACUCAUGGUUGUUAAAAGAAUUAUUAACAAAAUUUCAAGUUGACAAUAAAAAUGAUUUUUACUUGCUUUUACUCGAAAACAAUGAAUUUUUACAAUUUUAUUAACAAAAGCAUUUCAAUUUAAGAAAAGUGACUUAAACAAAUUAUUAAAAAAAUAUAACUUUAUCUACAAAAGAAUUUUUAAUUAAAAAGAAAAAAUUUAAAUCAUCUAUUUCUAAAAAUGACUUUUAAUCCCAUUUUAAUUAAGGAAAAUUGAGUUAUUUAAAAAAACAUUUUUUGGACAAUUUGAAUAAAAAUUAAUUUUUGGGACAACUUAUUUACAAAACAAUUUUUGGACAAUUAUUAUUAAAAACAAAAUUUCAAAUUCGAUUAAAAACAAUUUUUUGGAUUUUUCCAAACACAUUUUUAUGAAUUUUUAUUAAUAAAAAACUUUUUUUUAUUAAGAAGAAUAUUUUUUGAGCUAUUAUUUUAUUAAAACAUGUUUAUUGAAUUAUUCUUCUUAUUCAAACAAAAUUUUUAAUUUGUUCGAUAUCCAAUUCUGUACACAACAAGUAAAUAUAUACAAACAAAUAUUUAUAGAAAGCAAUAAAAAUAAAACCAAAUAGAAGUGAGAAAUAAAACAUGUACUUAAACAUGCUUACAACAAGCUCAAUGUCUUCUUACGAUUUUUCGAGUCUCACUUUCUUUCAUUAAAUUUUAUGCUCCACGUACCAUAAAUCCGUACUCAACCAAAAAAAUUGCAGAAUUGGCCCAUGCAAAAACAAAAAUAACACAAAUGUAAAUAUCUAAAAAUGUAUAAAGUUCACAAUAGAUAUUCAAGCCCAAAUUCAAAUUUCAAAUUAGUCCAACAAAUUUCGUCAAUCAAAAUAGGUCUAAAUUAGCAAAUAUAGCCCAACAAAAACAUUUCACAUGUCAUAGGCCUUAAUAUAAAAUUUCCAAGUUAAUAACCAAAAUAUAAGUUCAAUUAAUCAGACCCAAAACAUGAUACAUUAAAAUAAAUCUCAUUAGGCAUAAACUUAAUAUCUCAUAAUUCAAGCCUAAUUUAAUAUAUAAACCUAAAUCCACAAUCAAAAUCAACUCACUUUAUGCUAAUCCCAAUUUACAAUCAAAAUCAAACAUAAUUUAAUAAGUAAAUAACUAAAUAAAUUAAGCAAAAUCAAAACUCUCAAACCACUAUUGCACAAUAUCAAACAAUAAUAAAUAUAAUGACAACAACAAUAAUAAUAAAAUAAAAUAAAAAAAUUUAACUCACGUUGGAGCCAGUUUGAGUGUCGUGGGAAAGAAAGAAAAUGAGAGAAAAGUGGGAGAUGAUCGUUAGCUGGUAGUAGCUCGCCCGCGGCGACUGGUCGAUAGUCCUGCUGGCGGUAGUGAGGAUUGAUGAAUUUUUGGGAAAGGAAAAAAAAAGAGGAGUAAUAAAAAAAUGGAGAAAUGAGAGGAAGGUGGGAUAAGAGGGGAGAGAGAGAAUGAAGAAAAUAGGGGAAAAGAAAUGAGGCCGGCCGGAGGAGGAAGUGGUAGUGUGUGUGAGCUAAAGUGAAGAAGAAUGAAAGAAGAAGAAGGAGAAAAAUGGGAAAGAAGGGGAAAAAAAAUUCGAGCCCUCUAAAUGAAGAAAGGUGAGUAGCUUAAAGAAGAAAAUAAAAUAAAAUAAAAAAAGAAAAAAUGAGGAGAAAAUGAGAGGGCCAGUAGUCUUGGGAAUGGGGUGGUAUAGGUGAGAGAGAGUGGGCGAGGUUGUUGGGGAAGGUAUGGGAGAGAGAGGAGAGAUGAAAGAAAGAGAAAAAAAAAACAUAAUAAUAAUAAUAAUAAUAAUAAUCAUAAAUAAUAUAUAAAAUAAUAAAAAUUAAUAUUUAAAUGAUGAGUGUGUCAAAAAUAUUAUAUGUAAUUGGGAUUUAAUUUUAAGAGUAAAAUUGGACUAAAAAUUAAUGUAAAAAUAAAAUUUGAACAAAUUUUAAAAUCUACAAAUACAUUCUUUAAUCUUUCCACAACAUCAAUCUGAUCUAAAUGAAAUGCAAUAAAUUCUAAAAAUGAUACAAUCUUUAAUCAAUCCACAAUAUCAACCCGAUCAAAACUCAAUGCAAUAUUGCUUAAUGGAGAGAAUCGUAAAAUCCUUUUAUGAGAGGAAAACAAAACCCUUAACAGACCUUUAUGAGAGGAAAAUAGGAAAACAUAGAACUAAAAACCCUUAACGUAUUCAUGAGAAUAAAAAAAAUCCUUAACACCUUAAUAAGAGGAAAACAAAGAAUUUGAACAAUCCUUAAUCCAUCAAAAGCUCUUAAUAUGAACGAGGGGAAAACAUAACCUUUAUUUUUCAUAUCGCUGAAUACAGAAUCUAAAGAGAUAGAAUUUUUAGUUAUUAAGGAUUUUUUAUAGAUGUCUAUUGAAAGUUUAAGAACUUUUAUGGAUAAUUGUUAAUUAAGAGACUGAAAGGGUACUUAGGAUUUUCAACUAAAAAAGUUAUAACAAUAUGAAUAGUAAGAACUUAAAAACAUCACCCAUCCAUCAUAGGAAUAUGGAAUGAGAGGUUAUUUUUUUACUUAUACAACAAUAAACUUUUUUGGAAGAGGUUUUUCUAAGUACAAAAAGUUAUGAAUAAAAAACCAUUGUUACGAUGAGUUAACUAAAAUAGAAUUAAUUUAGAAAAUAUCAAUAAAGUUGCAUGAAUUAUUAUCAUGAGUUAACUUAAUAAGAAUAAAUAGUAAUAAAGUUAAUGAAGUGAAUUUGGAUUGGCAGAUAUAUUUGAUGAUAAGAUUUUUUUAAUAAUAAAAAAUUAUUAUGGCAGGAAAAAUAGGACAAAAUUGACCUUAUGAUAAGAUUUUUUUAAUAAUAAAAACAUUAUUAUGGUAUGAAAAAAAGGGACAAAAUUGGCCUUUCCUUAAUUGUACCGGUUAAUGGAAUAAUGGGACAUGCGGUGGUUACAAGCCACCCCAAAAGGUAGGAAGAAUCUCCAACCCCCAUUCUCGGCUCCCUUAUCUUUUCCCUUACAACCAAAAAUCAACAACUAUCUUAGAAUGUCCUUCAGUCCAUCAAAAUUCAACAACAACAAUUAUACAUUACAAUAAUGAAAACAAAAUUGAUUGAUCACCAGCUAACAUUAGGAGAUUAUAAGAUAAGGAUGUAAUUGCAAUUAUUGAAAUCACUUAAAGAGUAAAAAUUAGGAACAUGCUCACAAUAAAUAAAAUCACCUUAGAAUUAAAAAUUAGGGACAUGAUUAUGAUGAUUAAAAUCACUCGAGAACUAAAAUGUUUUAGAGAUACAAUAAUUGAAAUCAACUGAAAAAUAAAUUCGGGAUGUGAUCGCAAUUAAUGUAUAUAUAAACAACCAAAUGUUGAAAGGAAAAACUAAUGAAAUUAAUAUGAUUUUCUUUUAGAUUUCUCUUGACACCAAACAAAUGUAAGGAAGUUUAUAAAGGAAAAUUAGGUUUUGAUUCACUAAAUUAAAAUAAUAUAGAAAAAAGAUCUUCAAAUUUUAUGUAUCAGUUUUAUUUUUAUUUAUUUAAAAAUAUUUUAAAAUACAUAUAUUUUUUCAUAACUCAAAUAGUCAUUCCUCAAAUGCUAGUUUUACUUGUUAUGUUAAUAACACUAGUUAAUAAUUUUGUAUUGUGAGAACGAUUUAAGAUUAAUAAAAUAAGAAAUUUUUAAAACUAAAAAGACAUUUAAAACUUUAAAAUUAAAAAUAUAAAAAUAAAACAAUAAUUUUUCAUUUAGUAAAACACGCAGUAGAAAAUAUAGAUAUAGAGAAAGAGUUGGAAAUAAAAUAAGAGUUAAUAUUUUAUUUUUAAAAUUUUAUGUUUUUUAUUUUAAUUGUAUUUAAUUUUAUGUAUUUUAGUUGUAAUUAUAUUUUUAAUUUUUAAAUUUUUUUAUUUUAUUGUUGAUGUAAAUUUUUGUUCAAUUAUAUAUAUAUAUAUAUAUUUUAAAUUAGUGAGUAAAAACCCACUUUUUCUAAUUUAUAAUAUAUUUAUGGGAUUUUAUAAUAUAAGCAAUUUUUUUUUUUGAGAAAGAGGAAAAAUCAACUUUUCAAUUUCCCUUAAUAAUUAUUAGUAUUAUUAUCCAAUUUGGCUGAUUAUGAGAUUAGUUGGUAUCAUUACUAUAUCCAUUUGUUCUUAACCCUUCAUUAGAAUAGUAUUAGGAGUUGAACGUCAGUUGGAAUACAGGCUUAUGGAAACAAAUCUAUCCGAUUAGUAGGUUCUUAUUAUUUUCAAUAUAGGCCCCAUAAAAUAAAUAGGAGAUGGGCAGCCCGUCCCUUUGUCUGGAGGCCAUCCUCCCAACUUAUUAAAGGUGAUAUGAGAUAAGAUAGUGACAAAAUUAUCGGUUACUUCCCGACACCUGGCUCUCCACAAGCAAACCCAGUGAUCCAGAAAUUAAUUGGUACCUGGACACGUGACUACCAAACGUUCGCUCACCUACCAUACCCAUGGCCUCAUGCCCCAUAUAUUUCCACAAACCUAGCUCAAUUUUCAUAGCCACCUUCACUAUCCUACACUCACUAAGCCAUGGCCAUAGAUACAAGCCUCUUGAUUGAGCUUGCUGCAGCAACUCUACUCUUCUUCAUCACCCGCUUCUUCAUUCGUUCUCUCCUUCCCAAAUCUUCCUGGAAGCUCCCUCCUGGCCCCAAAGGGUGGCCGCUCGUCGGCGCUCUUCCUCUUCUAGGUAACAUGCCUCAUGUUGCAUUAGCAAAGAUGGCCAAAAGAUACGGGCCUGUCAUGUUCUUGAAAAUGGGCACUAACAGCAUGAUGGUGGCCUCAUAUUAAGGAAAUUAUAUGUUAGUUAUUGUAUGAUUAUCUUGACAUAAUUAGCUGAUUGUAUAGGAGCAUAAUUAGCCUUAUAUUACUGAUUCUGUAGCUAUAAUUUAGGAGAAGAUUAGAUCAAACAUGUGUAUAUAUAUACUACAUUCUAUUAAUGAGAAAAGUAUCCAAUUUGAAGCCAAUCUCUUUAUUCUUGUUAUGGUAUCAGAGCAAGAACAAAAAACCACCAUGGCUGGCAGUCAGAAGGCUUCUGGAUCAGAAAACAAGACCAUCGAUCCUUCACAUCCUCUCUAUAUUCAUCAUUCAGAUCAACCAGGCCAUGUUUUGGUGCCCAUCAAAUUAAAUGGGGUCAACUAUCAAUCAUGGAGCAAAGCAGUUAUUCAUGCCCUUACUGCCAAGAAGAAGAUCGGCUUCGUCGACGGGACAGUUGAAGAACCAUCGCAGGAAGAUGAACCCUUUAUGUUUGAACAGUGGAAUCAAUGCAACAGCAUGAUACUUUCUUGGCUAACUCAUGCUGUUGAAUCGGACAUUGCUGAAGGAAUUAUCCAUGCUAAAAUAGCACGCGAAGUGUGGGUUGAUUUGCGCGACCAGUUUUCUCAAAAGAAUGCUCCAGCGGUUUUUCAAAUAUAGAAAUCAAUCGCCACCAUGUCGCAAGGAACGAUGACAGUAGCUGCAUAUUUUACAAAGAUCAAAGCCUUAUGGGACGAGCUUGAGACAUACCGUUCCCCGCUGACCUGCAACCAACGGCAAGCACAUCUCGAGCAAAGGGAGGAAGACCGUCUUAUGCAAUUUCUAAUGGGUUUGAAUGAGUCAUAUAAGGUAGUGAGAUCCAAUAUUUUGAUGAUGUCGCCAUUGCCCAAUGUCUGUCAAGCAUACUCUUUAAUUGUCCAGGAAGAGAUGCAACGACAAGUUUCUUCUGAGCCAACCGAGAAUUUCUCAAUAGCUGCCGCAGUCCCUGGAAAAGGAGGUAAUCCAAGACAAAAAUUGUGUGACCAUUGUAACAGAUCCGGACAUACCAUAGAUGAAUGUCGGACUCUUAAAUUUCACUGUAAGUUCUGUGAUAAAAGAGGUCACACGGAGGAUAGAUGCCGACUGAAAAAUGGGAGCAAUAACAAAACGGGACAAUUCCGAGGACAAUGUCCUUUUGGUCGUGGGAAUCAGCCCUUAGCAAACGCGACAGAAUCCCAGGAAAUGUCUGAUUCGACUUCUUCUAGUACAGUCCAGGGGUUCACUACAGAACAAAUACAACAGUUGGCUCAAGCAAUUUCAUGCAUUAAAUCACAGUAAUUCCGGUAAUAUUGACGCAUAUGCAAAUGCUGCAGGUUUGAUUCCAUCAACUCUUGUGUCUGUUAAUUCUAGUAGUACAAGUUCUUGGAUUUUGGAUACAGGUGCCACGGAUCACAUCGUUUCCCACAUGUCUCUUUUCACUGAUCUCAAACCUUCUAAUGUCACAACUGUUAAUUUACCAAAUGGUGCAGCAUCACCAAUAACACACACUGGCACCGUUAUUUUUGAUUCCCAAUUGACCCUUAAAGAUGUUUUAUGUGUCCCAUCCUUUAACUUGAAUUUAAUUUCGGCUAGCAAACUCGCAAAAGAUCAGAAUUGCUGCAUCAUAUUCUUUCCUGACUAUUGUAUUUUGCAGGACUUGGUUUCGGGGAAGAUGAUUGGCUCGGGUAAACAGCGUGGUGGUCUAUACUACAUGCAUCCAUCAACAAAUAAAUCGGUUGUCUUUCAUGUUUCUCAACCGUCUGACUUAUGGCAUUUACGCCUGGGUCAUCCCUCUUUUUCUCGUUUUAAAUUAUUAUCACAUUUGCUUCCAGAUAUUCAUAAAGAAUUAGGAAAUCAUUGUCCAAUUUGCCCACAGGCUAAGCAGACACGCUUGCCCUUUCCCAAAAGUUCAAUAACUACAAAAUUUCCUUUUUCUCUUUUACAUUNNNNNNNNNNNNNNNNNNNNNNNNNNNNNNNNNNNNNNNNNNNNNNNNNNNNNNNNNNNNNNNNNNNNNNNNNNNNNNNNNNNNNNNNNNNNNNNNNNNNNNNNNNNNNNNNNNNNNNNNNNNNNNNNNNNNNNNNNNNNNNNNNNNNNNNNNNNNNNNNNNNNNNNNNNNNNNNNNNNNNNNNNNNNNNNNNNNNNNNNNNNNNNNNNNNNNNNNNNNNNNNNNNNNNNNNNNNNNNNNNNNNNNNNNNNNNNNNNNNNNNNNNNNNNNNNNNNNNNNNNNNNNNNNNNNNNNNNNNNNNNNNNNNNNNNNNNNNNNNNNNNNNNNNNNNNNNNNNNNNNNNNNNNNNNNNNNNNNNNNNNNNNNNNNNNNNNNNNNNNNNNNNNNNNNNNNNNNNNNNNNNNNNNNNNNNNNNNNNNNNNNNNNNNNNNNNNNNNNNNNNNNNNNNNNNNNNNNNNNNNNNNNNNNNNNNNNNNNNNNNNNNNNNNNNNNNNNNNNNNNNNNNNNNNNNNNNNNNNNNNNNNNNNNNNNNNNNNNNNNNNNNNNNNNNNNNNNNNNNNNNNNNNNNNNNNNNNNNNNNNNNNNNNNNNNNNNNNNNNNNNNNNNNNNNNNNNNNNNNNNNNNNNNNNNNNNNNNNNNNNNNNNNNNNNNNNNNNNNNNNNNNNNNNNNNNNNNNNNNNNNNNNNNNNNNNNNNNNNNNNNNNNNNNNNNNNNNNNNNNNNNNNNNNNNNNNNNNNNNNNNNNNNNNNNNNNNNNNNNNNNNNNNNNNNNNNNNNNNNNNNNNNNNNNNNNNNNNNNNNNNNNNNNNNNNNNNNNNNNNNNNNNNNNNNNNNNNNNNNNNNNNNNNNNNNNNNNNNNNNNNNNNNNNNNNNNNNNNNNNNNNNNNNNNNNNNNNNNNNNNNNNNNNNNNNNNNNNNNNNNNNNNNNNNNNNNNNNNNNNNNNNNNNNNNNNNNNNNNNNNNNNNNNNNNNNNNNNNNNNNNNNNNNNNNNNNNNNNNNNNNNNNNNNNNNNNNNNNNNNNNNNNNNNNNNNNNNNNNNNNNNNNNNNNNNNNNNNNNNNNNNNNNNNNNNNNNNNNNNNNNNNNNNNNNNNNNNNNNNNNNNNNNNNNNNNNNNNNNNNNNNNNNNNNNNNNNNNNNNNNNNNNNNNNNNNNNNNNNNNNNNNNNNNNNNNNNNNNNNNNNNNNNNNNNNNNNNNNNNNNNNNNNNNNNNNNNNNNNNNNNNNNNNNNNNNNNNNNNNNNNNNNNNNNNNNNNNNNNNNNNNNNNNNNNNNNNNNNNNNNNNNNNNNNNNNNNNNNNNNNNNNNNNNNNNNNNNNNNNNNNNNNNNNNNNNNNNNNNNNNNNNNNNNNNNNNNNNNNNNNNNNNNNNNNNNNNNNNNNNNNNNNNNNNNNNNNNNNNNNNNNNNNNNNNNNNNNNNNNNNNNNNNNNNNNNNNNNNNNNNNNNNNNNNNNNNNNNNNNNNNNNNNNNNNNNNNNNNNNNNNNNNNNNNNNNNNNNNNNNNNNNNNNNNNNNNNNNNNNNNNNNNNNNNNNNNNNNNNNNNNNNNNNNNNNNNNNNNNNNNNNNNNNNNNNNNNNNNNNNNNNNNNNNNNNNNNNNNNNNNNNNNNNNNNNNNNNNNNNNNNNNNNNNNNNNNNNNNNNNNNNNNNNNNNNNNNNNNNNNNNNNNNNNNNNNNNNNNNNNNNNNNNNNNNNNNNNNNNNNNNNNNNNNNNNNNNNNNNNNNNNNNNNNNNNNNNNNNNNNNNNNNNNNNNNNNNNNNNNNNNNNNNNNNNNNNNNNNNNNNNNNNNNNNNNNNNNNNNNNNNNNNNNNNNNNNNNNNNNNNNNNNNNNNNNNNNNNNNNNNNNNNNNNNNNNNNNNNNNNNNNNNNNNNNNNNNNNNNNNNNNNNNNNNNNNNNNNNNNNNNNNNNNNNNNNNNNNNNNNNNNNNNNNNNNNNNNNNNNNNNNNNNNNNNNNNNNNNNNNNNNNNNNNNNNNNNNNNNNNNNNNNNNNNNNNNNNNNNNNNNNNNNNNNNNNNNNNNNNNNNNNNNNNNNNNNNNNNNNNNNNNNNNNNNNNNNNNNNNNNNNNNNNNNNNNNNNNNNNNNNNNNNNNNNNNNNNNNNNNNNNNNNNNNNNNNNNNNNNNNNNNNNNNNNNNNNNNNNNNNNNNNNNNNNNNNNNNNNNNNNNNNNNNNNNNNNNNNNNNNNNNNNNNNNNNNNNNNNNNNNNNNNNNNNNNNNNNNNNNNNNNNNNNNNNNNNNNNNNNNNNNNNNNNNNNNNNNNNNNNNNNNNUUUUCGUUUUUCACCCCAUCACCGUGCUUUUUUAGCUCUUUUGACAGCCCAAACCGAACCUUCAUCCUUUGAACAAGCUGACUGUGAUCCACGUUGGCGCCAAGCCAUGUCCACCGAACUUCAGGCUCUAGAACGAAACAACACUUGGGAGAUGGUCCCUCUUCCUCCGGGACACAAACCCAUUGGCUGCCGCUGGGUGUACAAGAUCAAAUACCAUUCUGACGGAACCAUUGAACGCUAUAAAGCCCGUUUGGUUGCCAAGGGCUACACACAGGUCGCCGGUAUCGACUAUCAGGAAACCUUUUCUCCAACUGCCAAACUCACCACUCUUCGCUGUUUGCUGACUGUCGCAGCUUCCAGAAAUUGGUACAUCCAUCAGCUUGAUGUGCACAACGCAUUCCUUCAUGGCAAUUUACAAGAAGAGGUUUAUAUGACUCCACCUCCUGGUCUUCGCCGAUAGGGGGAGAAUCUGGUAAGUCGGCUUCGCAAAUCUAUUUACGGUUUGAAACAGGCAUCACGCAAUUGGUUCUCAACUUUUACAGCUACUGUUAAGUCUGCGGGUUACAUACAGUCCAAAGCAGAUUAUUCACUUUUUACUAAAUCCCAAGGUAACAAGUUCAUUGCUAUUCUCAUUUAUGUUGAUGAUAUCCUGUUGACUGGUAAUGAUUUGCAUGAAAUCAAGAUGCUCAAGACUCAUCUGCUCAAGCAUUUUUUUAUUAAAGACCUCGGUGAAUUGAAAUAUUUUUUGGGUAUAGAAUUCUCUCGCUCUAAAAAGGGAAUCUUUAUGUCUUAAAGAAAAUAUGCAUUAGAUAUUUUGCAAGACACAGGAUUGACAGGAGUGAAGCCCGAAAAAUUUCCGAUGGAGCAAAACUUGAAAUUGACUGAUGAAGAUGGCGAGUUACUUCAUGAUCCAAGUAGGUAUCGGAGACUGGUUGGCAGAUUAAUAUACUUGACUGUAACCAGGCCUGACAUAGUGUAUUCAGUACGUACACUAAGUCAAUUCAUGAACACACCUCGGAAGCCGCACUGGGAAGCAGCAUUACGAGUCCUCCGAUAUAUUAAAGGGUCACCAGGUCAAGGUCUUUUUCUUCCAUCUGAAAAUAAUUUAACACUCAGCGCAUUUUGCGAUUCAGAUUGGGGAGGAUGUCGUAUGUCAAGACGUUCCGUUUCUGGUUAUUGUGUUUUCCUCGGAUCAUCACUCAUCUCUUGGAAAUAAAAAAAACAAACGAAUGUUUCACGUUCGUCAGCAGAAGCAGAGUACAGAGCAAUGGCGAAUACUUGCCUGGAAUUGACUUGGUUGAGGUACAUACUUAAAGAUUUGAAGGUUGAAUUGGACAAACCAGCACCAUUGUUUUGUGAUAAUCAAGCAGCUGUAUAUAUUGCAGCUAACCCAGUUUUUCACGAAUGUACUAAACACAUUGAGAUUGAUUGUCAUAUAGUUCGAGAAAAACUUCAAGCUGGGGUAAUUCGUCCGUGUUAUGUUUCUACAAAGAUGCAGUUGGCGGACGUUUUUACAAAGGCACUUGGCAGGGAGCAGUUCGAAUUUUUGUGCACCAAGUUGGGAGUUCUUGAUUUGCACUCUCCAACUUGAGGGGGAGUAUUAAGGAAAUUAUAUGUUAGUUAUUGUAUGAUUAUCUUGACAUAAUUAGCUGAUUGUAUAGGAGCAUAAUUAGCCUUAUAUUACUGAUUCUGUAGCUAUAAUUUAGGAGAAGAUUAGAUCAAACAUGUGUAUAUAUAUACUACAUUCUGUUAAUGAGAAAAGUAUCCAAUUUGAAGCCAAUCUCUUUAUUCUUGUUACCUCAACUCCCGGGGCGGCUCGGGCUUUCCUUAAAACGCUAGACAUUAAUUUCUCUAACCGCCCGCCUAAUGCCGGUGCCUCACUCUUGGCCUAUCAUGCCCAAGACAUGGUUUUUGCGGAUUAUGGGGCAAGGUGGAAGCUACUGAGAAAGCUAAGCAACUUACACAUGCUUGGUGGGAAGGCUCUUGAGGACUGGUCUCAGGUCCGAGCUGUUGAGCUAGGCCACAUGCUUCGAGCCAUGCUUGAGUUGAGCCAGCGAGCGGAGCCGGUGGUGGUGCCGGAGAUGUUAACUUUUUCCAUGGCCAACAUGAUAGGUCAAGUGAUUCUAAGCCGCCGGGUGUUUGAAACAAAAGGGUCGGAGUCAAAUGAGUUCAAGGACAUGGUGGUGGAGCUCAUGACCACUGCUGGGUACUUCAAUAUUGGCGAUUUUAUUCCGUCCAUCGCAUGGCUGGACAUCCAAGGGAUCCAGCACGGGAUGAAGCAUUUACAUAGGAAGUUCGAUCGGUUAUUAACAAAGAUGAUGGAGGAGCACACGGCGUCAGCCCAUGAGCGGAAGGGAAACCCAGAUUUUCUGGACGUGAUCAUGGCAAACCAAGAAAAUUCUACAGGGGAGAAGCUCACUAUUACCAACAUUAAAGCACUCCUCCUGGUAUGCAUAGUUAAAGCUCGUCUUUAAUUUUGUUUUCCGAUAUUUUCUUUCCUGAAACAGCACUUUUAUUGCUUUUAGAUAUGUACGUUUUUAUCAGGUAGCCAUUUUAGGGGCACAUCACUGUUCUUUAUUUGGAUUUUUUUUGUCUUUUUCCACUUGCAUGGUUGUUUUCAUAUGCUCAGCUGCAUGGCACAGGAAAAUUGUGAAAAAUGAUUGGUUCUCUGAUCAGACCUUCUGCACCAAAACAUAAUUCUCUCUAUUUUAUAAAAUCAAGAACAUUUAUGGUUUACAUGAUUUUUCGAACUUGAACUUUUGCUAGUGCUAAUGCAUGGAUCUCAAUUUUUCAAUUGCGUUUGAUUAUAUAAAUUUCAAGUAUGUGAACAUAUUUUUGUUUCCUUGGCUAGAAUUUAUUUACUGCAGGAACAGACACUUCAUCGAGCGUAAUCGAGUGGUCUCUGGCUGAGAUGUUGAAAAACCCGAGCAUCCUCAAGCGUGCUCACGAAGAAAUGGAUCAAGUGAUUGGAAGGAGCCGGCGGCUCGUGGAGUCUGACUUGCCAAAACUUCCAUACCUACAAGCCAUAUGCAAGGAAAGCUUCCGGAAGCACCCAUCCACCCCAUUGAACCUUCCUCGUGUCUCAACCCAAGCAUGCGAAGUGAACGGCUACUACAUCCCAGAGAACACUAGACUUAGCGUGAACAUAUGGGCAAUUGGGCGAGACCCUGAUGUCUGGGAAAGCCCG